GUUGCAGAGUCAGUUUAAAAUAAUAUUAGAUGGAACUAGCAACACUUUUCUUUAAACCCCAAAACAGAGGUCCACCAUCACUUUUGUUGCAAAUGCCUGCAAACAGAAAGUAAAAGAAGAACAGAGGAUUUAAAGAUUGAUUUGAAAGCAAUAUGAUUGUAUAAACUAGUAAUAUGAAUAUUGGACGAAAAGGUGACGGUUGAGGGAGACAUAAGAAAAUACUAUCUCAAAAGUACCGUAGACGCAUCUCACUAAGCCUUCAACCAGAAGCAAGAAAACAGUUAGCUUUAGAAAAACAAGGAACACUGAGUCUUCAAACGGCGUAAAGAAGAAGCAAUUCUUUAGAUGAGACAGAUUAAACAGGUAGAGACUCUUUCAUGGUAAUUAUAAGCAUGUACCAGAUACUCCGAUUCCCCUGAGCCAAAAACAUCUUACGUGGUAACCAAACUUCUCAGGACUCCACAAAAAACUGUCAUAUAAGCAAAACAAGGAUAAGGAAAAAUACUCAAACUUGAAGCUUCGUCUUCUCAUGAUUUAUUAUUGUUUCCGUCGAAGUCUAUGUCAUCUCAUAAAAGAAAAUAGAAAAAAUAGUGAACCGUAACCAAACAUCAUGACACAUGCCGUAUCAAAAUCACCCAAGUAAGAACAGGAAAUACUAUGGUCGUAUGAAGUAAAAAUCUGAAAAUCGAAUGACAAGGAUGAUGAUCACAUUAAGAAUAUGUAAUCUGGAACUGACAAAAUCAUAUCCAACAGUAGACUCCACUAGAACCCACUGAGCAACAUAUUACACAAUCAGAAACAAAAGAAAGAUCCAUAAGCUAAUUAAAUCACAAAAUAAAUUAUCUUCCCAUCAGAUCGAACCGGGAUCUCUAGCUUAAGCAAUUGACGAUCCUAUCCACAGUAUUCAGGUGUACAUAAGCUCCUAUCCACACUAUCCAUGUGUGCGUAAGCUCUAGUAAAAUGAGAUCCAUCGUUCUACUUGCACAUUUAGCUUAGCUCCAUAAAAUAAAGAUGAGACGAAGCACAACCUUCCUAAAACCACAAAACAGAAAGUACCAAACAGUAAUAAAGCGAAUUGAUAGCCACAAAAAUGUUUGUUGGAAAUUUCUGCAAACAAGUAGGAAAAGCAGUAAAGGUAUUUAAAAUAGAUUAUAAAAAAACUUGUGAUAUAAAGUUAGAAAAAUAAGGAGGAUGAGGGAGAGAGAGAGAAAGCAAGAUUGAACCAUAUCUGGAACUGACGGGUGUCUCAGAGCUGAAUCCCUACUUUAAUACAACACCUGUGGAUCAACACAGUCCAAAGCAAAGGUCGAAAGUCGAGAAAUAUCAUAUCUUGCACAUAUAUAUAUAUCAUAAGGAGAAUCAAAUCUUAAUCGGCAGAACAGAGAGAAGGUUCUUCAUAUGAGACAAAUAGGUUGAACAUCCAGUGGCAGACGAAAUUUUACCGGACACUCUGUUUAGAAUUGUCAUAUAAACACAAUCAUGACGAGGGGAGAAUAUACUCGUAUUCAAAGCGCUUUCUUCUACAAGGAAUCUUUUUGAGAAAAAAUCAAAUCAGCCGAUUACCGAAACCCUGGCAAGAGAAAACACAAUCCAAACGCAAAACCCAUGAUAAUAAACCACUUGUUAAUGCAUACGAAAACCACACCUAAUACCUCGCCGGAUCAAAAUUACCAAAAUAAAACCAAUUCAGAAUCACAAUCAGACGAACGACCCCGAAUCGAUGACGAUCCAAUUGUCAAACCGGCAAAAUAACCCCAAAUAAAAUCAAAUCAGGACCACAAUCAGACGGUAUCGCGAAAGAGAAGAAAAAACACGCGAUGGAUAAACAUUGAAUUGAAUUGCGCAAGUUUCAUAGCGACGAUGAUACAUAUAAUCUAGAAAAACGGAGACGACAAAUAAACAAAAGCAAUAAUCAAACAAAACUCUAAAAUCCACAGAUAACCAACAAAGACGAGAGACGAAGAAAUGAGUUACGGUUGUAGGAGGGGACGGGUAUUUAUAGAAGAGUCGGUGUUGAGUGGAUGGCUGAGAUUAAUCGGAUCAAAGGUACCAAAUGGUUGGACAACCACCGUCAUUUUUGUUGCAAGUUUCUGCAAAUAGAAAGGAAAAACGAAAUAGGAUUUGAAAUGUAAAAAAGAAUAGAUUAUGGAGGGAUUCAUAAGAAUAUAAAAUUUGGCAUCACUAUCGUACUCACCACCACUCGUUGUUCAACACAGCCCAAAUCAUACUAUGUAGCAACCGAACUUCUCAACACAUAACACGAAAUUGCCAUACAAGCAAAUUCACGAAAAGGCGGAGAAAAGCCCAAAGCUCGAAACACUUUCCUUUUUCCAGAAAUCCUAUGACCGCGCGGAAAACAAAAUCAAACCAGCCAACAACGAGACGAGGAUGGGAAAAUAUGAACCAAAUCCAAACCACGGGAUAUUAAAUUGCAUAUCACUCCAUCACCAAACAUCAUAAAUACCUUGCCGGAUCAAUUAUCAUUCAUAGAAGACCUUGACAGCACCACAGAGAAAAGAAACAUAUAAGACACGCUCCCGAUAAUUAGACUGUAAGACCAGCAAAACCACCCAAAUCAGAACCACAAACAGAAAGGCACGAAAGAGCUUUAGAUAAAACACAAGUUAGAUUAUAUUCCCCAUUAAGUAUCCAUCACAUCUGUAGCUUUACAUAAGAGACUCUGAAGCUCAUUUUCCAACGGUUUGCAAAGGGUCCAACGAUAUAUGUAAAAUCAGAUUCAUCAUUCCUAUAGCACAUGUAGUUUCAGAUAUUAAAAUUGAACUAAGACACUUCCCUUAAGCCACAGAAGAAAGGUACUGACUGGUAGGACAGCUAAAUAAAUUAUUUUUCCGCGUAGUCAAUAGGCCAGAGUAAUGUAGAUGGAACUAGCAAAAACUUUCUUUAAACAGAAGGCCUACCAUCAUUUUUGUAGCAAAUGUCUGCAGACAGAAAGGAAAAGAAGAACAGGGGAUUUGAAGAUUGAUUUGCAAGUAAUAUGACCGUAUAAAGUAGUAAUAUGAAAAUUGAGGGAGCCGUUAGAAAAUACUCUCUCAAAGAAUCUGAGACGCAUCUCAAUAAGCCACUACCUGCUGCCGAUCAACACAUUUUGCAACCAGAAGCAAGAAAGUUUUCAUGAGAUAAAUAAAUCAGAAAUUAAAUUAUCUUCCCCGUCAUGUUGUCCGUAAAUCAGACUCAACCUCAGAUCCAACUGCACUAAUCCAUCUUUUGCUGAAGCAAUGGGUUAUCCUGUCCAAAGAUGGAACUACAGCAGACCCCCUAAAAUACACAAACAAAAGUUACCAAAUGGGAGGACAUCCACCAUCAAUUUUCGAGAGGAAAAGCAAAACCGGGAUAAGGAGAAAAUACUCAAACUUGAAGCUGUUUCUUCUACGAAAAAUCAUAUUUUAACCAUUUCCUUCGAAGUCUAUGCCAUCUCGUAAAAGAAAACCAAACCAACGGACAAGAGAAAUCAUAAUCCAAACCCACACAAUCGAAAAAUAGACAAAAUAGUGGCCGAUAAGGAAACAUCAUACCACAUGCCGUAUCAAAAUCACCCAAAUAGAUUUGAAAACAUAUGGUCAUAUUUCAAAAUUGAAUGAGAAGGAUGAUGAUUACAUAAGAAUAUACAAUCUGGAACUGACAAAAACCCCCACUGAUCGAUAAGCUAAUUAAAUCACAAAAUAAAUUAUCUUGCCAUCAUCAGAUCCAACCGAGAUCUCUAGCUUAAGCAAUUGGCGAUCCUAUCCACAGUAUUCAAUUGUACUUAAGCUCCUUAUCCAGGUAUACAUACGGUCUAGUAAAAUCAGAUCCUCGUUCUACUUGCACAGUUAGCUUAGCUCCAUAAAUAAAGAUGAAACACAACCUUCCUAAAACAACAAAACAGAAAGUACCAAAUAGUAAUAAAGUAGUAAAGCAGUAAAGGGAUUUAAAAGAUACAUUAAAAAAAUUGUGAUAUAAAGUUAGAAAAAUAAGGAGGGAGAGAGAGAGAGAGAGAGAGAGAGAGAGAGAGAGAGAGAGAGAGAGAGAGAGAGAGAGAGAGAGAGAGAGAGAGAGAGAGAGAGAGAGAGAGAGAGAGAGAGAGAGAGAUUGAAAUAUCUGGAACUGACGGGAGUUUCAGAGCUGAGUUCUUACUUUAUUACCACAACUGCGGAUCAACACAGUCGAAAGCAACAGUUGAAGGUCGAGAAAUAUCAUAUUGCACAUAUAUAUCAUAAGGAGAAUCAAAGAGAAGGUUCUUCAGAUGAGACAAAUAGGUUGAACGUCCAGUAGCAGAUCAAAAUAGCAGUCAAAAGGACGAAACUUUACCGGACACUCUGCUUAGAAUUGUCAUAUAAACACAAUUACGACAAAAAGGAGAACAUACUCGUAUUCGAAGCGCUUUCUUCAACAAAGAAUCUUGUUCAAAAAGGGUUGAGGAAAAAUCAAAUCAGACGACCUGGCAAGAUAAAACACAAUCCAAACGCAAAACCCCAUGAUAAUAAACCACUUGUUGAUGCAUAACCGAAAACCAUACCUAAUACCUCGCCCGAUCAAAAUCACCAAAAUAAAACCAAUUCAGAAUCACAAUCAGAUGGCCGACCCCGAAUCCAUGACGAUCCAGUCGUCAAACCGGCAAAAUAACCCCAAAUAAAAUCAAAUCAGGACCACAAUCAGACGGCAUCGCAAAAGUGAAGAAAAAAAACACGCGACGGACGAUGAUACAUAUAAUCUAAGAAAUAAACAAAAGAAAUAAUCCGCAGAUAACCAACAAAGACGAGAGACGAAGGAAUGAGUUACGGUUGUAGGAGGGGAUGGGUAUUUAUAGAAGAGUCGGUGUUGAGUGGACGGCUGAGAUUAAUCGGAUCGGAGGGUCAGAACUCCUUGUCCGUUACGCAUAUUAGUAUUUUAUUCGUUUUUUUUUAAUUUAAUUAUUUUCCAAAUAUGAGGCCACCUCCUGAUAGACCUGGCCACGGUUCGGUUCGGUUCCGGUUUCGGUUCCAAACCGCCGGUUCCGGUUCCGAUUUUGGAGGAACCGGAACCGAACCGAAAAAAUCCGGUUUCUUGCGGUUCCGGUUCGGUUCCGGUUCGGUUCCCGGUUAGAACUGUAGAACCGUUCGGUUCUUAAUAAUAUUUUUUUUUAUUUUUUUUAUAUAUUUAUAUAUAUAUAUAUAUAUAUAUAUAUAUAUAUAUAUAUAUAUAUAUAUAACUUAAAAAUAACUUAAAAAAAAACUUUUAAAAAUAGUUUUUUUUAAAGUGUUUAUAUUUAAAAAUAAUAAUUUUUUUUAAAUACGUAAUUUUUUUUUCUUAAUACUUAAAUAUAUAUAUAUAUAUAUAUAGAGAGAGAGAGAGAGAUACAAACAGAUAGAUAUAUAUAUAUAUAUAUAUAUAUAUAUAUAUAUAUAUAUAUAUAUAUAUAUAUAUAUAUAUAUAUAUAUAUAUAUAUAUAUAUAUAUAUAUAUAUAUAUGUGGUCAGAUACCCAUAACCUUAGGGUAAAUCAGAACCAUAUCAAAAUAUAUAUAAAUAUAUAUAUAAGGAAAAAAAGAGAAAAUGUAAGGGAUAGUUUGGGUAGGUGUGUAGGGAGCCGAUACCGCAGGUAGCUAUAUAUAUAUAUAUAUAUAUCACUAGCUAUACCGGGUCAUAUAUAUUGGGUGAUUUUAACCAUUGAUGAUGUGGUUAGAUAAUUACCCACUAAACGCACAUAUACAUUGGUGUGUGUGAUUAUAUGUAGAUCGAUGAUCAAUAAUCACCUAGUGCAUUUUACCAAGUGUAGCAUCAAAUAAACCGUAAAGACAUAUAACACACUUGAGAAGACAAGAAAACAAAAAAUAAGAAAAAUUUCUAUUUCCUUAUACUUGAACCCUCAUAUUCUUAUUUGUUUGAAUUCGUUUAGUAAAUUUACAACACGUUAUCGGUACUAAUCGCUUUACACCUUUACCAUAUUCCUUGAACUGGUAAGGACCAUAGAUUUUAAUAUAGAUAAAAUUAUUAAGACACCCUUAUUUGGAAAAGUUAUGUAUGGUAGACCUCCCUCAAAUAAAUAAUUUGAGAAACCCCCUUUAGUUAUUAGGUUGGGACAUUGGUCAUUAGUAGAAGUAAACUAUCAAUUUUACCCUUAAAGAUUUAUAAUUGUCUUAACCUAACUUCUCACUUCUUAUUACUCGGCCUUCCUUCCCUCUUUGUCAAUCAUUCUCUUCCCAAUUUCUUUUCUUCUUCUCUACUCUCUCUUCUUUUCUCGUUUUCUCCAAAACAAAUUCUCUUCACUCUUUUUCGAAGCGGUAGAUUUCUUCGCCGCAGUGGUGUUGAAGGCGGUGUUUGACCAUGUCAUGGUGUUGCUCUACAGCUACGUUAAGGUAGAUUCGACCACACCUCUUCGUCUGCGUAAUCAAAGCCAAUCAAAACAACGGAAUUAACGGCUUUAGGGUUCAGUGCGGGACGGCGUUGAUGGUGGAGGGUUGGUGAUGGUGUGGUGUGGGAAUGGCGUUGUGACAGGGCCGGCCCAAGCCCAAGGCGAGCAAGGCCAUCGCCUUGGGUCUCCAAAAAAAUCAAAAAUAUUAGGGCCUCAAAUUUCCGUAAAUUAUCUAUAUAUAAAUACAUGUAAAAUUUUCUAUAAAAUUUGUCUUCAGCUCAGUUGGCGAAAGAAUUCCUAUUGGGUGGAGGAGGUCAAGCUUCGAUUCCAGUUAACAUUAUUUGGUUUUGUGUGUUUGGAAGGGCUGCCUUUUCCUUUUUUUAUUUAUUUAAUUUUUUUAUGGGCCAAGCUAAUAAAGCCGAAAACAUAAAUAAGAAAACAUAGGGCUAAGCUAAAGGGCCCAAAAUGGUAAGCAAAUCAUCGAGUUUUUUGACACAAAAUUCUCAUAUUUUGAAACUCUUUAACAAAGCACAAUACACCACAAAAGACGAAUAUAAUUGGUAGGUUUGUGGUUAAAUCUCGAUAAUUAAUUAAAUUUGUCUCUAAUUAUCUUUGUUACUUUCAUUUUUAUUCCUAGAUUUUUUUUAUUGUCUUUAUAUUUGAAUUUAAUAAUUCGGCUAUUGAGUAUUAUAUUGUAUAUUGUUUUUAAUCGAAAUUUGGUGUCUGGAUUGUUGAAAUCGAAAUUUCUUCCAAAAAUUAGGGUUCUUGUAAAAAUCACCAAUUUGAGAGAGAGAGCGCGUGGAGAGAGGAAUGUUGAUUUUGGGGAAAAAAUCACGAGUUAAGCCCUAAUUUCAAGUCACGUGCGUGGCACGUGACGGUUGACUGUUAAGUGAGACGGUCAACCAAACGGCAGGACCAAAUGUGUUAAAAUGUGGUAAAACGAGAGUGUAUUUUGUUGACUGCGGUAAAUGGGGGACCAAAACUGAAAAACGGGAAAACUUGGGGGGCCAAAAAUGUAAUUAUCCCUAGGUUUACACAUUGAAUUUGACUAUAUACAUGUAUGCAUGCGUAUAUGUAUAUGCAUGUUUGCAUACUUUUAGCAUGAUUUUCUCAUAAUGCAUUCAUGUGUCAUGUGUGUAUGAUCAGUGAUUGAUGUGAAUUAGAUUUUUCUUAAGAGUUUUUCCAUGAAAUCAUAUUAUCCAGUUUUUAACAGAUUAUUGCCCCUUCAGAUAUUUCAGUUUGCGGUAAUGGAGUCCCUAAAAGCUAUAACUGUCAUUUUAAUGGUAAAAGUCUGAAAAUUCUUGUUCCAACCGAGCCAUAAAAACAUGCUCCAUUUUGGGACCACUCUUUCUCUGAUUAAAAAUUGGGGUCUAGAAAUUGGGUAAUCAGAAAUUGGAGGGAAGCUCUCAACGAAUAUAUUUCCUCCCAACGGAUACAUGUUCACCCAACGACUCUUUUGUUCUGCAUAUUCAACAGUAACAAAAAAAAAACCCUAUAAAGAAGACCAUUUCGCCUUGAAAAAAUAUAUAAUUUCAUAACUCGAAAUAUUGAAGAAAUAGAAACAACAACAAAAAAAUGUAACCUUAUAUGGGCUUCUGAUUUCCCGAGUGAAUCGAUAUGCGAAAAAAACAGAGAAAGAAAGAUAAGAGAAAAAGGGGAGAACGACUAAGAAAAAAAAAAAAAAAGAGAAGAAGAUCGGGGGAGAAUGAGUGAGGGAAAAAAAAAAGUGACAGAGGGAGAGAACGAGAGAGAGGAGAGGAGAGAAGGAGAAGAGAGAGAACAGAGGAGAGAAGAGGCGUGUGGAUAGCGGCUCAUAGUGGUGGGGUGGGGGAUUAGGGUAUGUAUAUUACGUUAAUUAGGGUUAUUUACUUAAGUGUUUAUUUUUGGGGAGAAUGUGAGCUGCCCCUAAUUUUGAAAAUAUAUACGAGGAGGUCCAAUGAAUUUUUCCGCCGUAGUCAAAAACCCAAAUUCUGAUUUUAAUUUGUGAGACCCCCGUGGGUAACUUAAAUUACCUAUUUUACCCUUUUAGUUUCAAUUCAAUAAAAACCCGAUCCCUUAACCUUCUCUCUCUUCCUCUCACGUCUCACACCCACUAACUACCGUUUACAUCUCUCUUUGUCAAUCUAUCUUCCGUCGCCGUGACUAGGGCUUGAGAAACGACACCAAGAGAUGAUUAAGGGUGUACACGGAUUCAUAGCUAUUGUCGAGUCAUCCGCCGCCGCCGCCAAGAUCUGAAGCCUGAUAUCCACUCAGUUUCUCCUUCGCCGAUUGUCGUGUCGACUACAACUCUCGUAUACCAUUGGGCCAGACAAGUUUACUAUUCAGGUAUUUUUCUAUAGAUUUUUUUAUCACAAAAAUGUAUAAAAAAUUGGAAAAUAUUGGGGUUUUUCUAGUUCUGAACCAAAAUUGAUUCUAAUAGGAAUUUGUUUAUCACACAAGUCGCCAGCUCCAAGUACUAUUCGACUUUUGAUAUUGUAGUAUUUCGAUUUUUUGUUUUGAAUUUUUACCAAGCAUUGACUAUAAAAAUGUAUGCUUGUCGAUUGACUUUGAGAUUUCGAUGCACUGUGUAGUUGUAACUUGUAAAUGAAGUUUAACUGACUCGAUCUUUGCUAGCUAUUAGUUUGCUGUUUUUGAUUUUGAUAAAUGCUGAAAAGAUUGUGAGGGUGCAGUUGGAUGGAGGGAUUUGGGGAUGGAUUUCAGAUCCACACCCAUCAUUUUUAGUUGUUUUUGAGCAAUUGGUGUGGAUUUCAAAUGAUUCCAAAUUGGGGUCAUUUCAAUCCCCUGUUAGAGUAGGUGACCAACAAGCCAACUUGUGGCUGUGGUCUUUCGUAUUUAUUACUGUAAUAAACGAACCUUUAUUCGUAUUAAUGAUAAAACAUCUUGGCAUUCUAUAUCUUUGUCCCUUUGUCACAAGCAUAGAUAUAGUCCUUACAGUUAUUACAAGUACUAGUAAUUGAUCGUUAGGAUCGUGAGAUAUUUACUCAAGUAUUAUAACUGUUAAACGUGUUCCUAGUCGAAGGGUUACGCCACUAAUGAGGAUAUCGGCCUUUCCCAUUAAGACUAGCACUUAGUGUAUGUGUACUGCAUCUCAUCAGUAAACGGUAUUGUGAUACCGGCAUGCAUAAGUGGGUGCUCGUAAGUUGACGAGUUCACUGAACUCCCUCACCCUAGAAAUCUCUAAGUGGUUCCCAAUAAUCGAGUAGAGAUAUCUAUGGUAUAGUUGUACACCAUUAGUCCUUAUGACCUAGACAUCACCGUGAUUUCACUAGAGGACCAGCUGUAUCGUGACCUGUCCCUGAGUUCCACCGAGGACCAUCCCAAGGGCCAGUGUUCGUGCAGUCCGAAAUCUAGUGGGAGGUCUGUGCAUUGUAGUCGGGGAUUCGAUCGCUAGAAUAGUCUUGGAUGUCCUGUGUGUUCUGAAAGUUUGUAAUCAUUCUAAGUCUCUGGCCAGAGCUGACUAAGUGAUGAUUAGAGAAUUUGAUUCUCUAAGUCAUGCACGUAAGGAUUACAACACUUAGAACGAUCGCACUGUCAUCGAACAUAUAAAGAGGUCUCGAUGAACCAAUGCCUCUAGUUCGAUCGGGACAUAUGAAUCGAAGGGACCGUACUGUACGUUAACUAUAUCUGAAGGUUCUUGCAGGCACUUCAUUUGUAUCUAGGGAAUCAUGACGCGUAGUUGCUAGGCGCCAAUCUUGAUUCGUUGGGUGAUUGAGGUGAAACGAGCUUCAUCUUAAUCGUAACUCUAAGGGACGAGUUUUGACCACAAAGAGUUGUGGGCCCACGGCUAGCUUACACCUGAACCAUCGAGGGUCACACUGCUCGUGCACAUGAGAUCUUUGAAUAAACGGUCAGAGAUAAAAUAGUUUAUCUUUGCAUGAUUGGAAGUCAAUAUGAUUGAGUCCAACAUUCGUAAUUUGGAAUUAUGAAUGAGAAUAAGAAAAGGAAAAGAAUAGGCGAACGUAUUAGCACUACAACAAAAAUCCUUAUUCGUAGCAUUUGAAAAACGCUAUUAUAGGAUUCCAUAGCGUUUUUACAAACGCUAUGUCUGCCCGAGCUAUAAUAGAUCUCGGUUCUUUGAUAGCGUUUUUCAAACGCUAUUGUAGGUUCUACAUUAGAUAGCGUUUCUAAAACGUUAUUUUAGUGUUAGUUUAGAUAGCAUUUUUUCUUUGUUAUUGUAUGUGUUCUUACAGCAGUAAUCAAACGCUAUCAUAUCUCUUUCAUAGCAUUAUUAAAAUGCUAUUGCAGUUUUAAAUCCUAUUGAAUUACCAAUAAAUGAGGUCCUUAAAUAUCACUGAUAGCAUUGAAAAAUGCUACUGUAUUAAUUUUUCACUAUUUAUUUUUAAUGUGGAACCUUCUAACUUUACUGCAGCAAUGAUGUAAAAUACGAAAUGAAUAUUAAAAAAAUGUUACAAAACAAAUCAUUUGUAUUAGUAUUUGAACCCAAUUGAAGAAACAAUACAAAAAUUAGCUGUCUUCAAGGACUACUUGAACUAGAUUGAGUAGAAAAUAGCUAAAUUCGACAAUGUCUUAGAAACUCGGUGAAGGAAAAUCUAUUACUAGUUUAAAGCAUUGCUUCUCAAAUCCGUACUUGUAGUUCUUCACCAUCACCUUGACCUGUUCCAAAAGAUACAAAAAUUUGCACUGAGUUACAAAAAAUAAAAUAAUUGAGUAUAAAACUAUCUACUCCAUGUUGUUAAUAGUUUAGCACCUAUGUUCGUUAUCAAAUUCAGACCAGGUCUUUGGAUGGAGAAUCAUUAGCCUCAAUUUUGAAUUAAAUUGCAUCAUACAUAUAAUAGUUGUCCAUCUCUACCAAAUUUUUAUACGACCAGAAAAAUAAGUAAUCAAGCAUUGAACAUAUAAGGGGAUUACCUACGACCUCAAUCACCUAACGUACCAUGUCCUCAGGUAGUAUGUUACAUCCAACAUCCAAUACCUGAAUCCAUAAAAACUUCUUGAAUACAUAAGCAUAUCUAUUGUUAGUAUAUAUAUUCUAUUACAAAUGAAAACAUGCAAAAAAUCUUAUAUAUCAGUUGAUUAACAACAAUAUAGAAAAUAUGGAUUAAAUUUAUUAUGGACAAGAUAAUCACUAUAAGAAAAAAAUUCAUCAACGUACAAAAUCAAUGUAAGUACCUUGUGAUCCUUUGUCCUCUCUCUUGAUAAAAAUUGUCCUAAAUGUUCCGCCAAGAUAUUUAAGGCUGUAAUAUAUAAAAUGAUAAUUAUAUAGUAUGCAAUCGCUUAAAUAGGUUAAACCGAAUAAUAUAUUUUCAGAGUAUCGAAAUUAAAAAAAUACGAAAUCGUUUAGCAUGAACAAUAAUCCAAACAAAUUCAGAAUACUAAAUCAUUCAGCAUAAAUAAUACACCAAACAAAUUCAAAAUAUUAAAUCUUUCAGUAUAAACAAUAAACCAAAUAAAUCAAAAUACUAAAUCAUGCACUAUUAGAUGUGAACAUCUGCAAUUGCGACUAAAAACUCACUAGUAGUGCAAAUAAUAUGUUAGGAGGACCAAGUACAAGAAAUAAAUCAAUGUUACCAGUCAUGAAUGAUGAAACUCCACACACCAAGACAAAGAAUCGCCCUAACACCUCAUAUAUUUCUCUAGCCAUUAAUUUCAAAUGAGCGUUGCUUGAAUAUGUAGAGUAAGAGGUUCCCAAAACGGGAAGUUUCCAAAUUUAGAAAGUGCACUGAACUAGGGUUUCCACUUUUGGAAAGUUGGAAAAUGAGAGAUGGCACUCGUAAUGACGAGGAAGUUAUAAUGAAUCCGAAAAUGUAAUCGUUGCAAUUUUUCGGUCAUUGAAUUAAGAGAGACGGGCAAGUAAAGAUACUAACGGACUUAAGCUGUUGGGCCCGGUCCAACUUAAGCCCGCUAGGGUUUUAUGCAAGACAUAUAAAUACUUGAUUUAUAGGUCUUGCACAAUACACAACACAACCCUAACCCUAGCAGCCGUCCACCUCUCUCUCGGCCUCUCUCUCCCACGGCCAACACCGCCGCCCACUCCGCCGUUUCGCCGGAAUCGGCCGUUGAUCGGCCGAUUGGCUUGGUAGUCUUUUUCCUUCUCUUUUUCUUCCGUUUUUCUAACUAUUACGUGUCUAGUGCCACGUGUUUAGUAGAUCGAAGUAUACGAGGUGAAAUCCAAGAGGAGGAAGAUCAAAGAUCGAGGAAUCGAAGAGCAGCGCACGAGCCGAAGCCGCACGCUGCCCCACGCGCCGCCUUGGAAGACCGCGCGUGAAUCUCACGCGCCGCCGUGGCCGAUUUGCUGCUGCUGCCGCUGCACCGCUGCUGCCCCGAUUGUACGGAUUGGUUUCCGUAGCAAUCUCGACUUGCUAAACGCUCCUACCUCACGCUUCAAGAGGUAAAUACACGAAACCCUAGUUUCGAUUCGAUUAUGUUUAAACUAUGAAUUCAUGUUUGCUAUCGUAUGAUUUUAUGUGAUUAUGUGUAAUCGAUUUUAAUCUUUGCAAGCAUGAUUAUUGGUUUAAACGCGAGCAUGUUAAUUGAUUUAAAUUCGGUUAAAUUAUUUAGCAUCUAUGUUGUUUUUAAUUUCGCUGGAAGCGCAAAGGUACGCAAUUAAUUGAUUUAAUUUGUCGGGCAUGUACUUGUGUGUUUUAAAGUCGUUUAAAUCACAUAAAUUUUUUGUUUUCCGCUGCGUAUGCGUGCCCGAAACCCAACAUCCCCUUCCCCAAAUCAAAUCAAAUCCCCCUCAAAAUCCCUCAAUUUGAAUGGACCCUGAAGUUUUUUGUUGAACAGUGUUUUUUUUUUUUUUUUUUUGUGUGUUAUUGUUAUACAGUGUUCUGAUAUUUUAGUGCGGCUUUGCUGCUGACUGUGAAUUAAACCGGUAAAAUAUUUUCUACGAAUUUUACUACAUAAAACUAUAUAUGACUACAGAUAACUGCAGUCAUAUGUAGUCACAUGUAGUAACAUAUGGACUUGUAAUACAGAGAACCGAAGAUGGGUGAAAAGAUCAAAAUUGAAGAGGGAAAAUAAUGGAAAUAAGUGAGAAAUGGAGGAAAAAUUCAAGGAAUUAGCGCUUUUAAGUGGGAAAGACAUAAAUAGCCUUGGAUUUGCAUGUGCAACACAGUUCACAACCGGUCAUUUUAACCGGAAAAUGGAAAAAAGGGCAAAGUGGCACAAUCAAUUGAGUAGGUGAAGUCAUGCAAAAAAAAAAAAAAUUGUUCGGAGGUGAUCCACAAGAACUUAAAAAGUUCAGGCGGUUUAAUGUUGUUUACACAAAAAUUUAUUUGGUCCCUCAUGUUUCGAAAAUUCAACAUUUUAGUUAUUUCUGUCAAUAUUCCUUUAGUUCUAACAGAAUAAAGAGUGUGCCCCUCACUUAGGGGUGUGAACGAGCCGAGCACGAGCUCGAUUUCUCUCUCUCUCUCUCUCUCUCUCUCUCUCUCUCUCUCUCUCUCUCUCUCUCUCUCUCUCUCUCUCUCUCUCUCUCUCUCUCUCUCUCAAUAUGCGUUUCUCUAUUCUAGCUACGCUUGGCACUACAAAGAUCUCUAGCGGUGCUAGGGGUGGUUGUUGGUCGAUUCACUUUGUAGAGUUAUCAACUCAAAAAAUAUCAGUCUUCAAUGGAUUAUCGAAGCCCAACAUCUCAAUCAGGAAUUAUCUCGAGAGAAUUGUAGAUGUAUGAAUAUGUUUGUUUUGCUUGAACGUUAUGUUAUUGUUUAUGUGAGCAAAAAAGCGAAUGUGUAAUUAUACAUAGUGGUUUUCAUGUUUACAUAGUUGUUAUACUUAAUGGUUUUCAUGUUUACAUAGUUGUUUUACAGAAUGGUUUUCAUGUUUACAUAGCUGUUUUACAGAGUUGUUUUCAUGUUUAUAUAGCUGUUUAUACAGACUGGUUUUCAUGUGUCUUCGAUUUUUCUCCUUGUUGGAAUAAUAUGGGAAUGACGAGAAGCACCUGCAGAAUAAAUGAAGAACCAUCAUGUAAAUUACUUGCAAUUUUCAACUAUUCGGUUUAAAUCAACAAACACAUAACACUAAUUAAUUAUUUUUCCCUGUUGAUUUUUGAACCAUCUUGUUGUGCUAACGAUUACGAAUAACUAUGGCUUCCUAAAAAAAUUAAAAAGGUGUUUUUAGUCUCUAAUCCGUUUCUUUCCUUAGACCAAUAAUCUCCAUUGUUGGGUGAGCUUGGUGUAAACGACGACAAACGAUAAUUUUGGUGAUGGAUGGAGCGUGAUUUGGGGGCAUAAUUUUUGGGAGGAUUUUCCGGUGCUAUUAAUUAGGGGGAUCUGCAUUUAUUAGCAGAUAUUUUUUUUAAUUAAUUGGAAAGUUGGGGCAUAUAUGGUAUUUUUGGUUGAUUGAGUUUAUAUCAAAUAUCAAUUAAAAAAAAUGGAUUUAUCAAGAAGUCAAAAAUCCAAUGAGGGAUUUUUAUCAAAUAGCCCCAUUUAAGAAAUAAAUACAUAACUAAUAGUAAUCUUAAGUAUUUAAAUCUAUUCUAGUUCAUUAAUUCUUAAAAUACAUUUUUCAUUCAUUAUUAUACAAUAUGUAUUAAUUUUAAUAUUUUCCCAAUAAUUUAAUUUUAAUUACUUUCCUAUUUUAUAUGAUCCAAUAAUUAUUAAGUUUUUAUGUUUAUUAUGUUUUAAAUUUUUAAAUAUAAAAUAAUUGAUGUUGAGGAGGGUAACUGUUACAAAUGAUAUUUUAAGGGGGUAAGUGUUACAGAUGUUGCACUUUGAGAGUGCAAAGUGCAUUUAACCCGAAAGUUAAUCUAACUACUUCUGUUAUUAAUGUUAAUAAACCACCCUAUGAUCCAAUUUUGUUAACAAAACUACCCCAUGUAUUUAGUUUUAUUAAUAGUUGAAGGAUUAAAUUUGCAAUACUUUACAAAAGCCCAAAAGAACUAAAAAAAUAAUGAAUAAAACUGACAUUGAUAGAUAAAUAGUGACUGAAGAAUAUAAUAACAUAUGGUAAAAUGCUAGCAACCAAAACAAGCAUGAGAAGUACAUAUAUGACAUAUUACUAGUAAAUAAUGUUCUUAAAAUAAUAGAACACAUCUUUAGAUCGAUGAACGUAAGUACAAACAAAACAGCAUGCUGGCUGGAGUUACUAUUCGUCCCAUCUUCUCUUGCGCUUUCCUUAACAUGGAAUUGAUCAUCAGGCCAUCGGUUAGAACAGAAGUCGAUAAAGUGAUGCUCUCAGUAUGCUCAGAGCCUACAAAAAAAAAAAGUAGUAUAUGAACAUAUGUAUAGCCUAGACAUAUAUAUAAUACAAAUCAAAAUUAUGACCUCUUGCAACCGAAUCUCAACCGGGAGUUCCACAAUGUCGGAAAACGGGAUUUUCAGACCUUUGAGAAUAUAAAUGGUCGACGCUGUAGAAAAAGGUGUCACGGUUAAAUCAUCAGGUAUGUUAUAUAUUUUUGGUCCCUUGACGUAUUCUCCUUGGACCGCCAAUAUAUGAUACGAUCUCUUGUGUAUCAUAAGAUUUCUUUACUAAAUGUAAGAAAAACUUUUCUUUAUUAUUUCUCUGCAUUAUAAAACCCUAGCACAAGACGACUAUUUAAAGAUAAUAAAACCCUAGAAUCCUAAUCUAACUAGAAAAGAUAAUUCCAUAAACUAAUAAAAUACUUAAUAUUUCUCCUAACCCUAACUCACGGCAAUAUAUAUAUUAUAAAUAUACUAAUCUAAUUAAUUAAUAAUAAACUAUUAACUAAACUAAUAAUUAAACGAUAUAUUUAAUAAUAAAUCGUAUCAAACCACCCCUCUUGAAAUGAACCUUGUCCUCAAGGUUCGAGUCAAUUUGGUCCCUCUCGUUUGCGUUUCCACCUAUGUUUGAAUUCGUCGACUUUCUUUCCGAGCAAGAUGUAUUCCUUUGCUUGACCAAUUUUCACAAGCACGUGACUAUCUUUCUUGAUUUUCUGAGUGAAGUCGUCUCUCUCGGUGGAAUCAUGAACCUGGUCUCCAAAGUGAUCCACUUUAGCCAAACAAAAACUAGAUAACUUGGAGUGGUAUUCCUCUUCACAAUAAACAACUAAUUCCACCGAAUUCUCAUCAUGUAAAAUUGGAUCUUCCUUAAAACUAUGAAAUUCUUUCAAAAUUUCGUGCAAUUCCUCGUUCUCCUCCUUCGUUAAUUUCUCGUAUUCGUCCCACUUUAUCUCAGUUGACUCCGAUUCUUCUUCUUUCGGCUCUUCGUCCCACUUUAUAUCAGUUGAAUCUGAUUCUUCUUCUUUCGGCGAUCUCACAAAAACUUGGGGCUCUUCGAAAAAGUCAUCAUCGUCAUCUUCCUCUUCCUCCGGCAAGAGGCUCGGCAGCGGCAGCGGCAGCGGCAGCGGCGGUGGCGUUGGGGGUGUUUGGCGGCGGUCCCUUCGGCUUUGAUGAUGGCGUUGACGUCGUCCUUGACUUUGUUCGAGCAAUUUCUGAAAAUCAAUCCGUAAUUUCUCUACGGAUUUUUCCAAUCGCUCCAACCGUCUUGUUUCUGACAUCAUGAUUUUCACAAAGUUUUGAUGUGAUCUCAAAUUUGCUCCAGCGUAGCUUUGAUGUAAUCGCUGCCUUGCUAACGAAGCGUUGGUGUUAAUCGCAACUUCGCUCUGAUACCAAUUGAUACGAUCUCUUGUGUAUCAUAAGAUUUCUUUACUAAAUGUAAGAAAAACUUUUCUUUAUUAUUUCUCUGCAUUAUAAAACCCUAGCACAAGACGACUAUUUAAAGAUAAUAAAACCCUAGAAUCCUAAUCUAACUAGAAAAGAUAAUUCCAUAAACUAAUAAAAUACUUAAUAUUUCUCCUAACCCUAACUCACGGCAAUAUAUAUAUUAUAAAUAUACUAAUCUAAUUAAUUAAUAAUAAACUAUUAACUAAACUAAUAAUUAAACGAUAUAUUUAAUAAUAAAUCGUAUCAAUAUAUUGCUGGAUAAUACGUAUGGAAGACCGUUUGGAUUAUAUCGUUUUGGUUGCAUUAUCCUGCGUCUUGUACUAGCUUUUACUAAACCGGGAUCUUUAGUGCUUUCGUACAAAUUGUUUAUACUCUUAAGACAAGAGUUACUGCCCAAAAGAAACUGGACAUCGCCCAAAGUGAUUUUCAACAAACCGAAAAGGAAAUCGACCAUCUCCUUCUCUGCUUGAGCAAAUAAUAAGGGUUUUCUGCAAAAUCCACCCUUGUGUAAUUUCGAAUGGUAAAAAAAGCCCUUUUGUUAAAAAUUAGCAAAACCCUCCCUAUGAAAAUUAGUGAAAGCCAAAAAACCCCCCUAACAGCCUAUAAUAAGGGUUGGGUAUUUUUUUUUAUUUUUAAUUAAGGAUAUUUUGCUCAUUUUAUCUAAGUCAACAACAACAAAAUGAGAUAAAGGGCGGUGUGCAUUGUAGAUGAUAACAUAGGGGUCUCUUGCUAAUUAUUUUAACACGAGGGUUUUUUCAGCCAUUCGAGAUUGCACAGGGGGUUCUGUGCAAUUACCUCCAAAUAAUAACCUAUUGCUAGAUUCUUGUACUACCAAUGUCAAAUUCAACUUCUUGAAGUUGUAAAGAGUUCUAUUUAAUGUGGUGCAAGGGUUUUGCUUUGGUAGUGUAAUCAUCCUCUAUUUUUUGAGUACGACAUCCGAUAAUGGAGUCGAGGAGAGCAAGGCUUCAAAAUGCAUUGAACCGAUUUCAAUUUUCUUUGGAUCUCCGCAAAUGCAUGUUCCAAUAUUAAUACUGCAAAACCAUUUCUUACAAGUGAAGCAUUCAUUAAUAUUGAGCUUUAGUUUAGGACAUUCAUCUUCGAAUAAGCUUUUCGGAUAUAGAAGCAUCUCCUUCGAACAAUUCGUGAUGUUGUGGAGAUUCCGCAACUCCAUUGUAUAAACUUGUUAAGCUUCCAAUGUUGACACGUGUCUUUUUAUCUUCUCCAUAAUGCUUCUUCAUAACCUUUCUUUCUCUCUUGUACUCAAUUUACUCUGAUUUGUUUUUUUCAUGUUUAUUCCCUAAUUUUAUUUCCACAACCUAAAAUUUCACCAAAUUUUUCUUAAAAAAUAUUAUAUUCUGAAAAUUAGUUAUAAUUUCCUUUUAAAUUUAUGAAAUUUUGCAAUUAUGUUUCCUGCCUACAAAAAUCACCCAAAAUUUAUGAGUUUUUUUUUUUUUUUUUUUUUUUUUUUUUUUUUUUUGGAAAAGAUUUUUACCUUCUUUUUAGAAUUCUGAAGAUUUUUUUUUCUUACUGUUGAGUGUAGAUUUUACGCUCAAUAUGUUUACUUUACGUGGAUAUUUUGUUUAGAUUUAAGUAUAUUUGUGCUUUAAUUGAUUGAUUUUGUGUUUUAUAGGUGAAAAACGAGAAGUAGGUGUCCAUGAAGGAAAAAAGAUCAAAAAGAAAGGAAAAAGUUGCAAAUAAGGAAACAAAUCAAAUUGGAAGAAGGAAUCUCGCCACAGCUUUGGCAGUGCCCACCAUUUCGAGCAUAUCUCUCUCAUACAAACUCCGAAUUAGGUAAUUUUGACGGCAUUGGAAAGCUAAUUUCAAGGGCUACAAUUCUUAUUUACGCAACAUUCCAAAAUUCGGACUCCAACAUGGCGAAAAUCGAAGAACAAGUCCAGAUGAGGGAAAGUGGCGGAAAUUGAUUCCUAUUAGGUUUCCACUACUUCCUUAUCAAGAAAAGCCUAUAAAAGCAACAUGUCUCUACACCAUAAGCACGGAAUUUUACACCACAAAACGCGAAGAACGAAGAUCAACGAAGACUCAAGCAUAGUUUUUCAUAUUUAUUUUAUUUAUUCUAUUUUGUUUAUCAUAAGAAUUACGAGUAGCUAAGUUUUUAAUCUAGGAUUUUGUUGGAACCCUAUGUGGGGAUGGUGAACCCGUUUUCUUGAGAUUAUGCAAUUAUGAUUUUAUGAUUAUUUCUUCUACUUGUUAUAAUUGUUAGUGCAUGAACCUGAUCAAUUUAUGUGCUUUAUCUGUGAUUAUUGGGUUUGACUCGACAGAGCUAUUUUGAUAAUUAGACGGUAGUUAGAAGAGCCUUUGAGUAGUUUUCACCGGAUGAGUGUGCCAAUUGCAUGUGGUGUCGUAGACAUACAGAUAUCACCUUAGGUAGCCAUUUACGAGACUUGUUAGUUAAUGCUUUAUUUAUAAUUGGUUUGCAUAGACAUAUAGUGAAUCGUUUAUGAAUAAUAGACUCAUAAUACACGCGACAGCGGGUUAUGAGUAAAUUAGUGUCUCGGGUUAAUAAUCAUGAAUCAUAUAUUUCAUAAUUGAGGGGUUUUGGGUGAGCAAUUCUUGCAUAGGGGCAAGAUAAAAUCCUAGGUCCGUUUUUAUUGAUAUCUUCUCGUCUUUAUUUGCUUUCAUAAUUAGUUUAAUUAUUUAGUUGAUUAGAUUUGACAACUUUGCGUAGGCUGAAUAAAAAUCAUAGUUGUUAGAGUUUGGUACUUAGGAUUAGAUAAUUUGAGUAUUCCCUAUGGGAUCGACAUCCGACUCUCACGAGUCCACUUUUACUACUUGUUUGCGAUACGUGCACUUGCGUGUUAGGUAUUUAGCCCCAACACUUACUUUUCAGCCUAAAAAAAAAUUUCUCGAUUUAAAAUGCUUCCCGUAGUUUUAAUUAUCCAAAUUCAUGCAUUUCUUUUUUGACGUCCAAACACUAAAAUAUAUAUUUUUCUAGAACCACUUGUCGAUGCCACCGGUGUGUUACGUAAUAAAGUAAAAAAAUUGGCCAAGUAAUAAAGUCUAUUUAUAUCAAGGUUGUAAAAAGCGGUAAUCGGGUCGGAGGCGGUUAGGCACCGACUCACGAUUGACCGAUACGGUGGUGAUUAAUCGGUGAUAAAUCGGAAAUAAAUCGGUUUUUAAAAUUUAAUAUAAUAUAUUGUAGAUAUUAUUUAUAAAUACUCAAAACAUAUAUAAAAAUAUAUUUAAACAUAGUUAUAUCUCCAUCAUGUAUAUAUCCUAAUAACAUAAUAAACGUUGAAUAAUAAUAAGAUCAUAAUAGAUAAAAAUCCUUAUACAAUAUAAAUAAAAAGGUAGAUUUUUGGCAUUUAAAUUUAUUCUUGAACAUUCCUGACAUACAUCUUUAGGUUCUUUAACAAUAAUAAUUAACAUAAACAAAACAAAGUAUGAACUCAUAUUAUUCUAUUAAAAUCCCAAACUUUUAUUUUUAAUUAAAAAAUAAAAAAUAACAAAUAAAAUAAACCAAUUUUUGACCGAUUUUUGCCACCGAAGUUUGACCCACCUUCAACGUUGGCCUCAGUCCGCCUAAAACCGCCCCACAGGCAAAAACCCGAUUUUUCAAACAUUUACACUAACAUCGUAAAGCUUUGGGACCGCCUCCGCCUCGGAGACCGAUUAAUCGGCCGUCUCUGAUCGAUUUUUAGAAUACUGAUUUAUAUCAUAAAAAUGUAUGGGUAAAAAAGUAACUACGCUACAUAAACUAAUAGUGUUAGAGAUUUUAGGGUUGACCGUUAAGUUCAGGGCAAUUUUGUCGCAUUUUGUAGUACAAGGGUAUAAACGACAUUGAUGAUAGUACAAGGGUGCAAUUUGUAUUUAACCCUAAAAAAUAUCAGUACUCUGGGUGGAAAUUUGAACGGAAUUUUGGAUUGUCGUCGAUUCCUAUAAAAAAUUAUUAGAAUUUGGAACCCUUUUUUCUUCCGAUUUUCUCGAUAAUUUUUUGAACAGAAUCGGAAUCGCAAAUAAAAUAUCGAAAAUUAUGAUUUUCGAUCCGGCUUUAGUUUCGAAAUAUAUAAUAUAAUUUUUUAUUUAUAUUAUUUUUGGUUGGAAAUACCUUUACGCAAGAGCACGCUUCGUACAAGUAAUAUAGUGGACUAAAAGUCCGAGUAUCUAUCCCACGAGGAAUAUUCAACUAUCUAAUUCCAAGCGCUAAAUUCUCACAAUUAUGUUCAAGCCUACCCUACACAGUCGGAUCUGGAGAAGAUUAACUAAAAUAAACUAAAAUAUAAAACACAAAUAAAAAGCAAGCAAAAACAAGAAACAAAUAGCACGAAGAUUUAUCAAUUGAAAAAGCACUAGGAUUUUAUCUCCACCCUAUGUGAUUAUUGAUCUCCCAAUUCUGUCAGUUAUGCAAGCAAAUAAUAUGGAUUACUAACCUGAGAUGCUAAUUUGAGCAAGAUACCCGGCUGUUAAUUUCUUCCUCCCCAACAUUGUAUGGAGGAGCUCGUUGGCGAGAGGCGUUGCCUCUUGAAGGUGAACGUGGGUCUUGUCGCCCAGUUCGUGCAUCAUGGCGAUGAGUGGAUUGUUGCAUCCGAGACCUAGGGUCAGAGGUGGAUGCGUUAUCCGGUGGUGGUGGAGGUCGUUGUGCCUGUUGGAGAUCAAGCACGUGUACGCAACGGAAAACAAAAAUUUAUAUUUUAUUUGUAUAAACUAAUUUAUAUAAAUAAACACGUGCACAUUAAUAACAAUUAAUUGCGUACCUUUUCGCUUCCAAUCACCGACAAACAUGCUCGCAUAUAUAAAUAAUUUAAAUAACAUAAAUUAAAUCAUCAUAGCAUGCUUGCAAAAUGAAAUCAAAUAAUAAACAUGCUCAACGAAUGAUUCACAUAAACACAUUAUCGAACAUAUACAUUCAAGUGAUUCAAUAAUCAAUUAACAUACAUUAGUCUCAAUUAAUAUAAAUUAAUUAAUAUAUGCAUAUUAAUUAGGGAAAACGAGAUGUUACCCUUGAAGCGUGAAUCGAACGAAGACUCGAGAAGAUGGCUAGCUGCUCUUCCCACUCCUACUGAUCCAACCUCUUUUCUGAUCUAAAUUACAAGCCUGCUCCGACUUCAAUAUCUCCAAGAUUAUAGACUGGAUGCACGAUUCCUUUUGGCAGAUUGUAGAUUCCCGAGUUGUGAAGAUUUUGCCAAUAUUUCACGUCUAUCCAAUCACCGGUUGAUUUACGGAUAAUUUUCUCAAUGGACUGCGCAGAAAAUCCGAGAGCAGUUUUUCAGAAUUGCCUUUUCGCAUCACCGGCUUGUGGCGGCGCGUGGAGACGACCCUGGAGAAAACCCUAACAGGUCUUAAGUUGGGCUAUGCCCAACAGCUUAAGUCCACUCUCUUUCUCGGCUCGUUUCUAACAAACGAAUGCUCACAAAAAUAUAACAAUUAUAUUUUGACAACGAGCACAACUUCUCGUCGAUACGAGUACCACUUUGCAAUUUACCAAUUUCCGAAAUUGGAAACCCUAAUUUAGGACUUGCCAAAUUGGGAAACUUCCCAAAAUAGAAAGUUCACUAAAUUUCCGUUGGAUUUUUUUUCCUCUACUUUCUCUCAUCCGUAGUUAAAAAUUACGAAUGUUGGACUCAAUCACAUUGACUUCUAAUUACACUAAGACUAACUAAUUAAUCUUAGCUCGUUGCAUUAAGGAUCUCAAGUACACGAGCACUGUGACCCUCGAUGGAUCAGGUGUAAGCUAGUUGUGGGCCUACAACCCAUUGUGGUUUAAACUCUUCCCUAGAGUUAUAAUUAAGUUGAAGCUAGUUUCGACUUAACUACCCAAAAAAUAAAGAUUGGCGUCUAGCAACUGUUGGGUAACGGGCACGUGUACGCAACGGAAAACAAAAAUUUUAUGCGAUUUAAACAACUUUAAAACACAUAAACACAUGCCCGAUAAUUGAAACAAUUAAUUGCGUACCUUUGCGCUUCCAGCGAAAUUAAAAACAACAUACAUGCUUAAUUAUUCAACCGAAUUUAAAUCAAUUAGCAUGCUCGCGUUUAAAUCAAAUAACAUGCUCGCAACAAAUAAAACGAUUUCAUGUAAUCACAUAAAAUCAUACAAAACGAACAUGAACAUUUUAUUUAAACGUAAACAAAUCAACAACAAUGAAUUCGUGAGUUUACCUCUUGAAGCGUGAGGUAGGCGCACUAAGCAAGAAAACCGAUCCGUACAAUCCGGGGCAGCAGCGGCGAGACGGGCCACGGCGGCGCGUGUGACUCACGCGCGGUCUUCGGGCGGCACGUGGGGAUGCGUGCGGCUUCGGCUCGUGCGCUGCUCCUCGAUUCUUCGAUCUUCGAUCUUCCCCCUCUCGGAUUUCACCUCGUAUACUUCGAUCUAAUAAACACGUGGCACUAGACACGUAAUUGUUAGAAAAACGGAAGAAAAGAAAGAAAGAAAGGAAUACCGAAAGGGAUCGGCCAACGGAUGGCCGAUUCCGGCGAGACGGCGGCGGCGACGGCGGUGGUGGCCGCGGGAGAGAGUGGCCGAGAGAGAGAGAGGGACGGCUAGGGUUAGGGUUAGGUCUUAUGUUUUUGUGCAAGACCUAUAAAUCAAGUAUUUAUAGUGUCUUGCAUAAAACCCUAACGGGCUUAAAUUGGACCGGGCCCAACAGCUUAAGUUCGUUAGUUCUUUUACUUGCUCGUCUCUCUCAAUUCAAUGAUCGGAAAAUUGUAACGAUUACAUUUUCGGAAUCAUUAUAAUGUCCUCGUCAUUACGAGUGCCAACUCUCGAUUUCCAACUUUCCAAAAGUGGAAACCCUAAUUCAGUGCACUUUCUAAAUUUGGAAACUUCCCGAUUUAGAAAGUUCACUGAUACGUUUGCCUAUUCUUUUCCUUUUCUUAUUCUCAUUCAUAAUUCCAAAUUACGAAUGUUGGACCCAAUCAUAUUGACUUCCAAUCAUGCAAAGAUAAACAAUUUUAUCUCUGACGGUUUAUUCAAAGAUCUCAUGUGCACGAGCAGUGUGACCCUCGAUGGUUCAGGUGUAAGCUAGCCGUGGGCCCACAACCCUUUGUGGUCAAAACUCGUCCCUUAGAGUUACGAUUAAGAUGAAGCUCGUUUCACCUUAAUCACCCAACGAAUCAAGAUUGGCGUCUAGCAACUACGCGUCAUGAUUCCCUAGAUACAAAUGAAGUGCCUGCAAGAACCUUCAGAUAUAGUUAACGUACAAUACGGUCCCUUUGAUGCAUAUGUCCCGAUUGAACUAGAGGCAUUGGUUCGUCGAGACCUCUUUAUAUGUUCAAUGAUGGUGCGAUCGUGCUAAGUGUUGUAAUCGUUACGUGCAUGACUUAGAGAAUCGAAUUCUCUAAUCAUCUCUUAGUCAGCUCUGGCCAGAGACUUAGAAUGAUUACAAACUUUCAGAACACACAGGACAUCCAAGACUAUUCUAGCGAUCGAAUCCCCGACUACAAUGCACAGACCUCCCACUAGAUUUCGGACUGCACGAACACUGGCCCUUGGGAUGGUCCUCGGUGGAACUCAGGGACAGGUCACGAUACAGCUGGUCCUCUAGUGAAGUCACGGUGAUGUCUAGGUCAUAAGGACUAAUGGUGUACAACUAUACCAUAGAUAUCUCUACUCGAUUAUUGGGAACCACUUAGAGAUUUCUAGGGUGAGGGAGUUCAGUGAACUCGUCAACUUACGAGCACCCACUUAUGCAUGCCGAUAUCACAAUAUCGUUUACUGAUGAGAUGCAGUACACAUACACUAAGUGCUAGUCUCUUAAUGGGAAAGGCCGAUAUCCUCAUUGGUGGCGUAACCCUUCGACUAGGAACAUGUUUAACAGUUAUAAUACUAAAGUAAAUAUCUCACGAUCCUAACGAUCAUUUACUCGUACUUGUAAUAACUGUAAGGACUAUAUCUAUGCUUGUGACAAAGGGACAAAGAUAUAGAAUGCCAAGUUGUUUUAUCAUUAAUACGAAUAAAGGUUCGUCUAUUACAAUAAUAAAUACGAAAGACCACAGCCACAUGUUGGCUUGUUGGUCACCUACUCUAACAGCAACUACGCGUCAUGAUUCCCUAGAUACAAAUGAAGUGCCUGCAAGAACCGUGUGAUAUAGUUAACGUACAGUACGAUCCCUUCGAUACAUAUAUCCCGAUUAAACUAGAGCAUUGGUUCAUCGAAACCUCUUUAUAAGUUCAAUAACUGUGUAGACGUUCUUGAUUAUAUAAUUCGUUCGUGUUUGACUUAGAGAAACAUAUUUCUCUAAUCACGACACUUUCAGUUAUAUCCAUGAAUCGUAAGAAUACACAGGAUAUCCAUGACUGAUCAAGCGAUCGAAUCCCCUACUACAAUGCACAUACCUCCCACUAGAUUUCGGACUGCACGAACACUGGCCCUUGGGGCGGUCCUUGGUGGAACUCAGGGACAGGGCAUGAUACAACUGGUCCUCUAGUGAAGUCACGGUGAUGUCUAGGUCUUAAGGAUUAAUGGUGUACAACUAUAUCAUAGAAACCUCUACUCAAUUAUUUGGAACCACUUAGAGAUCUCUAGAUUGAGGGAGUUCAGUGAAAUCGUCAACUUAUGAGCACCCACUUAUGUAUGCCGAUGUCACAACACCGUUGACUGAUGAGACGCAGUACACAUACACUAAGUGCUAGUCUCGAAUGGGAAAGGCCGAUAUCCUCAUUAGUGCCGUAACCCAUUGACUAGGAAAUAUGUUUAACAGUUACUAUACUUAAUUAAAUAAUCUCACGAUUCUACUGGAUCUAUUUAUAGUAAUGAAGUAACUGUAAGGACUAUAUCUAUGCUUAUGCAAGGGACUGAUACGACAUAUAAUUUAAUAUAUUACUUAUUUAUUGUUUAGUUAGUAUUUUAUUAUUAAUAAUUAAUUAAAGUAGUAUAGGUAGUUUUAUAUUACCGUGUGUUUAGUAUUUAGGAUAGAUAUUAAGUAUUUUAUUAGGAUAGGUAAUUAUCUUUCCUAGUUAGAUUAGGAUUCUAGGGUUUUAUUCUCUUUAAAUAGUCGUAUUGUGCUAGGGUUUUAUAAUGCAGAGAGAAAUAUUAAAGAAUAAAUCUUACAUUUCGUAGGAAAUAUUUAUGAUACACAAGCGAUCGCAUCAAUUGGUAUCAGAGCGAAGUUGCGAUAACACCAACGCUUCGUUAGCAAAGCAGAGAUUACAUCAAAGCUACGCUGGAGCAAAGUUGAGAUCACAUCAAAACUUUGUGAAAAUCAUGAUGUCAGAAACAAGACGGUUGGAGCGAUUGGAAAAAUCCGUAGAGAAAUUACGGAUUCAUUUUCAGAAAUUGCUCGAACAAAGUCAAGGAAGACGUCAACGCCAUCACAAAAGCCGAAGGGACCGCUGCCCGUCACCGCCACGACCAUCGCCACCACUGCCGCAGUCGAGCCUAUCGUCGGAGGGAGAGGAAGAGGACGACGAUGACUUUUUCGAAGAACACCAAAUUUUUGUGAGUUCGCCAGAAGAAGAAGAAUCGGAUUCAAUUGAGAUAAAGUGGGACGAAGAGCCGAAAGAAGAAGAAUCGGAGUCAACUGAGAUAAAGUGAGACGAAGACGAGAAAUUAACGAAGGAGGAGAACGAAGAAUUGCAUGAAAUUUUGAAAGAAUUUCAUAAUUUUAAGGAAGAUCCAAUUUUACAUGAUGAGAAUUCGGUGGAAUUAGUUGUUUAUUGUGAAGAGGAAAACCACUCCAAGUUAUCUAGUUUUUGUCUGGCUAAAGUGGAUCACUUUGGAGACCAGGUUCAUGAUUCCCCCGAGAAAGAUGACUUCACUCAUAAAAUCAAGAACGAUGGUCACGUGCUUGUGAAAAUUGGUCAAGCAAAGAAAUACAUCUUGCUCGGAAAGAAAUUUAAUGGCGUCAAGCAUAGAUGGAAACACAAAAAAGAGAGACAAUUAUUGGGCAGAACCUUGAGGACAAGGUUCAUUUCAAGCGGGGUGGAUUGAUACGACAUAUAAUUUAAUAUAUUACUUAUUUAUUGUUUAGUUAGUAUUUUAUUAUUAAUAAUUACUUAAAGUAGUAUAGGUAUUUUUAUAUUACCGUGUGUUUAGUAUUUAGGAUAGAUAUUAAGUAUUUUAUUAGGAUAGGUAAUUAUCUUUCCUAGUUAGAUUAGGAUUCUAGGGUUUUAUUCUUUUUAAAUAGUCGUAUUGUGCUAGGGUUUUAUAAUGCAGAGAGAAAUAUUAAAGAAUAAAUCUUACGUUUCGUAGGAAAUAUUUAUGAUACACAAGCGAUCGCAUCAGGGACAAAGAUAUAGAAUGCCAAAUGGGGUAUUUAUCAUUAAUACGAAAUAGAUUAUUUACGAGUAGCGUGAGAAAACCCGACAAUUAGUUGGCUCUUCGGUCACCUACUCUAACGGUGCCACUGGUGGAGUUGCAGGGGGAGCGUUAACUCCCAUUGUGGCGAUGUAUUGUGCCACUUCUUCAGUGGCAGCACGAGUUGAAGCUUCCGCAAUCAUGUGUUGGAGGGGCUCUUCAGUUAUCUGAACCGUUCGAUGAGCGGAGAGUGGUGGAUCCUGCGGGGGAUUUAUCUGAACAUCACGAGGUGGAUUCUGAUUAUGAUGAGGAAGUGGCAAGCCAGAGCCUCCGCGAGGUGGGAGGUUGUUAGCAUUGUCACGUUCUCUUCGAGUAGAUGACUCAGGGACAUCAUGUGCGCUACGUGAUCUUGUACGCAUUCCCACAGACGGCGCCAUUAUGAUGAUGCUAUAAAUAGAUCACCUUAAGUAGUUGAGGUAGAAGGAGUUGGGAGAGCAAAGUGGAUCACUGCUCACGUGCUAGAUGGUCCUGAGAUACAGAGAACACAUGAACUAGGUCGCGACGGAAACCCCUCUGACGCUCAAGUCAGACGUGCGGAUAGUAGAAAUAGUUGAAAGGAUACGAAUUGUAGAAUUGUCCAGGUAAUAGGGCAUACACGCUUUCCAGAUGCAGGGUAUGCCAACUAUCAAAGGGGCAGACACAGAAUACAAUACUAUACACCCCUUUACCUUUUCCAGUAGCGCCUUGGACUGAUAUCAGCAUGGAUGUGGUGCAGGGCUUGGUAACGAUUCUAUUUUUCUGGUAGUAGAUCGGUUUUCUAAAGAGGCUCACCUUAUUCCUUGAAAGAAGACUUCCGAUGCUAUUCACAUUCACAUUGCAUACCAGUUUCUUAAGAGGUUGUCAGGUUGCAUGGGGUACCAAAGCAUUUAAUAAAUGAAUUAAAUCGUUAUUUAUACCUUGUCGAUUGGGCUGAGGUUAAUUUCUUGGGCCCAAACCUUAUUUGAAGGUGAUUGAGCUUUCAUUAUAGUGUUCUUCUAAAUCGGGCUCGUAGCCCAGUAGAUAGAGAAAUUGUAAGCUUAUUGAGCUUGCCCAAUUAAGCAUAUAUAUAUAUAUAUAUAUAUAUAUAUAUAUAUAUAUAUAUAUAUAUAUAUAUAUAUAUAUAUAUAUAUAUAUGCAAAUUGAUCAGGGAAAAGAGUUUUUGUUCACCUGAAACACCGAGUCUCAAGCCACAUGCAGAUGCUCCGACGCUCAAGUUCAUUGGAGGAAUACAAUUCAAGAAAGAGUAAAACGAAGAGAAAAUAACUUAGGAGAAAGAGAGAGCGACGUGUAUGUGUUUUGUUCUAGAACCCCUCUUGAGUAUGCCAAAGAGAACUGAUCAAAUUCAGUUUCAAAAAAAAAAAAAAAAAGACAUUGAAAUUUCAGAAUUUGGAAUUAAAAUUUUGUGUUUGAAAUUGAUUUAUUUGUUAGUAAGAAAAUUUAUCUUAUUAGUUUUGAAUUUCCUCUAAAGAAUGAGAGCAAUUUAUGGCUAUAUUUGUUUAUAUACCAAUUUUAACAUUUCCGGUCAUUUAUAAGUAUAACAAAAAGUGAAACUACUCCAUCGAGUUUGAUUUCUAGAAUAAAGCUCGUUUGAGUUCAACUCGAUUAACGAUCAAAAUAAACUCAAACGGAAAAAAAUUAGCACAAAACCCCAUGUGGAAACUAGUCAAUGCCAAGAAAGACCCUACGAGCUCGACGCACGACACACUCGUGGUUUGAGUGACUGGGCAUGUGUUUUUAGACCUAAAAAGACCAAAAUACCCUUUAAAUUAGAAAUUCCAAAAAUUACAAAUUCACCCCACAUUUUUCAUAAGUCUAAUGAAGUUUUCCAAAUUUUUAAUUCAGCCCCAAACAUUUUCAGAAUUGCCCCUCUUGAACCUCAAGAUCAAAGCUUCCUUUCCGGCCCAAAAAAUUAUGUCCGCCACACCUUUUCAUAAGAUUUGAACCAUAAACAUCUCAGCCCGACACCUUUUUAAAUGCUCUGACCAAGUCUCGUAGAUAUAAAGUCGCAUUUACGGUUUUAAUAAAGACGCUUAAACGCUUUCUAUCGAUAGUAAGUAAUUUCUAUACUGUAAUUAAUAGAGUUUUUUUUUUUUUUUGAUAAGUAGUAACUACUAGAGUUAGUUAGUUAGUUAGUUACGUUGUAUAAUAAAUACUGUGUAGAAGAUAAGCUGAAACCCAAUUUCAUUUAACAAACUAGAGGUUAUCAAAUUAAAAGCUCAAUAGUGUAAUCAUAAGAAAUAACAACAUUAUCAUCAAUAACCAAAUUGUUUAGUUAACAAUUUCAUCUAUAGUCCAUGGUAAAGAAUUACGAUUAUCGUGCAACAGCUUCGACGGAGAUUUCUAUAUCUAGCUGACAACAGUUUUUCUCAUUAAUAAAUCCUUUUAUAGGAUCAUUAAUAGUCGCAAGCUUCAUGAAAGAAUCCCAUCCCCAUUUAUUGGACGUGGAAUCCGAAAACCAUUGAGUACCUGCAAAUAAACAUUGCGAAUUAGAUUGAAAAAAAACAAUAAUAUAUUAUCUCAUAUUAUGAUCCGACUAACAUUGUGGUCGAACUUAGUAUAAUUUUAUCGAAGGCAUGUUUUUUUUAUAAAUUCAAUCCCAAAAUCCCCAUAUGUAUUGAUUUUAUCGAAGAGUAGCAAUGUAUGGCAGUGGAUUAUAUUGCAAACAUGAGCAAGUGAAAGAAACCACUUACUACUUUUUAUUUUGUGUUUUUCGGAAACUUGGUUUUUGAUCCGUAUAGUAAAACAUGCUUUGACACUCUCGGAACCAAUGUAGUACAAAAAGAUAGAUACGCCAUUGCCCUUUGCUCCUCCACAUCCUUUUGUAUGAAGCAAAACAUUCCUAAUUAUUUCAUCAACAAAACUCAAGUUAGUAUAUAUUCCAAGUGCAAGAAUAAUAUGCAAAGUUCGAAAAAAGAUAAUUGUAAUCCAUUAUAAUAGUAAAGAGUUUACUGCAUUUAGUUCCCUUGUAUUAUAUCGAAUUGCUAAAAAAAAAUAUCACCGGAUAUAAAUGUUAGCAAAACCACCCCCACAUUUUUGCCUACAAAAACAUAAAACAUGCUUUUUUCGGGGUACUUUGUUAAUAAAAUUGAAUCACAGGGUGUUUUGCUAAUAUUUAUAACACGUAGUGUCUUUUAACAUUUAUAAUAAACAAGUCACUACAAAAACUAAAUCUUUUAGUGACAACACCUAUUUUUCACAUAAUUAGACAAAAAAUGUUGUCAAUAGGCUUGUUACUAAUGGGGUAUGGUGCCUCUAAUGCUCUAUAGUGACAAUAGAAAAGGAUUAAGUGACAACAAAAAUAGCUAUUAGUGACAAAAAAAAUAUUAUCACUUAAUUAAUGUAUGCAUAUAUCUAAUGACAACUUUUGCAUUUGUAACAAUUGGGGUGUCGCUAAUGCAACAUGUAGUGAGUGUUAAAUAAUAUUAACCCUAAUAGUAUACCAUUUUUUGCCUCCUGCUUUGAAUGUUUCAGACUUCCAAACAUCUCCCAAUUUGGAGAAGUUUCGAAUCUUCCAAUCACGUUUGUAAGGAGUUACGGUUUUCUUCAGAGACAAACAUCCGGUCUUCAGAGACAAACAUCCGGUCAACGCAUUAGUAUUGACCACAAAAACCUCAGCACCAAACACACACUUGUCAUCAACUAGGUAUCCGUUCGAUGGUUCAGACAUAACUUUCUUAGAGAUAAAUUUAGAAAAUCCCCAUUCCGACUUCAUUGUUUGGAAACGUCUUGUUAUUCCUGCCCAAAGUGACAUGGGCAAAUAAGUAAUUUCACAUUGUGACCGAAAGACGUUGGUUCGGUUAUUAUUUUGAAUAGGCAUCGAUCGAACAAUAAUAAUAAUACCUAGUGAACAAAGAUAGUUGCCGGAAUUUUGAUUAAAGAGAAAGAUGCUAAAGACAGCAUUAACUACCCGGUUUGCGGAUAGUGAACUAUUUUCCACCAUAGCCAAAUAUACAGAAAUAUGGUUCUUAUCAUUUCCGACAUUGUCGUCUCCAUCGGGAUAGAUUAUUAGUCUCCUGUAAUUAGGUUAGAUUUUCUCAUUAAACAACUAAUGUAAUUUAAUUUCAUAAUUAAUGACAAUACAAAUAUACAAUAUACCACUUGUGAUUUCCAGCGACGAAUUCCUUAGUCUCGUAUUUCUGAAUCCCACAACUUUCGAGCAAGGAGAACGAUUUAAUCUUGAAUAAAAAAUGUGCAGGUGGUACUUCUCUUGUUUCCAUGGCCGUUAAUUCUAAAAGCAUCAAUAGAAUCAAAUAAUUCGAGUUCGUAACGUACGUAUUUCCAUUUAAUAUAAAUAUUAGGACAAAGAAAAUAAAAAGACCAUAUAUUCAUAGUUUUGUGAGAGUUUUCGUACCAUGUAUCAAAGAUAUCUUGGUUCUUUUCAACUAAUAAUUGUUUAUUCAAUAUGUUUUUAUUAUUCAAGAAAUCAUCUUAAAAUAACGACUGAAUAUUCCUUAUUUUCCGAUUAAUUUACAAAGGAAGGUAAUUAAAUAACUAAGGAAAUAAAAUCCCAUGCAUGCAAAACUAAUAACUAUGGAAAUCUUCGUGUUACCAUUUGAUUCAUUGAAAUCUUGAAAUAUUGUUAGUAUAUCUGUUAUAGUUUUAUGUUUAUUUGACCAGAAAAAAAAAAAAAAAAAAAAAAAAAACUGAAAUGAUGUUUACAUAGUGAAAAUUUGAUAGAUCACAUAGUAAUUUCAAUAUUUAUUAAUUUUCAUAUUUUAGAACCUUGCUUUCUCUAAAAGUAGAUCUCCCAAGCAAAAAAAUAUCUGGCGGCUAAUUUUCGAUUCAUACGAACAAAUUUGAGGUAAUUUUAUAUUUUUACGAUUCGUGAAUUAUGUAUGUCUCGAAUAAAAAAAAAAAAACAAAAACCAAUUAUGCUACUUCCGCGUUGUUCAACACGAUACCCAGUUUUCAAUUUCUUUGUUUUGUUUUUUAAUUCCGUGUUGUUUAACAUGGAAUCCCAAAUUGCAUAUGGGGAUUUCGUGUUGACAAACACCAAAUAACCAAAAACAAAUUCUUAUAAAUAAAAAGAAUACUUUAUCUGGAAAUCAAAAUAAUCGUCGUCCAUUUGGUUAUUGUCGCUUACUAGUUCAAUAAAAUCCGAAAAACGUAACAAUUUGAUAGAUUGAAGAGAAAAUUUGUUAAAUUUUAGAAAUUUUUGGAAUUACGUUGAAAAUUACUCUGCAACCUAUCAAAAGCCCUUUUGCGUCAAAUAUACAAAAUUAUAGUAUUUUGAUAUUUUCCAACAAUAUUGUUGUCUUCGUUAGGAUAAAUUAUCAGUCUCUUGUACAAGUUCAAGCAUCAUUGAAUUACUUAUUUAUUAAUAUAAUAGUUGUACAUUUCUUCUAUAUAAGAUGGACAACUACUUUUUUUUGGCUGAAAUUAAGGCAAUACGUAAGGGAAAAUUACAGUUUUCACCCCUCAAGUUUGCACCAAUUUCACAUUUGGUCCGUAAUGUUCACAAAAAAAUAUAUUUGGUCCAUCAUGUUUCAAUAAUUUAACAUUUGUCCUUUCCUUCAAUUUACCAUUAGUCGGAUAGUUAAGGCAAUGAUGGGUACACAUUUGAUUCCGUUAGUACUAACGGAAAAUUAACGGAAAUGACUGAAAGUGUUUAAUUUUUGAAACAUGAGGAACUAAAUGUAAAAUCAGUGCAAACUUGAGGGAUAAAAAAAACUGUAUUUUUUUAAAUAUGAAAAUAAUCUAUCCCUGGAGAUCCGCCCCUGGAGUCACGAACAUCAACAAAUUGCUUGUCUCCUAAUUAUCCUUUUGUAGUAGGAGUUUUUUAAUUUCAGUACAAUGACCUUUGGUUUACUUACUUUCUAUAAAAUUCGUGCAUAAGGCGGAUACAAGUUAUGUAUCACGGACGCCAGAAACAUCGACUCGGGUAAUCGGGGAAACAAUUUUUCUGGAAAAUAAGGAUAUGGGAGCUUCGAAAAAAUGCGUAAAAAUUAAAAUUAUCGGGUAAAUUUAUAAAUAUACUAUAUAUACAUAUACAAGUUUUUAUUUAUCUAUAAAUUCUUUUUAUAUAUUUUCAUAAACAUAUUCAAAAUAAAUUUUACUAUCGACAAUCAAUUUGCAAUUGAUCAUUAAAUCGUGUAAAUAAUUAGGAAAACAACAAAAAUAUUUGGAAAUUUGCUAUUCAAACAUGUUUCUAACUUUUUAGAAAUUGCAAAAUUACCCAUAAGUUUGGUAGGUGUCGAGUGUUCGAUACGAAACGUGUCCGAAACGCGAAAACGUUAAGAAAUUAAAGUUGAAGUUUCUGUACUACAUAGGAUACAAGUAUACUCAUAUUAGAUAAACCAAGAUAAUAGCCAAUAUUGUCACAAUUGCGGACUGCUAUGAGAAAUAAUUUGGCAAACUAUAAUUCAAGAAAAAAACACAACAUCAUUCAAUCAUAUACACUUUAUAUAACCUUUUUAAAUUAUAUAAUACCAGUCAUUGUUCCUAGGCUUGCCUCCCUUAUUAACCAAUUACCACCAUCAAGCUAUGCUGCACGGACACUGAUACGCGGACACGGCGAUACGCUGAUACGGACACAGUGAUACUGCAUUUCAAAAAAACUAGAAUACGGACACGCGGGGAUACGCGUAAACAUAAAAAAUAUAGGGGUAUAUUUACAAAUUAUUAAAAUAUAGGGAUACAUUUAUAAAUUGUAAAAAUAUAUUUAUAAGUCACCAAAUCGAAUAAGAGAGCCGCUCGGCCUUGCUGUUGGUGUUCUUGGUCACCGUUGUCGCUAGAUUUUUGGACUUUGGGUGGACUCUCAAAGAAGACAGGCAAAAACCCGAUUUUUCAAACAUUUACACUAAAAUCGUAUAGAUAUGGAACCGCCUCCGCCUUGGAGACCGAUUAAUCGGCCGCCUCGGCCAAUUUUUAGAACACUGAUUUAUAUCAUAAAAAUGUAAGGGUAAAACAGUAACUACGCUAUAUGAACUAAUGGUGUUAGAGAUUUGAUGGUUGACCGUUAAGUUGAGGGGCAAUUUUGUCGCAUUUUGUUGUACAGGGGAUGUACGAUAUUGAUGAUAGUCAGAGGUGCAGUUUGUAUUUAACCCUAAAAAAUAUCAGUACACUGGGGUGGAAAUUUGAACGGGAUUUUCGAUUGUCGUCAAUUCCUAUAAAAAAUAUUAGAAUUUGGAACCCUUUUUUCUUCCGAUUUUUUCGAUUAUUUUUUGAACGGAAUUGGAAUCGCAUAUAAAAUAUCGAAAAAUCUGAUUUUCGAUCCGAUUUUAGUUUCGAAAUAUAUAAUAUAAUUUUCUAUUUAUAUUAUUUUUGGUUGGAAAUACCUUUAUGCAAGUGCACGUAUCAUACAAAUAAUAUAGUGGAUUAAAGGUCCGAGUAUCGAUCCCACGAGGAAUAAUGCACUUCCUAAAACUAAUAGUCCUUUAGAAAUCUAUCGGAGUAGUGUAUCCAAUGCAUUUUCCCGUUAGAGUUUCUAACAAUGUUUAGGGGGUGGUUGUAAUUAUCGAUAUCACAAAAAUCUUAAAGUUAUUUUAGCAUAUUCCAAAGGUGUAAGUGUAAUUUACCCAUUUAUUAAUGGUAUAUUAAGAGUUUUGUUGAUGCUACACCCAGUGAAAUACACUUGGUGAAUCUUAUCCGGGUAUAGUAUUUCAUAGACCGUGCACUUUAAAUCAUUAAAGGAAAGAAAAAUGAGCAGAUCUACAACAUGACAAGUGUAUUCAUGAAACUUCUAUAUGCCGGCCACAUUUAAGUGUGUCGUUAACAUAUAUUGUUUCUCUCUCUAUAAUUUCAAGACUCUUUUGGUAGAAAUACAGUAGAACCUUUAGAACAGGUCCGAGUCAAAUAGCAAUGACUCAAAGCCUUUCUCUUUUACGCUGUGUUGGAAACCCAAAGACUCAAUCAUAUGUAAAAUACAUGAAUACAUUAACAAUCUUGUUUAAAUAAUAUUUUUUUUCCGGUCCCUAUUUCGUUGUAAACAUAUGAAAUUAUUAGUUCGAUAAUAUAUUAUUUCGGUAAAUUAAUAGAAUUUUACUUGUCUUGGUUGUAUUAAUUUAUAGAGAUUUAAUUGUAUAUAUGACUUAGUGACGAACUAAAAACCUCAGUUAGUAUAAAUAUUAAUUUCAAGAUAUAUGAAAAACUUUUGAAAAGCAAUGUUAAGCAGUUAAUAUUAGCUUAUUCCAGUGAAAUGUUUAAAAUAUCCAAAUAAAAAGGUUCAGAUAAAAAUAAUUAGGUUACAUAUGAAUGUACAAAACAAUUGAUAGUUAUUGGCAAAAGUGCUUUAAAAUAAAUAUAUAUACAUAAAAUAUAAAAAUAAAUAAAAGUAAAAAUAAACAAUAAGCUACCUCAUAGUCUCAUACAUACUUUUGAGAUAUAUGUUAAAACAACAUAUUUUAGAUUAAGCAAAACUAAAAUUGAUUUUGAAAACACUUAAAAACUAGGAAAACACGUAAAAUUGGUCUCCAAUACCUUUUUAAUUCACAAACUUGAAACCUCAAAUUACUCUAAGUACUACUAAGAGCGUUAUUUCAUCAAAUCAACUUUAUCAAUGGGAAAUCCACUAUUGGGCAAACUAGUGUAAGUUAUUCAAUCUAAUAAACAAAAUAAUAUUUAACUUUUUCUUUUUUCCAAAAAGGGUAAUAACAAAUAGGCCCAUGACAAUGACACUUAAUUAAAAGAGGGACAUCCAACUUUUUUAUCUUUCAAAUAAAUCCAGCCCAUUCAAACUUAUUUGCAAAUAAGGAAAAUCCUUUUAUAUAUACCAAAAUUACCCCAAAUUCAUUGAAACUCAAUUUAACUCCAAUUUCAUGAUUUACAUCCCAAUUUAGCCCAAUUUCAUCAAUUAACCAAUUUUAACCCUAAUUUCAAUUUUGACCCGCCAACACCGAAGACCGCCGGUCGCCGCCGUUGACCUGCGUUGACUUUUUUUUUUCUUUUUAUUUUUUAUUUUUUAUUUUUUAUAAUUUUGUUUUUUCUUAACUGUCUCCCGUAGUUAUUUAACUGUCGGAGACAGUAAUUUAACUGUUAAUUGACUUUUUUAUUCUUAAAAAAAAUAUUUUUAAUUAAUAUUACUGUAUUCGUUGCUAAAUUACUGUCUCCGGCAGUUAUUUAACUGUCGGAGACAGUAAUUUAACUGUUAAUUGACUUUUUUUUUUCCUUAAAAAAAAUUAUUUUAAUUAAUAUUACUGCCUUGGAUGUUAAAUUAUUGUCUCCAACAGUAAUUUAACUGUCUUAGACAUUAAUAUUAAUAAUAUUACUGUUCGGAAAAAUAAUAUUCAUAAUAUUACUAUCCCAAACAGUAAUAUUACUGUCAGAGACAUACUGUCAGAGGCAGUAAUUUAGUAGCCAAGACGGUAAUAUUAAUUAAAAUAUUUUUUUUCUAAGAAAAAUAAUAAUAAAAAAAAAAGUCAAUGCCGGAGACCGGCCGGAAAAAAAAUUUCAGGAAAAAAAUAAGUUUCAAAAAAAAAAAAAAAAACUUCAACGCCGGAAUCUGGCCGGAAAAAAAAAUAUUUCAGAAAAAAAAUUAUUUUCUAAAAAUAAAAAACUUUUGGGGGUUAAUGUGAUAUAUUUGUUUAAAUUCGGGGUCAAUGUGUAAUAUUAAGGAAGUUAGAGUAUAAUGGUUGGAAUUGAUAAGAAUUAUAUUAUUGAGGGUAUUUUAGACUAAAGACAUGGGGAUGAGCUAAAUUGAGAGACUGUUUUUUUUUGUGGACCAAAAUGCAUUUAAGUCCCAUGUGAUGAGUAUUUUUGCCAUUUGCCCUUCCAAAAAAGCUUUAUUAUUUCUGUCUUAAAAAAAUUGGGGCAUCAAUAAAACCUCGCGGGCCUAUAUAAGGAAAAAGAGCGUCCCUACAAUGGCAAUAAAAAGUCAGAGAAAACGUAACUAUUCUACUACAACAAAACCCCAAAUAGGGGAGGAAAAGAAACAAACUAAAAAGAGCUAUUCUAGAUAAACUACAAGUGCUGAUAUUGUCAAGAUGACUCCCACCAAGGUCCAAAAUGUGAAUUAUAAGAGUGCUGGAAUUGCAAAACUGCCCCCACCAAGACUGAAAAUUGCAAACAACCAAAAUUUCCAUGCAUGCCAUCUGAGCCGAUCACUGAAGCUCAUUUGCAACGUGACGCUUUACGAAACCGAGGAGUUCCUAGGACUAAUAACGAUCUAAUACGACUAGGCAAAUCCGCUAUCACUAUAUAUUGAUUCAUCUCUUUGUGAUCUUGUGCCGAUUUAGCUAAUUCAUCUGCCACCAUGUUCCCCUCACGAUAAGUAUGCACCACUUGCAAUCAUCUUUCUUGAGCAAUCUUGAUGAAUCAUAUCGAUAACCAAUUUAGAACCCGACUCCACAAUAACUUGUGCAAAACCCAUCUCCUGACAUAUUCAUAAACCAUCUAAAAUAGCCUGGGCUUCUGCGAAAAUAUGUGUGCCUUGCCCGUAGAACUUCAAGAAACCGCGAAUAAAGGAAACACCAUGGCUCCGAAAAAUCCACCACCCGGGCAAACUUCCCCUUUCCCAGAGGCAUCUACGUUAACCUUGACUUGAAAUGGGGGGCGGAGGGAACAAAACAACAUCAUUCCAUGAAAAAUCACUUUUGGCAAACUAUAGUUAUUUAUGUAUAUGUGAGAUUAAGGUGGUGUUUGCUAAAAUUGUUUUUGAAAUAAACUAUGAGCUUUUUUAUGUAUAUAAUUGUUUUUAGGUGUUUGCAAAACAAGUUUUUGUUUGUGCUUCUCUUAAAAUAAGCCGGUUUGGCUAUAACAUAUCAUAUCAAAUCAGAAUAAAAAUAUUGCUAGCAACUCGAAGACUAUGACUACAUAUACCCCCUUGUAUCAAAUUCAGAAGCUACAUUACCCUUGUAACGAGGUCGGAAACUCCAUUACCCUUGCACAUGUUUUUUUUUUAUUUAGUUGAUUUUCCUGCUGAAUUGCAGACACCCCAAACUUUUACAAAUAAACACUUCAUCCCAACUUAAUUCACGAUCACUGACUUCUGCUUUUAAUUACGAUUUUGCAAACACCACCUAAACUUUCUGUUUAGUCUUGCGCUUCACCAAAACAAUCGAAAUCAACUAUAUGUUCCAUUUCCUAAAGCAGUCGUCUUUUGGAUUCUAAACAAAAACAUACAGUCGGUACACAAAUUGAACCUCGUCAUUUGGCAAGAUACACAACGGGGUAAAGUAAUAAUCAGAAAUUCUUGAUAAACACCUCCGAGUGUCGGAUAGAUAAGAAACAGUGACAUAUUUAGCCCAAGAUCACUUGCACGCCAUACUCAUUCCAAUUCCCCAAGAUCACUUGCACGCCAUACUCAUUCCAAUUCCCGAUAUCUUACCCAAUAGUAACAUUUUCAGGAUAGUCGAAAUACGCACGAAGGCACCCCUCUAAGAACUCCCAAUCUGGGGCAAAGCGAACCCUCCAAAUAUUUAGGGUGUUACAUCUUUGCAUCGGCUUCUACUUUUCUCUCAACUUUUCGGUUUUGUUUUGUAUGAAGAAGAAUGGGCUUGUUUUUUAUACGAGGAAGGAUGUCGAUAAAUCCUAAUAAAAAAUAAGUAAUAAGUAAUACCUAGGACUGACUAUUAUCUUAUAUAUAAAGGGGCGGCUAAAACAAAGACCAAUUCUUUCUCACUUCAAUACCACCGCAAUAAAUAAUAAGUAAUAAAUAGGUAAUGACGUCAAUACCCUUACUGAAAAUCAAUAUCUCACAAACACAAAUGGAAAAGUUAAUGGAGCCAUGGAAACAUCUUCUCUUAGCAAAAAAUUAUGAUUAAAAAAAAUGACUAAUUUUAAUAAACAGUAACCUAUGGAUUCUAAGCAGAAACAACUUUAAAAGAAAGCAAUAUUAUCCGGUACAAGUGAGACUAAACUUUCCGUGUAGACCUCCACUUCAUGAACACGAUCACGGUCAAAGUUAAUUGUGUGUCGUUGCCUAACACACCCGUCUUUCUUAUUGUAAAUCAAAAAAUCCGAUCCGGAUGUAAACAGAAUCUCGCCAAUUGGCAAAAGAAACAACGGGGUUACGCGAUUAAACAUUCUCGUGAAUGAAGAGUUCUCAAAAAACGGAUAGAUAAGAUAUAGUCAACAAUCGUGACCACGAAUCUUCCAUCCCGUAUUCGUUCCAAAUCAAUAUCUCGAACCCGACGGUUAGAGCGCAGUCGAAAGACAUACAAAGACAUCCCUUGAAAACUCCGAGCCUCGGAAUGUAACAACCCUCCAUACAACUAGGUCGUUCCACGGUUCCGAAACUCUCGUUCGUCAAAUCGAAACAAACGAUUUCCCAUUUCAAUUUCGUUUUAUAAUAGUUUAUCCAAUGAAGCUUCCCACUCACAAACUUCCCUUGACCUAUUGUCCAUCUAUCCUCGAAGAACGCGUUAACUCCCCAAGAAUCGGUUUUGAAACUAUACACUCUCGCCACGGAUUUACUAGGAAAACCGACAUCUCGAUCGUACGGUGAUGUCAUCGAAAAAACGGCGUAAACCUUGUAAUCACAACUACUCUCAUCGAAUCCAAAGCCAUAUCCACUAAUAGAACCGAGAUUCUUCGGGCAUGUCGUUCCGGUAAAGAAGUCGGGCAAUUCCUUGAACUCCCUUGUCGAAGGAUUCAGCAAGAAAAACCGACAUGCGUCGACUAGAACGCAGAUCAAACCGUUGCAUGAACCGACGAUAACUAUAUCUCUCGAACUAUUCAUCGGAAAGAAAUCGAAAGAAACGGCGCGGGUUAUCGGUUCGGUCAGCAAGGAGGACAGAGAACAUGCCUUUAGUCUGCCUGGACAUGAUGAUUUCGAAGAGUUCUUACAGGUUGAGAUGACUCUUUUGUCGGUGAAAGAUUCGAUCUUUUUCGAGUGUUGGAGAUGGGUUUCGAUGAAUUGUUUGGUGGAGAUCAAUGAACGCCAUGAUGGGGAAACACACUUGAAUCUCAAGAGAGAUUUUACUGGGAGUAUGUACAAUAUUUCUUCGAUGAUUUCUUCCGGAAGAUGAUGGCUGAUUUGUUCAGCCUUGCCGAUCUUCAUUAGCGGCAGCGGCGGCGGCGGUGGUUUAUGAGUUCGGCCGUACGAGGUUCUUGUCGUACGAUGAAAGCCACCAAAUUAGGGUUUUGUUUUCCCGUUUUGGGAAGUUUGAGGUUGUUGUGUUGUACAAGGAAUCCAGUCUAUGGUUUGGAUUAGGGAAACCCAAACACAAUUUUCUUUUCUUCUUCUUUAUUAUUAUUUUGUUUCUUUUUUUAGAAGACCAAACACAAAUUAAAAUAAAUUAAAAAUGUUCCCAAUUCCCAACUCAUUCACUAUCAUUUAGCUCAAAAUUCAAAUGCAAAUUCACCUGUUAGAGUAUAUAUAUUUUGCAUGUAUAUAUUAUAUAUAUAUUUUUUUUAGGGAUUUUUAUGCAAAAGUCCCCAACCAAGCAUGUUUAUUAUUCUAGGUUUAGGGGACAUAUCUCUUUUACCAAUAAGCCCAUCCCUUUAAUAUUUAUUAUAACUAAAGGAAACAUUCAUGUAUAUCCCAAUAUUACCCUCAACUAUUUAUACCCAAUUCUUAAUUGUAAUCCAAAUUAAUCAAUUUUGUCCAUAAAAGUUCAAUUUUGACCACAAAAAUUCAAUUUUGACUUUUUUUUGGAGUAUAAUUUAAUAUGCUCCAAUUUCAUCCUUAACUUAAUUUAAUCUCAAUUUGACCCCCAAUUUCACAAAUUAUUAAAUUUUGACCCAAAAUUUUUUUUUUCAAAAAAUAUUUUUUUUUUCAAAAACUUUUUUUUUGCCGCCGGUCUCCGGCGUUGACUUUUUUAAUUUUUUUUUUUUUUUUUUUUUUCUUUCUUCCGGAUUUUUUCGCCGGUUUCCAGCGUUGACCGGCGGUCAACGCCGGUCUCCGGCGUUGACUUUUUUUUUUUUUUUUUUUCUUCUUCCGGAUUUUUUUUUCCGCCGGAUUUUUUCGCCGGUUUCCGGCGGUCUCUUUUUUUAGUGUUUUUUUAAGUUUUUUGUUUUGUUUGGUUUGUUUUGUUUUUCCACGUCCGCCGCUAAACGUUGACCGAAAUUGUGCUGUCACUGACAGGAAAUUAACGUAAUUAUACUGUCAAUGAUAGUUAAUUAAACGUAAUUGUACUGCCGUUGAAAUUACAUUUAUGUANNNNNNNNNNNNNNNNNNNNNNNNNNNNNNNNNNNNNNNNNNNNNNNNNNNNNNNNNNNNNNNNNNNNNNNNNNNNNNNNNNNNNNNNNNNNNNNNNNNNNNNNNNNNNNNNNNNNNNNNNNNNNNNNNNNNNNNNNNNNNNNNNNNNNNNNNNNNNNNNNNNNNNNNNNNNNNNNNNNNNNNNNNNNNNNNNNNNNNNNNNNNNNNNNNNNNNNNNNNNNNNNNNNNNNNNNNNNNNNNNNNNNNNNNNNNNNNNNNNNNNNNNNNNNNNNNNNNNNNNNNNNNNNNNNNNNNNNNNNNNNNNNNNNNNNNNNNNNNNNNNNNNNNNNNNNNNNNNNNNNNNNNNNNNNNNNNNNNNNNNNNNNNNNNNNNNNNNNNNNNNNNNNNNNNNNNNNNNNNNNNNNNNNNNNNNNNNNNNNNNNNNNNNNNNNNNNNNNNNNNNNNNNNNNNNNNNNNNNNNNNNNNNNNNNNNNNNNNNNNNNNNNNNNNNNNNNNNNNNNNNNNNNNNNNNNNNNNNNNNNNNNNNNNNNNNNNNNNNNNNNNNNNNNNNNNNNNNNNNNNNNNNNNNNNNNNNNNNNNNNNNNNNNNNNNNNNNNNNNNNNNNNNNNNNNNNNNNNNNNNNNNNNNNNNNNNNNNNNNNNNNNNNNNNNNNNNNNNNNNNNNNNNNNNNNNNNNNNNNNNNNNNNNNNNNNNNNNNNNNNNNNNNNNNNNNNNNNNNNNNNNNNNNNNNNNNNNNNNNNNNNNNNNNNNNNCCGGAAAAAAAUCCGCGAAGAAAAAAAAAAAAAAAAAAAAAAAAUUAAAAGUCAACGCCGGAGACCGGCGUUGACCGCCGGUCAACGCCGGAAUCCGGAAAAAAAAAUCCGGAAGAAAAAAAAAAAAAAAAAAAAAAAAAAAGUCAACGCCGGAAUCCGGCAGAAAAAAAAAGUUUUUGAAAAAAAAAAAUUUGUGAAAAAAAAAAGUUUUGGGUCAAAAUUGAAUAAUUUGUGAAAUUUGGGGUCAAAUUGAAGUUAAAUUAAGUUAAGGAUGAAAUUGGAGCAUAUAAAAGUAAGAGGGGUUAUUUUAGUCCUUUACAUAAAUCUGGACCAUGUGUGGACUUAUUGGUAAAGGAGAAUAUUGUCUGGAUCUCUUUAUGAAUAAGUUCCCACUGAUGGGCUUAUUUGUAAUAUGCCCUUUUUUUUAAGAAGUUAAAUAAAUAUGUCAUUCAACUUGGAAAUUUAGAGGAUACAAAUAAACAAUAUGGUUCAUAAUAUCUGGAAAAACAUUAAAGUUACAAGGACCCCAAGUAGAUAGUUUAACAAUUUCACGAGCUGCACUAUUCCCUUCCCUCAAUAUAUGAUAAGGGUAAAUUGUUAUUUGGGUGUGUAUUUCGAAAUGGGAACCAACAAAAUUUGGACAAAAGUUUGACACGAAAAGAAGUAGUCGAUGCAAGAAUUCGGUCCUUUCUCCUUAAGACAAAUUUUCCCCGUGCAGUGCUUUCGGUUUACGACAAUUGUCUCUAAGAUACAAUAACUAUUUCAGUUCCAACAAAGUAGCACAACAAUUAUUGGAACACGGCGAACAAAACGACGUUUAGGACUUUAUAAGACACGAAGAAAUGGGACUUUAUAAUUGCAACAAUAUGCAAUGAGAGGCUAUGAUAAGAAGUGAAUUCAAUUAAUGUAUUGAAUUUCAUGUGAAAAAUGAAUGAUUCAAAUGGUGGAUUUUGGAAUCUAUUUAUAGAUUUUCAAAGGUUAUGACCACAAGUCACAACCAUUAGGAAAAUAAUUUCAUGAAAAUGUACCACACUUUUUUCUCAUUAAUUACACACCUAUUCCAUUUAAUAUGUGCUUAAACACCUCCAUCUUUUCCAAUGGUGGCAUUUCACUUCUUUAUUUUCCAUACUUUAUAUUAAGUGAUUUUAUUAAUUUCUCAUUCAUUAAAAUUAAUUUUGAGAAACUAUAUUUAAUCCACUUAAAUAAUCAACAAAAAUUGAGUCUAAACACUUAAAAUUUCCAACAUAAAUUACGGCCAGCCCCUAAAGAAAGGUUAAAUUACAAAAAACCUCUUUUUGGGUAAUUACAAUCACCCCCUCAACUAUGAAUCUUAUUACACGUUGCCCUUAUGGUGUCAAAUUGAACAUAAUCUUCUAGAUUCCAUGGGAUGUUCUCUAGUUUGUACUCGUUUUGUGUAAAAAUGUUUUAGCUUCGAUUAGUUAAGCAUUAGUUGACUUCAGCCGACGUCCAACUUUUUUUCUUUUAACUAUUUCUUAUUUUUCCGGCAACAGGAUGCCUGAGCUCUAAUUAUAGCUAACUAUGCAUUAGUUGAGUUCGCAUUAGCUGACAUUCGACUUUUUAUUUAUUUUUCCUUUAAACUCUUUUUUUCAGCGACGAAUAUUUAGGCUACGAUUAGCUGAAUGUAAUGUUGAAGUUAACUCAUGUUGAGUCAGCUAACCAGAGCUCCAAAGACCCACCACCAGGAAAAAAAUUAAAAGAAAAAAAAUUGAAAAGUUAACUAAUUUUGAAUUUAACUAAUGUUGGGUCAGUUAACCGGGUCUCCGAUGACCCAGGCCACCGCCGCAAAGAUAUUAAAAAAGAAUUAUAAUAAUAAUAAUAACGGAAAAGAAAAGGUCGGGUUAGACCAGGUCAGGUCGGGUCGGGUGGGAUGGGAUAUGGGUAGGUUGGGCUUAUCUCAAAAAGAAAUAUGUAGGGCUAUUUAGAGAAUUUAUAUUUUUGUGGGUUUAUUUGAAAUAAAAGUAAAAGGGAAAAUGUAUUUGUAUACGUAGUAAAAUUUCAUUCCAUGCACCUAGCUCAAAUUCACUCAAUAUCUUAUCAUAUCAUAUCAUCAAAACACACACAAAACAUCCUUUUAAAACUCCCAAUCUCGGGCAAAACUUAGAACCCUCCAAACAUCUAGCUUGUUCCACAAUUUCAAAACUCUGUCGAAACUCGAAACAAACAAUGUCCAAUUUCAAUUUCAUUCCAAGCUUAUUACUUAUCUAGUGAAGCUUCCCAUUUACAAACUUCCCCGCUUCAAAAUAUUUCGAAUCAUCAUACGUACGGAAACCCAACCUUAAACAACACAUUACCUAACCAAGAAUCAGCCUUCUUUAUAUUAUACAUCGUUCCGAUAAACACACCCGUAAACCCAUAAAACCCUCCGAGGUAAAGUCUAUUUACGAAAAAAUUCCUCAAUGUUCCAUAAUUAUAUUCAACUCCUGUAAUUUGUAGAUUCCUUGCAUUAGCACCAUUUUAUAAGGAAUGCAUGUAAGAAUUUACAAACUGCAAGGGACUAAAUGCAAUUUCUCAAAGAAAAUGGGCUUUUUGUAAUUACACUUUAUUUCAGGGAGGUGAUUGUAAUUUAUCCUAUCUUUUUAGGAUUGUAAUCAGUAUAGAUGGUUGGCAAUAUAUUGCACUCUCUAGCCGAAGGAUUCAACAAAAGAUUGGAACAAAAAAAUCGAAUUAUGUUGGUUUCGAUUUAAUUUUAUUUUCUUAUUCAAUGUUAUUCGUUCCAAAAUUUCAUAUUUGUCCGUCUUUUUUUCUUUUUUUUUUAUCAGAAUUAUAAUCUACAUAUGAGAUUUUGAUUUCCAAUCUAAUUUUAAUAUUCAAAAUAAUUCUAAAAAUUCAAUAAAAAAAAUUCCAAUUACUACACUUGUAUCAUCAAAACUAUUAGGUAUUUUGUAUUAGAUUUUGUUUGAGAUAGCCCUCUCACAAACUUACAUAAUGUAGUUUUAAUUCCAAAUUAUUUCUUCUACUUAUUUUAUUAAGUGCAUAAAACUGGCCAUUUUAUGUGCUUUUCUGUUAUUGUUAAUCGCAUGAAUCGGAAGAUCAGAUUAAUAAUUAGAACUUUGGUAGCAGAACCUUCGUUAUGCUAUCAUAAGAAUAUAGUUAGCCUCUUAGGUAGCCAUUAUUGAGAUCUAUGAUUAAUGUUGUUUUCUAGAUCUAAUUGCGUAGGAAUACAAUAAUUUAAUUUAGAACAUUAGAAUCGUAAUACACGCGGAAGUGGGGUAUCAUUAAAUUAGCAUCUCACGUUAGUAAUCCGAAUUAAUAACUUGCAUAAUUGAAGGAAUUGGGGAAUUAAUAAUCACAUAGGGGGGGAGAAUAAAAUCUUAGGUUUGCUUUAUCUAAUUAAUCUUCGUGUUUAAUUGCUUUCUUACUUUUGCUUGUUUAAUUUAUUUUUAAAUCGUUUUAGUCAAUUUCGCUUUAUUAAUCAACUUUCGACUGUGUAGGGUGGGCUUUGAUAAUAAUUGAUAUAAUUUAGCGUCUAGGAUUAGAUAAUUAAAUAUUCUUUGUGGGAUCGAUACUUGGACUUAAAAACCCGUUAUAUUACUUGUACAAUAUGUGCACUUGCGUGUAGGUAUUCCAACCAAUAAAUGCUGUUGAAAUGACUUGGUCUAAUCUGGACCAAUGAAACAGCAUGUAAUAUUGCAUGUCCCCAAACAGAAGUGGGUAAAUUAGACCGUAAAAGCAAAGGUCUAGCAAUCAAUUGCAAUCUCUUAAUAAAGAACUUUGCAAGUCCAUUUUAAGUCGUACAUGUGCAAGUGAAUGUUCAAUAUCAAUACCAAUUGACAUGCAAUAAUCGUUAAAGGCUUAGAUGAAAGUUCACGGUAUUAUCAAGACGAAUAGUCAUAAUAGGAAUCAGGAAAUUGAGCUCUUAAUCUUAUGAUUUGACCAAAAAGUCUAUCAAAAGCAACCAUAUGUUUUGACAACAGAUUUACAUGUGACCAUCUAUAUGAUGCAUCCAAUAGAACCAUAAAAUAGUGAAAUGGUUCACAUUGAAAUCUUUGUAAAAAUGUUGGGGCAUCGCUACCAGUUUUCAUUGGAGAUGGUCUUAUAAUCAAUUAUAUUUCCCUUGUGAGCAUGCAAUGCACAUACAUUCAUGGGACAAAAGAAUCUUCUGAUUCUUAAAGUAUGCCCAUAUGUUUUUUUAUUAGGGUAAAUAGCAUUAAACCGCCUAAACUUUGUCCGUUUUUGCUGAUUACCACCUAAAAAAAAAUUUUGAUCCCAUCCAAACUCAAUAAGAUGUGCCACGUUGCCCAUUUUCAAGCCAAAAUGACCGGAAUUGGACACAUGCGAUUUCGAGGGGUUUUUUUUUUGUCUUUUCAAGUAAAAAAAAACAUAUUUUAGCCUAAUUUUCCCUAAUUCAUUAUCUCCCUUCCUCUUCCAACAAUCUUCUUCCUUAUUUCAUUCCUCUUCUUGCCAUCUUCCCCGAUGCAUGUAUAAUUUCCCCAAUUUUCCCAAAUUUUCUCCAUUUCCUCUUCUCAAUCCCUUUUUUAGCUCUUCCGCAGCCAUCAAUUAGUUUGGUAGUACCAGAAAUUGUGCUAAUAUUUGCCUUUGCCAAUAUCAAACUCAAGAAAUAUUUUUGAUCUCGAAAAAUUGUGUGUGUUGUUCUAUUGUCCACCAAAUAAAUGUCUCCAUCGUUCAGGUUACUCACGAACGCAUGAUUUUUCAUUUUUCUUUUCUUUUAAAUUCUUACAUGCCUAGAAUGAUUGAAGCAUUCAGUAAUUCGUGGCAUACAUAACUUUAAUUAAUUAUAUGAUUUUACCUUUAAUAUUCCUCGUAAAUGUAGGCACAUCCGAAUAAAAGAAUGAGAACCGAAUUUGAUACAAAUUAUUCAACCAACAAACAUUGCUAGUGCAUGUAGACUUUCAAUUUUAUGCAAAUACCGACUAAUGAGGUAGAGCAAGUCAUGCUGAUAAAAUGUUAUAAAUCUACUUAUAAAAACUCAAGCAAAACAAUAAAAUGGGAAAUCAAACAUAAGGAGAAUAUAAACUUUUCUUCUUAUUAUUUGUUGUAUUCUCAAGUGUGUCUUAAAUCCAUUACAAUAUCAUCUAUUUAUUGUUCUCAAAGAGCAUAUUGAAUACAUAAAGUGUUUACAGUUAUUUUACUGUCAACGACAGUAAUAUAAUUACGUUGACUUGUCAACAAAUCAAACAAUAUAACAAAAGUGAACGACAGUAAAAUUACUACCAACCAUAUUCUUAGUAUUAUCCGAUUAUGAAGAGUUGGUACAUAACAUUUACUGUUAUAGUAAAAGACUAGGGUUCGAAUCAUGCAUGUCACCUACUUUCCCUAUUUGUAACUUGCAUGGAUUUGAAUUUUGAAAAAGAAAAAUAACAAAAGUGAACUACAUUAAAAUUACCACAGACCAUUUUAGUAUUAUCCGAUUAUGAAGAGUUUGUACCUAACAUUUACUGUUAUAGUAAAAGACUAGGGUUCGAAUAAUGCAUGUCACCUACUUUCCCUAUUUGUAACUUGCAUGGAUUUGAAUUUUGAAAAAGAAAAAUACAAGAAAAUUAAACAAAAUUUAAUCCUAUACUCCUUUUAUGGUUUUUUUUUAAUCAAAUCAUACCAUAAAAGUUUGCCUUGCAUAUUCACCACCAUCAAUCAUCAAGUGCAAGUGAGACUAAACUUUCUGUGUAGACCUCCGCUUUACCGUGACGAUCACGGUCAAAGUCAACGGUGUGUUGUUGCGUGAUGUAAUUGUCUUUCUUAUUGUGAAUAAAAAAAUCCGAUUCGUACGUAAACAGAACUUCGCCACAUGGCAAAACAAACAACGGGGUUACGUAAUUAGAAUCUUCCACCCCAUACUCAUUCCAAAUCCAGACGUCGAACAUAAUAGUUGGAGAAUAGCCGGAAAACACACAAAGAUAUCCUUUGAGAACUCCCAAUCUCGGGCUGUAAUUGAUAACUGUUCGUUUUGCACGAUUUUUGCUUAUCAAUUCUUCGAGUUUUGGUCUUCGUUCGUCCGAGUUUUCGGCUUUAUUUGUAUAUAUUAUGUUGUUUUUGUUUUAUUUAUAUUUUAGGUAAAGAGAAGCUAUUUUUGCCGAUUCGAAGCGAAGCCGAAAAUCAAACCAAACACGUGCAAAAGUGCAUUAUCGCGGGUGUGGCACUGUUUCUAUUUCAAGCAUACAUUUUGCAUACGACCUCCGAUUGAGCUGAUUCACGUGGCCUUGGAAAGCUAACUUCAAUAUCUACAACUUUUGUGAAAUGCAAAAUUGUCAAAUUCGGGCUAAAAAAGGGUCAAAACAGUGUUUGAAGAUGGCGCAGAAGCCCAGAUCGCGAUCCAGCAUUCCGGAUCGCGAUCUGGGGGGGUCCGACAGAGCUGAAAUGAUUGAAGAUCGAGAUCGCGAUCCAGGAAGUCGGAUCGCGAUCUGGGGGGUCCGACAGAGCUGAAAUGGGUCAACAUCCAGAUCGCGAUACACAUUCCUGGAUCGCGAUCUGGCAUGGCGGUGGGCAGUUCCCCGAGGCUGCCAGAUCGCGAUCCAAACAACCCGGAUCGCGAUCUGGGCACACCUUUUGAGAAAGAUAUUUUGUUUUGCAAAUCUUCUUGAGGAAGCUUUGCAUUUCACUAUAAAUAGAAGGUCCCUUAUUGAUCUCGAGGAUAUCUCGACCAAAUCUCGACCAACUCUCGACAAUCUCUCGACUUCUUCUUCGGUUUUCUCUUCGGUUCUCGCCAGUUCUUCGCGGGAAGCUUCGACGAGGGUUUUGACUCGGGUUUUUCAUAAGCUUUUCUUUACGUUUAGUUUAUAAUUUCUCGUGUUCUUCAUUUUGAUGCUAUGUUUGUAAUGAACUGAGCAUUUUCUUUUAGGGAAAUGAAACCUUGUAUAUAUUGAUUUUGAUUUCCAGAUCUGUGAUCUAUUUGUCGUUCUUUGAUUAUGUUUAUGUUUUCCUGUAUUAAAUGCUUUCGAUUGAUUGGCCAACAGUUGAAUUGAUUCUAAAUGGGAAUGAACUCGAGAGAGGAUUUCUCGUUUGAUUUUAGGAAAACAUAGCUCGGGUUGUGGAAUCGGAGACGUGAUGCACCUCGGGUAGCCCUUAAGGACUUGACCUAAAUGCUCUCUUAAUAUCAGGUUUCUGAACGGAGACGUCGGACCUGUGGGUAGACUCUAACUACACUGGAGACGGGGGUUAGGGUAUUUUAGUGUCUGGGUUAGCGAAUAUAGAAUUGACAUUAGAUUCGGAUUUGUAGAUCUUUAUCGAUAGUACAUUGGUGAAUUUUACCCUAGAAGCCAUCACACGUCGGAAUUCCUCGCUUUUACUGGCGGACCGUUGUUUUUAUUAUUGUUUCUUUUUAGUUUUAUUUCCCCCUUCCAUUCAUGAUCGUCUAGAUAAAGUUUAGGAUAGUAUAAUUACGGUACUUGGUAAAUUUAGGAACUUAAUUCCCUGUGGAUCGAUAUCUGGAAUUCACUAUUCUACAAAACGCGAUACUGUACACUUGCGAUUUUUCAUACGUAGGUUUUACGCGUAUUAGUAAUAACCCUUCAUACAACUAGCUUGUUUCACGAUUCCAAAAGUCUCACUCUUCAAAUCGAAACAAACAUCAUCCCAUUUCGACUUCGUUUUAAAAUCACUAAUCGAGUGUAACUUCCCACUCACAAACUUGGCUGAACCAAAUAUACACACAUCCUUAAAGAACAAAUUACGUCCCCAAGAAUCGGCCUUUAAGCUAUACACUCUUGCGGUACUCGGAAAAGUCAUGUUUGAACCAAACACUAACAUCAUAUAACAAACGGCGCAGACCUUGUAAUCGCCGCUACUCUCAUCGAAACCAAAUCCGUAUCCACGAAUAGAAACGACAUUCUUCGGGAACAUCGCUCCGGUAAAGAAGUCGGGCAAUUCCUCGGACUCUCUUGUCGAAGGAUUCAACAAGAAAAACCGACAUGCGUCGACUAGAACGCAGAUCAAACCGUUGCAUGAACCCACGAUAACUAUAUCAUUCGAACUAUACAUCGGAAAGAAAUUGAAAGAAAGGCGCGAGUGACCGGUUCGGUCAACAAAGAGGACAGAGAACAUGCCUUUAGUUUGCCUUGACAGGUUGAGAUGAUUCUUUGGUCGGCGAAAGAUUCGAUCUUUUUCAAACGUUAGAGAUGGGUUUUGAUGAAUUGUUUGCUGGAGAUCAUUGAACGCCAUGAUGGGGAAACACACUUGAAUCUCGAUAGAGAUUUUACCGGGAGUCUGCACAAGAUUUCUUCGAUGAUUUCUUGGGGAAUAUUAUCGGUGAUUUGUUCAGCCUUGCCGGUCUCCAUUUGCGGCGGCGGCGGCGGAUGUUGUUUACGAGUUCGGCCGUACGAGGAAAGCCACCAGACUAGGGUUUUGAUUAGGGAAUCCUAAACACAAUUUUCUUUUCUUCUUUAUUAUUAGGGGCAAUUUGCUAUAGGUCCCUCUAUAUCAUAAUUUAUGUGCGUAAAUCCAAGUCAAAAUUUAAUGUUUUAAUAAAUUAAUAAUAUUUAUUAAGGCAAAAAUACCCUUAAUUAAAUCAAAUCAAAUCCACAAAAAUGUCUCUAUCAAAACAAAUUCUCAAACAUCUAUCUUCCAAAUAUUAACUAAAACAAAUAAAUUAAUUCAUAACAAAAAUAUAUAAUUUAUUUUACAAACUCAUACUCUGAAAACGUCACCGCAGCCCCAACACCGCCUAUGAUCCGGGAACAGCGACGUCUAUGACUCCGCGAACUGCAAAUAGCAAACUGAAAAUUAGAUUUUAUAUUAUUGAAUUGCAAACAACAAAAUACCUAUUAUUUCGCCAAAUGCAAACAACAAACAUAAACAACAAAAUCCAUAAUUUGUAUUACUAAAUUACAAACAAAAAAUUACUUAUGACUUCGCCAAAGGCAAACAGCAGACUGAAAGAAAAACAUUCAGCAAAGCUGGCAUUAUUGAAUUGCUAUCAAUAAACUACCUAUGACUUGGCAAAAUGCAAACAACAAACUGAAAAAAAAAAUAAAAAAAAUCAGCAUCAUUAAAAACAUCAACCAAAAAAGUAAAGAAAAAAAAAAAAACAGAGAAGCUCGCUAGAGGGAGAGAGGCGUGAGAAACAAAGGGAGAGAAAGAGAUGAGAGAUUAAAUAUAGGGUGACAGAAACGUGAGAUUAGAGAGAGAAGAUAUAUGAGAUUUGUUUUCUUAUUAAAUAAGGGUGAUUAUGUCUAUACACUAAUCAUUUUAUUUUAUUUAUAUUAUUUUUUUUAGUCAUAGGACCUAUGCCUAUAUUCAUCAAGCAACUAGGAUCUCUACAUAUAUAAGUCCAAAAUAAGGGGUGUCUAGCAAAUUUCCCCUUAUUAUUAUUAUCUAAUUUAGUUUUGGGCAAAUUGAACAUCACGCCCUAUACAUUUCUAUUUUUAUGCACUUUACCUCAUUUUUUUAAAAAGUGAUUGUCGCCCUUCAAAAUGUUAUUCUUGUUGCAAGAUGCCACGAGAUUAGGGUUUUGUUUUAUCGUUUUGGGGGUUUUGAGAUUUUUGUUUCGUAUGAGGAAGAGUUUAUUGCAAAUACCACCCCUGUGAAAUCGCGAAUUGGCAAAUAAUCCCCUGUGAACAAAAAACUCACCCAUACCUCCCUGUGUAACCUAUUUUGAAGCACACUGCACCUAUUGACAUUUUGUUUGUUGACCAAAGGUCAAAAGACAAAAAAAGCCAGAUAUUUUUUUUGCAAUUAGAAAAGCAAUAGUGUUUUAACAAAAAAGAAUAAUAAACAUAUAUCUUAAUAAUAAUAAUAAUUAAAAAAAAAAAAAAAAAAAAAAGAAAAAAAAUAUAUUUAAACAAAUAUAUUUAUUAAAGACAAUACACAUAUAUCUUAAUAAUAAAAAAAUAAAAAUAAAACAUAUGUUAAAUAUAAUAAUAAUUAUAAAAAAUAAAAAAAAAUCUUCAUCUUCUUCUUCCAUGCCCUACCUUCGCCGCCUGGCUCCACCCACAAAUCGCUCAACUCAAUCCGUCCAACUCACAACUUAAUUCAGCCCAAGUCGGAGCCUUAUGCCACUGCUCACCACCCAACACAGUCGAACAGUAACUAUUUUAAUUUUAAGCGAUAAAUUCUCACAAUUAUGUUCAGACCCACCCUACACAGUCGAAUCUGGAGAAGAUUAAAUAAAAUAAACUAAAAUAUAAAACACAAAUAAAAAACAAGAAAAAACAAGAAAACAAAUAGCACGAAGAUUUAUCAACUGAAAAAGCACUAGUAUUUUAUCUCCACACUAUGUGAUUAUUGAUCUCCCAAUUAUAUCAAUUAUGUAAGAAAAUAAUAUGGAUUAUUAACCUGAGAUGCUAAUUUAAUCAUAAUCCGCUUCCGCGUGUAUUACGAUUCUAUUAUUCAAGACUAAAUUAGUGUAUUCCUACACAAUUCAAUUAAGAACAAAGCAUUAAGCACAAAUCUCAAUAAUGGCUACCUAAGAGGUUAACUAUAUUCCUAUACUAACACCACAGAGGCUCUUCUACUAUAUUUCUAAUUGUUAAACCGAUCUUCAUGCAUUCAACAAUAACAAUAAAGCACAUAAAGUGAUCAAGUUCAUGCACUUAAUAAAAUAAGUAGAAGAAACAAUCUGGAAUUAAUACUUGCAUAAAAUCAUAGAAUUGGGUUCACAUCCCACAUAGGGUUCGAAUAAAAUCCUAGAAACUAAACACUUAGCUACUCGAAAUUCUUAUGAUAAAGAAAAUAAAAUUAAUAAAAAAAACAAAAAAAAACUAUGCUUGAGUCUUUGAUCUUCGUUCUUCGCGUUUUGUUGUGUAAAUUUUUUCAUCGUUGGAUCUCAUUGAAUUAUGUUUAUAUAGUGGUUAAGACUUGAUCAAAAGGAAAAACCUUCCUUGUGCAAUUAAAACUUCCAAAUUGUGCAGAAUCGGGGCCUCGAAUAGAUGUCUAAGAUUUCAAGACAUUUUGGGAUGGUCGUCUCAAUUUUCGUAGCCUACUGCUCAACUUCGCAUGAGGGGGUGGCCAUCCCAGCUUUUAGUACAAAAUUGAGCCGGCCGUCCAAAGCUUUGUCCGCACUUUAGUCGGUUUCUAAUCCGAUUUUCACCAUGUUUGAGUCCGAAUUUUGGAAUGUUGCGUGAAAUACAAAUUGUAGCCCUUUAAAUUAGCUUUCCAAUGUUGCGUGAAUCAGGUGAUUUGGAGUUCGUAUGAGAGAAAUAUGCUUGAAACGGUGGACACUGCCAAAGCUGUUGCGGAUUCCUUCUUCCAAUUUGAUUUAUUUCCUUAUUUUCAACUUUUCCCUUUCUUUUUAUCAUUGUUCUUCAUGGACACUUAAUUCUCGUUUUUCACCUGUAGAACACAAAAUCAAUCAAUUAAAGCACAAAUAUAAUUAAAUCUAAACAAAAGAUCAACGUAAAGUAAACAUAUUGAGUAUAGAAUCUACACUCAACGCACCCCCAAACUUGAACUUUUGCUUGUCCUCAAGCAAUAUCUAGCAACUUGCAAAGCAACGAAAUCAAUAAAUGCAUCUCAUCACAUAGAUUAAUAUGGUCAACUUCACGUUUUCAGAACAUGCAAUUGUCAUGGCACUUCUCGAAAAUUCACAAGCUUAAAAUUCAAAGAAACUUAAUUGCUUACCCUUGCCAAGAACCAAAAAUCAUGUUAUCGCUUCAAGCAUCCAAUAUUUGUAAUCUAAAAAUAGAGAAAAUUUAUACUUACAUAAUAAUUUAGACUCAAAAGGCUCACCGAAUUUCUCUACUCCGCUAAUAUCGAACAAUUGAGCUAUAGGGCUCAUUGUGACUUUUUGGCUUUCAAUUGUUGGGCUCUUUGGUGCAAGGUAGGAAAUAUGUGUAUAUAAGUGGCAACUCUUCUCCUUUCGAUCUUCUCAUUGUUGGGAAUCGGGCACGUGUACGCAGCGGAAAACAAAAAUUUUACAUGAAAUAAAUAAUUUAAUUCACAUAAACACAUGCUCGAUUCAUAUUAAGCAACUAAUUACAUAUCUUAACGCUUCCAGCGAAAAUUAAGAACAACAUGCGUAUAAUUAAUUCGAUAAUAAAUCACAUAGCAUGCUCGCGGUAAAUCAUGAAUUCAUACAAACAAUUACAUAUAGCAAUUCACGAAAAUUCAUACUGCGAAUAUUAACAUAUAAUUUAAUCAAAUUAAAUUAAUACCUAAUUAAAACCGGAUCCGAAAAUUACCUCUUGAAGCGUGAGGCAAAUUCUCGGAUUGAAGCAAACUGCCAUGGAAACCAAUCUGUGCAUUCGGGAGGAGCAAUGGCGGUGCAGCGGCGACGGACGCGCUCAACGACGGCGGCGCGUGAGAUCUACGCGCAGUCUUCGGGCGGCGCGUGCGGCAGUGCUUCGGUGAUGGCUUAUCGGCAAUUCGACUCCUUGGUCUUCCUCCUCUCGGAUUUCACGUCGUAUGCUGAGAUCUACUAAAUAUGUGGCACUAGACACGCAAAAGUCAGAAUAGAUGGAAGAAAAAGACAAAAGAAAGAAGCUACCAAUAACAAUCGGCGCGUGAGGCCGAUUCCAGCGACGGCAACGGCGGCAGCGGCGGAGGAGGAGAAUCGGCCGAGGGUUGUGAGAGAGCGGCUAGGGUUUUCUCUUGUGUGUUGUAUAUUGUGCAAAACCUAUAAAUUAUGUAUUUAUAGUGUCUUGUAUAAAAGACCUAACGAGCUUAAGUUGGACCGGGCUUAACAUCUUAAGUUCGUUAGUCUUUUACUCGCUCGUUUCUCACAACUCAAUGAUCGGAAAAUUAUAACGAUUACAUUUUCGGAAUCAUUGAAACGUCCUCAUCAUUACGAGUGCCAAUUCUCGAUUUUCAAUUUCCAAAAUAAGAAACCCUAUUUCAGUGGACCUUCUAAAUUUGGAAACUUCCCAAUUUAGAAACUUCACUUAGAUGUUCACCUAUUUUUUUCCUUUUCUUGUUCUCAUUCAUAAUUCCAAAUUACGAAUGUUGGACUCAAUCACAUUGACUUCCAAUCAUGCAAAGAUUAAAUAGUUUUAUCUUUGACCGUUUAUUCAAAGAACUCGAGUGCACGAGCAAUGUGGCCCUCGAUGGUUCAGGUGUAAGCUAGCCGUGGGUCCACAACCCUUUUGUGGUUUAAACUCGUCCCUAGAGUUAUGAUUAAGAUGAAGCUCGUUUCAAGUUAAUCACCUAACGAAUCAAGAUUGGCGUCUAGCAACUAUGCGUCAUGAUUCCCUAGAUACAAAUGAAGUUCCUGCAAGAAUCUUUUGAUAUAGUUAACGUACAGUACGAUCCCUUCGAUUCAUAUGUCCUGAUUGGUCCAGCCAUGCAUCAAAGUUAGUGCCGAGCUAAACAAAAUGCAUCGAAGUUAAUGCCGAGCUAAACAAAAUGCAAACUCUCAUUGUGAAUAUUGAUGAGAUGGCGGUGCCUAGAGACAUGUUUCAUUCAUUCUAUACAAAAGUUUGACGCAUUGGAACUUUAGGCUACAAAAUACUCACGUUCAUAUCCACUUCAAUGGCUGCUAGAUGGUGUGUUCGGCGAUGUGGUGCAAAGAUGUGUAAGUUCGCUACCGAAUAGAGAGAUCGAUCUUGUUUACACUCCUUAUGAUAUUUUUCCGGAUUCGAGGACGAAUCCUUUUAAAGAGGGGGGGUAUGAUACGAUCCUGACAAGAUCCAUGACGAAAAAUUGGAAGACGCGAAAUCAUACGAGUUUAAAGACAUUAUUCGAGCUUUCCUUGGAGAGUAAAGGGUUGAAUAAGACCAUUGAAGAGUUCAUGGUUUGGAAUUGGAAGAAAAGGAAAAGGAAAUUCGUUGGCCAAGUCGAAUUUCAUGCAUCCCGAAAGUUUCGUAUGAUUCUGGCAGAGUUUAACAUUCGGGUUAUACCUCUCUCAUAUGACGUACAAUUUAGGUGAUUCAAAUUACUACAGAAAGCCAACGAGAAGUUCUAUAACUUUCAUGUUUUGUGCGGAGAGUGAUCCGAAGUGUAACAAUGUCGUAAUUGAGCAUGAAGUUCAUGCACGUGCAUAGCCAAUUGUCUAUGCGGGUUUAGAAGGGUGAUCGAGAAGUUGACUUGAAGAUCAAGUUAUCUAAUUUAUUUAUGCACGUUUUAAUAUUAGGAUUUAAUAUAUUUUAAUCAAUUUAGAGUUAUUAAUGGUUCGUAUUUGCUUAUUUAUUUAUUUUCUUAUUAUAGUUUAGGUAGGAGUCCUUUUCCUUGGGGGGAUACGAUGCUACACCCGGUGAUUUUCACCGGGUGGCUCUUUUCUUGACAUGUGUCCUUUUUUAUCUAUUUUAUAAUUAUAUUUCUAAAACCCAUUGGGCCAUAACUGAACCCGUAGUGGGAAUCUUAUUAAUUAGGGUGCCUGAUUAUAUUCACCAGGUGUAGCAUAGAAUUUCCCUUUUCCUUGUGAAAGAGGAGUCUUUUUAGACCUUAUAAAUAGGUUGCCAAUUUGGCUUAUUUGAAGGGACAAAUUUUAAUGAAUAUUUUAGUAUUUUGAGAGAUUAAUUCUCCUUCGCUGUUCUACAGCAAAUUUCGGGAUCUUACAAGUGAAUUCUUGUAAUUUUCUUAGCGCCAUAAUAUUGGUUUCUGGUUCUUUAUAACCACGGGGUCAAUAUUAUAAUUCACCUUGAUAAUAAUGGUUUCUAGCUCUUUAUAGCUAUGGGGUCAUUAUUCCUUGCUUCCGCCAAUCUGAAUCCUUUUUUUUUGGAUGUUUUCGAUCUUGCUUCCGCGUAAGGUAUUAGGGUCUCGUAACGAGUUCUACGGGGUUCGUAUCAAUUGGUAACCAGAGCCAACAUCCAAAACAGGUUUCACCUAUCUUUAUCUUUAUUUUGGAGUCAGCCUUGUUCGUGUCAUUGUAGUUUUCUUUUGUUUUUUGUCGAGUCUUCUAGUCCUGUUUUCUCUUAUUUUUCGUUCUGUUGUUUAGAGUAAAAAAUAAAAAUAAAUCGAAUUUUUGGUUAUUUGUUUUGAGUUUCUUAGAGUCUAAGUUAGGUUUUGUCUAGAGUCUUUGCAAAAAAGUAAAAAUAAAAAAUCGAAAUUUAUUUUUGUUUGAAGCUUCUUAGAGUCUAAUUUAGAGUUUGUCAGCGUAAAAAAAAAAUUGUUUUGAUUAUGUCCGAGAAGGCUUGUUAUAAAGGAGAAAGAACUGAGCAGUGUAGGAUGUCGCCAAUGGAUAAACGCUUCCAGGAACUCCAAGAUCGGAUGGAAGGAAUUGUUACCUAACUAAAGAGACUACACAAAGAUCAACGUAUUCGAGGGUCAUACAUACGACGUGAUGUUCACCAACCAGUUACACCUUAUCCCGACAAAGAGGUAGAUCGUGAUGGAAAUUUUGGUGUGAACGCUACAAAAUCAAGGGAGAGUAUGGGACGAGGGUUAAGAUUUGAAACUUCGAGCCGAGGAUAUUUUGGUCGAGAAAGAGAUGGCGAAGAUCGAAACCUUAGCUCAAUGAAAUUGACUAUACCAUCUUUUCAAGGUAAGAGUGAUCCCGAGGCGUAUAUUCAAUGGGAAAGAAAGGUUGAGCACGUAUUCGAUUCUGAUUACUAUUCCAAAAAGAAGAAAGUGAAGAUCGUCGUCGAAGCGUUCAUUGACUAUGCAAUUAGUUGGUGGGACCAAUUUGUCUUAACUAGGCGCCGUUGUGGUGAACAACCAAUUGAUGAUUGGGAGUCCAUGAAGGCAGUUAUGAGAAAGAGGUUCGUUCCUUCCCAUUAUUAUAAGGAAUUGAAGAUGCAAAGCUUGAGGAAAAUUACUAAGUCAGAAGAACGGAGUUCGCCGAGGUGGGAAUCGCAAAGGAGUUCUCCAGCGAGCAUGGUGAGAGAAUCGUUGCAAAAGCCUAAAAGAGAGAAAUCAAAAACCGAGCAGCAAUUCAAGACUAAGAGAGGAGAGUGUCCGAGCAAGCAAUUCGUGAACUUGUGGUCCAACAUUGAGGAUGAAUCUACAAAGGAGAAAAGGAUUAUUUCCGUGUCACCACCUCAGAGGAAUGAUAACAUUGAGGUUUCCAUGGAGGAAAAUGUUGUAGACAUCGUGGAAAAUAUUGGUGCAAAAAUUGAAAGGAUGCAAGAAGAGACUGCUGAGUUGCAGCCCGAGGAGGAUGAAAAGUGCAAAACCACUCCAGCACUUGAAGAAGAAAAAGAAGGUUCGGAUUCGAGGGCGAAUACUUUUGAAGAGGUGGAGAAUGAUAUGAUCCAGCCAUGUAUCGAAGUUAAUGCCGAGCUAAAAAAAAUGCAAACUCUCAUUGUGAAUGUUGAUGAGAUGGCGGUGCCUACAGAGAUGCUUCAUUCAUUCUCUAUACAAAAGUUUGACGCAUUGGAACUCCAGGCUACAAAAUACUCACGUUCAUAUCAACUUCAAUGGCUGCUAGAUGGUGUGUUCGGCGAUGUGGUGCAGAGAUGUGUAAGUUCGCUACCGAACAGAGAGAUCGAUCUUGUUUACACUCCUUGUGAUAUUUGUCCGGAUUCGAGGACGAAUCCUUUUAAAGAGGGGGAGUAUGAUACGAUCCUGACAAGAUCCAUGACGAAGAAUUGGAAGACGCGAAAGCGUACGAGUUUAAAGACAUUAUUCGAGCUGUCCUUGUGACACCCCAAUUCUAAUUACACUUAGUAAUUUAGAAUAUGCUAGCGGAAGAAUUUUAGAAAAUAAUGAGUGUGGAAUGCUCAUUUUAAAAAAUCACCUUGUAUAAAUAGAAAGUUACGCAUAAAUUUUUCUUUUAAAAUCAGAGGAAGAGUGUCCACAUAUUACCAUAUCAUAUAAACUUAACCAACUAUCACAAAAGAGGCAUGCAUGACUAGAUUAUUUAAUUUAUAAAGAGUAAAGAUUAGGAAUUUCAGACAGAUUAGGUAGAUCAACUUAGAAAAUUAAUUUCUCUUAAAAUUUUAACCACGUACUCUCAUAUGGGUCUAAAUUACCUCUUUAAAACAGUUUUAAAAUAUCAUUAGCCAUUUCAGAGUAAUUUUAUUUUUAUGUAUGUAUAUAUAUAUACUAGACCUACGUGAUCUUAAGGAAACUUCGAUCCAUGGUUUUCGUAAACCUGCGUGGUCGAAGAAAAUACUUGAUCCAUGGUUUAUUUAAAUUAUCAAGAGUAACGAGAGGAAUUUCGAACAGAUUAGGUAGAUCAACUUCGAAAAUUAAUUUCUCUUAAACCCUUCAUGAAAAUACUUUGCAAAUUUAACCACAUACUCUCAUAUGUGUCCAAAUCACUCAUUUAAAACAUUUUUAAAAUAUCAUAAACCAUUUGAGAGAAAUAAUUAAAGGCAUGAAACUGUACGGUUUGAAAAUCCAGAACUGGGGAGGGAGCUUUGAAAAUUCUUUAUAAAUUCCCUACUAUUCUAAACACUACCAAAUUUUAUACCAAAACAGAAAAUUGAGUAAGGAACAUACUCCAAUUUAAAUAGAUUGAUUUGAGUAAGAAAAACUUCACAUAUUGAUGCAUGUCCUAAAAUGACUCUGCAUGUGUACAGUUAUAGGAAAUAACUCAUAAUAAAUUCAUGGCUUAUCGAAAUGAUGCACAAUACCUAUCAAAAUGACACUAACAGAAAGAACUAUGACUCUGUAAAAUUACAUGCAAUUAUGAACGGAAAAUAUAUUUAAUACACAUUAUCAAACAACAAGGCAUAUCACAACAUAUAACUAACCGAUAAGCAUUAUGUAGAACUUUUGGCCAAGAGAAGUAAUCAUAAUCCUAAUUAUUAUUAAAUGCAAUGUUCUUGCUAAAAAGAUCCCUCGAGGGGUGGAAGCAUACGAUAAGAGAUACCUAAGACGGUAUCGUAAGUCCUUAAAAUUAAACUAUAUAAUUAGAACAAUAUGGCCAAAUUAAGAGCACACAAGAUUCACACGCCUUCCAUAUGAACACAUCCCUCGAUCCUCGAACCCGACUCCAACUUUACGACUCGUGCUCGGGAUUGAAAGUACCUACAAGCAUUUCAACACAUAUAUGAGUCUUUUGGACUCAAUGAGAAUUUCCGAAGAAAUAUCGAAUACACAUAGGCAAACAAGCAUAUAUUUAUGAUAUGUAUAUAUGUAUAUAUACCAUCUCAAAUCACAAAUAUACACAAUAUAAAUAUUUCGAUUUUACCUCAAUCGUCAUUUCAUUAAGGCACUUUAUCAAUUUUCCUUUACCUUCUCGGUUUACCACUUAGACCUUCUCAUUUUACCUCUUAGACCUUCCUUUCAUCAUUUCAUAAGGAAUAAGAGUAAAUCCCUCACAAGGGAGUCGUCAUUCUUUUACACACACAUUCAUUCAAGUGCUCAUACAAUGUGUGAGAAAAAUUUGUUCCGAUAUCCUUUGGAAAAUCAAGCAAAACCAUAGACAAUAAGCCUUCAUUUAUUUGGAACCCGUUUCAUAAGUGGAAUCAAACCACACACUCUUCAUCUCAUUUUUUGGGUACCGGUCCCUCAUACCCCGUACUUAUUCGAUCAAUGUUUUACAAGACUUUCCAAUUUUAAAAACGUGCACGUGAGGUUAGUACAUACUUUCAUUCAAUACAAGCAACUUGAUUAGUUGUGUGACAAAAACAUUUUUGUUCGGAUAUCCUUUGGAAAAUCAAGUAAAACCAUAGACAAUAAGCCUUCAUUUAUUUGGAACCCGUUUCAUAAGUGGAAUCAAACCACACACUCUUCAUCUCAUUUUUUGGGUACCGGUCCCUCAUACCCCGUGCUUAUUCGAUCUAUGUUUUACAAGAUUUUCCAACUUUAAAAACGUGCAAGUGAAGUUAGUAUAUACUCUUCAUUUCACAUAUUCAAAGUUAGCUUUCACAUAAGCACACAUAUUUCCACAUAUUUAUUCACAAAGGCACAUAGUUUAGUCACAAAAUCACAAAAGCAAGUAAGACACAUAACAACUCAAGCAAAGAACAUAGAUCACAUAUAGCAAAAGAACUGAAAGCAUUCGGUUAUUUAUAAUUACUAUCUCCAAGUUAUUAAUUAAAGUUCAAGCCCUCUUUCUCAAGAGGCUUGAAGUUCUCUUUCAAGUAGCACCAAAUUUCCAUUUAUUUCAUUUUAUUUCCAAAAUAUUCGAACCAUCAACAAUUCAAUCACACAAAAUUCCAUUUUUAUUAAUCUUGUUCUCGAUUUUUAUCUUCGUAUAUUAUCUUAUUACUCAUAGAUCAUAAACCAUGGAUUGCAAGCUUCCUCAACCCGAAGGGAGUACACUUACAACCACGUAGGUCGAUAUAUAUACAUAUAGAAACAUAUACUUAUAUAUGUGCUAUAUAUAUAAGUAUAUGUUUCUAUAUGUAUAUGUUUCUAUAUGUAUAUAGAAACAUAUUAAAUUUUGGAAUUUACGUGAUUUCGAUUUUAUAUUAAAUUUUAAUUAAAAAUAAUAAUUAUGAAAAUUCUGUUUUAACAAGACGCAAUGCGUGUUGUUGAAAGUCCAUUUUCAUGUAGUGUUUUAAAUUGAAGGCAUGUGAGAGGCACAUGCCAUUUUCCAUCCAACUUAACGGCAAAAAUUAACGGCGGACCAAUUCUGUCAAAAAAUGGCAUGAUUAAGGACUACUAUUGUAACUCCAAAAUGUUUAGGGACAGUUUUGAAAAAGUGAGUAAAGUAUGAGGACGAAAAAUGUAAUUUUCCUAUUAUAAAUAAACCAUGGAUCAAGUAUUUUCUUCGACCACGCAGGUUUACGAAAACCAUGGAUCGAAGUUUCCUUAAGAUCACGCAGGUCUAGUAUAUAUAUAUACAUACAUAAAAAUAAAAUUACAAUAUUAUUCCUAGUUCUUCAAGAUUAUAUCAUUUAAAGCUUAGAUUCUUACAUGCAUGGAUGAUCAAAGCAUAAAUUAAACACAAAAUUUUAUUUUCUUCCUCCUUUAGUUUUCGGUUAUCUCAAGAACAUAAACAAGAAAUUAAAGAGAAGAAAAAUACUAUUGGUGUUGAAGUACUUGUAGCAAGAAUUCGAAAAUUCUCAUCUUAAUCUUCUUAGAAAAUUGGAAGGGUGUUCUUUCCUUUCUUUAAGGAGAAGAAGAAGAAAUUUUAGAGAGAGGGGAAGAAGAAGCUUAGUUUCUUGAAAUUUUCGAAAAUGAAGAAAAUAAAGAAGAGGAAGAAGACUUACUCCUUUGGCCAAUAAUUUUACUCUUGAAAGAGAGAUUUUGGGGCUUUCCUACACUAUAAUUUCGAAAAUUGGGAGAAGAGGAGAAAGAGAUUUUGAUUUUUGAUCUUUAGAAUGUGUAGAGAAGAUGAGAAAAUAGAUGAAGGCUUGGGUUCGAUUUAUAGGAGUGUGGGGGACUUGCAUGCUUAAUGAUUAAGAAUGGGGGAGUGGCCUUUUUGCAAUUUAGGAAAACUUAGGAAUUAUCUAGAGGGACUUUUUUGCAAUUUCAUUUAACUAUCAAAAAAAGAAAUUCAAAAAGGAAAAAUUUUAAUACACAUGGGCUCACCUAGACAAGGGUUGUACUCAAGGAAUUUUUUUGAUCAUGUGUUGUACCAUGGUCAAAAUUGAGGGAUGAAUAAGAGGAAUUUUCUAUUUUUAAUUAAGCAAAUAUGUGAUUUAAAAUUCUCCUAAUAAAUAAGUUCUAGCAAACGAAGGAGUAUGAUUAAUCUCUAAAUUAAUAAUUAACUAAGAUGAUCAAUUUAAAUUCGUCCAAAUAUUAUUUCGGACUAAAGCGUUCUAUAUGAAAUUUUACUUGUUAUCACAUAAAUAAAAUCUUAAACUAAUAAACACACAUAAGAAAUAAAAUCAUGUUAACUACAUAUAUGUUAAUUAGCGAAAAAUUAUAUUAUCGGAGACGCGGGUUGAAUAAGACCAUUAAAGAGUUCAUGGUUUGGAAUUGGAAGAAAAGGAAAAGGAAAUUCGUAGGCCAAGUCGAAUUUCAUGCAUCCCGAAAGUUUCGUAUGAUUCUGGCAGAGUUUACAAUUCGGGUUAUAACUCUCUCAUAUGAAGUCCAAUUUAGGUGAUUCAAAUUACUAGAGAAAGCCAACGGGAAGUUCUACAACUUUCAUGUUUUGUGCGGAGAGUGAUUCAAAGUGUAACAGUGUCGUAAUUGAGCAUGAAGUUCAUGCACGUGCACAGCCAAUUGUCUACGCGAGUUUAGAAGGGUGAUCGAGAAGUCGACUUGAAGAUCAAGUUAUCUAAUUUACUUAUGCACGUUUUAAUAUUAGGAUUUAAUAUAUUUUUAUUAUUUAAGAGUUAUUAAUGGUUAGGAUUUUCUUAUUUAUUUAUUUUCUUAUUAUAGUUUAGGUAGGAGUCAUUUUCCUUGUGAAAGAGGAGUCUUUUUAGACCUUAUAAAUAGGUUGCCAAUUUGGCUUAUUUGAAGGGACAGAUUUUAAUGAAUAUUUGAGUAUUUUGAGAGAUUAAUUCUCCUUCGCUAUUCUACAGCAAAUUUCGGGAUCUUACAAGUGGAUUCUUGUAAUUUUCUUAGCGCCAUAAUAUUGGUUUAUGGUUCUUUAUAACCACAGGGUCAAUAUUAUAAUUCACCUUGAUAAUAAUAGUUUCUAGCUCUUUAUAGCUAUGGGGUCAUUAUUCCUUGCUUCCGCCAACCUUGAAUCUUUGUUUUUGGAUGUUUUCGAUCUUGCUUCCACGUAAGGUAUUGUGUCUCGUAACGAGUUCUACGGGGUUCGUAUCAGUGGCCAUCGAUGGUUCAGGUGUAAGCUAGUCGUCGGUCCACAACCCUUUUGUGGUUUAAACUCGUCCCUAGAGUUACGAUUAAGAUGAAGCUCGUUUCAAGUUAAUCACCCAACGAAUCAAGAUUGGCGUCUAGCAACUAUGCGUCAUGAUUCCCUAGAUACAAAUGAAGUUCCAGCAAGAAUCUUUUGAUAUAGUUAACGUAGAGUAUGAUCCCUUCGAUUCAUAUGUCCCGAUUGAACUAGAGGCAUUGGUUCAUCGAGACCUCCUUAGUAUUUCAAUAACUGUGCGAUCGUUCUAAGUGUUAUAAUCGGUACGUGCAUGAAUUAGAGAAUCCAAUUCCCUAAUCACUUAGUCAUCUUUGGCCAGAGACUUAAAGAUUACAAACUAUGAGAACACACAGGACAUCCAAGACUAUUCUAGCGAUCGAAUCCCCUACUACAAUGCACAGACCUCCCACUAGAUUUCAGACUGCAUGAACACUGGCCCUUGGGGCGGUCAUCGGUGGAACUCAGGGAUAGGUCACGAUACAGCUGGUCCUCUAGUGAAGUCACAGUGAUGUCUAGGUCUUAAGGACUAAUGGUGUACAACUAUACCAUAGAGAUCUCUACUCGAUUAUUGAGAACCACUUAGAGAUUUCUAGGGUGAGGGAGUUCAGUGAACUCGUCAACUUACGACCACCCACUUAUGCAUGCCAAUAUUAUAAUACCGUUUACUGAUGAGACGCAGUACACAUACACUAAGUGCUAGUCUCUUAAUGGGAAAGACCGAUAUCCUCAUUGGUGGCGUAACCCUUCGACUAGGAACACGUUUAAUAGUUAUACUACUUAAGUAAAUAUCUCACGAUCCUAAAAGAUCAAUUGCAAGCACUUGUAAUAACUAUAACACGUCUAUAUGUAUGUUUGAACAAGGGACAAAGAUAUAGAAUGACAAGGUGUUUUAUCAUUAAUACGAAAAAUGAUUAUUUAUUACAAGAUUAAAUGGAACGACCGCCGCCACAAGUUGGCUUGUUGGUCACCUACUCUAACACUCAUUAUUGAAUAAAGAGUUGCACUAAGCAAGAUGCGUAUAGUAUUUAGAGGGAAGUACAGUUUGCACCCUGGUAUGUACCAAAGACCCCCCUAAACUACAAAAUGUAACAAACUGGCCCCUCCGUUUAGAAUCCGUUAGUAAAUGACGAUGUGGCAUGUUGACUUUCUCAUUUAUAUUUGCUUUUUUUAUUGUCCCAUUUUUUCGGACGCUUUUACCCCUUGCAUAUAUAUUAAAUAUAAAUAAUUCUUAAAACUCUUAUAUUUAUUAUGAAAUGUUAUAAAUAUUUUCGUUGUUCCUUACUAAGUAUUCAAUAAUAUUUAAAUUAUUAAACAAUCAAAAUACAAUUUUUUUUAUUAAAUACAAAUAAAUAAAUAAAGGAAAAUCUAUAAUGCUCUCUCUCUCUCUCUCUCUCUCUCUCUCUCUCUCUCUCUCUCUCUCUCUCUCUCUCUCUCUCUCUCUCUCUCUCUCUCUCUCUCUCUACAUGUGCACAGAACAAAGCCUCCAAAUUCACCUCUAAUCUGAUAGUACUCAUUAGGAAGAAGAAGAUUGCUCCUCAUCAAGAAGAAGCUAAAAAAUUGGGGAUUGAUCCUCUUACACACAAGCCUCUACCACCACCCACCAACGCCGACGAACCACCACCGGAAGCGGGGGUGGAACCAAAGAUAAUGGAGGAUAAGGGGGAGCACACUCAACCAUUGUAAGCGAGUUAGGGAACACAAAAUCGAGAGCCCAUUUGAUUCCACCACUGACUACAUUGACGAAAUCCCUGUCAUUGAACCCCAUAAAUUCUGCUCCCCCGAUGAAUUUAUCAACCCCGACCCCUCAUAAUCUUCAUCUUCCUCCAAUUCUUGCUCCGGUGGCGGCGGGUUCUCUUCAAACGAGAGCGAAGAUGUGCAAUUUUCGCCAACUUUUGAGGAUUAUUAGCAUAUUCUAAUUACUGUGACUACAUUGACAAAAUCCCUGUCAUUCAACCCUUACACAAUCACCACACAUUCUAAAUACAGUCUAAUUACUUAUUUAUCAAAAAAAAAUGUCACAAUAACUCCUCUUCCGAUGACGACAACCAAGACCACACAAUGAUGACGACGAUGUGCGUGGAAUACCAAUACUCAUGUUGACAUUCACAUCAUGAAGGAAAAUCAUCACGCCGAAAUUCCAUAAGAAGGGACAGAAUAGCUGCGCAUGACAGACUUAUGAAUGAUUACUUUGUUGAUCGUCCUUUAUAUCCACCUGAAGAUUUUCGAACUAGAAAUCGUAUGAGGCGUGAAUUGUUUUUACGAAUUACGAAUGAUAUCUUACAUUUUGACAAUUACUUUAGGCAAAAGCCGAAUGCCUCCGGAAAUCAAGGUUUCUCACCCCAUGUCAAGAUGACAGCGGCACUUCGUAUACUCGCUUACAGAUAUCCUGCAGAUGCAACUGACGAGUAUCUAAAAAUAGCAGCGACCACAUCUUCAGAUGCUUUGAAGCAUUUUUGUUGUGCUGUCAAUGCAGUGUAUAUAGAGGAGUAUUCGACGACCUAAAAAUGCAGACAUGGUUAGACUACUUAGAAAAGCAGGGCAAUGGUGAUAACCUAAAAUGCUAGGAAGUGUGGACUGUAUGCAUUGGGAAUGGAAAAAUUGUCCAACCGCUUGGGCUGGUACAUAUUCUGAGCGCCAUGGCAAACCUACGAUAAUACUUGAAGCCGUAGCAUCAUAUGAUACAUGGAUUUGGCAUUCAUAAUUUGGACCACCAGGUGCAUGUAAUGAUCUUAAUGUAUUAUAUAGCUCACCUAUUUUCAAUGAUGUUGUCGAAGGUCUAGCCACAAAUAUUCGAUUUACUAUAGAUGGUAGAGUAUACAAGCAAGGAUAUUAUCUAGCAGAUGGUAUAUAUCCACGUUGGUCUACUAUUUUUCAAGCAAUUCCUGAUCCACGAGGAUGCGAUAAAAAACUAUUUACGAGGUUGCAAGAGGCGUAUCGAAAGGAUGCUGAAAUAACUUUUGGCAUUCUCCAAUCUUGAUUUGAGUUUAUUACAGGACCUUGUCGAUUAUGGCACAAUGCAAAAAUUGGUGAAUUUAUGAAAUAUUGUAUAAUUCUGCAUGAAGAUUAACUAAAAUAAACUAAAAUAUAAAACACAAAUAAAAAGCAACCAAAAACAAGAAAACAAACAGCACGAAGAUUUAUCAACUGAAUAAGCACUAGUAUUUUAUCUCCACCCUAUGUCAUUAUUGAUCUCCCAAUUCUGUCAAUUAUGCAAGCAAAUAAUAUGGAUUAUUAACCUCAGAUGCUAAUUUAAUCAUAACCCGCUUCCGCGUGUAUUACAAUUAUAUUAUUCAAGACUAAAUUAUUGUAUUCCUACGCAAUUCAAUCAAGAACAAAACAUUAAGCACAAAUCUCAAAAUGGCUACCUAAGAGGUUAACUAUAUUCCUAUGCUAACACCGAGGCUCUUCUACUAUAUUUCUAAUUGUUAAACCGAUCUUCAUGCAUUCAACAAUAACAAUAAAGCACAUAAAGUGAUCAAGUUCAUGCACUUAAUAAAAUAAGUAGAAGAAAUAAUCUGGAAUUAAUACUUGCAUAAAAUCAGAGAAUUGGGUUCACAUCCCACAUAGGGUUCGAAUAAAAUCCAAGAAACUAAACACUUAUAAAUUUUGAGAAUGAAAUGAGUCACGUUUGUUUAUAUUUUUUGAGAAGACAAAAAACAAUGUUGAAACAUUAAGUGGUGUCCAUUUGCUUUUUAGUGAAUACGUAUUUUACUGUAACGAUCACAUCAUGUGUGAAGAAGAGAUAAAUUUUUGAAAUUAUUUUUAGAAAUGUUUUUGAAAAACUUAACAAACAUAGAUUCAUUUCGGAGGGGGAGUGGGAAGAAAAUGAAAAUGCUACCAAACAUUUAGAAUUUAAUAAAGGGGAAAUUGGCUAGACACCCCUUAUUCUGGACUUAUAUAGGUAGAGAUCCUAGUUGCUAGAUGAAUAUAGGCAUAGGUACUUUAUCAUAUAAAAAUAAUAUAAAUAAAAUAAAACAAUUAGUAUAUGUACAUAAACACCCUCAAUUAAUAAGAAAAAAAAUCUCAUACACUCUCUCUCUCUUCAAUCUUACGUAUCUUCUUCCUAUAUAAUCUCUCAUAUUUCUCUUCCUCUCCAUCUUCAUCUCGUGUCUCUGGCUUUUUUCUUCUGAUUUUUUUUUCUUUUCGAUCAACACUUUUCGAUUUUUUUUUUCCGAUCAACUUCUUUCUUUCUCUAUACCCUUUCUCGAUUACAUCUGUUCGAUUUUUUUUUCCUUUGGAAUUCGAAUUCUUUUGGAUUAUGUUGUAGGGAAGGAAAAAAAAAUUGAAGCUUUACAUUAUUAGAUGAUUUUUCGGUGAAAGAGUUAAAAGCGGACAACAAACAUAAAUCGCUCAUUGUUUGCACAAGGUGAGUUUUUUUUUUCUCGUUUUGUAUUUAUCUGUAGUGAGUUUAUAAUGUUUGUUUGUAUUUCUAAUUGAUUUUGGUUCAAUAAAUAGCAAAAAACAAAAUAAUGAAACAGCAAAAUCAAAUUGUUGUUGCAAACUGCAAAUUGCAAUCGAUAACAGUAGAUUUUGUUGCAAACUGCAAAUUGCAAUUUUUGCAUUGAUAGAAUAUUUUUUAUAAUUUUAUUGUUAUUUUUUGCAUAUUUAUGAUAUGUAUGAUAUUUUUGUUCUGUAUUUUUAUUUUUAUUAUUUGCAUUUACAUAUUGCAUAUCAUAUUUUCAUUUUAUUGUUUGUAAUUAGAUGAUGCUGAAUUUUUUACUUGUUCGAUUUAUUGUUUGUAUUUGGUGAAUUCAUAGGUAGUUUGUUGUUUUAAAUUCAAUAAUGCAAGUUUUAAUUAUUAGUUUGCUAUUUGCAUUUUACAGAGACAAAAGCGGGCGGUUGCGGCAGUGGCGCGGCGUUCGUAGCGGUGGUGCGUUUUUUACUACCUGAGUUGUUACCGAACAACAAACAAUUUCUAAACAGCAAACGACACGAAUGCAAAUUGGGAAACAACAAAUCGAAUGAAGGAAAAGGGAAUGAAGGCAAACUGCAAACGACCUUGUAAAUUGCAAACGCUCAGACACCCAAACCUAUGGAAGGCUUCAAAAUUUGUGGAGAUUUUGGUUUUGAAAAAACAAGGAAGAAUCGAUAUCAAGAGAUUUGCAGUCCUAAUUUUCGGAUUUGCUGUAUAAUAUAGGGAGAAAAAUAGGGGAUUUGAUUUUGAGGAUUUAUUUUACCAUAUAUUGAUAUGGGUAUUUUUGACAAAUUACAAAUAAUAAAAUCUGCAGGAAAUUAGAGUUUAUUAGAUGGAUUUUAACACAUAUAAUCUCUUAGAGGAGGACCUAUAGCAAAUUGCCCCUUUAAUAAAUAACAAAUUUAGUAAAUUGUUUAAGUAAAAAGUAAGCUCAAGUACCCAAUAAAUAGAAUAACUCUAAGUUUUGGUUCUAUUCCCAUCUCAUUUUUACUCUUUUUCGGAAACAGAUUUAUGUUUGUUUAAGCUUUUCAAAAAAACAUCUCAAAUCAAUUUCAAAAAUUUCUCUCUUCUGGACAUGAUUUGAGUGCUAUACUAUACAGUGAAACAAUCUGACUGCCACGGUAUAAAUUUGACUGCCACGGUAUAAAUUAAGUGCCAACUCACUCAACUAAUUAUUGAAUUACCGAUUAUAGCAGGCCAUAUGACCAAUAUUUUCAAAUUUUGUAAUUUAAAAGACUAAAAUUCUAAUUUUGAAAUGAGGUGAACUAAAUCUCCCAACUAACAAACUUACAUGACUAAGAAACUCAUUUUGCUCACUUUAUUAUUCAAAUUCUUCUUCUAAAAUACCAGUUUCCCUCGAAAUAUAUUUCCGCAAAGUAAAAUGAAAAUAACUCUAAAAACGAAUCCAAACAUUAUCUAAGUUUUUCAUAUCAUAGAUGAAAAUGAUAAGUAAAAAAUCGAUCUUUGGAGAUACUAAAAGAUGUUCGUCGCAUAUGCAAUUCUAUUAGAGACGGCUAGUCACCGAUGUAAAAUUCCUCGCUACACGAUUGAUAAGCCAGUUACAAAACAUCAAUACUAAAACCUUCCAAGAAUCGUACAAAACAACUAAGUUUAGCAUCAAGAAUACAAAAUAGUAUAAAUACUCAAAAAGUAUCUUUACCUUCCAAUCCGCCAAACGAUUUACUCUAGGCUUCGGUAAUCUAAAGUUAAAAUAAUAAAAUUAAUUUCAUAAUCAAGAUUCAUUUAACCUCAUUUUUUUGCCACGGGUAGCACACUUUGGCAUCGAUACAUGGCCAACUUGAUGUUGAUAAGGGCCGACAAAUUUGUCGAAAAACUGCUUGUCUGAUAUGCUGUACAUUGUACUAAAGCUUGGCCACUUUGUAAUCAAAUUCUUACUUUCCAAAAUCCUUAAAACUUGCAGCCUCGGUUUAUACCUCUUUUCAACGCUGCAUAUAAACGAUAUCGGGUGGCUGAUAAUACACGCCAUGUCGUACUUCCCGCUAGAAACGACAACCUCUUUAACCUUAUUCAUCUUCUCCACAGAAACAGCAAAAGCCGGAACCGACUUCCUAAAAGCCCUCAAAAUGUCGUCUUCCGAAAACCCGAGAUCCCGAAAAGCCUGCAACUUCAUUUCCCACGUCUCGUCGCUCAUCGAAGCAACUGUCCGAACCGCGUGAAUGAACAUUUUCGAACCCCUUUUGACGCCCAUUUCCUCGGCCUUAUUUGCACAUUUUCUUAUAUUUUCGGGAUUCUGUAAUAGAAACCUCGGGAACGAGUUCACCGUCCGAAUAAUCUGUUCCAUGGUUACACAACAGCUCUUCAAGAAAUCGACAUUCGGCAGUAACGUCUUCUCCAAAUCUUUCACCAAAAACCACCCCGAUUUCUUUAGAAGCUUCGCCACCUCCUCGUUGGAUCCCAACAAACCCCUGAGCACGGAUAACGAGGGGAUGAGGAUAUUGUUCGCGCUCCGAAACAAAAUCGACGGGUUAUGCGACGCUAUAUCGGCAAUGUCGUUGCCCGAAAACCCCAAGUCCUGGAAAAUCUUGAUUUUGGGCUUGAUUGAUUUCUCGAGAUUAGCUGAUACCAAAGAGGGUUUGUAUUUCACGAUUUUCCCCAAUUGGGUGCUCGAAAACCCACCUUCUUUGAAGAAUGAAAUAACAAGAUCGGAUUUUUCGGUUUUGUUUAGAUUUGCUAAAUCCGAAUCGAUUACGGGUUGCGUUGCACUAGACGAUUCUGUAGUGGAAUUAUACAAACGGGGAGAGAUUGAGAAAUCAAAGAUGGAUUUGCAGGGAGAUGAAAGUUUCUUCAAUAACAGAGAGAUGGAUUUUUGGCGUACAAAUGCAGCCAUAUUUAUUAUAGAUACAGCACCUUAUAUAUAUGUUUAAAGUUGAAGAAGAGAAUUCCACUUGCCUGAGAAAUGCAAAACACGGCUGCUUAAGCUGUUCUAGGGCUCUUUCAAGGGAGAGUGGCCGCAGUUGAUCUCAGUUUUUGACAGUUGAUUUGUUAGAAACUCAAUUUUCGCCCAUACGAUUGGGCAAAUUACACAGAGCCCCAAUUAAGUUAGAUAUAAUUGCAUAUACACCUCUUUUAUUUAAAAAAUAGGGCGAAUGCACAUUGUUCCACAACAAAAACAGUCUCUCAAUAAAACUCAUCCGCAUGUCCUUAGUCUAAAAUACCCUCCAUAAUAUAAUUCUUAUCAAUUACAUCCAUUAUACUCUAACUUCCUUAUUAUUACACAUUGACCCCGGAUUUAAACAAAUAUAUCACAUUAACCCCCAAAAUAUUUUUUUUUUCAGAAAAUAAUUUUUUUUUCUGAAAUUUUUUUUCCGGGCUUGACUUUUUUUUUUUGAAAUUUUUUUUUUCCUGAAUUUUUUUUCCGACCGGUCAACCACCGUUGACCGCCGGUCUUCGGCGUUGACUUUUCUUUUUUUUUUUUUUAAUUUUUUUUUCUUAGAAAAAAAGUUUUAAUUAAUAUUAUUGUUUUGACUUUUGGCUACUAAAUUACUGUCUCAGUAUUAUUAAUAUUAUUGUCUAAGACAGUUCAAUUACUGUUGGAGACAGUAAUUUAGCAGCCAAUGCAGUAAUAUUAAUUAAAAUAAUUUUUUUUAAGAAUUUUUUUUUUAAAAAAGUUAAUUAACAGUUAAAUUACAGUAAUAUAGCAACGAAUACAGUAAUAUUAAUUACAAAUAUUUUUUUUAAGAAUAAAAAAGUCAAUUAACAGUUAAAUUAGUGUCUCCGACAGUUAAAUAACUGCUGCAGGCAGUAAUUUAGCAACGAAUACUGUAAUAUUAAUUAAAAUAUUAAAAAAAAAAAAGUCAAUUAAUAGUUAAAUUACUGUCCGAUAGUUAAAUAACUGCUGGAGACAGUACUUUAGCAGCGUAGACAGUAAUAUUAAUUUAAAUAUUUUUGAAGAAAAAAAAAAGUCAAUUAAAAGUUAAAUUACUUUCUCCGACAGUUAUUUAACUGUCGGAGACAGUAAUUUAGCAGUCAAGACAGUAAUAUUAAUUAAAAUAUGCUUUUCAAGAAAAAAAAUAAAAAAAAAAAAAAAAAAAAAAGUCAACGCUGGAGACUCGGCGGUCAACGGCAGUUAACCGGCCGAAAAAAAAAAGUCAACGAUGGCGACCGGCGAUCUCCGGUGGUGGCGGGUCAAAAUUGAAAUUAGGGUUAAAAUUGGUUAAUUGAUGAAAUUGGGCUAAAUUGGGGUGUAAAUCAUGAAAUUAUAGUUGAAUUGGGUUUCAAUGAAUUGGGGGUAAUUUUGGUACAUGUAAAAGGAUUUUCAUUACUGCAAAUAAGUUUGAAUGAACUGGAUUUAUUUGAAAGAGAAAAAAGUUGGAUGUCCCUCUUUUAAUUAAGUGCCCUUGUCAUGGGCCUAUUUGCCAUUUGCCCUAAAAAAUAAUACGAACAUCUCGCUUAAAUUUUAGAGCAAAUGUCAACUAGGCCCAUGACAAAGGCAUUUAAUUAAAAAAGGCAAUCCUAUAUUUUUGUCUUGCAACUAUAUCCACCCCAUUCAACGUUAUUCGCUAAUACGUAAAACUCUUUCGUAUAUACCAAAAUUACUCACAACUCCUUGAAACCCUAAUUCUUAUUUAUACCCCAAUUUUGCCUCACCAAUUAACCAAGUUUGAUAACCACUGCCGAUUUCCUGCGUUGACUUUUUUCUUGUUUUGAUUUUUUUUUUAUCUGAAUUUCAUUUCCGGCAGGUCAGCAUCCGUUGACCGCCGGUCUCCGGUGUUAACUUUUUUUUACAUAACUAUUUUUCAUUAAUAUUACUGUCUUAACCUGCGAUAUUACUGUCUCAACAGUAAUAUUGCAGUCAAAUACAAUAAUCUUAUUGUCAAAGACAAAUUUUGCAGUCACAUACAAUAAUAAUAUUGUCAAAGACAGUAAUAUUACUGUCCUAACUGUAAUAUUACUGUCAGACAGUACUAUUGUUGUUAACACAGUAAUAUUAAUGUAUUAAUUAAUUUUAUCGUCUUGACCUGCAGUAUUAUGUCCUGACCGUAUUAUUAUUGUCUCUGACAAUAGUAAUAUUACUAUUUUGGCAUUCAAUAUUACUGUCUCAGACAGUAAUUUAGGUAGAAGAAAAAAAGGUUAAUAAAAAGUCAAUGGCGGCUGACAGGCAGGGAAAAAUAUUUUAGUAAAAAAUAAAAUAAAAUUCAACGCAGGAAUCUGGCUGGAAAAAAAAUCAAAAAAAUCAAAAAUUUGUGAAAAUGGGGGGUUAAUGUGAUUUAUUUGUUCAAAUCCGGGGUCAAUGUGCAAUAUUGAUGAAGUUAGAGUAUAAUGGAUGAAAUUGAUGAAAAUUAUAUUAUGAAGUGUAUUUUAGACAAAGAUAUGGGAUGGGUUUAUUUGUAAAACUUUUACUUGUCUGGAGUUAUAUGCAUUUUAAGUCUAGCCCUAUGGUCCUAUUUGUCAUUUGCCCUAAAUGUUAUACAGUAGAACAUCGAUAAAUUAAUACUCAAUAAAUUAAUAAUCUCGCUUAAAUAAUAGUUUAUCUCAGUCCCGACUCGGUGAUAACGUGUUAAAUUAUUAACUCGAUAAUUUAAUAAUUCGCUAAAUUAAUAGAAUUUAUCUAGUCCCGACUGUAUUAAUUUAUUGAGGUUUAACUGUACUAAAAUACUUCACACAUAAAGGCAUAAGAGAAUUAUUAAUGCUGGAAGACGACUUUGUUCUUUCAUAUGUAAAACUUAUUACCUACGUUUUUCAUCCCGUAAUAAUUUUAGUUUUUUGGUUGCAAAUACUAGACUCUUCGGUAAAGGUCAUUUAGAUCCUUGAUGCUAGUUCGAGUUGCUUACUCGCGAGCAAAUUAUGCAAUUUUUUCUGCAUUUUUUUUGGUAAACUCACACAAAUGACCAUUUUUAAACUGGACGUUAGUAAGGCAUAUGAUCGGAUCGAGUGGGUUUUUUUUAGAAGAAUCUUGAGUCGUCUCGGUUUUCCCUCUAGCUUGAUUGAAUUGAUUGUGUUAUGUGUUUCAUCUCUUUCUUAUGCAUUUUUGUUCAAUGGUUACCAGUUUGGUUCGAUUAUGUAAUUAUUGGAAUAAUAGGGGGCUUCGUCAGGGCGAUCCCCUUUCGCCUUAUCUCUUCAUUUGUUGCACUGAGUCCCUUAUCUCGAUAAUCCAAAAGGCGGCCGAUAGUGGAGAAAUUCAAGGCAUCAAAAUUGCUCCGACGGCUCCGCCGAUCUCGAACCUUUGCUUCGCAGAUGAUACACUUAUUUUUUCCCAUGCUACUGUGUUGAGUGUGUCCACCCUUAGGCGUAUUCUUGAUGAGUAUGUGCUUGCCUCGGGUCAACUAAUUAACUUGGAUAAAUCUACCAUGGUUUUCUGUCCAUCUACUACGAGUAGGAGAAGGAGGGUGAUUGCAAAUAUUCUUCGAUUUCAAGUGGUGGAUAAACAUGACAAGUACUUGGGUAUGCUGUCUUCGAUGGAAUCGUCUAGUAAGGCGGUUUUUGGUUACCUCAGAGAUAGUGUUUGGAAUAAAAUCAAAGGCUGGUGCGAAAAGAAGAUAUCGAAGGCAGGGGAAAGAGGUUCUUAUCAAGUCAGUCGUACAAGCUAUUCCAUCCUAUAUUAUAGGAUGCUUUAGAGUGGGUAAUGGUCGAGAAACUGCCAUUUGGGGUGACCCAUGGUUAGUGGAAGACGGGGCAUUUCGAAUUGUUACAGGAAGACCAAUCAACUCCUCAUUUCCAAACGUGGUGGUUGAUCUCAUCGACCCAAAUAUCCGAUCAUGGAACACAAAUAUUUUAUCGGAAUUCUUUUGGCCAGUGGAUAAUCAUCGAAUACUAGCGGUUCCUAUUGGAAGUGAUCUUUCAAAACAUACUGUAAUCUGGGACUAUACAUCGAGUGGAAACUUCUCUGAGAAAUCAUGCUAUCAAGUUAUUCUUGCAGGUCGAGUGCACACGAAGGAUUCGUCGAGUCACCGAGAUGGGGCAGUUAGUGGAACGGUAAAAAAAAGUUGGAAAUUUAUUUGGUCUAUUCCCGCUCCCCCAAAGUUUGUAUCUUUACCUGGCCGGCCUGCUCGGAUAUUAUCCCUACCUCGGCGGAACUUUAUCGAACAAAUUUAUCAUUAUUUAUAUAUUAUUUAUCUUGUAAUCCAUUUUAAAUAACCACAAAAACCGAUUUUUAUGGUAAAAUUGAACAAUUGAACAAUUGCUUGGAGUUUCUUCAAUAGUGAGUACAACACUAAUAAUUUUGUGGAGAGUUUUGAAGCAGCGAAAUGUUUAUAUAUACACAUAGAAUUUUUUAUUUUUUAUUUUUGCCAGGGGAAAUUUGUUGAAGACGUCGAGAAAACUUAAUUCUAUUGAGAUUUUUACGCAAAGAAAACUCAAUUAUGUUGAGGUUUUUUUUUUUUUUUUUUUGACGUGCUCCUAUCUUUUAGGACAAUAUUUGAUAGUUAUUUAUCUAGGAUGUAUUUUUACUUCCGGAUGGAUGAGUUAUCAAAAUAGAACCCUAUUUUAAUAAGAGCAAAUCACAAAUAUGCACAUGACAAGAGCACUUAAUUAAAAUGGGACAUCUAACCUUUUGUCUUCCAAAUAAAUCGAGUUCAUUCAAACUUAUUUGCAAAUAAAGAAAACCUUUUUAUAUAUAUCGAAAUUACCCCCAACUCCUUAAAACCCUAAUUCAACUCCAAUUUCAUGAUUUACACCCCAAUUUAGCCCCCCAAUUUCACACAUAACCAAUUUUGACCCUUAUUCUAAUUUGACCCCAAUUUUGACCGCCACCACCGGAGACACCGGUCAGCCGACGGAGACCGCUGGUCUUCCUCCGACGUUGACUUUUUAUUUGUAUUUGAAUUUUUUUUUUCUGAAAACCUUUUUUUUUGGUCUACACUAACUAUAAAAGGCAUAUGAGAGGGUUUUCUCAAAUACUCCCUAAAAUAUAAUUGGAGUUGUAAAGUACAAUAAAAUUCAAGGAAAAAUGAGGGAUACCCGCUCAUUUGGUAAAAUAAUAUAGUUUGAACUCAAUUUAUAAUUGACCAUUUGUAAACAAACUAAUUUAAUAUUUUUUGAAUUGUGUGACCCCUAAGUUUAUGUUAAUUGUUAAUUGUGCAAACUCAUUUAAAAUAAUGAUAGGUGGUUAGUGCUAAUAAUUUUUGUAAUGAGGGGUUAUGCCUCAUUAACCCUAAAUUGAAUAGAGUUUUAUUGGACAAUAAAUAUUAUUAUUAUUAUUAUUAUUAUUAUUAUUAUUAUUAUUAUUAUUAUUAUUAUUAUUAUUAUUAUUAUUAUUAUUAUUAUUAUUAUUAUUAUUAUUAUUAUUAUUAUUAUUAUUCAGAAAAUAAAAUAAAAUACUAAUAUGCGUAACCAAAAAGGAUACGUACUCUUUUCUGAACCAAAAUAGGGAAAGUAAAAUUUAACCAAAAAAAAAAAGAAAAGAAAAAAAGGGAACGAAAAAGAAAUCGAAAAGGAACACGUGUGGAGGUGGCCUCAUAUUUGGAAAAUAAUUAAAUUAAAAAAAAAAACGAAUAAAAUACUAAUAUGACAAGGAGUUCUGACCCUCUGAUCCGAUUAAUCACAGCCGUCCAUUCAACACCGACUCUUCUAUAAAUACCCAUCCCCUCCUACAACCGCAACUAAUUCCUUCCUCUCUCGUCUGUCAUUGGUUUGAUCGGCUUUGCUUCUCUGCGGAUUAGAGUUUUGUUUGAUUAUUUAUUUGUCGUCUCCGUUUUUCUAGAUUAUAUGUAUCAUCGUCGCUAUGAAACUUGCGCAAUUCAAUUUAAUUCAAUCGGCUGCGAUUAUCCGUCGUUUGUUUUUUCUUCUCUUUCGCGAUACCGUCUGAUUUUGGUCCUGAUUUGAUUUUAUUUGGGGUUAUUUUGUCGGUAUGAUAAUCGUAUCAUUAUGGAUUCGCCGGCGUAUCUUUUUCCCCGGCCGUUUGAUUGUGGUUCUGAAUUGGUUUUGGUGAUUUUGAUCCGGCGUGGUAUUAGGUAUGAUAUCCGGUUAUGCAUCAACAAGUGGUUUUUGCGUUUGGAUUGUGUUUUAUCUUGCUAGGGUUUGGUAAUCGGCUGAUUUGAUUUUUGCUCAACCUUGAAUAUGAUUUUGAUCCGGCGUUGUUCUAGGGUUUGGUAAUCGGCUGGUUUGAAUGCAGGUAUGUGAUAAUUGCUUUUAUAUUACAAUUUGUUACUCUGCUCUUCUGAAAAAGUUUCUUCCUUUUGAUCUGUAUAUAUGUUUUCGAUGUUCAACCUAUUUGUCUGCUGAUUAAGAUUUGAUUCUCCUUAUGAUAUAUAUGCGCAAUCUCUCUUUCUCUCUCUAACUGUAGAUCACAAUUUUUUAAUGUAUCUUUUAAAUCCCUUUACUUCUUUACUACUUUAUUUUGGUACGUUCUGUUUGUGGUUUUAGGAAAGGUUUCAUCUUUAUUUUAUGGAGCUAGGCUAACUGUGCAACUAGAACGAUGGAUCUGAUCUCGGUUGCUUAAGCUAGAGAUCUCGGUUGGAUCUGAUGAUGGCAAGAUAAUUUAUUUUGUGAUUUAAUAAUUACCUUUUGUUUCUGAUUGUGUAAUAUGUUGAUCAGUGGGUUCUAGUUGUGUCUACUGUUAGAUAUGAUUUUUUCUGUUCCAGAUUAUAUAUUCUUAAUGUAAACAUCAUCCUUUUCAUUCGGUUUUCAGAUUUUUACUUUAUAUGACCACAAGAUUUCCUGUUCUUAUUUGGGUGAUUUUGUACGGCCACUGUUUUGUCUGUUUUCCGAUUGUUCGAGUUUGGAUUAUGUUCUCCUCUGGUCUCUGAUGGUCCUUUGGUUUGGUUUUCUUAUAUGAGAUGGCAUAGACAGCGCUUCAAGUUGAGUAUUUUCUCCUUAUCUUGGUUUUGCUUUUAUGAUAGUUUUGGUUAAAAUAUGUUUGCUCGCAAUAUGAUAUUGUUCAAUCUCGCUUUCUCCCCCAUCCUCCUUAUUUUAUAACUUUAGAUCACAUUUUUUUUUUACUGUACGUCUAUCUUUUAAAGUUGUGCUAAUUCCAUAUACAUUUUUUAAAAUAGGCUCUGCAACUGCUUAUGUACCCUUGGACCCUUUGGAUAGGAUUACCUAUUGACUAAGCGGGAGAUAGUUUAUUUAGCCGUCCUACCAGUCGCAUAAGGGAAGUGUCGUCGUCCUACCAGUCGCAUAAGGGAAGUGUCGUAUCAGGAGCCUCUCCUAUGUUAUAUGUUUCUUUUCUCUGCCUUAUGUCUAGGUCUUCUUUGAAUGAUAAUUUAUUUGGCAAGGUAUUUAGGUAUUCUUUCAAUGAUAGCAUCUUUUCCUCUAGACUUAGAGUGACCUCCCGUGAUAUAGCGCGAGUAAGGGCCACAAAAUGCCCAUACUUGGUGUGCCUAUCCACCACUAUCCAAAUAACAUCCUUUAUUAUAGGCUUAAGAGUGACCUCCGGUGAUAUGGUGCGAGUAAGGGCCCGUACUUGGUGAGCCUAUCCACUACUAUCCAAAUAGCAUCCUUUCUUCUAGACUUAGUAGUGACCUUCGGUGAUAUGGCGCGAGUAAGGGCCCUUACUUGGUGAGCCUAUCCACCAGUAUCCAAAUAGCAUCCUUUCUUCUAGACUUAAGAGUGACCUCCGGUGAUAUGGCGCGAGUAAGGGCCCGUGCUUGGUGAGCCUAUCCACCGGUAUCCAAAUAGCAUCCUUUCUUCUAGACUUAAGAGUGACCUCCGGUGAUAUGGCGCGAGUAAGGGCCCGUGCUUGGUGAGCCUAUCCACCGCUAUCCAGAUAGCAUCCUUUCUUCUAGACUUAAGAGUGACCUCCGGUGAUAUGGCGCGAGUAAGGGCCGGUGCUUGGUGAGCCUAUCCACCGCUAUCCAAAUAGCAUCCUUUCUUCUAGACUUUAGAGUGACCUCCGGUGAUAUGGCGCGAGUAAGGGCCCGUACUUGGUGAGCCUAUCCACCUCUAUCCAAAUAGCAUCCUUUCUUCUAGACUUAAGAGUGACCUCCGGUGACAUGGCGCGAGUAUGGGCCCGCACUUGGUGAGCCUAUCCACCACUAUCCAAAUAGCAUCCUUUCUUCUAGAAAUAAGAAUGACAUUCAGUGUGAUAUGGCGCGAGUAAGGGCCCUUACUUGGUGAGCCUAUUCACCACUCUCCAAAUAGCAUCUUUUCUUUUUGACUUAGAGUGUGACCUCCGGUGAUAUGGCGCGAGUAAGGGCCCGUGCUUGGUGAGCCUAUCCACCGCUAUCCAAAUAGUAACUUUUUUUUUUGACUUAAAGAGUGACCUCCGGUGAUAUGGCGCGAGUAUGGGCCCCUACAUGGUGAGCCUAUCCACCGCUUUCCAAAUAGUAUCUUUUUUUUAGACUUAAGAGUGACCUCCGGUGAUAUGGCGCGAGUAUGGGCCCGUACUUGGUGAGCCUAUCCACCACUAUCCAAAUAGCAUCCUUUCUUCUAGACUUAAGAGUGACCUUCGGUGUGAUAUGGAACGAGUAAGGGCCCUUACUUGGUGAGCCUAUUCACCACUAUCCAAAUAGCAUCUUUUCCUCUAGACUUAGAGUGUGACCUCCGGUGAUAUGGCGCGAGUAAGGGCCCGUGCUUGGUGAGCCUAUCCACCGCUAUCCAAAUAGUAACUUUUUUUUGGACUUAAGAGUGACCUCCGGUGAUAUGGCGCGAGUAAGGGCCCGUACUUGGUGAGCCUAUCCACCGCUAUCCAAAUAGUAUCUUUUUUUGAGACUUAAGAGUGACAUCCGGUGAUGUGGCGCGAGUAAGGGCCCUUACUUGGUGAGCCUAUCCACCACUAUCCAAAUAGCAUUCUUUCUUUAGACUUAAGUGUGACCACCGGUGAUAUGGCGCGAGUAAGGGCCCUUACUUGGUGAGCCUAUCCACCACUAUCCAAAUAGCAUCCUUUCUUCUAGACUUAGUAGUGACCUUCGGUGAUAUGGCGCGAGUAAGGGCCUUUACUUGGUGAGCCUAUCCACCGGUAUCCAAAUAGCAUCCUUUCUUCUAGACUUAAGAGUGACCUCCGGUAUAUGGCGUGAGUAAGGGCCCGUGCUUGGUGAGCCUAUCCACCGCUAUCCAAAUAGCAUCCUUUUUCCUAGACUUAAGAGUGACCUCUGGUGAUAUGGCGCGAGUAAGGGCCCGUGCUUGGUGAGCCUAUCCACCUCUAUCCAAAUAGCAUCCUUUCUUCUUGACUUAAGAGUGACCUCUGGUGAUAUGGCGCGAGUAAGGGCCCGUACUUGGUGAGCCUAUCCACCGCUAUCCCAAUAGUAUCUUUUUUUUAGACUUAAGAGUGACCUCCGGUGAUAUGGCGCGAGUAUGGGCCCGUACUUGGUGAGCCUAUCCACCACUAUCCAAAUAGCAUCCUUAAUGUCUAGACUUAAGAGUGACCUUCGGUGUGAUAUGGCGCGAGUAAGGGCCCUUACUUGGUGAGCCUAUUCACCACUAUCCAAAUAGCAUCUUUUUCUCUAGACUUAGAGUGUGACCUCCGGUGAUAUGGCGCGAGUAAGGGCCCGUGCUUGGUGAGCCUAUCCACCGCUAUCCAAAUAGUAACUUUUUUUUAGACUUAAGAGUGACCUCCGGUGAUAUGGCGCGAGUAAGGGCCCGUACUUGGUGAGCCUAUCCAUCGCUAUCCAAAUAGUAUCUUUUUUUGAGACUUAAGAGUGACCUCCGGUGAUGUGGCGCGAGUAAGGGCCCUUACUUGGUGAGCCUAUCCACCACUAUCCAAAUAGCAUUCUUUCUAUAGACUUAAGAGUGACCUCCGGUGAUAUGGCGCGAGUAAGGGCCCUUACUUGGUGAGCCUAUCCACCACUAUCCAAAUAGCAUCCUUUCUUCUAGACUUAAGAGUGACCUUGGGUGAUAUGGCGCGAGUAAGGGCCCUUACUUGGUGAGCCUAUUCACCACUAUCUAAAUAGCAUCUUUUCCUUUAGACUUAGAAUGACCUCCGGUGAUAUGGCGCGAGUAAGGGCUCGUACUUGGUGAGCCUAUCCACCGCUAUCCAAAUAGCAGCCCCACAAUGAAAUCCAUGGUGAUGUAAGACCAGCCUUCAAAUCUUCGUUCAGCCGUCCUAAAAAAGCCCUAUUGUAAAAUUCUUCAGUUAAGUUUCUGUAUGAGUGACUUAUGAAGAAGGCGUUUAGCUCUUCAAACUUCACCCUAUAGUCCUUCAUUGAGCUCUCUUGCCUCAGUUUGUGGAACUGCAAGAAAACUGCUCCACCAUAUUAGAAAACACAUUCCACCCUAUAGGAUGUUACAUUUCCUAACCCAUCCUCGAGUGUUUGUGACAUGGUUUUUGCAGAGUAUUAUUUCUUGGCUUAGAUUUUGGGAGCAGUCCUGAAAGUGUUCGGAUGUUAUUUCUAUCAGGUUUUCUGUUAUUUUGCUUUGUGAUUUUAGUUGGUCAGAUAAUGCACCAAUGGUGUGGAACGUGCUGCUUCUGCAGAUCAAGUGAGUAGUUAUUCUGAAGAUCUCUUUUUGGUUUUGAUCCAUGCUUUAUAAAUCUUGAAGUGGUCUUGUAUGCAUUGAGCAAGUUAACGUUCGUCUAUGAAGAUUUUGUUUUUUUUUCCCGGCAAUUUUUCUGCACAUUCUUGAAGUUGGGACUAUGCAUCCCAGAAUAGUAAACCUGGUUCAGUUACCCGUGUUGGAUUUCGUACGUGUAGGAUUCGUUGAUGUUAUGAUACAUUUGUGGCUGCCGUUGGGGCCUCGGUUUCUGCUCGUAUGUUGUGAUUCUUAUGAGGAGACUUUAGAUUUACUGCUUUGCUGUUUUGAGGAUGUUUAAAAUCUAUUGAAUAUGCUUUGGAUUACCAUUCUACACAGUUCUUGGUCACUUCUUCAUCGUGAUUUCUACUAUUUGAGAAUUUUCAAAUGCGUGAAAUUGUCUUUUUGCAGAUUGUGAGUUAAUGUUCGUAAUAUGCUAAAGUGAUGCAUUUUUCAAGUCUCAAUGAAUUUAUUUGAUUAAGAUUUAGUUCUGCGUAAAUGUGCAAGUAUUAGUUGCCUUAUGUGAUAAAAUUUAUUUCCUCUUGGACUUGUCCUCGAUACGACUUUGGUAAUUUUUUUCACAUGAGGUUUUUCCUUCAUCAGUAAUGUUCGCCACAAUAAUUAAAAUACAAAAAAGGGAAAUGAAUGAUUGAAACGAGUACGAAAGUUUUUUGUAGUAACUAAGCUUUUAUCCCAUCUAUUAUUUUCUGUGAUUUUUAGCUGCUUAGGGAUUAGUGGGAUACCGUAUUAAUUAAUUUACUUAUAAAAUUAACCUACUUAUAUGCCAGUAUGAAGACUCUUAAAAACAAUUUUGUCGAAUGUAAUAAUAGCCCGGAGGCACAAGUAGAUUAGUAGGUAUAUGAAUCAAAAUAUUUCUCAGCCUUAAUUAAUAUUUGUUGUCUGGAGGCACAAGUAGAUUAGUACAAUGUCCUUGCUUCUAUCUGUAUGUGUACUAUGUGUGUGUUUUACUGUUGCUAGUUGUAUAUAGAUUUAUUUUUGUAACUCCGCCUGUGCUGCAAUAUUUGCUCAGCACAGCCGGUCCCAAGCCCGGGUAAAGGAGGAGGGCCGAGAAUAUCUAACUAUCAAACAUUAAUAAUAUGUUGUUCGAGCAUGACAAAUCAGUUUUACCAUUUUUCCCUUAACCAAACCCUUUUUUUGGCCUUUGGAAGCAAAUUUUGAUAUCAUUCGUACUUGCCAAAACAAGUUAAUAGAAAACAUAAGCCCCCGAAAUUUUGAUAUCAUUCGUACUUGCACUGAUAAGUUAACUUUUUAUGCGAAAAAAAAAGCAUGGAGAUUAUAUAGUUAACUUUUCAUUUUUCUACAUUUAGACGUAGUAAUGUAUUAUCAAAUUACGUGUGGCUUCUUGAACUUUCUCUGCAUGUCCUCUGGUUUUUUUUGUGGCUUGUUUGGUUGUAUUUAUUCUUCAGUAAAACAAGCUGUAUGUUCGAGUUUGUCUUCUUAGUACCUCCUAGAGCUCUGGGUUGCGGAGUUGAUUGUGCUAUGAUUGUUUCUCAAUUUUCUUAGCAGGAUUUAAGGUAAUCAUAAUGGCAUAUUUAUAGCUCUACGCUCCUUUUAUAAUUGAAUAAUCUAUAAUCUUUAAUUUAUUAACUUUUCUACCUUGAAUAGGAUAAUUUAAAUUAUAAUUUAUAAUUUAUAAUUUAUGGAUGAUUAUCAGCUUGAUUUUAUCUGUAUAUAAUAUUUUGGCUAGAAUUCACGAGUAACUCUCUGCUUAGGCUGCAUGUUCUGUGUUGAGUCUUUUACUUCUUUUUGCUACAUAUAAUUCAUAAAUUAUAAAUUAUAAUGUACUGAUUUUUGACUUUGAAUUUUUAUUUAACAUUUUCAUAAACUUGCUGUAUAUAAAAUUUAUUUUUGAUAGUGGCAUUUAAAAUAUGUUUCUUGCAUUCUUGUUAAUUAACAUGCCAUCCUAGGUCCACUAGUUUCAAUCCCUUAGUUUUGACGGGACUUACUUUUCUAAGUAAUCUAGUAAAAUUGCAAUUUGGUUUGACUACUAAAAGGAAGUUGACAUUGAUAUUCUAUUGGGCUUUAAUUUUAAACUAGAGGCUGAUAAUUUUAUUCAUAAGUAACCUUUUGCUAUUAUGUGUCAAGAAUUUCGACUCUUCUUUUGCUUGUCGGUUACUGACUUCUUAUCUUUCGGUGGUUCGCUUCUCUGGAGCUGUGAUUUUUUAUUUACUUUAUUUUUCUUUGGUAGUCUUCAGUUAACCCUAUCAUGAAUUUCUUGAUUCCGGGAGACGGUUUUAUCAUAUUAACUUGCCAUGUGAACUUCACCGCAAAAUAUGAGAUCACGAUGUCUUCAUGAAUGGUGUUCUUUGUUUUCUUCACAAGGUUUCUGCAGAGUAUUAUUUCUUUCCUUCGAUUUUGAAAGCAGUCGUAAAAGUGUUUCGGGUGUUAUUCCUAUCAGUAUUUCUGUUAUUUUGCAACUGGAAUUGUGUGUGCUUUUUAGUUGGUCUGAUAAUGCACUACUGGUGUGGAACGUGCUUCUUCUGCAGAUCAAGUGAGUAGUAUUCUUUAUUGUGGCCUUGAACAUCUAUUUGGUUUUCUUGAUGCAUUGAGCAAGUUAAGGUUCAUGUAUAUUAUGCAUCUAUGAGGAUUUGGUAUUUUUUCCUGGCGAUUUUUCUACACAAUCGAAGUUGGCACUAUGCAUAUAUCUCAGAAUAAGAAAAACCUGGUUCAGUUGCCCAUGUUGGAUUUCGCGCGUGUAGGGGGGUUUGUUGAAAUUAUGAUCCAUUAGACUUAAUAUUGUUGUCAAGUAGCUGCCGUGUUUGAAGUUUACUGUUAGGGCCUUGGUUUCUGCUCGUAUGUUGUGAUUCUUUUUUUUUUUUUUUUUUGAGUAAGUAUGUUGUGAUGAUAUUAGAUUUGUUGCUCUGCUGUUUUGAGGAUGUUUAAAGUCUAUUGAAUAUGCUUUGGAUUACCAUUCUGCAGAGUUCUUGGUCAAUUCUUCAUCGUGAUUUGUACUUCCUAGUGCGUGAUAUUGUCUUUUGCAGAUUGUGAGGUAAUGUUUUUAUCUGACACUGGUAAUAUGCUAAAGUGACGCAUUUUUCAAGACUCGGUGAAUUUAUUUGAUUAAGGUUUGUGUCUGCGUAAUUGAUUUAAGUAUUAGGUACCUUAUUUGAUAAAAUUUGUUUCCUCUUGGAUUUGUCUCUGAUACGACUUUGGUAAUUUUUUUCACAUAAGGUGUUUCCUUUAUCAGUAAUGUUUUCCACAAUAAUUAAAAGAAAAAAAGGGAAAUGAAUGAUUUAGAGGAGUAAGAAUGUUUUUACUAGUAAAGCUUUUAUCCCAUCUACUAACCUUUUUGAUUUUUAGCUGCUUAGUGAUUAACUAAUUUACUUAUAAUUUGACCUACAUGUUUGCCAGUAUGAAAAUUCAUAAAUUUGACCUACUUGUUUGCUUAGUGAUUGGACUCGUCUAGGUUCAGGCAAUCUCUUUUUCCUUCUUACUGUUGUUGAUUGUAGUUGUUUGUUUGUCUGAUCACUAUGUUUUUUCUGGUUAUGGGACUUGCUCGCCUUUUUUGCAGAACCCGUAGUAGUGGUAAAGUUGGCAUGUAUGAUUAUGAAUCAAGGCCCUGGCAGUAAUGUGGUUUGUGUACCAAAGCUUUCGAAUUUUGGAAAAUUCCACAAGUCUGUUCUUCGGGUUUUGGGGUUUGCUCGCCUUUUUUUUGCAGAACUUAGAUGGGAUCGGCCGUAUUAUAUGUUAACUGCUCUCCAUCGAGUCUUUGUCAUCGGAAUUUUGUGACCGUUCAUCAUCACUUCAUGAACCAGCAUACUUGGUGGAGGUGAAAUUCGGUGUGUAUUAUAUUUUCAGGCCUUUUAAGCUUACGUCUUCUUAAUGGAUUGCCAAGACUCGUUUAAUUGAACAUCCUCCAAUUCUUUAGUGAUUUCUGUUGUCGGCAGUUUGUUCGUUGGAGUUUUUUUUGGUUGUGUUUGUUAGACAUGUGUUGCUUUAAUUUGUUGUUCUUUAUGGUUAUUUUAUGGCAAUUUAUAUAUUAUAUAUCUGCAUAUGCAUAUUGAAAAACCAGUUCCCUGUUUCAGCUGCAUGUUCAAUUUGAUACUCUCAAUUAUUUAUGCCAUUUGAUAACUUCAACAAUACGCAUUAAAAUAGACAAAAGUAAGCAAAUCCAACUACGUUUGGCUUCUUGAAUUUUCUCGAGUUUCUUUUUGUGGCUUUUUUGGUUGUAUAUUUAUUGUUCAGUGAACAAGGUGUAUGUUCGAGCUCGUCUUCCUAGUACCACCUAGAGCUCCAGGUUGGUUGCUGAGUUGAUGGUGUUAUGCUUGUUUCUCUAUUUUCUUAGCGGGAAUUAAGGUAAUCAUAAUGACAUAUAUAAUUGAAUUAUGUUGAAUCUCAAUUUGGUUAUUGACUUUUUUAUCUUUCUGUGGUUUGCUUUUCUCGAGCUGUGGUUUUUUAUUUACUUUAUUUUUCUUUGGCAGUCUUCAGUUAAUCUCUAUCGUGAAUUUCUCGAUUCUGGGAGACAGUUUUAUCAUAGUAACUUGCCUCGUGAACUUCACUACACAAUAUGAGAUCAUGACUUGCAAUAAGACCCCGCCUUGUAUCUCGAUUCUUUGGUUUCUUCACCGAGUUUUGGUUUCUUGCCUUAGAUUUUGAAAGCAGUCGUAAAAGUAUUAGCUGCUUAGUGAUUAACUUAUUUACUUGUAAAAUUGAACUGCUUGUUUGCCAGUAUGAAAACUCAUAAAAACUAUGGUAUAUGAAUCAAACUAUUUCUCAGCCUUAAUUAAUAUUUGUUGUCUGGGAUGGUAGGUACAGUUUCCUUGAUUAUAUCUAUGUGUGAUUAUGUGGGUGUGUUUUAGUGUUGGUAGUUGUAUAUAUAGGUUUAUUCUUGUAACUCCACCCGUGCCUGCAUUAUUUGCUCAGCACAGCUCGUCCCAAGCCCGGGUAAAGGAGGAGGGCCGAUAAUUUUUUUCCCCUUUGGCCUCGUUUGCUUGCUAUUAUUAGAUUAGAUUAAUUAAAUAGUAGGAGUUAGUGAGAUGUUUGGUUGAAAAAAUUCAAUAUUACUCAAGCCCGCUACUAAAUUUGAAGUCCGCAAUUAAGUGCUACUAUGUCAUGAAAUUAGUAACACCCCUCCCCUGCGAUUAAUUUAGUAAGGGUGACUAAAAUGGAAAAUUACAAAUUUAUCCUUCAAAUAAUGAUUUAAUUUUGUUAAAUAGAAGACUUUUUAGACAAUUUACGUAGUAUAAUAGAAUUUAACAAAUUUAAUACAACAUGUAAUCUAAAGAACCAAACAUAUUAUUGACUAUUUAAUUAGUUAACCAGUAAGAAAUUAAUCCAAUCUAAUCUAAUCCGAUCUAAUCCAAUAUAGGUAAGCAAACGAGGCCUUUAAGUUUUAGAUUCCAAAUUUUUUUUGAAUUGGAAUUCCAAAACCGUUUUGUACUUCUAGAGAUUGGAAAGAUCCAAAGGGCCUAAAAUAUAUUUUUGAGCCUAGGGCCCCAUAUAGGCUUGAGCCGACUGUGUACACAAUUUGUUCAACAGCUUAAGACAAUCUUAGAGACGUGCUAUUUUCACCGUUUAUUUCACUACAAAACUAAAUAUAUUUUCGAUUUUACCCAUGUUUUCUCUUUCACCUAUAUUAUGUACAAAUUCAUAAACUAGAAAAAAAGACAGCAAUAUUAAUUAAAAUAUUUUUUUAAGAGAAAACAAUUUUUUUUUAAAGUAAACGCUGGAGACUGGUGGUCAAUGGCGACUGGCCGGGGUCUCCGGUAGUGGCGGGUCAAAAUUGGGGUAUAAAUCAUGAAAUUGGAGUUAAAUUGAGUUUCAAUGAUUUGGGGGUAAUUUUGGUAUAUAUAAAAUGGUUUUCCUUAUUUACAAAUAAGUUUGAAUGAGCUGGAAUAAUUUGAAAGACAAAAAAGUUGGAUGUUCAUUUUUUCAUUAAGUGCCCUUGUCAUGGGCAUCUUUGUCAUUAACCUUUAAGGGCUUGUUCGGUUAUCGCUAUAAGGUUCUACUGGCUAAAUAGUAGAGACUAAUAAUAUGUCCGGUUGACAAGAUUCAUACUUUUUCAAACACACUAUUAAAAUCAAAGUCCCGCUAUUAAAUGCUACUAUUUCAUUAAAUUAGUAGCACCCCGAGAUUAAUUUAAUAGGGGUGACUAAAAAAGAAAAAUACAAUUUUAUCCUUAAAAUCUUAUUUUGUUAUUGUAACAUAAAUGGUUUUAUAGACAAUUCAUAUAUAAUAACUGAUUUUAAUAAAUUUAAUAGAAAAUCUAAUCUAAGAAACCGAACAUGCUACUAACUUAAUUAGUCAGUAGGGAGUUAAUCCAACCUAAUCCAAUAUAGGUAACCGGGCAAGCCCUAAUUAAAUUAAUAUUUAAUAAAUUAAAAUUCAAUCAUAUCUAAUUUACCCUCACAUGUCAUAUAAUUUUUAAGAUCAGUGAUUACGUGAAACCAUAUUUCUCUUUUCCCUUUUUUCUCCACCAGCCGACAUUCUCCACUUUUUGCCACAGCUCUGUGCCUUAGCCACCGGAAUUCACCUCCUCCGCCGCCGUGCUCCACUGCCACCAUCCUACAUUCGCCAAAGCGGUUAGAUAUGCUAGGGUUUCGGAUUACGCCAUUAGAGCGACUACUCUAGGCUGCCAUCUCCCCCUUCCAUCUCUGCACCGCUACCAUCAUCUACUCCUUAUCACCUCUGGCGGUCGAGCUCUCUUUUGUUCACCGCUGCUAUCUCCUUCUAGGGAUGGCAAUGGGGCGUGUUUUGCAAUCCCCAUCCCUGUCCUGCUAUGAAAAUCCCCAUCCCCAUCACUGUCAAAAUCCCCAAACUCUAUAAAAAGAAUUCCCAUACUCGUCCCAUAAAAUCCCCACGUGUAUUGUGGCGAGUAAAAAUCCCCGUUUAUUUUUUUUUUCCUUUUUUUUUUAAAUAAAUAAAUAUGCAAAUAUGCAAUGUACUUAUAAUUUAAAGGCUUAUCUCAACAAACAAACCAAUAUUUAAAUAUAAUACUACUAUUUAAUUAUAUAAUCGAAACCUAAAAAUUCCCAUUUGUAGCUAACAUUUAAUAUAUUACUACUAAUUAGUUAUUUAUAUUUAAUAUAAUAAUUAAUAAAUAUAUAUUAUAUAUGUAUUGUUUGAAGGCCAAUUUUUAUAUUUCUCAGCUUUGAUAGUUGCCCGGAAUGGUAUGUACAAUUUCCUUGCUUCUAUCUAUAUGUGAUUAUGUGUGUGUGUUUUUUUGUUACUAAUUGUAUAUAGGUUUUAUGUUUGUAACUCCGUGCCUGCAAUAUUUGCUCAGCAUAGCCAGUCCCAAGCCCGGGUAAAGGAGGGGGGCCGAUAAUUUUUUUUAUUCUAAAUUUUUUUGAAUUGGAAUUCCAAAACCGUUUUGUACUUGUGAAAAGAUCCAUUUUUCUUUUUAAAGAGGUCGAUUUCGGUCCGUUGCAUCGGACUUCCCAUUGUCUUUCCCUUGUUUCUCCUUCUCUAUUAAUAAUUGCUAUUCAUAUAUGCNNNNNNNNNNNNNNNNNNNNNNNNNNNNNNNNNNNNNNNNNNNNNNNNNNNNNNNNNNNNNNNNNNNNNNNNNNNNNNNNNNNNNNNNNNNNNNNNNNNNNNNNNNNNNNNNNNNNNNNNNNNNNNNNNNNNNNNNNNNNNNNNNNNNNNUUAAAUAUAGGGCAUGUUACAAAUAAGCCCAUCAAUGGGUACUUAUUCAUAAAGAGAUCCAGACAAAAAUCUCAUUUACCAAUAAGUCCACACAUGGUCCAGAUUUUUGUAAAAGACUAAACUAACCCCUCAUACUUUAAUAUGCUCCAAUUUCAUCUUUAACUUAAUUUAACUUCAAUUUGACCCCAAAAUUCACAAAUUAUUCAAUUUUGACCCAAAACUUUUUUUUUUUCAAAUUUUUUUUUUUCAAAAACUUUUUUUUUUCCGCCGGAUUCCGGCGUUGACUUUUCAAAUUUUUUUUUUUCGUCUUCCGGAUUCCGGCGUUGACUUUUUUGAAUUUUUUUUUUUCUUUUCAUUUUUUUCUGUAACUUUUUUUUUCCCGUUUAAACAGCAAUAUUGCUGUGAUUGACAGUAAUAUUAACUAUAUUACUGUUAAACACAGUAAAAUUAACUAAACUAUAGUUUAACACAGUAAUAUUGCUAUAUUAAUCUCUAGCACAUUAAUUUUAACACGACAAAACUCAUUAUUAUUGUGUAAUAAAGUAAUAUUACUAUGUUGACCGUUCAACAAAUGUAAACAUAAUAAAAAAAACCAAAAUAAUUAAUAUUACUGUGAGUGACAGUAAUAUUACUAUAGCAACAGUAAUAUUACCGUCAACCACAGUAAUAUUACAAUAAUAGACAGUAAUAUUAUUACGUUACUCCGUGAAUAACUCAAACAAACAAAAAAUCCAAACAAAAUAAUAAUAGUGAUGCGGUUGACAGCAAUAUUACUAUAACAACAGUAAUAUUACCGUCAACCACAGUAAUAUUAUUGUGUUUACAGUAAUAUUACAAUAAUAGACAGUAAUAUUAUUACGUUAUUCCGUGAAUAACUCAAACAAAACAAAACCCCCCAAAAAAUAAUAAUAUUGAUGUUGUUGACAGUAAUAUUAUUGUGUUUACAGUUAUAUUACUGUCACGACAGUAUAUAUUACGUGACUNNNNNNNNNNNNNNNNNNNNNNNNNNNNNNNNNNNNNNNNNNNNNNNNNNNNNNNNNNNNNNNNNNNNNNNNNNNNNNNNNNNNNNNNNNNNNNNNNNNNUACUGUCAACGGCAGCACAAUUACAUGAAUGUAAUGUCAACGGCAGUACAAUUACGUCAAUUAACUAUCAUUGAUAUUAUAAUUAUGGUAAUUUACUGUAAGUGACAGCACAAUUACAGUCAACGUUUAGCGGCGGACGUGGAAAAACAAAACAAACCCAACAAAAAAAACUUAAAAAAAAACACUAAAAAAAGUCAACGCUGGAGACCGCCGGAAACCAGCGAAAAAAUCAGGAAGAAAAGAAAAAAAAAAAAAAAAAAAAAAAAUCUACGCCGGAAUCCGGCUGCAAAAAAAAAUUUUGAAAUUUUUUUUUUUGAAAAAAAAAAACGUUUUGGGUCAAAAUUGAGUAAUUUGUGAAAUUUGGGGUCAAAUUGAGAUUAAAUUAAGUUAAGGAUGAAAUUGGAGCAUAUUAAAUUAUGCUCCAAAAAAAAGUCAAAAUUGAAUUUUUGUGGUCAAAAUUAGAUUUUUGUGGACAAAAUUGAUAAAUUGGGGUUACAAUUAAGAAUUGAGUAUAAAUGGUUGAGAGUAAUAUUGAGAUAUACAUGAAUGUUUCCUUUAGUUAUAAUAAAUGUUAAAGGGAUGGGCUUAUUGGUGAAAGAGAUAUGUCCCCUAAACCUAGAAUAAUAAACAUGUUUGGUUGGGGACUUUUGCAUAAAAACCCCAAUUAAAUAUAUUUCCAACUUUAGCCAUGUUUUCCCUUUUACCUAUAUUACUAGUACUUUACCCAUGCGAUGCACGGGGAUAAUUUAAAAAAAAUUAAAAAAAAUAGAUAAAAUAAUGUACGUACUAAAAACUUUCAAUAUAAAUAUUAAAUAUGAAAAAUGUGAUAUUAAAUAUGAUACACUAAUGGAUACAAAUGUUACAACUAUCUCGACCAACACACUCGAGUCGCUAAUUUGAAACUUAAUUAUCAAAGUCGGGUUUGAAAGCACAUUUAUUGUGGAACUCAUCUAAUUAAUGCCUAGCGAGUAAAUCACUUAAAGAUGUAAGAAAUAAAUAUAAUAUAUAUCAAAUUAACUUGAUAAAAAAAAUCAUAGGAGUAUACAGUAAGAUCAGCAUUAAGUGAAAAUUACAUCUAUGACGGCAAAAUAAUUAUAACAUAUAACUAAAUACAAAAAUCAAAUGUCCAUGCCACCUCUAAUCUUAACUCUCAAAAUUACGAAGUAUAAUUGUACAUGUCACCUCUAAUACUAACACUAACACUAACACUAAACACUAACACUAACACCAAUAUUAAUGCUAAUACUAAUACUAAUACUAAUGCUAAUAUUAAUAUUAAUACUAAUACUAAUAAUAAUCCUAAUACUAAUGCUAAUAUUAAUACUAAUACUAAUACUAAUACUAAUACUAUUACUAUUACUAAGACUAAUCCUAAUAGUAAUAUUAAUACUGAUACUAAUACUAAUACUAAUACUAAUACUAAUACUAAUACUAAUACUAAUACUAAUAUUAAUACUAAUACUAAUACUAAUACUAAUAUUAAUACUAAUACUAAUACUAAUACUAAUACUAAUACUAAUAAUAAUACCAAUACCAAUACUAAUACAAACACAAUUAAAAUACUUAUACUCGUACAAAUACUAAUAAUGCUAAUAUUCAUGCUAAUGCUAAAAAUAAUACUUACACUCACACUCACACUCACACUCACACUCACACUCAAUAACAAUACUCAUACUAAUAUUGAUACGAAUCACACUCACACUCAAUAACAAUGCUCAUACUAAUAUUGAUACGAAGACUAAUACUGAUACUCGUACUCAUACUCAUACUCAUACUCAUACUCAUACUCAUACUCAUACUCAUACUACUCAAACUCAUACUGAUAAUCAUACUCAUACUGAUAUGUACACUAAUAUUGAUACUCAUACUGAUACAUAUAUAUUGAUACUAAUAUUGAUACUCAUAUUCAUACUGACACUGAUAGUCAUACUGAUACUGUUACUUAUACUCAUACUGAUAUUGAUAGUCAUACUACUGAUAUUGAUACUGAUACUAAUACUAAUAUUGAUACUCUUAUUGAUAUGCAUAUUGAUAUUGAUACUCAUACUCAUACUAAUACUCAUAAUCAUACUCAAACUCACACUAUGCAUACGUAUACUCGUUGUCAUACUUAUACUCAUACUCAUACGCAUACUCAUGCUCAUUGUGAUACUCAUAUUCAUUACUAAUACUAAUACUAAUACUAAUACUAAUACUAAUACUAAUACUAAUAUGGAUACUACUAUUGAUACUGAUAUUUAUACUCAUACCGAUACUCAUAUUGAUACUCAUACUUAAACACAUACUGAAACUCAGAUUCAUACUCAUACUCAAACUGACACUGUUACGAAUACUUAUAUUAACAUUGAUACUAAUACUCAGACCCGUACUCCUAUAAAAUACUCAUAUUCAUACUCAUACACACUAAUACUCAUGCCCAUGCUUAUACUCAUACUAAAAGUCAUACUCGUACUUGUAUAAAUUCUCAUUCUCAUUCUCAUUGUCAUUCUAAUAUUCAUACUCAUACUCAUGCAUAAUCAUACUCGUAUGUACUCAACUCGUAUUCAUACUGAUACAUAUACUCAUACUCAUAUUUUACUCAUACUGAUACUAAUAUUCAUAUUAAUACCNNNNNNNNNNNNNNNNNNNNNNNNNNNNNNNNNNNNNNNNNNNNNNNNNNNNNNNNNNNNNNNNNNNNNNNNNNNNNNNNNNNNNNNNNNNNNNNNNNNNAUAUUCAUACUAAUACUAAUAUUGAUAUUAAUACUGAUACUAAUAUUGAUACUAAUAUAAGUACUAAUACUAAUACUUAUAUUAAUACUACUAUUCAUAUUGAUAUUGAUACACAUACUAAUAUUGAUACUCAUAUUGAUGCUUUCCAAAAUAAUUUAGUGAUAUUUAUCACACUCAUGUUCAUACUAAUACUCAUACAUACUCAUACUCAUACUCAACUCAUUCUCAUACUCGUACUCAUACUUAUACUCAUAUUUAUACUCAUUACUAAUAUUGAUACUAAUACUGAUAAUAAUACAUAUACUAAUAAUAAUACUAACAUUGAUACUAAUAUUGAUGCUAAUAUUGAUACUUAUACAAUGCCAGUAACACUUUACAAUCCCCUAAAAUUGUAACACUUUACAAUCCCGUAAUAAAUGACGACGUGUUACAAUAUAAUAAUCCUCGCAACACUUCAUAAUAAAAUGCAUUUCGCGUACACUUCAUUUUCAGCUUAAUAACGUUAAUAAUAUUUAAUGUAUAAUUAAUUUAAUUUAUAAGAUUAGAAUUACAGUGGAUGUAGCAUGAUGAAUCUGAUGUUAUGUACGUAAAGAUUUAAAAGAUUAAUAGCAAGCAAAUUACAAUAAACGUACAAAUUAAUAAUAAUGUAUGUACAUAUCAAUACAAUGGAUAAAAAUAAGCAUUAUUAAUGGACAUACAAAUUAAUAUUGUUACAAAAAUAUGUAAAAAAAAAUCUAUUACAUGCUCAAUUUCAUUAAUCUCAACUUGUUUUUCAUCGAAACCAAGCUUACAGUCGUCUCACGUAUAAUCAAAAGAUGGAAAAACAUAAGUUUUUUUUUUUUUAAAUUCAUCAACACAAUACAUGUGGAUCAUAUUUUUGCAUGAUAUACAACGUUGUAACACUUCUCUCUUCCCGAUGUCCAUGCGUAUAACACAGACGAAGCUAUCCAAGGAUAUGCAAAAAGAAAUCAAAACAAACAUAACUUAGAUUGUUACAUAAAUACAUACAUAAUAAACGAAUAACGUCAUAAAUUUCAACGAAAAAUAAAAUGCUUCAAGCAAACGGAUCGAAAAAAAUUUAUUGAACAAAGUUAGUUGAAUUUUCAACUAAAGUAACCCUAGAAUUCUCUCUUCCCUCUCCUAAAUUUAUUGCCGUCCUUUGACCGAGAACAACCACCGGAUAAACCAGACUCCUCAUCGGGGUCGCAACCCAAAUCCUUUGCACAGAUGGUUGGGACUAAACGGACUAUGUCCCCACCGAGAUUCGCCCCGGUGGAUCUCGCACCACGGCCGAUUUCGUCAGUUGACAAGGCACCGGCGAUCUUCUUCUCCCCUAUAGAGAUAGAUCAACUCAAUCGCCAAGUGGAUAACAUGCUGAUCAUGAAGUUCUCGGCAGGUCGUCCGAGCCUCCAAGAUAUCCGAUUGCAUAUGAACUCGGAAUGGAAAUUAGCAACGGAACCGGCAAUAGGGUUUUUGGAUCCUCGCCAUAUAACAGUGCAUAUGGGGUCGGUACAAGACGCAAAAUUAGCGUUAUCUCGUAAUCCAAUGAUAUACAAAACUGCAUGUUUCGGAUUUUUCGCUGGACACCGGAUUUCACUAUUGGGAAAGACAGUAGUAAAGUUGCGGUCUGGGUUCGUUUCCCCAAACUCCCUCUCCCGUACUUUAAUAUUUCAUCUCUUGAACACAUAGGUGCUGCUCUAGGGACGGUGCUAAGAGCGGAUGACAGGACAAUCGCGUUUACUCACACACACUACGCUCGGAUUUGCAUUGAGGUUAAUGUCGCACAGCAAUUACCGGAGGCUAUUUUCAUUGGAUCGUCGAAGGAAGAUGGGUGGUGGAAAAAGUGAAAUAUGAAGGUAACCACACGUAUUGUUCUCAUUUCGGGCUUCUGGGACAUUUAGUGGGCGCGUGUUGGAAAAAACAAAUUCCGACCAAACCCUCGAUAAAAAUCAAACAAAAUUUGGCUCAAACUCCUUCCCGAGUACUUCGGCGAGGAGAAACAUUACCGCUGUCUCAUGGGAUGGCGCCUGACCAAACGUUUGAGGAAAAUACAGAACAGGUGAGUAAGGAGCAAAGGGACGAAGAAGUUGUCGACGAACCUACGCAUGCAAACCCUAAAAGUCAAGAUUUGGAUGAUACAAGUUCUGGGGACCAGACGAAGCCGGGGCAGGGACAUGGACGUGAGAAUGAAGAUCCACCGGCCCAACACAAUUAUAAUGCCGUGCCACAAGAAAAUGGUGAAAAGUCGGAACAAAGUAACAAGGCACUGGACGAAAACGAUCCUACAAAGAAGAACCCGAUAGAAGUGGAAAACCACUUCGAAGCUUUGAAUUUGUUAGACAAUGAGAAUCUUCAGAUAGCGGUUUAUCAUUCUGAUGGAGAAAAUGAGGAAAACACAGGUGUUUCAUUAUCACCAAGAUCUGAUAGCGACGUCACUCCCACUCGCAGAGUAGUUACAAAUCCGAAGAGCUUGUAUAUUCGACACCCUACCGAUAGAAUUACCAGAUCUCUGGCAAGGUUACCAAAUGAUCACGAAAGUUAAUUAUGUCGUGUCUAAUAUGGAACGCACGAGGGGUCAGUCAGCACACCACUGUGACGCACAUAAAAAAUAUUGUACAACAACAGCGAGCUGCUAUAUUGGUAAUUCUUGAGCCCAAGCUCCCCUAAAAAAGACUUCAUGCCUUGGCACUCAGAUUAGGUUUCUCGUCUUCACUGCAUGGGGAAGAGACGAACAAAUUUAUAUGGAUCCUUUGGAAAACCGAAGUUACUAUUAAGCCACUAAAUAUCUUUUCUCAGGCUAUCACGGUAUCAAUCGAUAUUCCACGGCAACCCCUCCUCACGGCAACUUUCGUCUAUGCCAGUUGCUCCCUCAGCACACGUCGUGAUCUUUGGGCACAUAUAUCAGAUAUAAACGAGGUGAUAACGGGACCUUGGUUUGGGGGGGGGGGGGGAUUUUAAUGCAAUUUUCGAUAUCUCAGAGAAAAAAGGGGGAUUUGUUAAUACCGCUAAACUCCAUGAUUUUCAAAAUUGUGUCGCCCAGAAUGGAUUGGUGGAUGCGGGAUAUAUUGGUAAUCCAUUCACAUAGAGCAACAAGGACAGGCUUGGACAGGGUUUGGCAGCGUUUGGACAGAAUUUUGGUCAACACCACGUUUCAUAACAUUUUUCCGGCAUUGAAAGUGCAUCAUUUAGCUCGAGAUGCAUCAGAUCAUGCUCCGUUGAGCGUCACAUUUGAGCAAGACCAACAACAGGCACGUGGUCGUUUUAUUUUCCAGCGCAUGUGGGCAGAUCAUCCUUCCUUCCUUGAAGUGGUGAGAAAGGCGUGGGAUACGCCUACUUCCGGGUCUGCCUCUAACGCUUUUCACACAAAACUUAUGAAUGUUCGGAAGACAUUAAAGAAUUGGAACUGGGAUACAUUUGGAGAUAUACAAUGGAACAUCAAGGAGAGUCAAGAAAAAAUUCAAGUGCUUGAAAAUAUUUUAGUGCAAGGUUGGAGCGAAGAUACGCAGAAACAGCUUGUUGAGCUGAAACAACACUUGUUGAAGCUAGAACAAUGGGAGGCGGAGUUGCUCAGCAAUAAGGCGCGUAUUGCUUGGGAGAAGGAUGGGGAUCGUAAUACUGCUUUCUUCCAUGCUAGUAUGAAAGAUCGGCGGAAAAAAUCAUUGAUCCAUGUGGCUCGACAGAAUGGAACGAUUACCACAAGUCAGCAAGAAAUUGGGCUUAUCGCCGAAAGCUUCUUUUUGGACCUUUUCAAGGCUUCAGAGUACUACCUGCAUGAUGAGCUAUUUCAGAAUACACCACAGAUAGUUACGGAUGGAAUAAAUGGGAUUUUUGCAAAAUACCAGAAGAGGGGGAGAUUCUUGAAACAAUUAAGUCGAUGAACCCGGCAAGUUCGCCAGGUAACUUUACGGGACAUUUUUACACGAUCUGCUGGGACAUAAUUAAACGUGAUGAGUUAGUUCACAUGGUUGGGGACUUCUUUCGCGGGAGCUAUCUAUCUAAGGACAUGAACCGGACGACGUUGGUUCUUAUACCAAAAACGGAGAAUGCCCGAAAUAUUGCAGAAUACCGGCCCAUCAGCUUGGGGAAUUUUUCAGGAAAAAUUAUAUCAAAAAUCCUUGCUAGGCGUCUUGGACAUAUUCUCCCUCUGAUUAUCUCGGACGAACAGACGGGUUUCGUGCAAGGGAGACAGAUGGCGGCUCAUAUUGUCAUGGCGCAAGAAUUGGUUCGAGAUAUCAAUAGGAAAAGUAAAGGGGGUAACGUGGUUUUCAAGCUCGACAUGGCGAAAGCAUACGAUCGGUUAGAAUGGCGUUUCCUUCUUCGCGCAAUGCGAGCGUUCGACUUCUCAUGCUGCAUGCGAUCUCAUCUAUCGCAAUAUUUCGAAUAUAUGGUACUCGUUCAGUAUAAACGGGGAAAUCUGGGGAAUUUCAAAUCCUCUCGUGGGGUUCGGCAAGGUGAUCCACUAUCCCCGCUCCUCUUCAUUUUGGCUCAACAAAUAUUGACGCAGAAUAUUACCAAAAAUAUUGCAGCAAAGCACAUUCGACCCUACAAAGUGGGGAGCGACGAGGUUUCUAUAUCUCACCUGCUGUAUGCGGAUGGCAUUCUAGUGUUCACUAAUGGUGGGCGAGAAUCUUUAAUGAACCUUAUGGACACUAUUCACUCAUAUGAAAGAUCUUCCGGGCAACGAGUCAAUGCGGGUAAGAGUCAUUACUAUGUAGGUAAAUGGGGCGAGGGUGUUGCUCAUUCCAUUGAGCGAAUUACGGGUUUUCGGCGGAAAGAGUUCCCGUUUAUAUAUCUUGGAGUUCCUAUCUUUUUUGGCCGAUCAAAAGCUGAAUAUUAUGAAAACGUGGUGCAACAGGUUCGAGGAAAGCUUACGGGGUGGAAGGGGAAAUUUUUGUCUUUUGCCGGAAAAUCACAUUGAUAAAAUCGGUACUUGCAAGCAUUCCGGUUUAUACGAUGGCAUGCACGAAAGUCCCUGUUUCGGUUUUAAAGCGUAUAGAAUAAAUCAUGGCUAUGUUUCUCUGGAGCUCGGGUAAUGACGCGCGAACACACUGGGUUCGCUGGGAGACCGUUUGUACCCCAAUGGACGAAUGAGGAUUGGGCAUUCGGCUAUUAAAAGAUGUAAUGGACUGCAUGCAUGGGAAGCUAUGGUGGUUGGUCAACCAAGGGCAGACUCUAUGGGCCCGAUUUGCGAAAGCCAAAUAUUGCGAUAAACGGAAUAAUAUUAAUCGGCAAACGGCAUCCCCUCUUUGGAUUGCAAUACACAAGCAUGUAGAUAGUAUGAAGGAGUGCACUAGAUGGCUCGUAGGGCGAGGAGGUAUAAGUUUUUGGAUGGAAAACUGGAUUGGCGAGACGCUAAUCAGGCCUCUCCCGUGCGAUCGUCAGCUUACAGUGGCCGAAGCACUCUCUCAAAUAGCGGAUUAUUUACCGCUCAUUCACACAGAUUGGCAUGAGAAAAUUGUCCGUGUUAAGUUGGAUGAGCAACAACCUGUCAGACUCAUAUUUACACUAACACAAACGGAAAUUUUCUCGUCCAAAGAGUAUUAUAAUUUUCGGCGGAAAAAUGGUUGGAGGCAACACUGGCCUGUUCGGGUAUGGCUCAACUACAUUCCACCCAAAACUAGUGGCUUUAUGUGGAAAAUUCUGCAUCACGCUAUCCCGGUUGACGUCCGUAUAGUAACUCGGGGAAUUCCGAUAGUGUCAAGAUGUGUAUGCUGCAACAACCCUCACCAAGAAGACAUCAGACAUCUCUUUUUUAAAUCAGAAGUUGCACAUUCAAUAUGGCGGCACUUUGGUUUAAUAUUCAGAAUUCCGUGGGCUUUUGAGUCAGUGAAACACGCGCUACGCAUAUGGACGCCGAAACCGAAGACUCACUCGACUUACGUCAUGGUUCGAGCAUCAGUAGUCUGCCACAUCCUCCGAGAAAUAUGGACCGCAAGAUGCAAGGUGGUUUACGACGGAGGGGUUUUGACAGCGAUUGAUAUAUGCCAACGUGUGCUCCAUAAAGUAAAAUACCAGGGUAUCGUACACAGACCACGCCACAUGUCCACGAAGUCGCAACUCCUACAGCUGGCGGCAGUAGGUAUUUACAGGCCACAACCAAUGGUUAGGCGUGGAGUAUGGCAUAAAUGGGAGCCUCCUGCUGUUGGAACAUACAAACUUAAUACAGAUGGGUCCGCGAAAGACGAGAUGUGUACGGGUGGGGGCAUCAUUCGCAAUUCAGAAGGUGGUAUUAUUGCAAGCUUUUCGGCUUUCUUUGGGAGAGGUACGGAUAAUUUUGCUGAAAUUUUUGCGGUGGCCGUGGGUCUUCGCCUGUGUCAUUCGUUAGGGAUUGGAGCAGUUGUAGUCGAGACGGACUCUCUUUUAACGGUCAACGCGAUCAAGAAAUUGGGAGUGGCGUGGGAUUUGGAGUAUGUAUAUCGGAUUUGCAUGCAAGAGUUUCGACCAUACCAUAAGAUCACACAUGUGUUUCGCCAAGAGAAUACGGUGGCAGACCGUUUAGCCAAUUGGGCAUAUACGCAUAAAUCUUAUCAAGAGGUUUCCUCAGGGAACAGUAUGCCUCAAGAAGUGAAGGCUGCAUACAUUAGUGAUAAGCUCGGUAUUGCGAAUUUUCGUAAAUGAGACACACGAAACUACAUCUAAGGAAGAGGGGUAGGAGCACGCUGUGUUGGAGCUCGAAUUUUCGGAUAUUGGAAGAGAGAGUCAUUGGUUGUAGCGAAUGGGAAGAUGGAAUAACCAUAGGGGUGAUUCUGAAUUUUUCAGAAAGAUGUUGACUAGGGAGGCGGAAUUUCAAAAAUUACAAAUUGACCCCCACCUGUGGAGCUUUUUUGGCGAAGCACAAGAAAGUUGGGGGUGGUUAAGAAUAGCCGCAUUACAUACUUUAAUAUUAACAUUUUAUACCCCAUUUUGGGUCAUAUUUGUAAUAGUCUAGUAACCUUAGACGCUGAUUUUUUAUUUCCAUUGCAGGGGUACUCUUUUUUCCUUGUGUUAGGCCCACAAGGUUUUAACGAGGCCCCCUCCUUUCUAUCUUAAAUGGAAUAAUAAAAUCUUUUGGCCAAAAAGAAAAGAAAAAAAAAACUAAAGUAUUGCCAUAUUUAAACAUAUGCGGAAAUGUUUCUAAUAAAAAAACGUGUUUAAAUUGCAAAUCAAUUGCAAAUUACAAUGUUUCAUUAUGGAAAGAGAUUUGUUAUCAAUUAUGUCUAUUAACAAAUUUUCAUAAUAAAUAGAUAAAUAAUUGGUGGAAAAAAAUCAAGGGCAAAUUACCAAAACCCCCCUGAGGUAAGCCUAAAUAACGAAAAUCCCCCCCACGUUCUCGUAAUUACGAAAACCCCCCUUGGCUAACGGUUGACCGAAAUUUUUUAACCGAAAACGUGAAAUGUCUAUUAUAUCCUUCUGUUAAAUAUGUGAAAAUAAAAGAAAAAAAGAUGAAAAAGAAAUUAUUAGUGUUAUGGCCUUUGAUCAGAUCUCAAUGCCCAAUAAUUUACGCCCGUUAAAUAUAGUGAGAAAUCUAAGCUUUUGAGGGUGGAGAUUUUGCUGAGCUCCGGCGGGAGUUUUCCGGUGAGUUGGUUCUUGAAGAGGAAGAGCGAUUCGAGUUUCGUGAGGUUGCUAAGUUGUUUAGGGAUUUGGCCGGAGAUAUUUGCGUCGGCGAUAUCGAGGUACUAGAGGUCGCUCAUAGGAGUUGUAGCCGAUCUCCAUGUGUGAGAGAAAUCUCAGAUUCCCCAGCUCCGGCGGUAUUGCGCCGCCGAGGAAAUUUCCGGCGAGGUAGAUGAACUCGAGCGAUUUGAACGAGCCGUACUCCGGCGGGAUUGGACCGCUGAAGUAGCUUCCGGCGAAAGUCAGCACUUUGAGAGACUCCACCUGAGAGACGUCGACCGGUAGGUUUCCGGCGAAGCUGUUGCUGAACGCGUCGAGAAUGACCAAACUCCGGAGCCGCGGAAUCCCACUCGGAAAACCCCCGGAGAAAUUGUUCAUACUGAUGUCCAACGAUUCCAGGUUAGUGAGGUUGAAAACACCGGCGGGAAGUUAGCCGGAAAACGAGUUAUGACUCAGAAUUACCCCCCUAAGGGUAAAUAAAAUGCUUACAAUUACCCCCCUAAGGGUAAUUUCGCGUACAAGGGCAAAAUUGGUAUUAUCGGAGGAAUAUUCGGGAGAAUCAAAAAGAUUCUAUCGAGUUUAACACCGUUAGAGCGAUUGGUAAGAUGUCUGCAUACCUCAGGGGGGUUUUCGUAAUUACGAGAACGUGGGGGGAAUUUCCGUUAUCCAGACUUACCUCAGGGGGGUUUUGGUAAUUUGCCCAAAAAUCAACUACCAAUGGUUGGCGGCCCAUGGAAAAAUAUGCAUACACGAACAAAGUAAAUUAAUUAAGUACAAUAAUUUUAGUCCAUAAUUAAAUAAAUUUCGAUAUGCAAUAUUUUAAGAAAGGCGAAAUUUAUGGUCGAUGUAGAGAAUGAAUUAAUAUUAGAUAUUUAAAAACUAAUCAUUUUUAAAUUCAUUAUGGAGGAAACUUAAUAAUAAAUACUAUAGAAAAUAAACUUAUUUUUGUAAUUUAUAUGUAAUGAUAUUUAUGAAACAAAUUAAUCAAAAUCAUGGAUUUUAUGAAACCGAAAAUUUCAGUUACUUAAUUACAAUAAAGAAAAUUUACACACGAAUUCAAAAUCACAGAUUUUAUGAUAUUAAGUAAUUUAAAAUUAAAGAAAAUUUCAACUAAUGCAACAAAAGAAAGAUGGAAUGAAAAAAUUUACAAAUGUUACUUAAAUUAAAUAAGAAAAUCUAAUUGAAUAUAACUGGAAGUUGUGGAGCGGAAUUAAAAAUGUCACUCAAUUGUGAAUCUUGACUUUGUACAUAGGUGGUGUUCGCAAACACUUCUCCAAAAUGAUUAUGAGUUUUUUAAUGUUUAAAAAAACUGAUUUUUACUCAAAAAAACUCAUAAUUACUUUGAAAAAGUGUUUGCAAACAACACCAUAAUAUAGAUCUUAGAUUGAUAUUGACGUAUAAAUCGACUGAACUCAUAAAAGAAAAUAUGUGUGAUAUGAGGUUAUCCACAUGGGAAAUUUGAAUUUUUUCUAUAAAAUAUGUAGAAUACCUAUAAUAAACAUCGGAUAAUGGUUGUAGACAGUUAGGAUAUCGAUAAUGGUUGUAGACAGUGGGAUUCUAUGUUAAAGAAAUAUGCUUGAUAUCCCACUGCAAAUUCAAAUUAUGUUAAUAAUAUUUUUUACAGUGGGAUAUUAGUAGUAGGAAUCGAAUCUAUCCUAUCCCCUACUCUUUCUCAUUAUAACAUAAUUUGAAUUUGCUAAAAAAAAAAGAAAAAUCCCAAGCUAAAACAAAUACAUAACUCUCAAAAUCCCUAUUCAUUUUAAUGGGAUUAAGGAUUAAUUUCCAUACUACUGCUUUAAUUAAGGAAUUUAUAUAGGGAAAAACCCCCAAUAAAUUAGGAUUUUGACAAUCAAACAAUAUAUAUUAAAAGGAACAUUUGUUAAGUUUAAAGAAUAAUUUAUAACAUUAUAUAUACUUAAUAAAAAAGGGGUAAUGGCAAAUAGGCCCAUGACAAGGGCACUUAAUUAAAAGAGGGACAUCCAACUUUUUUGUCUUUCAAACAAAUCCAGCUCAUUCAAACUUAUUUGCAAAUAAGGAAAAUCCUUUUAUAUAUACAAAAAUUACCCUCAAUUCAUUGAAACCCAAUUCAACUCCAAUUUCAUGAUUUACACCCCAAUUUAGCCCAAUUUCAACAAUUAACCAAUUUUAACCCCAAUUUCAAUUUCAAUAACUAGCGUAGAAUUUUUUUUUUUUUUUUUUUUUUUAAGUUUUUUUUUCCUGAAUUUUUUUUCCGGCCGGUCAACGGGCAGGUCUCCGGCGUUGACUUUUUUUUUUUUUAUAAUUUUGUUUUUUCUUAAAAAAACAUCUUAAUUAAUAUUACUGUCUUGGCUGCUAAAUUACUGUCUCCGGCAGUUAUUUAACUGUCGGAGACAGUAAUUUAACUGUUAAUUGUCUUUUUUUUUUUCUUUUUUUUUCUUCAAAAAUAUUUUAAUUAAUAUUACUGUAUUCGUUGUUAAAUUACUGUCUCCAACAGUUAUUUAACUGUCGGAGACAGUAAUUUAACUGUUAAUUGACUUUUUUUAUUCUUAAAAAAAUAUUUUUAAUUACUAUUACUGUAUUCGUUGCUAAAUUACUGUCUCCAGCAGUUAUUUAACUGUCGGAGACAGUAAUUUAACUGUUAAUUGACUUUUUUUUUUUAAUUUUUUUUCUUGAAAAAGAUUAUUUUAAUUAAUAUUACUGCCUUGGAUGUUAAAUUACUGUCUCCAACAGUAAUUUAACUGUCUUAGACAAUAAUAUUAAUAAUAUUACUGUUCGGGAAAAUAAUAUUCAUAAUAUUACUGUCCCAAACAGUAACAUUACUGUCUGAGACAGUAAUUUAGUAGCCAAGACAGUAAUAUUAAUUAAAAUACUUUUUUUCUAAGAAGAAAAAUUCAAAAAAAAAAAAAAAAAAAAAAAUGCAACGCUGGAGGCCGGUGGUCUCCGGCGGUCAACGCCGGAAUCUGGCCGGAAAAAAACAUUUCUGAAAAAAAAUUAUUUUCUGAAAAAAAAAAUUGGGGGUUAAUGUGAUAUAUUUGUUUAAAUUCGGGGUCAAUGUGUAAUAUUUUGGCACGGCCGCGCAGACCACUUUUCAGCCAAUUUUCAGCAUAUUUUGUUUUCUUCCGUUUUUGCCCGUUUUUGACCUUUUUUGGCUCGUUUCGUCCCAGGAACUUCCAAAUCAUCAAGUUGUACCUAAACUACAAUAAACACUCAUUAAGCAUCAUUAAAUCAAUAAAAGUAUACAAAACUCCUCGUAAGAAAGUAUACAUUGAGUGUAAGAUAUACGCUCAACAGCGUAAAACCUACGUAUGAAAAGCGCAAGUGUACAGUAUCGCGUUUUGUAGAAUAGUGAAUUCUAGAUAUCGAUCUACAGAGAAUUAAGUUCCUAAAUCUACCAAGUACCGUAAUUAUACUAUCCUACACUUGAUCUAGACGAUCAAGAAUGGAUGGAAGAAAUGAAGCUAAAUGGAAACAAAAAUAAAAACACCGGUGAGCCAAGACAAGCAAGGAAUUCCGACGUGUGAUGGAUUCUAGGGUAAAAUCCACCAGUGUACUAUCGAUAAAGAUCUACAAAUCCGAAUCUAUUGUCAAUUCUAUGUUCGCUAACCCUGACACUAAAAUACCCUAACCCCCGUCUCCAGUGUAGUUAGAGUCUACCCACAGGUCCGACGUCUCCGUUCAGAACCUCAUAUUAAGACAGCAUUUAGGUCAAGUCCUUAAGGGCAACCCGAGGUGCAUCACGUCUCCGUUUCCACAACUUGAGCUAUGUUUUCCUAAAAUCAAACGAGAAACCCUCUCUCGAGUUCAUUCCCAUUUAGAAUCAAUUCAACUGUUGGCCAAACAAUCGAAAGCAUUUAAUACAGGAAAACAUAAACAUAAUCAAAGAACGACAAAUAGAUCACAGAUUUGGAAAUCAAAAUUGAUAUAUACAAGGUUUUAUUUCCCUAGAAGAAAAUGCUCAGUUCAUUACAAACAUAGCAUCAAAAUGAAGAACACGAGAAAUUAUAAACUAAACGUAAUGAAAAGCUUAUGAAAAACCCUCGUCGAAACCCUCGUCGAAGCUUCCCGCGAAGAACUGGCGAGAACCGAAGAGAAAACCGAAGAAAAGGUCGAGAUAUGGUCGAGAGGUUGUCGAGAGAUUGUAAAAUGAAUAAGAGACCUUCUAUUUAUAGUGAGAAAUCAAAGAAAAAUAUCUAUUCUCGAUUUAUGUGCCCAGAUCGCGAUCUGGGCUUCUUGGAUCGCGAUCUAGCAACCUCGAAAACUGCGCACUGCCUUCCCAGAUCGCGAUCUAGGAAGUGUGGAUUGCGAUCCGCCCCAACUUUUCGCUACUACUGGAAUUUGCCACCAGAUCGCGAUCCGGUGUUUCUGGAUCGCGAUCCGGUGUUUUUGGAUCGCGAUCUGGCCUCUGCACCAACUUCAAAUACUUUUUUCACCCUUGUUCAGCCCAAAUUCGACAAUUGUGCAUUUCACAAAAGUUGUAGCCCUUGAAGUUAGGUUUCUAAAUUAACUUGAAUCAGCCCAAUCGGAGGUCGUAUGCAAAAGUUAUGCUUUAAAUACCAAACACUGCCACAAUCCGCGAGAAUGCACUUUUGCAUGUGUUGGUUUGGUUCUCGGCUUCGCUUCCAAAAUCGUCUCGAAUCGGCAAAAAUAGCUUAUCUUUACCUAAAAUAUAAAUAAAACAAAAACAACAUAAUAUAUACAAAUAAAGCCGAAAACUCGGAAGAACGAAGACCAAAACUCGAAGAAUUGAUAAGUAAAAAUCAUGCAAAAUGACCACUUAUCACACCCUCAAACUUAGAUCUUUACUCGUCCCGAGUAAAUCAAAACUAAACUACAACAAAAAAGAACAAAAACAACAAACCAAAUCUAGGCCACUAACGUAGGGAAUCACGAUUGCAUUUAGCGUAUGCAACAAGCCUUUGAACCCCUGGGUACCCCCAAAGGACGAGUUGUCUCUCGUGAGGGUUUUCAGACAACACACCCACAAAGUUGCCGGAUUGGUCAAAGCAUUGGAAUUAAUUCCAAAGAUAAAACGAGCUAGAUAACUUAAAAUCUUAUAAUGGCAUACGGCUUAAGGUAUUCGACUUUCCUACCGACGCAUUAGUUAUUUCUACACCAAAAUGAAAGAUAGACUCAACAAUACGUAAUUAAACAAUAAACACAAUCAUAGAGGGUUUUGAGUAGAAAUGUGGGUGAAAAGUAAGUUUUGAUUCUGAAAUUCAAACACUCGAGUUGGGAAUAAGUAGGUCUAUUUAUUCAAUAUAAGGAAUGACAACAACAAUAUUUUUGGUGAUUUUCAUCACAACUUUUUUUUUUCAUUUUUUUUUAAACGGGCAUAAUCGUGACUCGUGCAAGGCUCGACACCACUGUGUUAUCUCUCUGACCCAUGUAUCGAACUUUAGUCCAAGAAACCCCCAAGCUUGACAACUCGAGAGACUUAGGCGACGAGGUGCACCCAACGGGUUAAGCUCGAGUCAGAAAGGCGGGGAAAUCAGAGCGUGAAUCACAACAAUACCACAAAUUAUUGUUUUUCUCUUUUUUUUUUUGUUUUUUAAACACUUAUUUAUCAACACAAUAACAUAAAAUAAAGACGUAAAGACCAUUGAUAGAACUUUUAACCAACAACUCGAAUUGUGAACAUAUAAUUCAAUUCUAACUCGCCCCCCAAACCUCAGACUAUUAUACCCCUCAGAAAAGUGCGCUCAAGCUUAAUCAGAAAGGAUUCGAAAGGCUAUCCACACAAGUUGCAAAAACGCAGUCGGAAGGUUCAUCUAUUAUUAGCCGGUUAUGCACAAUUUCAAUUUUAAAAUCAACUAGCCAGUCUACUAAUUCAUUAAUUGAUUUGCUUCAAUAGAAUCUGGAAAUGCAACUUACACUCGAUCUUAAAUGAGAUGCAUAUGACAAACAUAACACAAUUACGGAAAUAGAAAUACAUAAACGAAACUAAAUUAUAUGAUAUGCAUGCAAAAUACCAAAUCAAAAUAAGUUAAACUCACCCCCAAACUUAAAUCAUGCAUUGCCCUCAAUGCGAAAAAUAAAAGAUAUGAGAAAGAAAUACGCCCUGAACCGUCGUGCCGCAGAUUGAUCAGUGUUCUACGGUUGCGAAGGUGUUCUUUGGUUGCACGGGGUGCCGUGAAUUUUGGCACCGAGGGAGAAUGUCGAAGUUGUCAAGACUUCCCGACUUCUUAGUCUUCUUUCCUUGCGGACGAGAUACCGGCCAAAAUCAAGAAAAAUGGGUGAAAUUUAGCUUAAACCAAAAAAUGCAAAAAUAAAAGAAAACUAACAAAAUAAAUGAAAAAAAAUAAAUAACGGGUUGCCUCCCAUUCAGCGCAUGUUUUACAGUCGACGGCUCGACACAAUUUGGACGGAUUAUGUCCAAUCCAAAGCCUUGUAGAUUGCGCAUCCAUACAUCAGUCUUGAUACGUACUUUGCAAUCAUAUCAUGGACUAGAUUGCAAUUACAAUCUUGUAAUGACCAUCCCAAGCCAUGGUACUUUUCGUUUGCUUGGGAAAUCAGUCGGUAGGAGACUAGGAUGGGUUGCUUGCCAACCGAUCUCUCAAACUCGUACAGAAGAUAUUCGAGCUUUGGAGUAAGCUCUACCUCAAAUUUGAAACUCGUUUCCUCGCUCACACUCAAAUCCGGGGUAGCAAUGUGGAUAGGAUUUUGUUCUUCAAGUUCCUCUACCAUCAUCUUCAUCCCACUCUCAUCACACGCAAAAGUAUCUACAAAACUGGGAUGAAUAAUUCCCUCAAGGUGCUUAACCUCGUCGUUCAUACAAAAAUCUAUAAAUACCUCGUUGUCUUCAUAUAGGAUCGUUGUAUGUGGUUUAUGACUGUGAAAUCUCUUAAAAUUUUCAAAAAUAUUCACCAGAAAGUGGAGUUCGUCUUGUAAAUAGCAUAAAUGCUCAUUUGUUUGUGCAAUUCCAUUUUCUGGGUUCAGCUUACGACGUCAUUCAAUAUCCUCCAACUCAUGUUGAAUGUAAUCAACUCUGGAUUGAAUCUUGCAAAGAGAGAGAUCAUAAAUCGAGGCCAUCAAUGUAUACAAAUAUGUUAAAAACAAUAAAAAAAAUCAAAAAAAAAAAAGAAAAUGUCUAAAGUAAAGUAAGGAUAGUUGGUAACGAUAUUAGUAAAUUCAAGAUUAACUAAUUCCCCGGCAACGGCACCAAAAAGUUGAUACGCGUAAAACCAACGUAUGAAAACCGCAAGUGUACAGUAUCGCGUUUUGUAGAAUAGUGAAUUCCAGAUAUCGAUCCACAGGGAAUUAAGUUCCUAAAUCUACCAAGUACCGUAAUUAUACUAUCCUAAACUUUAUCUAGACGAUCAAGAAUGGAUGGGAGAAAUGAAGCUAAAUGGAAACAAAAAUAAAAACACCGAUGAGCCAGGACAAGCAAGGAAUUCCGACGUGUGGUGGCUUCUAGGGUAAAAUCCACCAGUGUACUAUCGAUAAAGAUCUACAAAUCCGAAUCUAUUGUCAAUUCUAUGUUCGCUAACCCAGACACUAAAAUACCCUAACCCCCGUCUCCUGUGUAGUUAGAGUCUACCCACAGGUCCGACGUCUCCGUUCAGAACAUGAUAUUAAGAGAACAUUUAGGUCAAGUCCUUAAGGGCUACCCGAGGUGCAUCACGUCUCCGUUUUCACAACCCGAGCUAUGUUUUCCUAAAAUCAAACGAGAAAUCCUCUCUCGAGUUCAUUCCCAUUUAGAAUCAAUUCAACUGUUGGCCAAACAAUCGAAAACAUUUAAUAUAGGAAAACAUAAACAGGAUCAAAGAACGACAAAUAGAUCACAGAUCUGGAAAUCAAAAUCGAUAUAUACAAGGUUUCAUUUCCCUAGAAGAAAAUGCUCAGUUCAUUACAAACAUAGCAUCAAAAUGAAGAACACGAGAAAUUAUAAACUAAACGUAAAGAAAAGCUUAUGAAAAACCCGAGUCGAAACCCUCGUCGAAGCUUCCCGCGAAGAAUUGGCGAGAACCGAAGAGAAAACCGAAGAAAAGGUCGAGAUAUCGUCGAGAUGUUGUCGAGAGAUUGUAAAAUGAAUAAGAGACCUUCUAUUUAUAGUGAGAAAUCAAAGAAAAAUAUCUAGUCUCGAUUUAUGUGCCCAGAUCGCGAUCUGGCAACCUUGAAAACUGCGCACUGCCUUCCCAAAUCGCGAUCCAGGAAGUGCGGAUCGCGAUCUGCCCCAACUUUUCGCUGCUACUGGAAUUUUCCACCAGAUCGCGAUCCGGUGAUUCUGGAUCGCGAUCUGGCCUCUGCACCAACUUCAAAUACUUUUUGUACCCUUGUUCAGCCCAAAUUCGACAAUUGUGCAUUUCACAAAAGUUGUAGCCCUUGAAGUUAGCUUUCUAAAUCCACUUGAAUCAGCCCAAUCGGAGGUCGUAUGCAAAAGUUAUUCUUGAAAUACCAAACACUGCCACAAUCCGCGAGAAUGCACUUUUGCACGUGUUGGUUUGGUUCUCGGCUUCGCUUCCAAAAUCGUCUCGAAUCGGCAAAAAUAGCUUAUCUUUACCUAAAAUAUAAAUAAAACAAAAACAACAUAAUAUAUACAAAUAAAGCCGAAAACUCGGACGAACGAAGACCAAAACUCGAAGAAUUGAUAAGUAAAAAUCAUGCAAAAUGAACACUUAUCACAAACCCUAACACAACCAAGCCUUAUUACUGCUUGAGGGUCCAAGAAACCGUGAGAGCUCCAUGAAUCAAUCAAAAUAGUUAUUGAUUAUCCUCUUACGCUUGGCUAAGAUUUUCAAGGUUGUAUCAGAGACUUGUUUUGUCAAGGCAUAAAAGGUGAUUUUAAUGAGCUCCUCAAUCCUUUCUGUCUCUAGUAAGUCAGCUCCCUAUCACUGUCUUCUUCCUCCCCUUCACAUGUGCACUCAAUAAGCUAAGGAACAACUUCUUACAUAUAUGGCCAGGUACAAAUUUUUCAUCACAAUUAUAACAAAUUAGACCUUUCUUCCUUCUGUCCUCCAUUCCUGGAAGUGAGUCUCUUAGUUACCAUGCUUCUCUUCACGAUAUUGCAAUCUUAGGGGCUUUCUGGAGCAGUGAGUCUAGGCACUCUUAAAGCAUUAGAAGGCGCUGCUCUCAGACUGUUUCAUGAAGCUCGGCCUGUAUGAUAGCUUGAGAAAGAGACAUAGGCCUCGACAUCUUAACUGUGCUGUCAAUAUCUCCUCACAGCCCCUCGACAAAACACUCCACAAAGUAGCUUUCAGGAAUAGGUAUGUGUUUACUUGCCACAUAGGUUUUAAGUUGAUCAAACUUAAGCCUAUAUUCUUCCACAAUGCUCUCUUAUUUGAGCAUAUCAAAUUCAAUAGUGUGUAACAACCCCACAUUUUCAUAAAAAUACUUAUAGCAAAUCAUGAAUUAAUAAUUAGUGAUUUCUAUGCAUUGUAAGUAUUUACGUGAUUUUAUGAGCUGAUAUUUAUAUUUAUAUUAGAAUUAUGUUAUUACUUGCCUAAUUGAUUAAAUGAGUUAAGGAAUUUUAAUUAUGUGAUAAAUUUCAUGUAUUUUGAGUUUAUUAUAGUACGUGCACGCAUAAUUUAAGUAGCUCUUAUAAAAUGAUAAUUAACUUAUUACAUCAUAUGAUUAAUAUAUGUAGAGAUUUGAUAUAUGUAGAUGUACACGUUUCAUAUAUUAUGUACUCAUGCAAGCUAUAUUAUAUUAUGCAUUAUAUGUAUGCUAAUGGGUAUGUGUAUGUUGUGCCUGUGUUAUAUUAUAUGGAUGUAUACUAUGAAAUAUUAUAUGUGUAGAAGCUUAUUUAUGUGUUCUACAUGAGUAUGUCUAUCUAUGUAUGUGCACAAGACACACCCUCACAUGCUCCAUCUCUGUUUCUCGGCCAACACACCCCUAUAAGUCUUAAUCAUUAAGUAAUUCAUGAGAUGAAAGCCUAGUUAAUUUUCUUUAAAUGAAUUUAUGAUUUAUAUAUAUAUAUAUAUAUAUAUAUAUAUAUAGACACAUGUGCAUUAUUUCCAAUGCCUGUAUAUUGAUAGUUAAGAAACUCCAGUUAAUAAAUAACCAAACUAUAUCCACUUUAAAGAAAAUCAUAAACAAAUAAAUUUAUUACCUUAAAAGUUUUAAUUUAUUAUAUGAAAGCAUUUGAAAACCGAACAUGGCAGAUUAUAUAAAUAACACCUAACACACAAAAACUUUGAAAAGGCCAAUAGAGUCGGACACUUGUGACACAAAUGAAGAUAUUUUUUCUUUCAAGAGAAAAUAUUGAGAUUGAUAAUUGGCAAGAAAAGCUAAAACCAACCUCGUCGACAUUGUUUAGUGCAUGUAUAAAAAUACAUUAUCCUACUUUUCGUUCGCUUAGUCCUGCAUAAACAAAAUUAUAGAAUAAGAACAUAAUUUAAAUGAAUGAUAUAUAGCAAUUAUAAAUAAGAGAACCAAGUAAAAUGAUUAAAGGGCAAAUUGAUUAAAGGGCAAAUGGCAAAUGGCAAAUGGUAAAAAUACCCCUUAUAUUUAUAUUAGAAUUAUGUUAUUACUUGCCUAAUUGAUUAAAGGGCAAAUGGCAAAUAGGCCCAUGACAAGGGCACUUAAUUAAAAUAGGGACAUCCAACUUUUUUGUCUUUCAAAUAAAUCCACCCCAUUCAAACUUAUUUGCAAAUAAGGAAAAUCCUUUUAUAUAUACCAAAAUUACCCCCAAUUCAUUGAAACCCAAUUUAACUCAAAUUUCAUGAUUUACACCCCAAUUUAGCCCAAUUUCAUCAAUUAACCAAUUUUAACCCUAAUUUCAAUUUUGACCCCAAUUUUGACCCGCCACCACCGGAGACCGCCGGUCGCCGCCGUUGACCGCCGGAGACCGGCGUUGACUUUUUUUUUUUUUUUUUUUUUCUGAAAUUUUUUUUUCCUGAAAUUUUUUUCGGGCCGGUCAACUGACCGCCGGGUCUCCGGCGUUGACUUUUUUUUGCGUACAGAAAUCAAAUUUGAUUCAGGUUUUGUCUAUGCUGUUCAUAUCUUAAAUUGUCCUGUGUAUUAAACUGUGUGUUGGUGUAAAAUUCUUGUUAUGUUCCUGGUUUCAGCUCAAUCUUUGUUAUUGUUAUUAUCUUAUGCGUUUAUGCUGUUUUUUUCUAGAUGGGCGUUUCGACAAUGAAUACUUUCAGCAAACUGAAGAAUCAAGUCAGUUCAGGCAAGAGUAUGAAAUGAGAAAAAUAAAACAUGCAUGUGCUUUUUCUUGAAAUGCGUAGGGUACAGUUGUUGAUUGCAUAUUGUCACAUUCUAUGAUGAUGUUAAAACAGGAACAAGGGUUGGACGUCAUAGCAGAAGGUCUGGAUACAUUAAAAAACAUGGCCAAUGAUAUGAAUGAGGUUAUCUUUCUUUUUUAUUCAUGCUAUUUUUUAAUACUGUUUAAUUGCUAAUAUCUUGUUGCUUCCCCACAUUUAAUCUUUUUAAAUAUGCUUUUUUUUUUUAUAUAAUUUUGUUUUUUCUUAAAAAAAAUAUUUUAAUUAAUUUUACUGUCUUGGCUGCUAAAUUACUGUUAAUUGACUGUUUUUUUUUUCUUCAAAAAUAUUUUAAUUAAUAUUACUGUAUUCGUUGCUAAAUUACUGUGUGUGUGAUAAUGUUUAGAUCUACGGUUCAAAUUCAUCCAAUAUAAAUAACCAAGUAUAGCAUCAAAUUUUCCCAUACUUUGGUAUUUUUUUUGGUAAAUUUCAGUUGGUGUGUAAUAUAUAUACCAUGGUAUUCCGUAAUUAGUAAUUUCUUUCCACCUGUAGUCAGAACUCGGAAUAGAAUUCCAACAUUUGCAAUAUAUAUUGAGGUCCGGUGAAAAUAAUAAACAACCAAAAAUGAUAUAUAGAGAUAGGUCUUCAAUCAAUUAGUUAUGGAGCAUGCAAAUUAGAAGGCUCAUUGGAAUUAAUUUCCUGGAAAACAUAUAUCAAGCAUUAUACGAGUGAAUUGCAUUUAAUACCCAUGGGAAAAUCACAAUAGGCUAAGCAUUAUACAAAACGAAAGAAGUGACUAUGUCCAAGACCCCACAUAGAAUGAUUUUGUUCCAAAUUAUUUUUUAUUUAGGGCUUUUGCGACGCUUUGUAUUCCCGACGUUUUAAAAACGGUUGUAUAAAGUGCGUUUUGUUGAUGCUUUUGAAACUAAUCAUGACACAUAAACACGAAGUAAACUGCAAAAAGUACCCAUGUGUACUACCGCCAACGCAACGGCGACUGCGUCCGCCUCCGCCUCCACCUCCGCCAUUGACGCUAGUGCCGAGCCGACAUCUCCGUUGCUAUUUCUUCCCUCAUGAUCGAAUUAAUCAUUGUGAAAUGACAAAUUGAAAAAGGCGAAAAUCCUUCGAAAGGCUCGUGUGUGUUUGAAUCACCCGUGGAUUGCGUGACAGGUUAAUCUCCUCUGUUAUUAUUUUUCCAUUUAUUUUAAUUGACCUUAUUCCAUCCGUGUGGUUUUGAGGGGUCGAUAUUCUCCUGUGCGAUUUGAAUUCAUAAUUCAGUAUAGGAAGCUGACAAGUGAUUUUUAGUUUCAUUUGUUUAAGGGCUCAAGUUAGGAUUUGAAACAAGAGUUUGCAGAUUGUGAGAAUACAUGACUUGAUUUUUAUAAUUUACUUAAUUACAGUUUGCUAAUUUUCGAGAGAAUGUGUUUACUAGUGUUGUAUAUUUACUACAAGAAAAACUAGUUUCAGUGACCAAAUUCUAAGCGAUCAUCACUAAAUGGUCACUGAAUAUUCACAUUUAGUGACCAAAAGUAAUUUGGUAGCAAAAGUCGGAAGGGUUAAAUCCUUUUGCGACCGGCGAACAUUUGGUAGCUAUAAGUGGUCACUAAUAGUUUGACAUCUUUUUAGCAACUAAAGCUCAAGUUUGUAGCGACAAUUUUUAUGGUCACUAUAACUUAGUGUCAAUAGUGACCAAUUUAACAUCAAAAAAUUUUACGGUUGCUACAAGUCUUUAAUUUAAUUAUUAACAACCAACUAAUUGACUUGCUAGUAACCACUUUAAUUAAUUUGGUUGUUAUGAAACUACUUAUGGAAAUCUAAUCGAUUUGGUCGGUAAUUUAAAGAAAAGAAAAGAAUGAAAAGAAAGAUGGACGGCGAAAAUGCAAAUAAUGGAAAAACACAACCAAUUCUCAUUCUUCCGUUACAUGCAUUUCUUUCAUCCCAAAUCAUUACUCUGUUCAAUCUCUCGCUUACGCUCUCUCUCUACCAAUUCUCGCCUGAUAUUAGUGAAAAUCAAGAAAGAAUUAUCACUUAAUUUCUUCAUUAUACCGCACCAAAAUUCCUCUUGUCUUACCUCUUUUGUUUUCCCUAAAAGUAUUCGCCUAUUCCACCCAAUUUCUCCAAGCUGUAACACCCCGUAAUUUAUGCUUAUGUUAUGUGUGUGUAUAUAUAUAUAUAUACACACACACAAGAGUUUAUUGUACUUAAUAAUGAGAUUUGGGGCUAAUAUGUUAUUAGUAGAUAAAGUUGGGGGAUAAGUAUAAUAAUAAUGUUAUAAACUUUGCAAUCAAGUUUUGACAUGGUUAAUCAGAUAAUUGAGAAAGAAGUGUGAUUAAUUGGAAAAUUAGAGAGAGACGCGUAGAGUGUUGGAUGAAUCAGUUUUCCUUUUUUUUUUUUUUUUUUGAGAAACAAAGAUUUUAUUAGGCAUAAUUAGCCAAAUUAGAGGGGUGGCUAGAUUCCUCCGUACAACUUAAAUAAAAACGAGUAGCAAGACAAUGAGCCAAAGUAUUACCAGAACGUCGAACAAAGAAAAAAUCGCAAGUAUCAAACGAGCUAAUAAUGGAGAAACAAUAAAGGAUUAUGUGAAUGGGUUGUUCUUAUAACUUAUAAAUUGAGAUUAUGUGAAUCAUUUGCUGUGAUUAUUUUCAUUAAUUACUUAUACGUUGUUCUUUGUCAGCUUGUACAUUAAUUUAUUAUUUGAUUUUUAUAUGUUUUUAAGGGAUUGUGCCUUGUGCAUUAGAAUACUUGUACUCUCGUCUAAAAUAAUUUCAAAAAAAAUUACCCGUCCUAAAAACACUCAACUCUCCCUCUCUCUCUUCGCCCGCCCUAAUUCUCUAUCCCUCUCUCUCUCUCUCUCUCUCUCUCUCUCUCUCUCUCUCUCUCUCUCUCAGUACAGAGCCAUUUUCUUAUUCACCGGCGAAUUCGUCAUUUUCUUCCGGCAAGAAUCCGCAUUUUUGUAUUUUACGGUGAGUUUGCGUUCUCCUCUCUGUCACAAUUGAAACGGCAAACACGAAAUUGGCAAGAUUAGGGUUUUCAAUUUUUAUGUGCCGUAAAUUAUCUAUUUUAUGCUUUGAUUUUUGAUUAUUGAUUUUUGAUUUUUUUUCUUAAUUUUCUGCAAAUUGAGUUGUUUUUUGACUGUUCUCCAUUGUUGCCCUAGUUCAAGCAAGAAAAUAGAGGAAAAAUGGAAAACCAUCUGAUUCCCCUGUUUCCAGCAGCCGAGGCUCUAGAAUUCCAAUUCAAAACUAACGGAGACGGUGAGCCACAAUUCAUAUCCGUUAAAGCAGUCGACGCCGUCUACGGCUCUCCGACCCCAGAGCAAGUAGCUGCGAAGAAUCGCAGAAUUCUCGAGAUUCAGCGAGCUCAAGAGCUGACCAAUGGCAGUGCUUUGAACCCCGUGCAGUACAGCGACGCCGUCAUCAGGCACCACAGGGUCGUUUCCGCCGCCGCCGCUGCGUCAUCAUCGUCGUCCGAGCAGAUGAGUGCGAUGAUCGCUCGGAUGGGCAUAAUGGAGGCCCGAUUAAACGCAAACAGCGCUAGGGUCCACAACUCUCGAUAUGUCUACUCUUUGAUCGGGAAAUCCCCAAUUCAAAUUAUUGGCAGAAUUAGGGUUGCGUGAAGAAGGCUUUAGCAAGGGGCUAUUAUGAUCAGAUUACCUCCGGUGCUGGUCGCAUCAGAUGAUUGGCGGUGGUGGCCGGAAUCCGACGAAGAAGACAAGCUGUCUUAGAAUCAGAUUUCAGCUUUUGGUCCUUUGAAGAAUUAAUUGCUUGAAGGCCUUGGGGGUUGAAUAUUGACCAUCAGGGCGCAUGGUUAGAAACCUUGAGAUGUUAUCCUUCCAUUGGUGCUGGUGUUCGGUGGUAUUCUUCAGGGGUGGUCGCCGGAAUUCGGUGAGAAGUUCAGCUGGUCUCUGGAACUUUAGGGAAUGGAAAGCUGCUGCAACUCUUAUUAAUCGGAGCCAAAGUCGGAGGGUUUGGAUUGCGAAUUUGGGAAUCAUUUCUUCUCAAAACUCGGAGAGAACCGCGAGUGUUAUAAGUAAGUGUUGCAUUAUUUCUAAUUCAAGCACGUUGUAUAGCCUUUUCGAGGUCAGAAUCAGACGACCGUGAAUCUGUCAAAACAGGGCAGUUUUGAAUAUUCUUCUUACGGGGCUGUUUUUGCUAUGUUGAGCUAAUAAUUUGGGCUGUGUGUCUUCUGAGAACUUGUAGAUUACAUUGUCAGGUUCAAUUUGGUGUAUUAUUUGAACAAUUUGGAUAACUCUAUAAAUUGUUAUGAUUUUUCAAAUAAACAGUGCCAGCAGGUGCAUUUGUUUUAAAACCUGGCAGUUUCAUGCAAUCAUCUUCCGGGGCUGUUUUUGCUGUGUUAGGUUGAUAAUUUGGGCUCAGGGUCUUCAGUGAACUUGUAGAUACAUAUGUUAGCUUUAAUUCGAUAUAUCGUUUAGGUUAUUCGGAUAAGUACGGUGAUCGUAACGAUUGUUCGAAUAAGCUGUGGCAGCAAGAUAUUCUUAAUAAAUGUUUCAAGAAAUUGACUUUGUGAUAUAGUGGAAUAAUACGGUUAUAUUAGCAUUUGGAAUCUUAUUAAGUGAUAAGUAUUUUUACAGGUGUCGAGCGUACUUAAGCUCUCAUUCAAGACUUGAGCAUGACUCGAGAGUAAGGUGUUUUUAUAGCACUGGCAUUGGACUUCAGGUAAGGAUCACUAUUUCUUCACUAUUAUUUAUUGGAAAAAUAGAAUGCACACUGAGAAUAAGUUGCUUCUUGAUCACUUAAAUGUCAUAUAUGUUACUUUGAUUCUUGAAUUGUUGAAAAUAAUGAUCUAUUCGGAAUCCUCUUGACGGUUCGUAUCUUCUUCCUCGAACUAUUCAAAUAAGUUCUCAUUUUGAUUCGAGACUUAUUCCAAUAAUUUAUUUCGUAUUAAUUGUGUUUUAAGGUUCCUCAAUUAUUAUUUGAAGUAGAACAAAUGAAUUACAAUUUUCAUCAUGACUAAUAAUUCUCAGACAAUGUAUCACAUUCAACAUAUGAAUUGGAUGAGGUAAGUAGCUACUUCUGCAAGAGCCUAUACAUUAUUGGAUUAUGAGUGCUACUAAGUGACAAAUGAUUGAAAUUGAUUCUAUCAUACGAUUUCUUAUUUUCUAAUCGAAUAAUUAUUUUUUUCCUUUUCAGGUUGGAUUGUUUGAUGGAGUGAAAGAACGUUAUUGUGGAAGUCAUAUUUGUUGUCGCUUAACAAUUUAUAAAGUGGAAUCUUUCUUAUUAUUUGAAAUAAUUAUAGCAAUCUUUCUUAUUAUUUGAAAUGAUUGAUUUAUUAUUAUAUUGAGUAUGAUAAACUGGAAUUAUAAUACUCGCAUUUGAUUGAUAAUAUGUAAAUUUGCAAUCUUUAGUUUUAUUUUAAUAUUUUUUUUAUUGGUUUGAAUUGCUCAGUAAAUUAAUGCAAUUGUCGAAACCAUGUAAAAACUAGUGCAACCAAUAAUAUGGUCACUAUAUGUAUAUAUUUUAGCAACCAAGAGAUAUAUUAUUUAUCAACCAGUAGAUACCGUCACUAUAUGUAUACUAUUUAGCAACCAAAAAAUGUGGUCGCCAAAUAUAUAUCCUAUAGCAACAAUAAAAUAUGGUCACUGUAUGUAUAUAUCAUUUAGCAACCAAAAAUAUAUGGCCACUAUAUGUGUUGCUAUAGCAACCAUGUUAAUGUUAUUGCAACCAUAAAUUUUACAUUAGCGAGUCAAAAACUGGUAGCUAAUAAUUAUAUUUUUAGUGACCAUUAUUAGUUCGUCGCUACAUCUUAUUUUUAGCGUCCAAUUAAUUUUCUCGUCACUGAGCACUUUUAGUAGCCACCCUGUUGUGACCACCGGUGACCAAGCUUAAUUUGGUUGGUAUAAGUUUUAACUACCAUUUUCUACCUUUUAGUGACGAUAAAAAAUCGUCACUAAAACCAAAAUUUCUUGUAGCGUGUUAAUUUCUCAGUUUGUGCACUAUGACUUUCUUAUACUACAACAAAAUAUAGAUAUUACAACACUUUGGUUAGAGACAUUUUUCUAAAAAUGCCUCAAAGACACUUAUAAAAUUUUCUUAUUUAUAAGAUCUAUCGAGGCCUUUAUUUUUGGGGACAUAUUUUUAUAAAUGCCUCUAAGUAUAAUUUAUUAGGACACUUAACUUUUUUCCUCAUUUCUUAAAUUUGUUGGGACACUUACCAAUUCCCAACUUAAGCCAUUUUUCACAAGAAAAACCUACUGCACAUUUUUCUUCCAACAACGACGCAACACAACGAUGGAGGAGGAGAAGAAAAGAAUAUCUUGUUCAUCCUGAUAACGACGCAUAAGGUAAUCAUGUCAAUUCCUUUAUUCUUUAUGGUAAUGGAUUUUGAACGCUUAUCCUUAUGAAAAAAAUUCUUCCUAAUAAUUUAAAUUCAAGCCCUAACUAUUUAUACUUCUAAAUAAUUCAAUAUAUAUCUGUCUAUAAACUUCAAAAUUGGGAAUAAGAAUAUGUUGUUUAUUGAUUCUCUAUACAAGCCUUGUGAUUGUUCGACAUGGGAUAGGGAAUUGUAGGAGAAAGGAUAAAUUCUUAUAUUAAAGAAAUUAAAAUGCUAUUAUGUUCUCAAUUGUAAUGGAGCAGUAGUGAUUCGUUUAUGCUGAAGAGAGGAAAUAAUUUUAGCAAAAUACUCUAAUAUUUUACUCUAAUUUGAAUUCUUUGUAGAGUAUGUUUCAUUAUUCAACUCGUCUCCAGUUCUUGUAAGAAAUUUUAGUUCUAGUUUUGUUGAUCUUCUUCUCUUUUUUUUUUUUUUUUUUUUUUUUUUUUUUUUUUUUUUAUUAUUAUGUAUUGUAUUAAAUAAUCUGACUCUUUAAUCAAUUGAUUAGUUUUCAUUUUAUUAUUUAUACUAUAUAUAUUCAAAAUAUUAAGCAUGCAAUGUCAGGAAUCAUUUCAGGAGCCGAUAUUUUGCUCCCCAAUUUACUUAUCUAAAUAAUUUAAUUCAAUCUUGCAAAUUAUAUCUAAAGAUACAUUCAAUAGGAGGUGAAAAUUGAUGCAAGAAUAAUUUCCCAGGUAAUUGUAUAGAGACAAUUGGAAAUGUCAUUCGAGUAAAUGUUGUGUAACCCUCGUUAUUUGGUUUUUUUCUUUUUCUCUUGUGUUGAGUGAUUUAGUUGAUUUAUAGAUCAUAAGUUUUUGUUGGUAAUCGUCUUAUCUUGAUCUCUCUUGCUACUUGUUUUUUUGGUACAUGUAAAUGUAAGCUAUAUUCAUAUAUAUGAUUGAAUGAUAUUUUAGAAUAUCUACCUUUCGAUGUAUUUUUAAUAAUAUUGUAUUUGUAACUUGGGUUUCUUGUAUUCAUUAAUGUAUAUCUUGUGAGUGCAGUUUCCUGUUGCUAUGGAUGAUAAAACUCCAAAUCUUCUUAUUGGUAUGCUCUCUUUUUCCCCAGUCUUUUUUCACUUGAUCACCAUUAUUAUAUUUUAAUACUGAUCCAGAAGGGACAGGUCGACAAAGUUAUAUUUUUAAAUCGUUAAGAACAGACACUCUACGCUAAAUUCAUGAUGUUGGGGUCGUACAUGAUUGACUAGCUCUACUAAUCUUCUUCUUUGCUUUCUUCGCGUUCUUUGCUGUUAAUUUUAGUUUCUAGGUAUUUUUUAAGUUAUUCUAUUUUUACACCAAUUAAGAAUGAGAAAAAUACUGUAAAAGAGAUCGUGUAUUGAAUAUUGAUCAUGGUAUUUGUAACUUGUAUUGGUUUCUUAUUAUACUAAUUUGUGUAUAUUCUUGUAUAUAGAGGUUGCUUUGAGUGAGGAGUUUUAUUAUUAAUGUUCCUAAUGUAUAUGGUGGGAGCUAAAUUUAGGACACUGGAUUUUAUCCAAGAGGUUCUUUCAUUAUUUGCUAGAAAACUAAAGCGAGUUCUAGAUAUUGUAAUUUUGUAUUUUUACGAUCAAUGAUUCAGGGCUAUGGAGAUUAGCUGUAGAAAGUAUUUGUUUACUCUGAUGUUCAAAUACAGCUGAAUUUUAAUAAAUGAUAGUUGAAAAUGUUAAAGUUUUUGUUUUGUUUUUAUAGUUCAAUGUUGUGUCUAUUGUUGUUGGAGUAUAACUAUUAUAAUAGGAUCGGAUAUUAAUGUAUAAUAUAAUAUAAUAUUAUAAUGUUGGGACAUAUAUAAAUUGUCUCCAGAAUAAAUUAAGUGUCCCAACAAAUAUCUAGGUACCAAUAUUGAUAUAUUUAUAUGACAUAUACAUGUGCCUCAAAAAUAUUCUAUGGGGACAUAUAUAACUGUCUUGAAAAGCCAAUUUUAUGGGGACAUAUAAUAAAUGUCCCAAAGGCUAUUGCGACACAGAACUACGCGACUAAUUGUCGCUAAAAGUAUCAGUGUCCCAAAACAAUCUAUAUUAGGGCAAUUUUUUGUGUCUUAAAAGGUGUUUUUUGUUGUAGUAUAUGGUACCAAUGAUUGUAUUUCGAAGGAUGCAUGCUUUGGAAGAAUUUCGUUACCAAAUAAACCUAUCUAGAACUCAAGUUUGAGAUUUGUUUAGAAAAUCUAUGUAAUAUGAUAUAAAAUCCCAUUGAUAAUUAAUGUGCAAAUUAAUUUGGAGUUACGGCUCAAAAACGGGAUAAUAUAUACACCAACCAUGCUGGGGACUAUUUGUCUUCUGAUUUAGCUCCGUCGUUUCUCCAUCUCAGGUGAGCAAAGGAUAAGUAUCAGACACUGUAAGUUCACCUGUUUGCAUAACGUUACAAACGUCUUUUUCGGUACUUCUCUUUACUUACGAAAAGUGUACAUUAUUAGCUUUUACGAUAUAUAUAAUGCAAGCGCAAGUUCUUGCAUUGAAACUCACUGGUAUCUCUUAUUUUGUAGGUUAGGUUAGCAUCGUAAUUAAUUGUGGGUUGCAACUUGCAACAUUCUUCGCCGAAUAUCAGAAAAUUUCUCUAUUUUUUUUUCUUGAUAUCUCAUUGUCAUCUGUGUUGAACCACUUUUUUUGGGGUUUCAGAUUUUCAUGGUCUUCUGCAUAAAAAUUACUUUACUGUGAUUCAUAUUUGAGCAACACUAUAUGGGAUUUAAUUUGAUGUUGCCUGAAAGAUUUCCUUUUUUAAAUUCUAUUAUUUUACGAUCUUCCAGUAAUAUCUAUACAACAAUUUUAUAAGCUUUAAAAAUAUGAAUUUUGCUUAUUUAGGAACACUAAUUCUUUUUUUUUUUUUCUUGGAUUGUUCAGCAACACAUUUUACAUUGGAGCAUGGGAGCAAGGACAUUUUGUUAAACUAAGGCCACGUUUGGUUGUCAAGAUAAAAUUAGCCAAGAUAAGGUUAUUUUAUUGGAGCUUGAAACGUCCAACAAAAAAAACUCAUUAAAAGACAAUAUAACCAAGAUAAGCCAUGAUUAUAUAAUUUUGGCGGGUCGACCCGGCAAUUUAUUGAGGAUACCAAACAUCAAAUUAAGUCCAACUAUUUAGUUAAUCAUGGCUUAUCUUGGCAACCAAACAUGACCUAAGGAUAUAUAGACUUUCAAAGUAAAUGUAUUGUGUAGGUUACUUCAAGUGUUGUUUUGAAGAUAGAUUUCUUGAAGUUUGGUAUUAUAUAUUUUUGGAAAGCAAGAAUUCAUGUUUUGCGGAAUCCGUGUGAUUUUUAGCAUGAGUUUAUAUUUGUGUUGGAAAAUUAUACGAACUCUUGGCAUGCGGUUAAAUUUUUGUAAAUGUUUCAUUAUUGAUUCGAAAAAAAAUAUUGAAAAAUAUGUACCAUUAUUCCUUACGGUUUUCAACGGUCGAGAAAUGUAUUUAGAAGUAUAUACGACGGCCGUUUUCUUGACGGUUGAAAACCGUAUUUUUAUAAUUUUCUGAAUUGUGCCAAUUAUUUUUAAUUAAGACAUGAAAAAAACAAACGACACUUGAAAGUUGGGAUACACAAGUAGCACUCUUCCCUCGAAUUACAUCACACAGCAACAUCAAUUAUUGAACACAAACAGAUUUGAAACUUUGGAAUAAACGAUAAUUAUUUAACGGUACCAGAGAUAUCAAUCGCCUUGAACAAGCUAAGUGUGCCUUCAGCGUUUCUUUCCAGUCGAUCCGGGCGUUGGCCACUCUGGUUGUUUCUCCAAUGGGAAUCCCUCAAAUGGGUUCCAAACAUCCAAUGAAAAUGGAUUGAGGGGGCACGCUUACUUAUAAUGGGUGAUCAGAUAUAUAUGAUUCUUGCACAUUCUUGAUAUUUUCCCUACUAUAUAAUACCUAUUAUCAAAUAUACAUGGUUUUCGAUUUUCCCAUUCGCACAAGAUGCUGAAUUUAAUUUCAAAUACUAACAACAUCGUUUUAUUUUUCGUGUUAUUUUUUUUUCUCUCGGAACCUUAUAUAUAACACAAAAUGUUAUUCAUCCCUAUCGUCGAGUAGUCAAUAUAAUCACAGCCUCUUUUAUAUUGCUUUAAGUGGGGCUCUUUGUGGGACUCCUUUUCUACUUCGCUUGCGCAUACUAAUUUUCUCCAUAGCUUGCGAGCUCUUUGUGUCCGCUUCGAUACUUUUACGUUUCUUGCUCUCUUCAUUGACUGUGGUCUUUUUAUCUUUUCCGUCCGUUAAUGGUGGGGUGCCCGGUUCAAUAUUAGCCAUCUCCUGGUCUACAUCAUUAUUCUUAUUCUGUCAAAAAAAAAAAUAAGAAGAAAAGAAAAGUUUCAAAUUUAGAGAUCAAAGAGAUAAAUAUUUUGUAAGAAAAAAAAAUAAAAAUAAUGUCUUGCACGCAAUGGAACAAAAGGAAAAGUCUCGAGAUAUCAGCUUUGAUUUGCAUGUCAGACACAAAGCAUCAUGGUGUUUUGAUUUCGGUUUUGUGGUUGACUUGGUCUUCGUCCCUUCACUGUGUUUGGAUUUAAGGUGAAAAAUAACUUUGCCAUUAAUCUUGUAUCGUUGAAUAUCUGAUACGUCCCAAUACUUUUCCAUGUCACUCUUUUUAAUUGCUGCCCUAUCUGAAGCAAUGCAAACCUAUAAUAUAAUCAAAAAAAUGAAUUAAACUUCAUCAAGAAAAUUCAAUCAAUUAGAACAUGUAUUUAUAAUCCCAUCAAAAAAAACGAAGUAAACUCAUCAAGAAAAAAAAACGAGGAAAGUUCGAUCAAGAACAUGUAAGAAAACAAACUAGUCUCAUCAAUAAAAACCAAAGAAAAUUCAGUCAAGAACAUGUACUAAUCCCGUCAAGAAAUCGAAGUAAACUCAUGAAGAAAAAAAAUGAGGAAACCUCGAUCAAGAACAUGUAGGAAAACGAACUAGUCUAAUCAAGAAAAAUCGACGAAAACUCAAUCAAGAACUUGUACUAACCCCAUCAAGAAAACGAAACGAGGAAAGCUCGAUCAAGAACAUGUAGGAAAACGAACUAGUCUCAUCAAGAAAAACCAAAGAAAAUUCAAUCAAGAACAUGUAUUAAUCCCAUCAAGAAAACGAUGUAAAGUCAUCAAUAAAAAACGAGGAAACUUCCAUCAAGAAAAGGAAUUAAUAGCAUCAAGAAAAAGGAAUAAAAUUGGGAAAAAAAAACAAAAGUAUCAUUUUGCGCGAUCAAUACUCAAAAAGAACAAAAAAAAAGGACAAAAAAUUGGCAUAAUCAAGAAGUAUAAUGUAAAACUGAACUAAUUAUGAACUUACUUUCAAGAUUUGAUCAUGGUUUUUGUGUUCCUUGGACUUUUCUUUCCAGCACGUGUCGCAGAAGGGUUCGCACAUGCAAACUCCGCAGUAUGUUGUACAGUACCUUUUUACGUGUUUCUUGCAGUUUUCUCGGUCCGUGUCUUCAUACUUCUCCGGUUUAAGCAGAAGACGAUUUUUUUUUUUUUUUUUUUUUUUUCUUCCUUUUUUUCGUUGCAGAGAGUCCGUAUAUGUAGGCCUCUUUAUUAAGUUAGGAGUAUACAACUUUCGUAUAUAUAGGAUUCUUUAUACAUGGAAAUUCUUAUUUCCUAAUGCAAACCUAGUUAAUAUAAAAUAGUGGUUUUUAUGAGAAGGUCCCUUAAUCUUUAUUUAUCUAGGUUUAGACGCUUUAUUUCUUGGGUCUAUUAGUGAGACCCCUUUCAAUGUUUAUUUUAAUACAAUUAAACCCACUUUGUUAUUUGCAUUUGAGAGGCCCCUAAAAUUUUCAUAAACCCAUUUAUUCUUACAUUAUUUCAAUUUUUCUCCCCUCUUACCGACUACCUUUAUAUGGUUCUAUUUUCUACAUUUAUUAUUUUAUUUUUUCUAUUUAAUAAUGUUCUUUUUUUUUAAAUUCCUCAUUUUUUUCCUAGCAGAUUCGUAAAUAACUACAAACUACAAUAAUCAACUACAAAUUACAGUAAUCAACUACAAAUUUUAAUAAAUAAUCAACUAUAUUUUAUUAGAUAAUCAACUAUAAUAAUGCACAUACAAUUGAAAACUAUUGUGAAAAUGAGCAGAAAACAACUAUCCACUGCCCAUCUAUCCAUGUCAGCUGCUAUUUUUGAAUUUUCCUUUUUUAUUUUUGUUAAUAUUAUUUUUAUACCGUUUACACAAAAUUAAUAAUUGUUUCGUUUUUAAAUCAUUUUUUUCUUCGAAUUAGUAAAUUAUAAUCAACUACAAAUUCCAAUAACCUACUACAAUUUACAGUAAGGAACUAUAAACUCUAAUAACCAACUACAAAUUCCAGUAAUCAACUACAAGUUUUAAUAUGAAUAUAUUUUUUUAUAAAUAUUUUUUUAUUUCAUUUUUCCAACAGAAUUACUAAAUUCUAAUGGUCUACAAAUAUAUAUUUUCAAUAUGACUAUGCAUCCAUUAUACUCUAAUUUGAUCAAUAUUACACAUUGACCCCGGUUUUGAACAAAUAUAUCAUAUUAACCCCAAUUUUCAUUCUUUUUUGAAAAAAUAUUUUUUUUUUCAGAAAAUAAAUAUUGUUUUUGAGAAACAUUGGCUGAGACAGUGGGUGCAGCAGCAUCUUCUGGAACAUGUGCAACAACAUCUUCCGGUUGAGAAGCUGCUGCUGCCAUAUUAGGCUGAGAUGUCUCCCCCUGAGUUGAUGCUGGUGGAGGUGAGUCGUUUGACGAAGACUCAGUGGAGCUUGAGGAGAGAGCUUGGGCUUCUGGUUCUGCAAAGGUAGGAUGUCCUUCUUCAUCAUCUGUGUCCUCAUCAACCAAAUGAAGACCUCUUGGUGGGUUUGGCCUAACUGGGGUACGGCCACCUCUGUUGCCCCUUCUUCCUCCUCUGCCUCCUCUUCUGGGAGAGUUUCCACCCCUCCGGCGUUGUGACCCAGCAGUAUUCAGAUCUGGGAAGGGAUUCAUACGUUUGGAACGCCGAGUUGGAAACCUUCCUGCAGUGGAAGAGGGACCCACGAACUCGAAGUUGUCUGGGUCAAUCCGAUUCAGCUCGUCUCCGGGCUCAAUGUAACUGAUCGGCAUUGCUUCAAGAUUGACAGGAUGAACGAUGAUGGCCAGAUUCGGGUCUGCUGGUUCAGGUGCUGCAGCAUCGUUGUGGACAUCAUCUUCGGCUGGAAGGGGAUUUCUAGGUGGAGAUGCCAUGAUACAGUAGAUAAAAAAACUUCUUGUGCUUUUGAUUUGAGAGUGUGAAUUUUUGAAAGAUUAAGCACGAAAUUUAUAAGCCCUAAUUUUUGCUGAGAAAAAUUGAAGUGGAGAAGGUGAAGAAGUGGUGUGCGUCUUUCUUGGAGAAGUGUGAUUAAGGAGAAUAAAGGUUUAUUUGGCAGUUUAAAACAAAACGUGACACAUGGCACAAUAAGGAGUGGACUUAGUGGAAACUAAAAGACUAAUCCAUGUACCCCAUGACCCAUAUAAAUAGUGAUAAUUCAAUAAUAAUAAUAAUAAUAAUAGUAAAUAAAAUAAUAACACUCACGAAAUUUACACUUAAAUAAUAAACACAUCUUUUAAUGAUUCACUGUUGAAAUGCUCGCAUGUUUUUGCACGAGCAUCUUAUAAUUCAAAAAAAAAAAAAAAAAAAAAAAAAAUUAAUCUGCUCGUGUAAAAACACACGAGGAAAAGCGUUCGUGUGAAAUCACACGAGCCCUUUGCAAACGCUCGUGUGUUUUUACACGAGCAAUUAAAAAAAAUAAUAAUAAAAAGGCCUGCUCGUGUAGAUUUACACAAGCACAGUGGAUGCGCUCGUGUAAAUUCACACGAGCAGGCCAAAGUCCGAUUUUUUUCGUUUUUUUUUUCCGAAUUCGUAAUCUACAUAACAAGAGGAUCGUAAAAACGUAAAAAUUACAUCCGAUCUGUUGACGAUUUGCACGGGCUUUGCGAAAGAAAAUCGAAAGGUUGAGAGAGUUUUUGAGUUUUUUUACUUUUUAUUUUUUAAAGAAUGGUAAAAAAUGUGCCUGAAUGUUUAAUUUUGGCCUGCAGAAAUCAUUUCAGAUAAUAAAACCACACAUAAACAAUAAUUUCAUAAAUUAUUGCCUAAGAAUGUUACAAAAAUUAAUCAUAAAAACAUUAACAGUUUUUUCCCAAAAAAAUAUUUCAUUGCUAAUCACAAGAAAUUAGUUAAUAUAAUAAUUUUAUAUGUUGAUUAUAGAAUGGUGUUAAUUACAUCAAAUCCUAUUUUCAUUUCUAUAUUUCAUAGAAAAUUUAGAAUUUGAUGUAAAAAAUGGUAAAAUGGUGGAAGGGUGGGAGAUGAAAAUUUCUUCACCAAAAAUUUUGGUGAAAAUAUAGAAUUUAGGAAUAUAGUAAUAUAAAGUUUGCUAAACUAAAUCACUAUAAUUUUAGGUGUAAUAGUAAUUUAGAGAUUUAAAUUGGAAGACGAAAAACACCUAAAUUAGGUGAUAAAUAUGGAAUUUAGUGAUAGGUUGGAAAUGCUGUAACAUCCCCUAUUUUUUAUUUUGUUAUAAGAGUAUUAUGGAUUUAUUUUAAUUCUUUUCCCUUGGUAAAAUAUUUAUUUGAAGCCUCGCUAAUUUUUGGAAUAAAAGAUCACAGAAGACAAAACAUGAACUAAAAAAGCAGUAGAUAAAAUAUGUAGAACACCAUGAACACAAAUUCAAACAAUUUUACAACUGAUAAAAGUAGAAACAAGAAAAUACACUUCAAACUUGGGAUACAUCACACACAGUAACAUUAAGUACUUAUUCAACAAGACAAACAGACUUGAAGCCUUAAUUCAGAAUAAUUAAGGAUCGAUAAUUAAUUACUAAUUAACCAGAGAUGUCAAUCGCCUUGACCUCAGGUUUCUUCACCUCCUCUUUGGGCACGGUGACAGUCAGCACCCCAUUCUCCAUCGCCGCCUUCACCCCCUCCAAUUUAGCAUUCUCCGGCAGCCUCAAUCGGCGGAUGAACUUGCCGGAGCUCCUCUUGACGCGGUGCCACUUGUCGUUCUUCUCCUCUUUCUCCUUGCUUCUCUCUCCGCUUAUCUGAAGUAUACUGCCAUCUUCAACCUCAACCUUCACUUCUUCCUUCUUCAACCCGGGAACAUCCACCUUGAACAAGUGUGCAUCCGGCGUCUCUUUCCAGUCGAUGCGGGCGUUGGCCACCGCGGUUGUUUCUCCGGCGGUGGAGAAUGGAAAGCCCUGAAAUGGAUCCCAAAUAUCCAACGAAAACGGAUCGAAGACGUUGCUCCGGCGGCCAUUGCCGCCAAAGAAGCUUGGAAUCAAAGACAUUUUCUCUAUCUGCAGAUUAAUUUGAUCGAUCAACGUAACGAAGAUUUUUGUAACUUGUUAUUGAAAAGAAUCGCGAAUAAUUUCUAGUGGAAUUGAAAUGAAGGUUGAAGGACCACGCUUGUUUAAUUUAUAUAGGUGAGAAGACGAUUCUCGAUCGCCUUUUCAUUAAAUUCUAAACUCAAACCAAUUUCGCUGAUCUUCCAACAUCUUCCAGAUAAUUCGUUUACUUUCUCACUGGGCAAAUGUAUGCUAUGGGCGCACCCGUUUGGUUUCUGGUUUUUAAUUAAUAUUAAAUAUUAAAGAGGAGCAUACUUUUUCCUUUAGGACUAAAAUAUAUGGGGUUAUAACUCACAUAUUCAGUUGGGUAAAAAAAGUCAUUUUUGCACCCAUGUACUGUUGAAAGGUAUAAUCUAUCCCCAUAUGUAUAGAGCAUCGAACGCCGCCCUAUUUGUGACGGUCAAUGGUAAAAUAUUUAACGGUGUUAAAUUUGAGUGUGUAAUGACACUUUUACCCUGCUUCUAUUCAAUGAACUUAGAAGGUUAUGGAUACAAUAUUAAGUAAAAAUGAGGUGUAUUUUUUUGGAUUAUUGACGAUUUUUAGCGUUCGUUCAAAUUAGGGGUUUUUUGUCGAUUUUAGCAACGUUUCAUUUUGGGGGUUUUCAGUUUUUUUUUUUUUUGGGGUUUUGCGAUAAAUAUGAAAAGCUUUGUUACUAAUCUGUAUUUGUUUUCAAAUUAAUUAGGGUUUCCUUUCAAUUUUAGGGUUUCGUUUAGAAUUUAGGGAUUUUCAGUUUUUUUUGUUUUUUUUUUUAGUUUUGUAGAAACAAAAUAGAAAAGGUUUGAAAAGAUUUAAAAAUGAAUCAAAAAAGUAAAUAAGUUUGAAAAGACUUUAAAAAAAAUUGAUGAAAAAUGAUCAAAACUAAAUAUAGAAAAUUUUCGGGGUACUUUCGUCAAAAAAAUCCAAUAACUCUUUAUAACAACCGGUGAAAGGGUUUGACUAACGAAAUCAGAAAAAAAAAAAAAAAAAAAAAAAAAAAAAAAAAGAAAGAAAAGCGGACGGCAUGGGGGUAUCUGAUGUUUUCUAUCCAUUAGGGGAGUUAAAUGAUAUUACGUUUUCGUAUAGUACACGGGUGCAAAAUAAUUUUGACCUUAUUCAAUUAUAUAAUAUACUUGAAAGUUUUUAUUUAGUCUCUUGAUACAUUUUAUAAGCCAAAUCAAACCAAUCCAUGUCAUCAGUUGAAGCUUUCUAACCGAAUAAGCUAAAUAUCUGAAUAGUUUGUGGUUGCACUCAGUAUAUCGCGAUACGAUACGAUUUCUAUGGAAAUGAUACAACUCGACAUAUGUAUGGUUUGUAAUCAAAUACCGCUAAAUAUAAUAUUGCUAGAUAUCGCGAUACGAUACGAUAAUUACAAUAUUUGUUAUGAGGUUGAUUUAUGCGAUUUUAAGCACAUUUAGAGAUGAUUUGUGCAAUUUUCAGCAUAUAUUGGGGCUAUUUUAUGAUUUUCAACAUUUUUUUUAAAACAAUGGUUUUUUUUGUUUAUAAUUAAGGCAAAACCAAAAAAAAAAUGCUUUAGGUAAAGCAAUUUAUAUUAGCAAAUGUGAUAUAUUUUGUCCAUAAUUUAAUGGUAAACUUGAAUUUAGAUCUAUUUUGAAUUAAUCGUUUGACUUUGAAAUAUUGAUUUUUACAUGUUUAUCAUAUUAUUAUGUGAUAUAUAUUUUGUACUAUUUUAAUAGUUAGUCAAAUAUCUUACGAUAAAUGAUACGUUACGAGAUAUGGAGGAAAAAUACAACUAAAUAUAUAUUCCGAUAUGAUAACCACGAUCGACAUUAUCAAGAACUCCUUUUUAACAUGCAUGUUCCAUCGCCAGAAUUAGGGGUGACAUUGGUAGGAACACCAAAGUUUUUGACAAUUACCGUAUACGAACCGUAGCUUAUCAUAAUUGAAAGUUUGAUAUUUAUCGUUCCAAGAAAUGAGGUAUACCAUAGUUUAGUAUACCGUCACUUUUGGUAUGAUACCGUGGUAUAUAUUGCAAUAAAGUUUGAAAAAAUAUAAUAUCAAUUCUUUUUCGACAAUGAAUUUUGUAAUAUAUAUAUUUAUGUUGUUUGAAUGUGUUUAUAUAUUUUUUGAACUAAACAUUCUAUUUAAUUUUAUGAUAUCAUGUAGCGCAACAUUAUUCCUAUGUAUAUAUAAAUAUAUAUAAUAUAGACUUUAUUACAAAUAAGUACAUUAUGGGUUACUUAUUCAUAUAGAGGUUCAGACAAAAAAAUAUAUGACAAGAAUAUUCAGACAAUGUCAAGAGGUGUGUAAAAGACUAAAAUACCCCCUCAUAUUUUAAUAUACUCCAAUUGCAUCAUUUAAUUCAAUUUAAUCUCAAUUUGACCCCAAAUUUCACCAAUUAUUCAAUUUUGACCCCUAACCCAAUUUUGACUACAAUUUCGUCUGUCACCACCGGUCUCCAGCGUUGAAUUUUUUUUUCUGUCUGCUUUUUUCAGCUGUUUUCCGGCGUUGACUGACGGUGACGCCGGUUCCUAGCGGCGUUGACUUUUUUUAUUUAUUUUUAAUUUAUUUCUUAAAAGAAAUUUGAAUUAAAAAUGUCUUCAACAUUUUUUGGUCCGUUUAAACAGUAAUAUUGUCAUGGUUAACAGUCAUAUUAACUAUAUUACUGUUUAACACAGUAAUGUUAACUAUAUUACUAUUUAACACAAUCAUAUUGCUAUAUUACUCCCUAGCACAUCAAUAUUAACACAACAAAAUCACUAUUAUUAUGUAAUAGAGUAAUAUAAUAUGUUGACCGUUUAACAAAGGCAAACAUAAUAAAAAGAAUAAUUAAUAUUGAUGUAGUUGACAGUAAUAUUACUGUCAACCACAAUAAUAUUACUGUAACGACAAUAAUAAUACCGUCAACCACGGUAAUAUUAUUGUGUUUACAGUAAUAUUACUAUAGUAGACAUUAAUAUUAUUACGUUAAUCGGUCAACAAAUCAAACAAUAUAAAAAGGCCAAAAAAAUUAAUAUUUAUGUGGUUAAAAGUAAUAUUAUUGUGUUUAUAGUAAUUUGACUGUCAAUGACAUUAAUAUUAUUACGUUGACUGGUCAACAAAUCAAACAAAAAAAAAAGAAAAAAAAGAUAUAUUAAUGUGGUUGACUAUAAUAUUAUUGUGUUUACGGUAAUUAUACCAUCAAAGACAGUACAAUUACCGUCAAUGACAAUACAAUUACUGUCAACCUUCAGUAGGGGGAGUAAAAAAAAUCGGAUAAAAAUUUUAGGAAAAAAAAAAAGGUCAAUGCCGGAGACCGGCGCUGACCGUCAGUCAACUCCGGAAACCGACGGCGUAAAAAAUAGAAGAAAAAAAAAAUUCAAAAAAAAAUCAAAUGCUAGAAGCCGGCGGCAGAAAAAACAGAUAGAAAAAAAAAUAAAAAAAAAUAAAAAAGAUAAAAGAAAAAUAAAAGAAAAAGUCAAAAUUGAUGAAAUUAAAUUAAAUUGGGGUUAAAAGGUUGCGGAUGAUUUUGUCAUAUGCAUUAAUUUGCAUAUUUAAAAUACAUACUAAAAAGAUAAGCAUAUUGGCGAAAUAGAUAUAGCCUAUGCUGCACGGACACUUCUAGAAGGUGAAGAGUCCCCGUAUCCGACAUCUGGACACUCGGACACACCCGGACACUUCUCGGACACUCGUGUCGGGCCGUGUCGUAAUUUCGUUAAAAGUAGGACACCCGUGUCGGGCAGUGUCCACAAUUUUAAAAAAGUUGGGACACUUCUCUUAAAGAAAGCCCUAAUAAAAAAAAUGCGCAUUUUCUUUUAUUUGUAAUACACAUUUUCUCUGUUUUCUUUGUGAGUCCACCCAAAACUCCAAAAGUCUAGCAUGCGACGGUGACCAAGAACCUGAGCAACAAGGGCGAGCGGUUCUCUUAUGCGAUGACGACUUAUACAUAUUUUUUAUAAUUUAUAAAUGUACCCCUAUAUUUUUAUUAUUUGUAAAUAUACCCCUAUAUUUUUUAUAUUUACGCGUAUCCCCGCGUGUCCGUAUCUUAGUUUUUUGGAAAUGUCGUAUCACCGUGUCCGUAUCCGCGUAUCGCCGUGUCCACGUAUCCGUGUCCGUGCAGCAUAGGAUAUAGCCGGUGAACCUAAAACAACAAAUAUGGUUGGUUGAUAAGGCCCUAUGCACAAAAUGAGGGAUUUUUAUUUUUUGUCUUUUCUCAUAUAGCGGAGGAAGAGUUGUGGUGGUGGUGGAGGUAAUUUAGGACUUUUUUUUUUUUUAAAUUGCAAUCAAGUCCCAAAUUAAAGUUUAAGAAAUUUAAUAUAAAUUCCAAUUUGGGCUUUAUUGUUUUUCUUUUUUUUGAAUUUACUCAUACACAUAUAUAUUUAAUAAAGGGGUAAAGUUGUCAAAACAAAUACAACAUCCGGAAUAAAUUUAAUCAUUUUAUAAAGUCAACAUGCCACGUCAGCAAGACAAACGGAUUUUUAACGGAGGGGUUGCUUUGGUUCAUUUUGAAAGUCGGGUUAUACGUUAGUAUAGUUCAAGUAGGCAAAAUAAACUUUACCCUAUAAGAUAUAAAGAAACAAGAGGACAAACAUAAAUACAUUUCGUUUGAAAAAAAUAUAAGAAAACUUAAAUAUGAUGAGAUAAAAAGUAACAAAGUUAUUAUUAUUAUGCUAAAGGAAAGUGGGAAAAAAAAGGCAAAAUACAUAGAUGUCAAACGAUAUUACGAUAGUAAUGAAAAUACAAUACCAUAUAUUGUACCAACUAACUGCUACCGUACCGAAGGGAAGUUAAAUGUUACAUCUGAUUAUUUAUACCGGGUCGAUUUGAACCGUAGAUUUGAUUAAAUAAUUAUUCACUAAGCACACAUACAUAUGGAUGUGUUUGUGAUUAUGUGUAGAUCUAAGGUUCAAAUUCAUCCAGUAUAAAUAACCAGGUGAAACAUCUAAUUUUCCUUCGAUACGGUAUUGGUAACCUACUUUGAUAUUUUUUUGGUAAGUUUCGGUUGGUGUGUAAUAUAUAUACCAUGGUAUUCGGUAAUUAGUAAUUUCUUCCACUUGUAGUCGGAACUCGGAAUAGUAUUCCAACAUUUGCAAUAUAUUUGAGGUUCGGUGAAAAUACUAAACAACCAGAAAUGAUAUAUAGAUAGAUCUUCAAUCAAUAUGUUAUGGUGCAUGCAAAUUAGAAGGCUCAUUGGAAUUAAUUUGCUGGAAAACAUAUAUCAAGCAUUAUACGAGUGAAUUGCAUUUAGCACCCCUCUGAAAAUCGCAAUAAGCUUAGCAUUAUACAAACCGAAAGGAGUGACUAUUUCCAAGAUCCCACAUAGAAUGUUUUUUGUUUCAAAUUAUUGGUGAAUUUCCAUGGUGUAUUUUUAUAAUUUUCUGAAUUGUGCAUUUAUUAUUUUUAAUUAAGAAAUGAAAAUUAAAGAAAGUAAUAGGCAAAAUGUGAAAAAACACCACUGAAACUGGCUCGGCAAUUUUACAAUAACUAGUAAAGUAGAAAAACAAACGACACUUGAAAGUUGGGAUACACAAGUAGCACUCUUCCCUCGAAUUACAUCACACAGCAACAUCAAUUAUUGAACACAAACAGAUUUGAAACUUUGGAAUAAACGAUAAUUAUUUAACCGGAGAUGUCAAUCGCCUUGACCUCAGGUUUCUUCACCUCCUCCUUGGGCACGGUGACAGUCAGCACCCCAUUCUCCAUCGCCGCCUUCACCCCCUCCAAUUUAGCAUUCUCCGGCAGCCUGAAUCGGCGGAUGAACUUGCCGGAGCUCCUCUCGACGCGGUGCCACUUGUCGUUCUUCUCCUCUUUCUCCUUGCUUCUCUCUCCGCUUAUCUGAAGUAUACUGCCAUCUUCAACCUCAACCUUCACUUCUUCCUUCUUCAAUGAUAAGGAACGCCAAAUUGGAUUCGAAUUGGAAAAUAACUAUUUAAUUCGUAGAAGAGUUAUUUAUGGGCAUCGGUGGAGAUACCGAAAGAAAUUACGGAAAAAUAAGGGUUUUCAACGAACUCAAAUUGUAUUUGAGUACGAAACGAACUCUAUCUCAAGUAAAACGGCGCAAGGAACAAAACUCAUGAGCAAAGCUCAUGAAUCACGUCAAAUUUCAGCAAUCCAACGUCGUUUGGACUCCUAAAAGUUCGUUUUUGCUAUUUUAGGUAAGUUUUAGAAAAUUAAUAUCAAAUCAUAGAAAAAUCGGAUUAGGAUUCCGUAAAUUGGGUUGUUCCCAAAAUUACGAGAUCUACUAGAAUCAAACUCUAACUCGUUUUUGCCGUUUUUGGUAAUUUUUAGUAUUUUCUUAGUUUAAUUAGGGUUUUCAGUUUUUAGUAUAAAUAGCUGCCUUAGGUCUUUAUUUUAAGAAGAAUUUUCGAAUUUUAAUAAAAUAUUUAGAGUUUUCUCUAUUUUUCUGGUGGAUUCCAGAGUUUUCGGUGGAUUCCGAAUGUUAUUUUGUUCUAUAGGAUUAAUUCGUAGAAAUUAAUUCUUUACCGUGCUUCCGUUCUGCGUCAUUCAACCCGGGAACAUCCACCUUGAACAAGUGUACCUCCGGCGUUUCUUUCCAGUCGAUCCUAGCGUUGGCCAACGCGGUUGUUUCUCCGGCGGUGGAGAAUGAAAAGCCCUGGAAUGGAUCCCAAACAUCCAAUGAAAAUGGAUCGAACACGUUGCUCCGGCGGCCAUUGCCAAAGAAGCUCGGAAUCAAAGACAUUUUCGAUUUCUGCAGAUUAAUUUGUUCGAUCAAAGAAGAUUUUUGUAACUUGUUAUUAGUGAUGAAAAGAAUCGCGAAUAGUUUCUUGUGGAAUUGAAAUGAAGGUUGAAGGAGCACGCUUAUUUAAUUUAUAUAUAUAGGUGAUCGAGAAGACUAUUCUCGCCCUUUCAUGAAAUUCUAAACUCAAACCAAUUUCGCUAAUCUCCCAACAUCUUCUAGAAAAUUCGUUUACUUUCUCACUGGGCUAAUAUAUGCUAUGGGCGCCACCCGUUUAGUUUCUGGUUUUUAAUUCAUAUUAAAUAUUAAAGAGGAGCAUACUUUUUCAAUAUGAUUAACGAGGUGUUUGGCUAAAUUUAUAAAAUGUUUUAAAACUUAUAAGUUUUUCUAAAGUGUUUGGUAAAUUUUUAACAAAAGAUUUUAAUUUUUUUUAAUAAGCUGUUGGAGUGCAAAUAAGAUCUUUCUAAAAAAUGUACAUCUACCCCAAUUUUUUUAUUUAAGAUCUUAUAAGGGGAAACUAUAGAUAAAUCCCUAAUCAGAAACACAAAACACAGAUCGGUCCCUAGAUAGUUUUCCCAAGCAAAUCAGUCCCUACUCACGCAUCUAACAUGCAGACCAGUCCCUAAUGAAAUGUACAAACACUAAAAUACUCUUUACUUUAUACUAAUUUUACAUAAUUUAUUUUCAACCUCCAACGCGUUGUUUGUGUUACACGCUCUUUGCCUGUUUACAUUUCAAAAAUCAAACAAUAAGAAAGAAGCUAAAAAGGCGCAGAAAAAACCAUCGUUCAUCAGUUUAUACUCAUUUCCAGACAAAGAAGAAACAAAGAAGAAACAAAGAAUAAAAAAACAACAAAGAAGGAAGAAACAACGAAGAAUCAACAAAUUUAUAUAGGUGAGAAGACGAUUCUCGAUCGCCUUUUCAUGAAAUUCUAAACUCAAACCAAUUUCGCUAAUCUUCCAACAUCUUCCAGAUAAUUUGUUUACUUUCUCACCGUUUGGUUUCUGGUUUUUAAUUAAUAUUAAAUAUUAAAGACGAGCAUACUUUUUCCUUUAGGACUAAAAUAUGGGGUUAUAACUUAUAACUCACAUUUCAGUUGGGUAAAAUUUAUUUUUGCCCCCUGUACUAUUCGUAAGUUAUAAUUUAUCCCCUGAUGUAUAGAAAACAUUAAACGCCGUCCUAUUUUUUAAGGUCAACGAUACAACUCGAUAUAUGUAUCGAUUGUAAUCAAAUACCGCUAAAUAUUGCGAGAUAUCAUGAUACGAUACGAUAUCCGAUACAAUACGAUAAUUAUGAUAUUUGUUUUGAGGUUGACUUAUGCAAUUUUAAACCAUAUUUUAUGUAAAAAACAUAAAACAUCGUAAUAUAUAAAUUUUGAGGUUAGUUUAUUCUGACAAUGUCCAGAGGUGUGUAAAAUACCAGAAUAGCCCCUCACAUUUUAAUAUACUUCAAUUACAUCAUUUAAUUCAACUUAAACUCAAUUUGACCUCAAAUUUCACCAAUUAUUCAUUUUGACCCUUAACCCAAUUUUGACUACAAUUUCGCCUGUCGCCGCCGAUAUCCAACGUUGAUUUUUUUUCCUUUUUUUACCGGUUUCCGGCAUUGACCGACGGUUCCCGGCGGCGUUGGCUUUCUCUAUUUUUACUUCUUGAAUUUUUUCCCUUCACUUUUGGCCCGUUUAAGCAGUAAUAUUGUUGUGGUCGACAGUCAUAUUAACUAUAAUAGUGUUUAACACAAUACCAUUAAGGGUUAAAUAGAAAAACACCCGAUGUACUAUGAACCUUGUAUCAAAUACCCCCCAUGUACUACACAUAAAUAUAAAAAACCCCUACUCUUAUAUUUUUUUCCAAAAUCUGACGAAAAUACCUUCUAAGCCUAUAAAUAUAAGGGUUUGUUUGAGCCAUUUUCCACAAUAUUUUUUAACAUUUUCGGUCAAUUUUACUUGGGAAAUUUUGAUUUUAUUAUUUUUUUUUCUUAAAUGUCUUCCGGUAGUUCAAAUUCUCACCGUAGACCUUUACCGCUAUUGGUAAAGGUUAAGUACCAACUCUCCUAAUGAGGGUUGUCAUAUUACUCUCUAGCACAAUAAUAUUAACACAACAAAAAUCACUAUUAUUGUAGAGUAAUGUUAAUAUGUUGGUCGUUCAACAAAUGCAAACAUAAUAAAAAGACAACAUAAUUAAUACUAAUGUGGUUGACAAUAAUAUUACUGUCAACCAAAGUACUAUUACUGUACCGAUAUUAAUAUUACCGCGAAGCACAGUGAUAUUAUUGUGGGUACAGUAAUAUUACUAUAGUAGACAAUAAUAUUAUUACGUUAAUCGAUUAACAAAUCAAACAAAAUAAACAGGCAAAAAAGAAAUAUUGAUGCGGUUGAGAGUAAUAUUAUUGUGUUUCAGUAAUUUUACAGUCAACGACAGUAAUAUUAUUACGUUGACUGGUAAACAAAUCAAACAAAAUAAAAAAAGUCAAAAAAAAAAAUAAUUACAGUCAACGUUCAGUGUGGCUGACAGUAAUAUUAUUGUGUUUACAGUAAUUUUACCGUCAACGAAAAUACAAUUACUGUUGAUGAUGCUAAUAUGUAGCUCACCUAGGGUGGUGUAGAAAACGGACUGGGAGAGCAAAGCAGAUCAGUAGCUUGAUAACUUGAUGAUCCUGAGGUACCUGCGAUCAUAGAACACAUGAACUAAGCCGGGGGUUGAUCCGGCAGAAACCCCUCCGAGGCUCAAGUCAGACGUGCUGAUCAUAGAAAUAGUCCAGAGAAUACAUAUUAUAGUAUAUUAUAGUAUUGCUCAGUUAAUAGGACGUACCUUAUGGAAUGAGUUCAAAUGUGUAUUUAUAGCUUAGUUGAGAUUGUCGGGCCCAAACCUUGCUUGAAGGUGAUUGGGCAUCGGUGAUAGUGGUCUUCGAUAUUGGGCUCGUGGCCCAGUAGGUACAUAAUUUGUAGGCCCAUUGGGUUGGGCCAAUAAGGCAUAUCAUUAAGCCCCCCACUCUCGAGUCGAUGUGGGGGCCAUGUUGAAAUGGGUGACAUAUAGUGUCGAGAGUAAAAAUUGUAGUAGUCGAUGGUGUGCGAUAACGCGUUGGAGCGUGUGUCGGAGGGGCGUGAAUGCGCAUUGGUGCAUAGCGCGACCAAGUUGUUGCGAUGUAAGUUAAUUGAGUCGUCGGUUUUGUCCCGCGACGAUGUAGUAGCGAAUUAUCUCCUCGUGGGAGUUGUCUCGUCGCGGGGUAAUAGUGUUGAUCGAGUUAUCUCCUCGUGGGAGUUGUCUCACGAUAAUGUAGUAGCACGGAUCAAGUAAUCUCCUCGUGGGAGUUGUCUCUGGGGUAAUAGAGUUGAUCGAGUUAUGUCCUCGUGGAAGUUGUAGCACGGAGCUAGUAUUCUCCUCGUGGGAGUUGUUAUUUUUCGACAUUGUCAAUGUUUUGACGCGUUGCUUAUAUGUGUUUACAUAUAGCCUUGUGCGUGAUGUACUUGAGGAGGGGAUCAGACUCUCAAGAUUUUUUUUAAUGGGGGUCGUGCCCCUUGUUAGACCUCGUGGGUCUUAAGUAUGUUUGGACCGUGGCCACGUUUUAAUGAAUGACCCAUCGAAAACAAGUAGAUAAAUUUGAGUAAUCAAGCUGGCCAGGCUAUAUAGAUUCUCAUAAUAUCUCUAAGUGCUUCUAGGGUUGUAAUUGUGCUAACUUGAGCUUGCGAUUAUAUAGUGAAUUUCGGGCGAGUUGUCUCCUCAUGGGAGUUGUCUCGCGGUGAAUAAUAUUAUCGAGCGAGGUGGUUGCACGUGGGAGUUGCCUUGCAACGGAUUUGUAGUCGAGCGAGUUGGCUCCUCGUGGGAGUUGUCUCGCUGCGGGUUGUGGUACCGAGCGAGUUGGCUCAUCGUGGGAGUUGUCUCGCUGCGGGGUCGUAGUGCCGAGCGAGUUGGCUCCUCGUGGGAGUUGCCUCGCUGCGGGUCGUAGGAUGGAGCGAGUGGUCUCCUCGUAGGAGUUAUCUCGCUGUGGGUUCGUAGACCCGAGGGAGUUGACUCCUCGUGGGAGUUUUCUCGCAACGGGUUAUAUGACUGAGCGAGUUGUCUCCUCGUGGGAGUUGUCUUACUGCGGGAUGUAGGACAGCGCGAGUUUGCUCCUCGUGGGAGUUUCCUCGCAAGGGGUUGUAGGUCCGAGCGAGUGGUCUCCUCGUGGGAGUUGUCUCACUGCGGGAUGUAGGACAGAGCGAGUUUGCUACUCGUGGGAGUUGUCUCGCUGCUGGUUGUAGGACCGAGCGAGUUUGCUCCUCAUGGGAGUUGUCUCACUGCGGGAUGUAGGACAGAGCGAGUUUGCUCCUCGUGGGAGUUGUCUCGCUGCUGGUUGUAGGACCGAGUGAGUUUGCUCCUCAUGGUUGUUGUCUCACUGCGGGAUGUAGGACAGAGCGAGUGGUCUCCUCGUGGGAGUUAUCUCGCUAUGGUUAUGAGACCCGAGGGAGUUGGCUCCUCGUGGGAAUUGUCUCGCAAGCCCCCCACUCUCGAGACGAUGUGGGAGCCAAGUCGAAAGGGGCACCGGAUCGUAUUGAGAGUAGAUCGGUAAUGUAGUCUUGCGUUAAUCGUUGGCAUGGCGUGGAGAAAUAAAUUUUUUUUUUUUCCAUUUGAUAGCGAACGCAAUUUGGUAGGUGCGUUAAAGAGCUCGCGCAAUUUGGUGGAGCACGUUGAAAUUAUCGUGCGAUUUGGUGAAGCGAGUCAAAAUCUACGCGCAAUUUAGUGGAGGGCGGUGAAAGUUCCGUGCGAUUUAAUGGGAGCGCGCAGUCCAAGGGCGCCUUGGGAAAGCGCGCGCGCGUGCUUGCGCGAGCUCCCAUUAAUUUUUUUUUUUUUUUUUUUUUCUGUCUGCUAACGCGCGCUCGUCAGCGCGUGUACUCCACGCGCGCGUGCUUUGCACGCGCGCCCCUCCUUUUUUUUUUUUUUUUUUUUUUUUUUUGACUGUCUGCUGACGCGCGCGCGCGUCAGCGCGUGUACUCCACCCGCGCGUGCUGUGUAUGCGCGCCUCCUCUUGCCUUUUUUUUUUUUUUUUUUUUUUUAUGGAGCCGCGCGCGCGCGGCUCAGCUGCAUUUCCCCCCUUUUUUUUUUCUUCUUCUUUCUUCUUUCUUUCUUCUAUUUUUUCAUAUUCUUCUUUUUCUUCUUUCUUUUUUCUUCAAGUUCUAUUUUUUUCUUCUUUUGUUUUUGUAUUUUUUCAUCUUCUUCUGGGGUCUCGAGUGCGCGAUUUUACCCUCCUUUUUUUUUUUGUGGUUGAUAUUCACCCCCUUGGGGAUGUUCUAUUUUUUGAGGAGGAAGAUUAUCCUCGUCUCUUGCGAUGUGAUGUGAACCCCCUUGGGGAUGUUCUAUUUUUUGAGUAGGGAGAUUAUCCUCGUUCCUUGAGAUGGGAUGUGCACCCCCUUGGGGAUGUUCUAUUUUUUGAGUAGGGAGAUUAUACGCGUCUCUUGAGAUGUGAUGUGAACCCACUUAGGGUUGAAAGGUAAGGGUGAUGUCCAACCUUAGGAUGGGGAUAACUGCCCACUUUAGGAUGAGGCGCUCGAGACCUAUGGUCCGAGGUGGAUGCGCACGGUUGUGCCAUUGGUUCGCGCGUACGCGUCAGACCAUUUUUUCUGUUUUUGAAGUAGGGACGUGAAACACUUGAUGGGAUGUGAAACCCCUUGGGGUUGAAAGGUAAGUGGAUGUACCACCCUUGAGAUGAGAUGCCCAACUUUAGGAUGGGAUAGCCCCCCAUUUAGGAUGAGGCGAUCACGAACCACUGGGGUGAGAUGCCUAACCUUGGCGAUAUAUGGUGCCACUGAUUCAGUGGCAGCACGAGUUGAAUCUUCCGUGAUCAUACGCUGAAGGUCUUCUUCGGUUAUCUGAACCGUUCGAGAAGUAAGUAGAAAUUGAUCAUGUUGAGGACCCAGUGGGACCUCACGAGGAGGAGCGUUGACUGCUGCUAUGACGAUGUAUGGUGCCACUGCUUCAGUGGUAGCACAAGUUGAAGCUUCCGCGAUUAUACGUUGAAGGUCCUUAUCGGUUAUCUGAACCGUUCGAGGGGGGCGGAAGUAGACCCCCAGAGAGUCGAUGACCCAUGGCGAACGAAAUGUUUUGGGGGCAAUGUGAACCCCCAGGGAGUCGAUAACCCUUGGCGAACGAAAUAUUUUGGGGGCAGAUGUAAGCCCCAAGGGAGUCGAUAACCCUUGGCGAACGAAAUAUUUUGGGGGCAAUGUAAGCCCCCAGGGAGUCGAUAACCCUUGGCGAGCAAAAUAUUUCGGGGGCACUAUAAACCCCCAGGGAGUCGAUAACCCUUGGCGAUCAAAAUAUUUCGGGGGCACUAUAAACCCCCGGGGAGUCGAUAACCCUUGGCGAGCAAAAUAUUUCGGGGGCACUAUAAACCCCCAGGGAGUCGAUAACCCUUGGCGAGCGAGAUAUUUUGGGGGCCGAGGUAAGCCCCCAGGGAGUCAAUGGCGGUGGUGCCAUAGGUGGCUCCACAUGUGGAGCAGGUGCUGGUAUCGCGUUGGGAGCAUUUGCUCCCAUCGUGGCGAUAUAUUGGGUCACGACCUUUGUGGCAGCGCGAGUUGAAGCUUCUGCUAUCAUGCGUUGAAGCACAUCCUCGGUUAUUUGAACCAUUCGAGGAGCAGGGAGUGGUGGAUCGGCGAGUGGUGGGUCCCGAGGGGGGAUUACCUGAACCUCGCGAAGCGGAUCCAUGGGACGUGGAGGAGCUGGCAAGCCAGAGCCUCCACAAGGUGGGAGGUCGUUAGCUGUGUCAUUUUCUCUCCGAGCAGACGCCUCAGGAGGAUCUUGUUGGCUACGUGAUCUGGUUUGCAUCGUUCCCACAGACGACGCCAAAAUGAUGAUGCUAAUAUGUAGCUCACCUAGGGUGGUGUAGAAAACGGACUGGGAGAGCAAAGCAGAUCAGUAGCUUGAUAACGUGAUGAUCCUGAGGUACCUGCGAUCAUAGAACACAUGAACUAAGCCGGGGGUUGAUCCGGCGGAAACCCCUCUGACGCUCAAGUCAGACGUGCUGAUCAUAGAAAUAGUCCAGAGAAUACAUAUUAUAGUAUUGCUCAGUUAAUAGGACGUACCUUAUGGAAUGAGUUCAAAUGUGUAUUUAUAGCUUAGUUGAGAUUGUCGGGCCCAAACCUUGCUUGAAGGUGAUUGGGCCUCGGUGAUAGUGGUCUUCGAUAUUGGGCUCGUGGCCCAGUAGGUACAUAAUUUGUAGGCCCAUUGGGUUGGGCCAAUUAGGCAUAUCAACUGUCACCGACAAUACAGUUACUGUUAAUGACAUUACAAUUACAGUCAACGUUCAGUGGGGGCGUAAAAGAAUUGGAUAAAAAUUUAGGAAAAAAAAAGUCAAUGUUGGAGACCGGCGCUGACAGUCGGUCAACUCCGGGAACCGACGACGUAAAAAGCAGAAGAAAAAAAAUUCAAAAAUAAUCAACAUCGGAAACCGGCGGCCGAAAAAACAGACAAAAAAGAAAAGAAAGAAAAUAAGAUCAAAAUUGGAUUUUUGUUGUCAAAAUUGAUGAAAUUGAAGCUAAAUUGGAGUUACAAUUAAGAAUUGGGAUUAAAAGGCUGCGAGUAAUUUUGACAUAUACAUUAAUUUUGCAUUUAUUUAUAAUACAUAUUAAAGUGAUGAUCAUAUUGGCUAAAGAGAUAUUGUCCCUGAACAUAGAAUAAUAAAGUUGGUUAAUCAGGAUAUUAUAUAUAGGGAUAAUUUGACAAAACUCCCUCAUUGCAACCCACCCUUUACAAGGAGUCCAAAAAAAAAUUCAAUUUUUAAAUUAAAUCCAAAAUAUUCUUAAUUAAUAAAAAAUAAUAGAGUUUCACAAUUAUACCCUUUCUUAUAUCUCACCCAAACCCUAGAUCUUAUACUCAUAUGUUCUCUCUCCCUUCUCUAUUUUUGUCGUUUUGAUUUAUCCACCGCUGCAACAAAUUAUUUUCUGCAUCUCCUUCACCAACCCCGCACUCUCUUCCCCAACCCCACUCUCUCUCCUUUUCUCCCUCCGGCCGACCACCAUUCGCACACCUGGAUUCACGCGAAAUUGAAGAAGACAACAGAGGCGAAAUUGGGAAUAAAAUUGAUAGGGCGACAAUAAAUUGAAGCUUAAACAAGGUGAUGUGCGAGAAAUUCUCGAUUUUUUUCACGAGAAUGCAGUUGAGUAGUUCUGGUUUCUUUUACGUUUUUGAGCAGUAUGGUUAUUUUGGAGAUGUUGUGUUUUUCGAUACUAAAUCUUUGACUGAAAAUUACGAGGUUCCGUUGGUUGUAUUUGCUUGCAUCAAUCACCACAUGCAUACUUGUAUUUACUUUGUGUUUUUACUUGUGCGUCAAAAAUCAGCAAUGAUGACUUCCGCUAGUUUGCGACGAUUUUGACUCAAAAACGUCGCAAGAUAUCGGAAAAUAAGAUUUCGAUGGAAUAUCUCGCGACGAUAACAGUAAUCGUCGCAACAUUGCGACUAAUGUCAUUGAAACGUCGCAAACGAAAAAAAAUAAUAAUAAAGCACUCUCGUAGCGACGUUUUUAUAUAAACGACGCAUGAAAAAUAUUUUUUGCAAUUUAUUUUUUUACCUUCGCGACGAAUAUGACGUAUACGUCGCUAGUGAAAUUGUGAAAAAAAAAACAUUUUAUUGGGUUGGCGACGAAUUUGGAUAAACGUAGCGUAAUAAAGAGGAAAUAUUAAAUAAUAUUUAUUCAUAGCGACGAAAAGAGUUUAUUCGUCGCAAGUAAAAUAUUUUGUUAAAAAAAUUAUAAUUAUUAUUUGCGGCUAUAGUGUAUUAAUCGUCGCAUGUCUAUUUAUUAUUAUUUUUUUUUUUGGGUGGCGACGAAAGAGUUUAAAAACGUCGCUACGAGAUUCGUUUAAAUUUGACGUUGCGACGAUUUAUCAGGAAUCGUCGCAAACAAUUUAAUGAGAUGGCAGGCCCUAAUCCCAUUUUCCCCAUUUUUUCCAACUUCCUUCUCGUUUCUCUCUCUCUCUUUCAAUCUCUUCCCCUUGGCCGGGCCCCCCCUCCGCCGGGGCCUCCCCCUCCGCCUCCGCCGCCGCCGUCCGCCGUCCGCCCAUCUCUCCGCCGCUGCUCUCCACCGUCAGCCCAUCUCUCCGCCGCUGCUCUCCACCGUCAGCCCAUCUCUCCGCCGCUGCUCUCCGCCGUUCGCCCAUCUCUCCGCCGUCCGCCGCUACUCUCCGGCGUCAAUAGCUAGCCCUAAUUUCCUCCUCUCUAUCUAGCCCUCGAUCAACAACAACAAAAAGGUAACUUUCUUGCCCUAAUUUUUUUGAAUUUAGUUGGUGGGAUUAUGGUCUUUUGAUUGUAAUUUUGUUACUGUAGAGAAUAGAGGUCUGGAUUACAGUUGCGUACUACUGAAAGCAAUUGAUCGAUUUUAGGGUUCUUCCUUCGGGCUGCCAUUCCCAAAACUACUGUCAAAUCGAAUUGCAGGUACGGUGAUUUUUUGAAAUGGUUAUCCUUAUUUGCACAGGAUGUAACUGUUUAUUGCGGAUUGUAUUGUGGCAGAUAUGGGUGUGUUCGAGCUGCGGUUGGUAAUAAUGGUGGUAACGCUCUUGUUAAUAGUUCCAAGCAUGUAUGGUUGGGGAAAACAAGGCCACAUUAUAACUUGCAAGAUUGCUGAGGUACUUUUUUUUUUUUUUUUUGAUUUUGAUGUUUGAGGCGGCGUUUUAUUCUCCCAACAGAAGAUUUUGGAAUUUUUGGUAUGUUGAUGAAAGAAUCAUUAAUUGGAGUUGGGAGUAUUCUUUGGAUGUUACAGAAUUUUCUCACUAAAGAUGCUUUAGCUUCAGUGAAAGCAUUACUUCCAGGCAGUGCUGAAGGUGAACUUGCUUCUGUUUGCUCGUGGCCAGACGAGAUUCGUCGGAGUGCGCAUAAUCGGUGGAGUGGUCCUUUACAUUACAUAGAUACACCUGACUUCAGGUACAACUACCAGUAUUGCAGUAAGUGGAUUUCUCUCUUAUUAAUUUUUUUUUAAUUUAUUAUGUUUCUGUUGUCUGCCUUCUGUUAGAUUGUUUUGAUCGCUUUUCCAGAGGAAGAAUUAUCGUCUAUGUCAGUCGAGGAAUUUAUGCCACUAUAAUUGUGCCUAUGCAGCUUUACCACCGUAGUUUUGGUACCAGUUGUACCUUUACGCUUUCUGACUUUUACUUAUGCUAUAGGAGAUUGCCAUGACUCUGUUGGUCGUAAAUAUAGGUGUGUCACUGGAGCAAUUUACAACUACACAAUGCAGCUUAUGACAGAGAGUCGUGAUACCGAUUUCUCAGUAAUGAAGUGUAUGUAUCAAUUUUAUUCUUCAAUUGGUUGUAUGUUAAUUAUUUAUGUUUAUUGUUGUCACAUGUUUAUCAUAUGGAAAUUAUUUGAUAUGUUAAAUUAGUACGUAGUUGAGAUAUGUGAAUAUGAAUAUUUGUUUUAAAUAAUGUUAAGUUGUUGUAUACAUGGAUGGUUUUUUUGGGGAUGUUCAUUUAUUAGUUGUUAUGCUGUCGAAAUUUUCCCUAAACAAGUGUACUUAAUCAUUUUCAGGCUGAUUUGGAACGAGUGUACGAUGAGACAAUGCAUGAUGGAAGUGACGAAAGCACGGCCAACUCAACUGCGAUAAAAAAAGUGCUCGGAAAAAGCAAAGGGCUUGGAAUUAAGAUUGCAACCACCACAAAGAGUUCAAAGUCGAGAUUUUCUUCAAUUCCACCGGAAGUGCAACUGGAAAUGAAUUCAAUGAAAGAGCAAAUGCAACUUAAAGAUGAAAAAAUGGAAAGAUUGGAAGCGGAAUUGAAAGAAACCCGAAAAAUUGUGAACACCUUGGUCGGCCGUUUUGGACUACAAGCCUCGACAUCGACUCCUUCCAAUGAUGGUGGAGUAUAAAAAGGGAUGAACUUUGUUUGGUUUUUGAAUUAAAGUUUGAAACACUACAUUAUAUGCUUUUAAGUUUGUAUGUACUUUUUUAAUUUAUGCUUUGUGCUACCUUGAUAUUUAAUCCGUAAAAAACUUGCGACUAAAAUACAAAAUAGUCGCAAACAAAAAUUGUAGUAACAAGCGACGAAUAAAUAAAACAAAUCCUCGCACAUAACUCGUGGGACUUGCGAAGAAAACGGAUAUUAUUCGCAAACAUUUUCGCAAACGUAGCGACGCAAUCAUCACAAAACGUCGCUUAGUGUAGCGACGAACAUAUAAUUCGUCGCAAAGGGUUGCGACUUAUUAUUUGUUCGUCGCAAUUGGUAAGCGACGAAAGUAUAGGAUCCGUCGCGAAGAUUAAAAAAACAUUUUUUUUCAGAAAAUACGAAUGUUGCGACAAUUUAUGUAAUUCGUCGCCAAAAUUGGCGUCGAAAAUGACUUUUCGUCGCAGAUCUUGCGACGGGGCGUUUGGCGACGUUUUGUGUAGGAUUUGGCGACGAAAAAAAUUCGUCGCAAACACUAAAAAAUCGUCGCCAAAUAUACAUUUUCGUCGCCAAAUUUCGUCGCCAGUCGAGCAUUUUGGCCUAGUGUUUCCAAAAUUAAAGAAAUUUUCACUAUUAAUAUACAUUUGGUCCAAGGUGGAGAAUUGUUCGUUUUUGGCCCAAAUAUGUCUUGGGCCAGAAAGCCCAAUUACUCUAUUUUAUAUACACCACCAUGAGUUGAGCCCAAGAGUGAAUAAGUGAGCCCAAAUCAGAUUUGAACCAAAUCCAUCCGUUGGAUUUCUGGCUUAAUUUGGACCAUUUAUUCCCUCACUCAAAUACUCUCUUUUCUCUUAUUUUCCCUCAUUUCUGAAAACCCUAGUUUUCAUCUUCUUCUCCGCCGCUCCUGCUUCUGUCUUCUUCCUCCUUUGCACUGCCUUGACUCUGUCAUGGCUGGAAGUCAAAGUGCACGGUACAUGGCUGACUUUGACCGUCCAGUACAGCCUUCACCGGCUCUAUUUGACUUAUGUCUCUAUAAAUAUGGGUAUGAAGGUUGGAAGAUGAUAAGAUACAGAUUCAAACCUAAUCUCAACCUAAAGCUUUCAGUUUUCAAUUUGUGAGUUCUGAAAAUGGGGUUUUGGUGAGAGGGUAAGCUUGAGUGCUUGAUCUGUUAUUUCCUUUGUGGAAUUCUGGGUGAAACUAGGGUUUGUGAAUGAGAGAUAAAGAAGAUUUGUUCUUCUUGUGGUACUCUGGUGGUCUAUUGUGGAAAAGUGUGAAUCUCUAGAGUGAAAAGUUGGAAGACUGAGCUGAUAAUUUUUAUUAUAAUUUCUUCAUAAUUUUUAUGGAAUUAAAAAAUGAGGUUUUUGUGAUAAAAUCCCCAACCAAACAUGUUUAUUAUUCUAGGUUUAGGGACAUAUCUCUUUCACCAAUAAGCCCACCACUUUAAUAUUUAUUAUAAAUAAAGGAAACACUCAUGUAUAUUUCAAUAUUACCCUCAACCAUUUAUACCCAAUUCUUAAUUGUAACCCCAAUUUAAUCAAUUUUGUCCACAAAAAUCAGAUUUUGACCACAAAAAUUCAAUUUUGACUUUUUUUUGGAGCAUAUUUUAAUAUGCUCCAAUUUUAUCCUUUAACUUAAUUUAAUCUCAAUUUGACCCCAGAUUUCACAAUUUAUUCAAUUUUGACCCAAAACUUGUUUUUUUCACAAACAUUUUUUUUUUCAAACAAUUUUUUUUGCCGCCGGAUUCCGGCGUUGACUUUUUUUUUUUUUUUUCUUCCGGAUUUUUUCGCCGGUUUCAAUUUUGACUUUUUUUUUGGAGCAUAUUUUAAUAUGUUCCUAUUUCAUCCUUUAACUUAAUUUAAUCUCAAUUUGACCUCAAAUUUCACAAAUUAUUCAAUUUUGACCAAAACCUUUUUUUUUCACAAACAUUUUUUUUUCAAAAAAAAUAUUUUUGCCGCCGGAUUCAGGCGUUGACAUUUUUUUUUUUUUUUUUUUCUUCCGGAUUUUUUCGCCGAUUUCCGGCGUUGACUUUUUUAUGUGUUUUUUUAAGUUUUUUUUUUUUGUUUGGUUUGGUUUGUUUUGUUUUUCCACGUCCGCCGCUAAACGUUGACCGUAAUUGUGCUGUCACUGAUAGUAAAUUAACGUAAUUAUACUGUCAAUGAUAGUUAAUUGACGUAAUUGUACUGCCGUUGACAUUACAUUUAUGUAAUUGUGCUGCCGUAGACAGUAAAUUAAUGUAAUAUUAUUAUUUUUUAUUUUUUAUUGUUUUUUUUUUAUUUUGUUUGAUUUGUUGACAAGUCAACGUAAUUAUAUUACUGUCGUUGACAGUAAAAUAACUGUAAACACAAUAAUAUUACUGUCAACAACAUCAAUAUUAUUAUUUUUUGGGGGUUUUUGUUUUGUUUGAGUUAUUCACGGAGUAACGUAAUAAUAUUACUGUCUAUUAUUGUAAUAUUACUGUAAACACAAUAACAUUACUGUGGUUGACGGUAAUAUUACUGUUGUUAUAGUAAUAUUGGUGUCAACCACAUCAAUAUUAUUAUUUUGUUUGGAUUUUUUGUUUGUUUGAGUUAUUCACGGAGUAACGUAAUAAUAUUACAGUCUAUUAUUGUAAUAUUACUGUGGUUGACGGUAGUAUUACUGUUGCUAUAGUAAUAUUACUGUCACUCACAGUAAUAUUAAUUCUUUUGGUUUUUUUUAUUAUGUUUACAUUUGUUGAACGGUCAGCAUAGUAAUAUUACUUUAUUACACAAUAAUAAUGAGUUUUGUUGUGUUAAUAUUAAUGUGCUAGAGAUUAAUAUAGCAAUAUUAUUGUGUUAAACUAUAGUUUAGUUAAUUUUACUGUCUUUAACAGUAAGAUAGUUAAUAUUACUGUCAAUCACAGCAAUAUUGCUGUUUAAACGGAAAAAAAAAAAAAUUUAAAAAGUCAACGCCGAAGACCGGCGUUGCGCCGGUCAACACCGGAAUCCGGAAGAAAGAAAGAAAAAAAAAAUAAAAAAAGUUGAAAAAGUCAACGCCGGAAUCCGGCGGGGGAAAAAAAAGUUUUCGGAAAAAAAAAAUUUAAAAAAAAAAAGUUUUGGGUCAAAAUUGAAUAAUUUGUGAAAUUUGGGGUCAAAUUGAAGUUAAAUUAAGUUAUGGAUGAAAUUUGAGCAUAUUAAAGUAUGAGAGGUUAUUUUAGUCCUUUACAAAAGUUUGGACCAUAUGUGGACUUAUUGGUAAAAGAGUUUUUUGUCUUGAUCUCUUUAUAAAUAAGUACCCAUUGAUGGGCUUAUUUGUAAAGUUCCCUUAAAAAAUUGAAUUCGAUAUAAAAAAUUUCAAGAAACUGAAAGUUUAUUUCAAUCUGGCAAUUUCGGAAUUCUUGGAAAUAUUAGAAGUAUAAAAAAAUAAUGCAUAUUUCUGCAUUUUCUUGGAACAAUUUUGAUUAAUUUCAUUUUUUGUAUGAAAAUGUUAUUUACCUGCUCUAAAAAUACAAUUUUUUUUUUUACUUUUUACCAUGUCAUUUUAAUAUUUUAUUAUACAUAAAAUUAUAUUAACUCAACGUAAAAUUUAUUUUAAAAAGCCCAAUUUUCAUAUGACGUAAUACUUCCCGCUCUUUUUGCUACCUCAUAUUAUGAAAUUGAAAAAGCCCUAAUGAAUUCACUCUGCCAAAACAUCGCCGCUCUUCAUUCUUAUCCAUGGCGGUUAUUGCAAUUCUCUCGAGCUAGGGUUUAUCCUUCCCCCAAAUACAUACAUACAUACAUACAUAAAUAAAUAUUUUUUCAACCAAGCGCAAAUCCCCAGAAAUGAAAUCCGCCAAGCAAAAAACCCCCCAAAAUGGAGGUAGAAUUCUUAAAAAAUCUGCCAUCGGAAAUCGUAAUCGUGAUUCUAUCAAGGCUUCCUCUUCGAACAAUCGGAAUCUGCAGACGCGUUCGUAAGUCAUGGCGAGAUCUGAUCCAAACUCCCGUUUUCGCCAAUUCUUAUCUUCCUAGAUAUGUCUCGGGUCUGGUUACCUGUUUCGACUUCGACAGCUACCAAGUUUUCACAUUUGAAGAUGAACUCGAUCUCGAAGAUCCCGAUCGUAACUAUGAUUUACUAACCACAUUCGAUUGUAGUGGAUUGGGCCUUAGCAUCUGCGAUUUAAGAGGUUCCGUUAACGGCUUGCUUUUUAUGCACCCGUUGAGCUCUAUAUCCUCUGAGUAUUACAUUUGCAAUCCAAUCACUCGCGAGUAUAUCGAGUUUCCGUACGAGCAGAGGCUGCUCGACGAAGAGUUUAACGGAACGGUCAAUUAUGGAUUUGGGGUGAGUAAAGUGAGUGGUCAGUAUAAGGUGGUUAGGGUUGUUCAUGUUAGGAAAUCUAUUUGCCACGUGUACACUCUCGGAACAGGGAAAUGGAGACGAAUUGCCUGUGGGGCCCGAUUGGGAAGAAACAAUUAUUUAAACGGGGCGUUUAUUAAUGGGUGCCUUCACUGGUUUUUACAAGAUUAUUUGAUUUCUUGCUUCGAUCUCGAGACGGAAACUUUCAGUACGUUUUCUCAACCGCCUAUUCCGAUGUGGAGACGGCAUUCUCAGAACCUAGUAGCUUUGGGGGAUUGCUUGUGUAUAUGCGACAAUACAGACGACGGAAUUGAUUUUUGGGUUAUGAAGGAAUACGGAAAUGAGAAAUCUUGGACAAAGCAAUUUGUUAUUCGAAAAGGUUACGGACAUUGUUACGGUGAACAACCUCGUGGGAUCGUUUAUCCUAUCAAACUUUUCAAAGACGGUCACGUGUUGAUGACGUGGCAGCAAGACUCGAGCUGGUUCUACGACAUGUUCUACUACUCCAACAGAACUAAAACUACUCGGGGAAACGGUAAGUUAAUGUCUAGUGUUGCUAGUCCCAUGCAGGCAAUGCUUUAUACGCCGAACUUUCUUUCGCUCAAGACUUUCCCGAAAGAGGAUGUGUCCAAAUUCUUUCGUUUUUGGUGAUUAUUGACACAACACAAUCCAAUUGGGGAAAUUAAGCAGUACUAUCCUUUUGCAUAUCGUUUCUUUUAUUUUCCGUUUCAUCGGUUAGUUUUAUCCGCUCGUUAUUAUUUUUCAUGUAAUAUAUGGUACGGAAAGAAUUGCGUCCUUGAUGAAUAUAAGACUUGUCUUACUAAUUUAGGGUUAAUUGCAAAUACCACCCCUGUGAAACUUCUAAUUGUCAAAUACCUCCCUGUCAAAAAAAAAUUCACAGAUAUCUCCUUGUGUAACAUGUUUUGAAGCACACUGCACCUAUUGUCAUUUUAAUCUUUGACCAAGCAUAAAAAGACGAGAAUGCCCUGGGGCUUUAUUGUAAUUAGUAAAUCAUGUUAGUGUUUUAAGAUUUUUUUAAUAGUUUUUCAAUUUUAAACAAAAAAUUCAAAAUAUAAUAAUAAUAAUAAUAAUAAUAAUAAUAAUAAUAAUAAUAAUAAUAAUAAUAAUAAUAAUAAUAAUAAAAAUAAUAAUAAUAAUAAAAUUAAAAUUAAAAAUAUAUAAAAAAAUGAGAAUAAGUCGUCUUUGUUAAUCUUGUUCGGCAGCACCCCACACUACCCCACCUUACUGUGCCACCACCAAGCUCACCACCAGUCCACCACCACCACCAUCACCAAGCUCACCAGUCACCACCACCACCACCAUCACCAAGCUCACCAGUCACCACCACCAACACCACCAUAUCUUCUUCAGAUCCAACCCACAAACCCCAAGUAAAAAAUUUCAACAUUUUGAAUACAUUUAAUCCGCUCAUUUUAAUGGCCCGGUGAAAAAAAUAAAAUUGGCCUAUCUCUCGAUUUCUUCCUAUAAAUCUACCAAAUAUGGAGGAUUGGACAAUCUUCUCACAAUUGAGGUCGCUGCCAUGCGACGGCGGUGGGUUGUGAGACCGGUGCGGCGGCGGCAACGGUGAUCCUUGGAGUUGCAGAGUCUAUAAAGUACGUAUGUCAGUGGUUUCUACAGAUUUUUUGGGCUAUGGGUUCUACAAGAAGAUUUUUCUACAGGUUUGACAGGGGUGGGUUUGAGGAAGAUGAAGAAAGGGGUGGGUUUGAGGAAGACGAAGAAGGAAGGAGAGGAAAGAAAGAGAAGGGAAAAAAAGAAAAAAAAGAAAAAAGAAAAAAAAAGGCUUUGGGGGUGUUUCUGACAUUUCAUACGCAAAAGGGGAGAAAAAAUCGCAUUAGCAGCGCGUGAGGGGCACGAUUUGUUCCGAGGGGUCUCCAUGCCUUGACUUUUGUUACACAGGGUGGCAUAUGCGAAUUAUUUUUUGACAGGGGGGUAUUUGACAAUUAGAGAUUUCACAGGGGUGGUAUUUGCAAUUAACUCCAUUUAGUACCGAUAUAUAAUUAUAUGGUACUGUAUUUUCAUUACUACGGUAAUACCGUUCGAACUAAAUGUAUUUUGCCUUUUUUACCACUUUCUUUUCUAUAGCAUAAUCAUAAUAACUUUAUUACUUUUAUCUUAUCAUCUUUAAGUUUUCUUAUAUUUUUUUCAAACUAAAUGUGUUUAUGUUUGUCCUCUUGUUUCUUUAUAUCUUAUAGGUAAAAUUCAUUUUGCCUAUUUGAACUAUACCGAACGUAUUAACCCCGACUUUCAAAAUGAACCAAAGCAACUCUUCCGUCAAAAAUAGUUCGUCUUGCUGAUGUGGCGUGUUUACUUUUUAAAAUUAUUUUAUUUAUUCCAGUUGUUGUAUUUUUUUGGACAACUUACCCCUCUAUUAAAUACAUAUGUUUACAAAUCAUGUGGCACAAGAAUAUACUAAUUUCCUCUAACUCACUCUCCCAAAUCCCAAAUCCCAAAUCACGUUUCAUUCCUAUAAACCCUACUUUUCCCACACUUCACAAUUUCAAUCACCUCAACCCAUUACCAAAUUUUCAAUCCAAUCUGCAUUCUUAGCUUGCUCGAACCCAUACUAAAAUCGAAUUCAUAAACUCAUAAAAAAUCCAAACAUUCAAACAUUUGAAGAGUUUUUCCCUUCUCAGAAGCUACGUUGCUUUGGGUGAUCUCUGUACUGAGAAGAAAAUGUCAAGAAGGAGUGAAUCCGGCCUUCAAUGGACUCCAAACUACAGUAAGUAUCCUAAAUUUGCAGCUAUGUUGUCAAAUUAUGUGAAAAUGUGAUUUUUAUUUUAUCUAAUUUUUUUUUUGUUUUUUUUGUUUUUUUUUGCUUCCUCAAACACCUUAGCUGAAAUGGGUGAACCUACAUGUUUUAGCAUAAUUGUAUUAUGGUGGAAUUAUGAGGCAUGAACCAACUAGAACAUAUAUAUGAGGGCAGGUAGAAUGCUUUGAUUUUUUGGAUAUUGACCAAUUUGGUAUAUUAGAUAUGUGGGAUUUCGCAAAUGCUUUAGGGGGUACACUGAGAAGGGAAGUUUCAAAUUUUGGCUAAAAUAUCAGAAUUGUUUUAGGCCAAUUGAAACUGAUGUUGAUGUUUUUAGCGUAGCUGACUGUAUCCCUUCAAACUUUGAAGUUAAGAUGUUCAUUGAAAAGGUUAAUAACUCGGGGGGGGGGGGGGGGGGGUACUGAAUGUGUCAGAAACGAUGAAAUUGGGAUAGAUGAAACUGGGGUAGAGUUAAGUGAUGAGGGUGAUGACAGUGAAGAUGCUGACAUUUUUUAUGAGUCUGAGUAUGAUAUGGAGGAUGAUGAUAAGCUAUUUGAAGCUUAUGUUGAUCCUGAAGCUGAGUUUGGUGGUUUAGACAAGUGCAAUGGUAAGAUAGAUGAGGGUAGUGAAUUCAUAAGUGGUGGGAUGUUUGCCAAGCUGUAUAAUGAAGAAGGGGAGCAAAAUCUUGUUGCUAGUGAUGAUGACUUUGUCAAUGGUGGUAGUGAUGAAGAAAGUGUUGGAGUGAAAUACCCUAAGUUCAAUCCUAGAACUGAAAAAAAAAAUCCAGAACUUAAAUAAGGAUUAAUUUUCAGUAGCAGGCAUGAGGCUAAGUUUGCCAUUGUGAGUCAUUGUUUUAGAAGAGGUAUGAUGAUAAAAUUUCAGAAGGUUGACAAGAUUAGGUUGAGGGCAGUUUGUAAAAAAGAUGGAUGUGAGUGGUUUUGCAAUGUGGGAAAAAUGCAGGGGGUGGUGCUUGGCAAAUUAAGAGCUAUAAUCCAAAUCAUAACAAAUGCUCUUGGAAUUAUAACACAAGCAUUAAAUCAGGUUGAAUUGGAAGACUUUUGUGAAAAAAAUUGAAAGAAAAUCUAAAAUUGGGCACAAGUGAAUUUAGAAAUGAAGUCUGUACCACCUUAAAGGCCAAUGUAUCUAGAUCACAUGCCUAUAGGGAAAAGCAAAAGGCUCUGAAAUUGAUUUAGGGGACUUAAAGGAACAGUUUAGCAAAAUAAGGGAUUAUUGUCAAGAGUUAGAUAGGAGUAACCCUGGCUUUACUAUGAGAAUGCUGUUGAAUGAUGAAAACAAGUUUAAAAGAUUUUCUAUGCAGUUGAAUGAUGAAAACAAGUAUUUUGUUGAAACUUACUAUUCCUUGUUCGCAGCCGCCUCCACAGUGAUGUUCAGUAGAGCCCUGUUAUUCUCUGACAUGUUCCGAUAGUUCUUGAAUUUUCUGUACCUCUUUACAACCUUGGAAACUGUUGUUGGUGUUACAACAGGAUGUUUAGACUGUGUUCUUUCAGAGAUGGGGAGGAUUUUUUCCUUGCCUUCGUUAUGUUCUAUGAUGGCCUGUGGUAAGAUUAAUUUGUCAUCAGAUUUGUUCACUGUGCCCACAUGACUUUCAUUGUUUGUGCCUUCGCUGUUGGAGUCCAUGAGCCCCCCAUCAAUAUCGAAGGAUACAUUCAUUUGAUCAGUUGAAAUGACACGAGAAUUGCUAGAAUUUUGUGUGCUGGAUAUUGUGUGUUUCAGCUGCUUAAUUAGCUCGCUUUGGUGGAAUAUCCUCUGACUCUUCUCCUUAUUGAUGUCUUUUAGCAAUGUUACAUCAGUUAUGAGAUCGACGAGCUGUAUCUCAGUCUCGUCAACGUACGUCAGUGGUAAAGGAUGCUCGUGCUCUUCUGCUGUUUCAUUACGGUCAGGUUGCGUUUGUGACAGUAAUCGGAAAGAUGGCAUAUUGUCUUAUGUGAGAGGUUUCAAAAUCGAGCCUGUCCUCAUGGGAGUGGUUGAUUUAGCAGCGGAUUCGUGCAUUUUGGUAUCAGGUACGUCACUCGAGUCUGGAAGCCCUUUAUUGAACAGUUUGCGGCUGUUGUUGUCAGCUGCCAGGGCCUCAACAUGUAGCUUCAACAGUGUUGUUGUUGCUUCCAAGUCUUCGUAAGAUUGUUUCAUAACAGGUAGUUGUUCUUCGAGUGCGGCGCAACGUAGUGUUUCGGCAGUUAACUUGUCUUUUGUAGUUUGGUCUGUGGGUAGGGCCGACGCCCCAUGACUCAGUGCUACGGCUGGUGCGUAUUUGGCUAAGACGUAUUCAAGAUGUUUGUUCUUCUCUCUAGUAUAUGGGAUUCGGUCUCGUACUGAAGUGCAAGCUUGGAAAGACGACGAUUUUCUGAGGACUUCUCUCGUAAUUUCUUCAUGAAUUUUUCUGGGACAUCGAUACUUCGAGUAUUGUGGCGUGUUUCAGAACUGUUGCACCUGUCAUCUGUUUUGCCUUUCUUGUGUUCUUUAUUUUUAACCUUUCUUUUCCUUUUACUGCUUUUCUCCACAGCAGAUGAUUCUUCUUGAAGAACGCAAUUUCUUCUUCUGUUUGAAUAAGUGCCGUUUUGUUCACUUCAUCGUUGCGGAUAUCUCUGAUGGCUUUGUGCUCCAGUGCUGUCCCCAGUGUUUUCAGAUUCCAUUUCUGGAACCUUGGGAAAGCAUCAGCAACGAUUGGUUCAAUGAUAUUUAUCCUCUAGCACAUCCAAAAUUGAGGAAGCAAACUAGUGUUAGCAAUCGACUACAUGUUAGAUAUUAAUAUACUAUUAAGACUAUGUAAAUAUAAUAUUAAGAUUAUAUAAAUAUACUACAUGGAGAAAGUGGUACACUAUGUUUCAAAUUAAUAUACUAGCAUGCAUAUUUAGAACUGCAGGGCAAUUAUGUGCACUAACAAAAUAUUAUUAUGCAGAGUUGAGUAUGAGUUAAUGUAUAUACAAUUAUGCUGACAUACCAACAAUAGCGUUGUGCACCCACAGACUAAUGAUGGUUCUGUUGUCUGCACAUAUUUCAUCAGGAAUUCGACAAUGUACCCUGCCCAAUUGUAAAUCAGAGAGUUUGUAGAGUUCAUCACACAGCAGUACCAUCCACCAGCUGAUUUGGUCUCCAGAAGUUGCAAAAAAACAGGAUGCAAGUACAUGAAGUAUGAUGAUACGAACCACAUCCUCAACAUUCUCGUCAUCCCUACUUUCUAUGUAUUCCAUCAUCUUAGGCUUUAACAUCCCUAAUCAUAUUUUUUCUUCGUCUCUAAGUUUACGAUUGGUUAGACCAAAUUCUGGUUUUGUGCUUCUGCGAAUAUUUAUGCUUCUUGCACCUGAUUUGAUUCCGAAUAUUAGAUUGCAAUCUUCCUCUCUGAUAUGUAAUUAUUUUCCUCCAAUCUUGAACACCUUGUCUGUUUUGUUGUAUGUUUUCAAUAUCAGGACUGUGCCGAUUUGUAUCCCUGUGACUUGCGAGAUGGAUAUUUCAUACUUAGCAAACGGUAAAAUUAGCCGGUAGAAUGGCGUCCUUUUCAGGCAUUUGUAAUGCGCUUUUCGCAGACUGACAUUUGCAAAGAAGUCUAUUGUUGAAUGUAGGUUGGAUCAGAAUUGUCGGGUCCAGCUGCCUUGAUCUAGUUCUUUUUGUGCCAUUAUGUUCGAUUCGGCUGUAAAUCAUGUAAAAGUGUGUAUGUAUUAGCCUCACAAACAUGCAACAAAUAUCGAUAUAGAUAUUUUCAUAGUUCAUUAUGAUAAUGUACAUACAGAUUAUUAGACUAUGUAAAUGAACAAACAGACUAUAGUACAUAUUUAAAUCCACAUGUGAAUAUUGUUAAAGUUACAUAUGUAAAUACAAGUCUGAUAUUACAGUAACGAAACAUAAUAUAUUUAUACAAAUGCACAGCAUAAACAUAAACUAAUAGCUCAUAUCAGUAGACUGUAUAAAUACACUAGCAUGCAUAUUUAGAACUGCAGCACAGUUAUGUACACUAACAAAUUCAGCUAAACUAAUGGUAUAUUACUACAAAUAUAUAUACACAGAAACUAUUACUUUAUAACAACACAAUUUAUAUUAGCAUACUAUCUCAAUGUGUAACACGCUUUCACAAUGUAUAUCACGCCGUCAGAUUUUUUAUAAUAUACUAUCUCAUUAUAAUAACGAACUAUCACAAUAUGUAAUAUGAUAUCACAAUGCAUAACAAGUUAUCAGAUUAUUAUAAUAUACUAUCAGAUUAUAAUAACCAACUAUCACAAUACCUAAUAUGUUAUCACAAUGGAGUUAAUUGCACAGACCCCCCUGUGAAAUAUCUAAUUACCAAAAAAGUCCCUAUGUUAAAACAAUUAGCAUUGACCCCCCUAUGAUGUGUUUUAUUUAGCCCACUGCUCCCUAUCCAAAAUAACAGCGUUGACUUACAUCAAAUGACUAAAUUACCCUUCAUUGGAAAUACAAAAAAUACUUAAAAAAACACGUCAUCAUCUUCUUCAUCUCUCACCACAACCUCCGCCGUUGCCGCUGCAGAUCGGAGAAGCCCACCAGCUCAUUUCACUUCAAGAACAUAGUCCUCAGCCCCGAUGAAAUCCCCAAGUUGCAAACCACAACACCAACCGAUAUAUACAUUGCUUUCUUGAAAAACCGAGAGUCUCCGCCAUUAAUUUGAUCUCUUCAAUCACCACCGAUAUAUGCCCCAUGCCAACCAUUAAUCUUAAAAACAUUCAAUUAUUUACCCUCUAUUUUCAUUUCAUCAAAUCUAAGAGAAAAAAAAAAGAAAGAGGAACGACAGUUGAAGAAACAUGUACUCUUGAAUCUCUGUUAUCGGAAUCUUUGUUAAAUGUGUGGACGCUCCAUUUGCCUUUGUUGGAGGAGGAACUGAUGGAGUUCUUGUGGCUGCACUUACGAGGGAGGGUCAGGGCGCGAUCGAGGAUUUGGUGAGAUCGGCGGAGGCAUGGCAGAGUGUGGACGGUCGUAGACAGCGGCGUAGUGUGGCGAGGCGGGGCGGCGGAGCAGAGGUGGGGGAGCUUAGGUCUGAUGGAGAAGAGGGCUUAUCCGAAAAUGCCAUGGACUAAAUUGGAAAUUUUAAAAACUUCCUUUUGGUGCUCUUAAAAAUUUCUGGGUGAUUUUGUAAUUCUUGAAAUUUAUGAGAAAAGGGUAUUUAUGUAGUUUUAGGUCAAAAAACGCACCCCCAGUUGCACAGUUCGCGCGUGCAGCGCACGAUUCGUUGUCAGGGGGCUUAACGCCUUUGACUAACUUUCAUAGGGGGGGUUUUGCUAAUUUUUUUAAUACGAGGACUUUUUCGACAAUUAGAGAUUACACAGGGGAGGUUCUUGCAAAAAACCCUAUCACAAUGUAUAAUAUGAAUAAACCCAUGAGAUUAAUUAUACUACAGUCAAACAUGACGCUGUACAAAACCCUAAAUCGAUUAUCGAAAUCUUAAUCGAUUCUAUAACUUUCUGAUCUAUAGAAUUAGGGGAAAUCACAUAUUACCCGCGUUUAGUAGCAUUAUGUUGUCUGCCAUUUUUGAUACCUCGUCGCCUGCAACAUAUUGCAGCAUGUUUUAGAUAAGCAAAUAGAUGCUGAGUAUCCAAAAAAAUAGACAAAAUGACUACCACGUUGCAGUUAAACAAAAAAAUUGACAUGAGUUACCACUUCUGGUGGAUGUUUUGCCCAUCGAUCGUUGCAACACCACAGAAUUAGGGCUCGAUUUCGGUAGGCGUUUUAGAAAAGAUCUGCAAUUAAACCAAUGUCACAGUCGAUUAAGCAAAAGCACAUCAACAUAUCGAUGGGUGAUGGCGUUUCAACAAGCGGCGCAGACGUACCAAUGCCAGAGUGUUCGGAGUGCAGAAAGGCGUCGAUCUCCCGUAUAGCGUGCUCUCUUCGUUGUGGUGAUUUUUCCAGCGUAUAAUUUUUCUGAUUUUUUUGGAAUUUUGCAGAAUGUGGUAGUGGGUUGAGUGGGGAUAGUGGUUUUAACGGGAAAAUAGGGAGGGAUUUGAUAUCAUUACAAAAGGUAAAGUAACGGGAUUUUUGGGAUUUUGAUUGAUGGUACUGAUGGAUUUUAAAAAAAUAUGGCUUUUUAUCUAAAUGACAAAUUUGAGUUUGGAUCUACCCCUAUUAUUUCUAAGACUAAGGGGAUUAUAUCUAAUAGACCCAAGAAACAAAAUGCAAAAAUAUAAAUUGAAUAUAACUCGAAAAAAAAAAAAGAAAAAAAGAAAAAAAUAAUUGCUAAACUUCUUCUCGUCGCACCUCCCCCACCCACUUCCACCGCCAAACAACUCUUCAUCCACCUUAUGUUUCGCCACCAGCAGCCACCCAAUGCCACCACACCGCAAUUGCUACACCAGCACGAAGAACCCAUCCUAGUUCCAGAUUAUCCGCCGCACAUAACCAACUCAUUAAAUUCAAACAAUCCGUCGUCCAACAUAGCACAUAGGAUUUUAGGUGGCCGAAGAAAUUGUAGGCAUUUGUGUGACUGACGUCGUCGUCUUCAUCGCCACAGAAGUGGUCGAUUUUGGUGACGCAGAAGGUGGGAGCGGCAUCAAUCGAGCUGCAAAAAUUAGUAAUGGUAAUAUGAAAAUUGAGCAAUAAUGGGGUGAGGUGGGUCUUUUGCCCUGGAGAUGAUUGUGAUUUUUUAUGAUGAUGAGAGAGCGGUGGUGGUGGUGGUGGUGGGAAGAAGGAGGCGGAUUAGGGUUUUUAAGGCAAUUCUAAAAAAAUACAGUUUAUUCCUUACAACUUAGAUCGAGAAAUUUAAAAUCAAGUGAAAAUUUUAAAAGAAAAACAUAGAGACAUUUGAAAUCCGGUGAAAAAUACAUCAGAAUUCGAAUUUUGGGGCAAAGUGCAACUGGGGCACAAUUUGGAAGGGGAAAGUCUCUUUUUCGAUUUCUUAUGGGGGAAAGUGCGAAUUAUGAGUUAUUUUAGGGGGCAAAGUGAAUUUUGCCCCUAUAUAAUACAUACACACAAACUCAAUUUCUUCGGUAAUGAGCCCAAAAAUAUAAAGUUAAGGCCCAAAGAAAGAACAAGUAUGUUGUGGAAGAUGUUCGAAAUUUCAGGAAUUUGCAAGAAUCAUCUGAUCACCCAUAUAAAUACGCGUGCUCCUUCAACAAAAUCUCAUCGAAAAUUAGAAACUGAGUUAUCUGCAAACUAUCAAAUACUUCAUCAACAACCAAAUCAAGAAGUUCAUCAUCCAUCCAGUAUUAUUUAUUGCAGAGAUGUCUCUGAUUCCAAGCUUCUUUGGCAACGGCCGCCGUAGCAACGUUUUCGAUCCAUUUUCAUUGGAUGUUUGGGACCCAUUUGAGGGCUUCCCAUUCUCCUCCGCCAGAGAAACAACCGCGGCGGCAAACGCUCGGAUCGACUGGAAAGAGACGCCGGAGGCCCACUUGUUUAAAGUGGAUGUACCUGGAUUGAAGAAAGAGGAAGUGAAGGUUGAGGUUGAGGAUGGCAGUAUUCUUCAGAUCAGUGGAGAGAGAAGCAAGGAGAAAGAGGAGAAGAAUGACAAGUGGCAUCGUGUCGAGAGGAGCUCCGGCAAAUUCAUCCGCCGAUUCAGGCUGCCGGAGAAUGCAAAAUUGGAGGAGGUGAAGGUGGCUAUGGAGAACGGGGUGCUUACUGUGACUGUGCCCAAAGAGGAGGUGAAGAAACCUGAGGCCAAAGCCAUUGACAUAUCUGGUUAAGUUUGAAUUUUGGUUUGUUGGUUGUAAUGAAUAAUCAAUGGCAAUGGCGUAUAUUUGGAAGUGUAUUUCUUUUUGAUUUUGUGGCAAGUGAAAUAUCACUAUGUAGUAUGUACAAUAGAAAUUCCGGAAUAAAGCCUAACUGAUAAAUAAUACAUGUUGCUUACAUUAAUUCAUUUAAUCAUUUUCAUAUGCUAAACUCUUAUACAACAAUUUGGGGUUUAUACGACCCUUUGUUUACCCAACAGUUUUAGAACCGUCGUAGUUAUGACGGUCACUUGCAACUUGAGAAUUUUAUUAAAGUUUGUCUAUAUUUUGUAGAAAUUCAGAUAAACCAGCAUAUGUUUGAAAUUGAAAUAUAUAUUUUGUCAUCUUAGGACGUAAAUACUUACUCUCUCCUUCCCUCAAAGAUUGUCACUUUUGUUAGUUGCACACAUAUUAAGAAACUCAAUAAAUAUGCAUUGAUAAUAACAAAAAGUAUAGUAAAUCACUAAAACGUCUAUGCCAUGAAUUAAUUUUCAAAUAAUCGUAUUUCAAUUAAUUAUGAGUGAGAAAUGGCAAAAUUGAAAAAAUUGCAAUUAAUUAUUCGUUCGAAUAGUAAAAUGACAAAUAAUUUGAAAUAUGAAAAAAGGCAAAAGUGACAAAUAUCAAGGGAAGGAGGGAGUAUUUAGUAUUGGCCAGUUCGUUUUCGUUGUCUUCGAUUUCUUAUAUUCAACAAUUGAUGGCAACAGCAUUUAGGGAAAAAUUGGAUUAUUGGCAGAAAAAGAAGAGUUCUAUAAAAUGUACAAGUAUUCCCGACGGUUAUUUAAGCGCCGGAAAAAAUAUUCCCGACGGUUAUUUUUACACAUGAAACUUUAUACAACGCCUUUUUUUCUCGACGGUCUCCUGACGGUCUAAAUCUGUCGGGAAAACUACUCCCGACGGUUUCCCAGUCUUUCCCAACGGUUUUCUUGCGUCGCUUAAAGCCAUAUAUGUUGUAGUGGCAUUUUCUUUAGAUCUAAAACAAUGGAAACUUAUUAUGGCUAUUUUAUGGGCAAAUUACCGCUAUUUCUUUCAGGUUAAAUUAAAUUAUGAAAAAAUUGACUCUUGUUUGGAUAAUUACAACUAUCUUUUAAUUACGUAUUGUGUUACGAAAAACUCCCUCCUGCAAUAGGUAGAUUCGAUAACGUAAGGCUGAACGUGUAAAACAAUACAUAGUUUAGAGGAGUGAUUGUAAUUACCCAAACAUAAAGAAUUUUUUCUUAAUUUGGUCUUACGGGGUUGACCAUUAACAAAAGAUGAAAUGAGAUUAACUAAACCAUCAAGUGCCACACAUGAAGAACAACUCGAGUUAACACAAACAUCAAUCUUCUCCUUAAGACACAACUCUCUCCAUCCAACAUUUCUCCAAUUUAAUCCCUAUUUUCCGAAAACCAUCCACAUACCUCGAAUUUCACAUUUGAUCGCCGAAAAAAGGCGAACAAAUCAUCGAUACUCCUUCGCAAAUACUCUCCAGUGUCGAGUUCCACCCACUGUGCAUCCAAAAUGCCCUUUUGGAACUUCAGUUGUUCUCUUUCGUUGGAUAACGAUCGUCUCAAAAUUUGGCGGAUUGCCAUCUUCUUGUGAAUUGAAUCUUGCUUUAAUUUGCUCAAGUAAAAAUGAAGAGGUAUUUGAAAUAAGUGAAAGCUGAGUAUUUUGGUUGAUGUAUGUUUGUAAUCAAGAAAUUGUGUUUUAUAUAUAGGCUGUAUUCUUCAGAUAGUACCUAAGUAUGGUCAUCAUAAAUGUGGUUAAUCUAUCAAACUCGAAAUAACAUACGCAUAUGAGUUUGCUGAAAAAAAAAUAUAAUAAAUUCAAUUAGCCAACAGAAUUUCUGUGAUCGAAAAUGAUGUGUCCUACCAACUAUGCCAACAAAACCCUCAAACCAAUCUAGAAAAGAUUUAUCUUGUAACUAAUGUGACUGUUACAAGCCCCACACAUCUCAUUAUCUCUUUUUAGUAUCUUAAAUCCAGAAUUAUGUUUGCUGUAUAACUUUGGGUUCUUGUAUAUAUCUAAUUACACUAGCUGAUUGAUUGCCACACACAUACAUGUGAUCUUCGACCAUUUGCUAGCGUGGUUGGCCCCUAUUUUUAUUUAUUAAUCACAACAAAUUCAAUAAGUGAAGGUCGCGGCCCCGCACAUCUCAUCAUCUCUAUUUAUUUCGUUAUACGUAAUAAUAAUUAGGAAAUAUUAUCCUAAAUGCAAUUGAACUUAUGCCGCAUUUAAUUCAGCUGAGUCUUUUCUUGCUGGUGGUGUUAUGAAUAAUGUCCUUAGCCCCACAAAUGACAAAUCAUUCAUUACAUGUUGCUCGAAAAUAUAUGUUGUGAAGAUUUUAGAGACAAAAUCAUGUGCUUUUGUUUCUCACAAACCACAUACGCUUUGGCUUCUUCGUAAGGAUUAUCGCAUUAAUUUACAUGUUCAUCUAUAUAUACACGUUCGCACGACACAUUUCUAAACUCACACCCCAACUUUCAAUACUCAACUUCUCAUAUUUCACUUUCUUCUCAAAACUCUCAUAUAUUCCUCGGUUUUCAUCUUCGGAAAUUUGUUGUAACAAAUAUCGAUGGCUAUUCACAAAAUUCUUAGACGUUCUUUAUCGGCUGAAAAAAGAUCAAACGAAGUUCCAAAGGGGCAUUUGGUUGUUUACGUCGGAGAAAGUGAAAAGAAGCGAUUUGUAAUUCCAUUAUCGUAUUUGAACCAUCCUUCGUUUCAAGAAUUACUAAGCCAAGCUGAAGAAGAAUUUGGAUUUCGUCAUCCAAUGGGCGGCCUUACUAUUCCUUGUAGUGAGGAGUCAUUCAUUGGCCUCACCUCUCACUUGAGAAAAGCAUAAUAUAUAAAUUAGGUCUUAGAGCAAUAUUGUUUUUGUUAGCUAGUCUCUUUACAUAUUUUUUAUAUGGUGUACACACACACUAUACUUUGUCGGAUACAAAAUGUAUUCCCGAACAAAUUAAUGGUAAUUACAAGUUCUUAUCAUAAGCUCUUAUUUGCACGAAUUGUUUCUCAAAAACUGUAUCUCUAACUUUUUCUUUGACUUGAAAAAUUAUUAAGUUGAAAUAUUUAUUACCGGAAAUGUGCAAAAUUAUUUCUCCAAGAGACCAAGUUUUAGUGAGUUGAUUCAAAGGAAGAAGAUAAGGGCAUUUUUGACAUUUCAUGAAAUUAUGGUCUUCAUGUUCAUCCUAAAUAGUGCCAGAAGCAAAUGCUAACCUUAACAGAAUUAUAGCGGAUUUAAUUAAACACGGUGAAUAUAACUCAAGGCGCGCGAGGUGAACGUGAUUAUUGCCAUCGAGAUAGUUAUCCGAUCAAACAAAGACCAUCAGUUCAUAGAAACAAUUUGUAAAUGUGAGAUGUUACUGAAGAACUUGAUUUUUUUUUUUUAAUAUAUACACAAACACGUAUGAGAUAUGAAUCUAUCGUGGAUGAUCAAAUUCCUAUCAAAAGAAAAACUAGCAUUUUUUUCCUGGGCGAUGGACGAGAUAACAUUUCAAAAAUGAAAAUACAGAUUAGCUUAAUACAUGACGAUAGCAAUUAUACAAAAUUUAUUAAUGAUAUCGGUAACAACAUCAACAUUUAUAUAAAUUUAAUAAUACUAACUGAUUAUUAAAUUAUAUAUAUAAACUUAAUUAUCAUAAUAUGAAAUUGAUUAUUAACUAAAUGAAGCAAAGAAGAAUCAGAAAAAAUAGGCUGGAAAAUGAACUAAAGUUGCCGAGGUGUUUCUUUCUUUUAUAUAUAAAGAGAAACUAUAUCAAAAUUCUAUAAAUAUUUCCUAGGAAUGUUUUUAUUCAGUUUAUUUUAAUUAAGUUGCUUCUUAUAUAUAAUAUAACUAAAUUGUUACGUUUUAAUAUAACUAAGUUGUGCAAAUCACCGCGUCGCCGUUAAUGUUAGUUUUUUUAAACAAUUAUGUUAAAGAUACUCCAGAUCUAGCGUUGGAUCUAGAUCGCGAAAAAACACAAGGACUUUCAACAAAAAGGCAAAAUCCGUCUGUCCUUAUAACUAUAGAGGAUAUUUUUGAGGAAAUUCCAGCCAAUUUUCCCAUGUUUCUGUGUAAUGGUUUGUUGCCAACAAUUUACUUUUUUUUUAAUUGAAAAUUUUACAAACACCAAACAUAACUAAAGCAUUACAAUUAGGGGUGGGUUUGGUAGGACAAUCAUACCAUAUACGUCGAAUCACUACCAUUACCGAAAUUUCGAUAUUAUGAAACUCAUUAUCAUAGUCUUACCAAAAAUUUCGGCAUACCGAAAUUUGGUAUACAAAAAGUUCGGUACGGUAGGGUAUGGUAAUGAUAAUUACCAAUUUAUGUUAUCUACUAUUUAAGUCUAAAUUGUAUAUCAUUUUUCCAAAGCAAUUCAAGGUAUAUAUACAUGUUUAAAAUGUACAAAACUACUAUCUAAGAUAUAAGUAUUCUAAAUAUAUAUUCUUAAUUUACAUAAUAUAAAAUAUUUCUUAAAUGAAAAUUUUGACAUUAAUUAUAUCAUCAUAAAAACUUUUAACAUCAAGUAUAUCAUCAUCAAUAUAAUGAAGCAAUUCAAAAUAUUUUUGACAUACCUAAAGAGUAUAAUUAAUUUUAAUUAAUAGUAGUUAGUUAGCAUACUAUGUCCACUUUUUAUGUCUAAUAAAUCAAUUAUUAAAAUAAAAUUUUAUUUAUUAUUAUUUAUUAAUAAUAUUUUUAGGAUAAUACCAUUUUAAUAAUAUUCAGCGUUGUUGCCCUAUCAUAACAUUUUUGUACGGUACAGUAAUAAUUCGGUACAAAUAUUUUGGUAGAUAAUCGGUAGGGUUCGGUAGGGCGACGAGUUGGUAGGGCACUUUUGGUAGAAAAAUCCACCCCUAAUUACAAUAUAUAUAAUAGGGUAAGUUACAUGCACACCCCUGAGGUAUGCUUAAAUAACUUUAAGGUCCCUGUGGUAUCGAUAAUUACACUCACCCCCUUGAAACGUAGUUAUAAACUCUAAUGGGAUAAUUGCAUUUGAUACGUUAUUACGAUAGAGUUCUAACGGACUAUUGGUUUCAGGAAGUGGUGGAGACAACAAAGAGUAAAGCGUGAUUUAAGAAAUAUUGGGGGAGCCAUGUCACCCCAUAACUCCCCAUAACUCUAUGUUAUAUCCACAACAAGCUAAAAGUAAUAGUUCAUUAGAACCCUAUCGGAAUAAUGAAUCCAAUGCAUUAUUCCGUUAGAGUUUCUAACUACGUUUCAAGGGGUGAGUGUAAUUAUCGAUACCAUAUGGACUUUAAAAUUAUUUAAGCAUACCUCAGGGGUAUGGGUGUAAUUUACCCUAUAUAAUACUACAAAUAAAAUACAUGAAAUGGAAAAAACCCCGAAAGGUGAUGGAGAUGGAUCUUAGUUAGAUUGGGCUAUAAAAGUUUCUUCAGAAAUGAGCCCAAAGAAUAAAGUCAGGCCCAAAGAAAGAACAGUUAAGUAUUUUCUAGAACAUGUUCGAAAUUCUAAUUGUACCGAAAUCCGUUUGGCUCUCGAAAUUUCAGGAAUUUGCAAGAAUCGUCUGAUCACCAAUAUAAAUAUGCGUUCUCCUUCAACCAAUUCCCAUCGAAAAUUGGAAACUAUCAAAUUCUUCAUCAACAAGUUCAUCAUCAUCCAGUAUUAUUUUUUGCAGAGAUGUCUUUGAUUCCAAGCUUCUUUGGCAAUGGCCGCCGGAGCAACGUCUUCGAUCCGUUUUCGUUGGAUAUUUGGGAUCCAUUUCAGGGCUUCCCAUUCUCCUCCGCCGGAGAAACAACUGCGGUGGCCAACGCUCGGAUCGACUGGAAAGAGACGCCGGAGGCCCACUUGUUUAAAGUGGAUGUACCUGGAUUGAAGAAAGAGGAAGUGAAGGUUGAGGUUGAAGAUGGCAGUAUUCUUCAGAUAAGCGGAGAGAGAAGCAAGGAGAAAGACGAGAAGAACGACAAGUGGCACCGCGUCGAGAGGAGCUCCGGCAAGUUCAUCCGCCGAUUGAGGCUGCCGGAGAAUGCUAAAUUGGAGGGGGUGAAGGCGGCGAUGGAGAAUGGGGUGCUGACUGUGACUGUGCCCAAGGAGGAGGUGAAGAAGCCUGAGGUCAAGUCCAUCGACAUCUCUGGUUAAUGUUUGAAUUUUGUCCAACAAGUUUUGAUUUGUCUGGUAGUUGUAAUGAAUAAUAAUGAAUAAUUGUUUGGGAGUGUGAAUUUUUGGUUUUGUGCUUAUUGAAAUAUGACUAUGUAUUAUAGAAAUUCCGGAAUAAAGCCGAACUGGUAAAUAAGAAAUUACAUGUUGCUUUUCACAUUAAUUCAUUUCUAUAUGUUAAACUCUUGUAUCAGUACUUUUCUAGAUCUAAAACUUUGGGAACUUAUUAUGACAUGGGUAAAUAACGGUAAGAUUAAAUUACGAAAUAAUCUAUCUUUUUUGGAGAACUACAAACAUCUUCUUUCACUAUAUAUUGUUUUAUGAAAAAUUUCCUUCUUCAAUAGUUAAACUUGUAAGACAAUACAUAGUUGAUGGGUGAUUAUAAAUAACUCUCCCCUUGUAAUUUGAUUUUCCCUCAGGAGUCACGGUCUGCCCCGUUUCAUUAGUGAAUAAACCCUAAUUGUCCCUUGUAAUAACCAAUCGAACAGAAGAUUUAACAAAAGAUGAAAUGAGAUUAACCCGUCAAGUGCCACACACUAAGAACCACCCAAGUUUACACAAACAUCAAUCUUCUCAUUAAGACAAACUCUCUCCCUCAUUUCUUCUCAUCUUCUCUUCCGACAAUCACUCUCAUAAUAUCCUUUUCAAUCUCACCUCUCUCUAUCCAACAUUUCUUCAUUUUGAUCCUUAUUUUCCAAACACCAUCCACAUUAAGGGUGAGCAAGUCGGAUCCAUCACCCCAUUACACCCUAUUACACCCGUCGAACCCGAUAAAAAUCGUCGCGGACGGAUAGAUCCAUCAAUAGGAAUGAGUCCUCAAAUGGAGAAGAUCUGCGGGUUUGGGUCUAAAAUGGUUAAAAUUUCUUUAAUACCCGUGAAACCCAUCCCGCCCAGCCAUACAAAACGACGUAAUUGUUUAGAUUUGUGAAACCCCCUGAAACAUUUAAUUAUAUUAGGAUGGAUAUACCCCCUGAAACUCGCUUCUCUCCCCUGCUACGAUCCCCAUUUCUGCCCAGCCGCCUCUCAAUUGGCACCGCUCCCCACCUCCUUCUCGACGUCCCCAUCUCCCUAGAUGAGGACUGGCGGCUCAACAACAGAGAUCACACAGAACUGCCCGACAACAUUUCGAGGAGGGAGGCAUGGAACACCGUUUUAGGCUUCCGCGGCGGCAAUCUGAUGUGGCGGAUUGGUAAUUGGCGGAUGACACCAGAAGUUUUUCGUCCUUGCUCCACCUGAAAGUGAUUGGCAGGUCGAAGUUGUGGAGCGGUUGAGACGGAGGCGCAGGAACCCUGGAAUCCAUAGAACAAUAACAAAAGCUCUUCGAAACGGCAUCGUUUGAUUUCACAGAAACCCAUACUGAGAGAUUUUAAUACAAAUAAAAUAAAACACAUAGACAAAAGAAAACCCUCGCUCAUGGUUGAUUAUAGUAUUCGAUGGAUCUGUGAAGGAAAUGUCGAAAAUGGAAUUGUAGUUGAUUACAGUUUUCUCUGGAAUUGAGGUUUUUUAUUUUGUGGUUGAUUCAGAUAAAUUAUAGUUGUUUUCAACUAUAAAAUUAUUGAAAUCAACUAUUAUAAUAAAUAUAGUUUAUUUCAAUAAUUUUAUAGUUGAUUUCGACAAUUCUGUAGUUGAUUUUGAUUUUUUUAUGAUCGAGAUCAUUAAUUUGUAGUUGUUUUUAUUUGGUAAUAAACCUACUACUGAAAAACACUAAUUUUUGUAGCUAAUUUUGGUAGUUGUUAUGCAAGUUGCUUUGGGAAAUAAUGAAACAAAAGAAUAGUUGUUUUCAGUAAUUUUAUAGUUGAUUAUGAAGAAAAUUAAGCUAAAAAAAUUGUAGUUGAUUUCAAAAAAAUUAUAGUUGUUUUCGGAAAUUUUGAGUCGAUUUGAAAAACCAAAAACUGAAGAAAAAAAAUAAAAAAUAAAUAAAAAAUAAAAAAAUGGAAAAUAAUAUAUUUAAAAAAACAGUUUUAAAAAAAAUAAUUAUUUUCUAAAAUAAAUAAAUGAAUAUUAUAAUUAAAAUAAAAAAAAGAAAUAGAUAUUAGGGAGUAUUAGCAAGACCCCCUCAUAUAGGAAAUGUAGUUAAGGAAAACCCCCUCUAAAAAAUAAUUAGAGAAAACCCCCUUAGUUAGUAUUCCACCAAAUGUUAUUUUUAUAAUUUCAAAUCUACCCUUAAUUGUCAAUGUGUUAUUUUGAAACCCUAAUUUCUCUCUCAUUUUUUCACCAUCCCUGCCCCUCACCACCACCACUACUUCUCCCCCGCCGUCCACUACUACCACCGCCAGAUUGAUGAAAGGUGCCUCCGUUGACCAACGCCACCUGCCCAAGGAUUCCGACUCCGUCAAGACCUCUCUGAGAUCGCCGCCAUCGUCACCUUCGUUUCCUCCUUCAUCUAUCUCCUUGGCUUCUUCGGUAUACCUGUAUAUGAGGUUCACUCGGAGCACAUGGGAUGCCAUGGGGACGAACAUGGUCGCUAAAGGUGUCCAGAAUGUCAUAGACUUCCUCAACAAUGAGUUCCCUGACAUGGACGUUAUCGGAAUCUCAGGCAACUACUGCUCGGACUGUUGGGAAUCGGAAACGUGUACGCAGUGGAAAACAAAAAUUUUAUACGAAUUAAACGAAUUUAAAACACAUAAUCACAUGCCCGAUAAUUGUUAACAAUUAAUUGCGUACCUUUGCGCUUCCAGCGAAAUUAAAAACAACAUACAUGCGAAUUAUAUAAUCGACAUUAAAUCAAUUAGCAUGCUCGCAUUAAAUCAAUUAAUCAUGCUCGCAGUAAAUAACGAAUUUCAUGUAAUCACAUAAUAUACAUAAAUUCAUACAAUAUACUUACGGUACGAACAUACAUAUUUAAUCUAAAUAAAAUCGAAUCGAAUAACUACAUAUUCGAAACUUUACCUGUUGAAGCGUGAGGUAGGCGCACAAAACGAAGCAAGAAUGCCACAUAAACCAAUCCGUGCAAUCCGGGGCAGCGACGGCGUGAGAAAUGGCGGCGCGUGUGGUUCAGGCGCUAUCUUCGGGCGGCGCGUGCGUCGUUGGCUCGGUGGUUGCUCCUCGAUUUUUCGAUCCUUCGAUCUUCCUCCUCUCAGAUUUAACCUCGUAUACUUCGAUCUACUAAAACGUGGCACUAUAGACGAAAUAGUUAGAAUAAAUUGGAAGAAACGAAAAGAGAAAAGAACUACCAAUAGGAUCGGCCAAGGGGUGGCCGAUUCCAGCGAGUUGGCGACGGCGACGGCGGUGGUGGCCACGGGUUGAGGUCAACCGAGAGAGAGAUGAGAGAGGCAAGGGUUUCGUAUUAGGGUUGUGCAUGUGCAAGACCUAUGAAUCAAGUAUUUAUAGUGUCUUGCAUAAAAGCCCUAACGGGCUUAAGUUGACCGAGCCCAACAACUUAAGUUCGUUAGUUCUUUAUUGGCUCGUUUCUCUCAAUUCAAUGAUCAGAAAAUUGUAACGAUUACAUUUUCGGAAUCAUUAUAAUGUCCUUGUCAUUACGAGUGCCAACUCUUGAUUUCCAACUUUCCAAAAGUGGAAACCCUAAUUCAGUGCACUUUCUAAAUUUGGAAAUUUCCCAAUUUAGAAAGUUCACUAAUAUGUUCGCCUAUUCUUUUCCUUUUCUUAUUCUCAAUCAUAAUUCCAAAUUACGAAUGUUGGGCCCCAUCAUAUUGACUUCCAAUCAUGCAAAGAUAAAACAUUUUUAUCUCUGACCGUUUAUUCAAAGAUCUCAUGUGCAUGAGCAGUGUGACCCUCGAUGGUUCAGGUGUAAGGUAGCCGUGGGCCCACAACCCUUUGUGGUAAAAAAUCGUCCCUUAGAGUUACGAUUAAGAUGAAGCUCAUUUCACCUUAAUCACCAAACGAAUCAAGAUUGGCGUCUAGCAACUACGCAUCAUGAUUCCCUAGAUACAAAUGAAGUGCCUGCAAGAACCUUUUGAUAUAGUUAGCGUACAGUACGAUCCCUUCGAUGCAUAUGUCCCGAUUGAACUAGAGGCAUUGGUUCAUCGAGACCUCCUUAGUAGUUUAAUGACUGUGCGAUCGUUCUAAGUAUAGUAAUCGGUACGUGCAUGACUUAGAUAAUCGAAUUCUCUAAUCAUCACUUAGCCAGCUCUAGCCAGAGACUUAGAUAUUACAAACUAUGAGAACACACAGGACAUUAUAGACAAAUCUAGCGAUUGAAUCCCCGACUACAAUGCACAGACCUCCCACUAGAUUUCGGACUGCACGAACACUGUCCCUUGGGGCGGUCCUUGGUGGAACUCAGGGACAGGUCACGGUACAGCUGGUCCUCUAGUUAAGUCACGGUGAUGUCUAGGUCAUAAGGACUAAUGGUGUUCAACUAUACCAUAGAUAUCUCUACUCGAUUAUUGAGAACCACUUAGAGAUUUCUAAGGUGAGGGAGUUCAGUGAACUCGUCAACUUACGAGCACCCACUUAUGCAAACCGAUAUCACAAUACCGUUUACUGAUGAGAUGCAGUACACAUACACUAAGUGCUAGUCUAUUAAUGGGAAAGGUCGAUAUCCUCAUUAGUGGCGUAACCCUUCGACUAGGAACACGUUUAACAGUUAUAAUACUUAAGUAAAUAUCUCACGAUCCUAACGAUCAAUUACUCGUACUUGUAAUAACUGUAAGGAGUAUAUCUAUGCUUGUGACAAAGGGACAAAGAUAUAGAAUGCCAAGGUGUUUUAUCAUUAAUACGAAAAAGGUUUGUUUAUUACAUUAAUAAAUAUGAAAGACCACAGCCACAAGUUGGCUUGUUGGUCACCUACUCUAACAAUCUCCCACUUGACCUAAAGCCAACUAUCCAUGAAUCGCAAUCCCAUCGACUCUCGGUGUUUCUCGUGGACCGGCCUUGGUAAAGGCUUCGUGAAGGGGUCUGCAACGUUCUCUUCCGAGGUGACUCGUUCUACUUUAACUUCAUCUCUAUCAAUGGUCUAUCGGAUCACAUGAUACUUCCUCAUAAUAUUAUUCUUGGACUUCUGAUGAGAUCUCGGCUCCUUAGCUUGCGCCACAGCUCCGGUGUUAUCACAGUCCAACGGUACUGGAUCCUUAGCAUCAGGAAUGACACCCAACUCUUGGAUGAACUUCCUUAUCCAAGUCCCUUCUUUUGCAGCUUCGGACGCUGCAAUGUAUUCAGCUUCGGUUUUGGAAUCGGCCGUCGUGCUUUGCUUGGAACUCUUCCAACACACGGCACCACCAUUAAGCGUGAAUAUCAACCCCGAGUUUGACUUUGAGUCAUCCACAUCCGAUGGAAAACUAGAGUCGGUAAAGCCCUCUAAUUCCAACUUGGCACUCCCAUAGACAAAAAAUAUAUCCUUAGUCUUUCGUAAGUAUUUGAGGAUAUCUUUCACGGCCUUUCAGUGAGAUGGACCGGGGCUAGACUGAUAUCGGCUUGUGACACUCACAUCAUACGCAAUAUCGAGUCUCGUACAUAACAUGCCAUACAUUAUGCUUCAUAUGGCAGAAGCAUAAGGCGUCUUUUUCAUCUCCUCGAUUUCACUAGGUGUCCGAGGACACAUAGAUUUCGAGAGACAAACCCCAUGGGACAUUGGCAGGAAUCCCUUCUUGGAUUCAUCCGUGCUAAACCGUUUCAUAACGGUGUCUAUGUACAGGCUUUGGGACAAGCCAAGCAUCUUUCUUGCCCUAUCUCUAUAGAUCCGUAUUCCUAAUACGUAAGAUGCUUCUCCCAAAUCCUUCAUUGAGAAACGUGUGGACAUCCAUGCUUUCGUUUGUUGCAACAUUCCUACGUCAUUCCCAAUGAGUAGAAUGUCAUCAACAUAAAACACUAAAAAUAUCACUGCCCUCCCACUAACCUUCUUGUAUACACAAGGUUCCUCCGGGUUCUUCUCAAAAUCAAACUCUUUGAUAGUUGAGUGGAACCUAAUGUUCCAACUACGAGAUGCUUGUUUCAAUGCAAAAAACUGGAUCGCUGGAGUUUGGAAACCUUUUGCCCACUUUCAGAAGAUAUGAAGCCUUCCGGCUGCGCCAUGUAAAUUUCUUCCUCAAUGUCUCCAUUAAGGAAAGCGGUCUUUACAUCCAUUUACCAAAUCUCGUAGUCGUACCACGCAGCUAUGGCCAGCAAAAUCCUAAUGGACUUCAGCAUCGCGUCUGGCGAAAAGGGUUCCUCAUAGUGAACACCUUGCCUUUGAGUAUAUUCUUUCGCUACCAAUCUAGCUUUAUAAGUCGAUACCUUUCCAUCCACUCCAAUUUUCUUCUUAUAGAUCCACUUGCAGCCUAUGGGAACUAUUUCCUUAGGUGGAUCUACCAAGGUCCAUACCUUGUAGGAGUACAUGGAGUCCAUUUCGGAUUUCAUGGCAGUUAGCCAGUGUCCCAUGUCCGCAUCCGAUACGGCCUCAUUGUAUGUUCUCGGAUCUCGUCCAAGAUCAACACGAUCUUCAUCAUUUUCGAGGAGUAAUAACCUAUCCGGCAUUUUCCGAACUCUUUCGGAUCCACGCACUAUAGGUUCAGGAGGUAUAUUAGUGGAUUAUUUUAUUUGUUCGAUUACUUGUUCUUGCGCUUGAAAUUCACUUUGCGGUUCUUGAACUACUUCAAGUUCUAUCAUGCUGCCUUUUCUAUCGGAUAGAAACUCCCUUUCCAAAAAGGUGGCAUUUCUCGAAACAAACGUCUUUGCUUAUUUGACAUAAUAGAAUUCAUAUCCCAUAGAGUCUUUGGGAUACCCCACAAAGUAGCAUAAGUCCGAUUUACUAUCCAACUUAUCUCCCACUAAUCCAUUCACAUAAGCGGGACAACCCCCUAGCCUAAUAUGUUUGAAGUUAGGUUUUCGGGAAUGCCAAAGUUCAUAAGGUGUGGAUUUAACUUCUUUGGUGUUAACUCUAUUCAGCAAAUACGCGGUAGUGCGAAGUGCAUGACCCCACAAGUAUGCCAGUAAGUUGGUGAACCCCAUCAUAGAUCGAACCAUAUCUAAUAAGGUUCUAUUCCGACGUUCGGAAACUCCGUUAAGUUGAGGAGUUCUAGGUGGAGUCCAUUGAGAUUGUAUUCCAUUCUCUUUUAGAUAUUCACUGAACUCGAUGCUCAAGUAUUCUCCACCACGAUCGGAUCGUAGUUUCUUAAUACUUCGUCCGAGUUGCUUCUCUACUUCGUGUCUAAAAUCUUUGAACUUUUCAAAUGUUUCGGACUUGUACUUCAUCAAGUACACGUACCCAUACCUAGAAUAAUCGUCAGUAAAGGUAGCGAAGUAGUUGUAUCCACCCUUCGCACUAACACUUAGUGGACCACAUACGUUUGUAUGGAUCUAAUCCAAAAGAUCUUCUGCCCGCUCCAUUUUCCCUUUGUAGGGUGACUUGGUCAUUUUCCCUUUAAGGAAAGAUUCACAAGUUUGUAGUGAUUUCACGUCGUCCAAAGUGAACAAUCCUUCACUAACAAAAUCGUUCAUCCUUCUUAAAGAGACAUGACCUAAUCUAGCGUGCCAAAGUUGUGCGGGGCUUUGAUCUAUCUCGUUACGUUUUGCUAAUAUAACAUUAAUAGGUAUUUCACUUGGACUUAGUUCAUAUAAGUUGUUUAAUAGUCAUCCCUUGCAAAUCAAAUUGUCAUUCUUUUGUAUAAUGCAAAUCGAAUUUCCAACACAAAAGUAAAACCUUCAAUAUCUAAUACAUGAAUAGAAAUAAAGUUUCUAAUGAGAGACGGAACAAAUGAACAAUCGUUCAAAACAAUAGGAAAACUAGAAUCCAAAACAUUUAAGUAAAUCGUGCCAAUGGCUUCAGCAACAACUCUUACUCAAUUCCCCAUCCUUAGGUAGGUCUCACCCGGUCUAAACUUUCUACUUCUUGUCAUUAGCUGCAAAUCCUUACAUAAGUGUGAGCCACAGCCCGUAUCCAAUACCCAAUAAGAAGAACUGACAGACAAAUUUACGUCAAUGAAAUAUGUACCCUUUUCAGAACGUUUCUUCUUUAGGUAAACCUUGCAGUUGCGGCGCCAAUGUCCUUUCUUUCCACAAUGAUGGCAAGCAUCAUCAACUUGCUUGCUGAUCUUUUUCUUGGGGCCCCCACUACCUUCACCCACUUCGAACUUGCUGUUUGGGAAGGGAACUCUUUCCUUUCUCUUGUUUUGGGAAGAACUCUUCUUUCCAGAAGUAGCAGCAAUGAGAACAUACUUCUCUUUCUUAAUGGUGGACUCGAAACUGACCAACAUGUUCAUUAACUCAUCCAAGGGAGGAUCUAGUUUGUUCAUGUUGAAGUUCACUAUGAACGAUUCAUAGGAACUAGGAAGAGACAACAAGAUCAAAUACAACGAGAGCUCGGUAGGGAGGGUGACAUCGAGAUUCACUAGUUUUUCAAGGAGAGUGAUCAUUUUGAGACAAUGCUCGUGGACCGAAGUCCAUUCGCGCAGUCUCGCCGUGAUCAACUCCUUUGUAGCAGCGUACCUCGAUGCCCUAAUAUUCUCACUAUACAUGCUAUCGUGAUGAGCCUUGAUAUCGAAAGCAUGUAAGUGAAACUCAUAUUUCCUCGCAAGCGCGGGCUCCAUGGCGGCUAUAAUAUAACACCUAGCAUGAGUGUCAUCUUUCUUCCAUGCUUCAUAAGUUUCCUUUUCAGCAUCAGUCGUUGUGGCAGGUAUAGUGGCAGGAAGUCUCUCGUUAAGAACAUAGAGAUGCCCCUCAACGGUUAGCAUAAGUUUAAGACUACGCAAACAAUCUAGGUAAUCAGGGCCAUUGAGUUUAUUGUCGAGGAUUGACAUUAUGGGAUUCUUAUACAUGAUUAUCUGAGUUGUUUAGAGAAGAGGAUUAUUAGAGAUUCGUAUUAAAUGAAUUUUACAAUUAAAUGUUUGGUCUUAGUUAUUUAAUUGUUCUCCCACUAAUUUUGUCGAGUUCCACUUCACUCUAGUAGACAAACGAGAAAACCGAUUUUUCUUUAAUGGGCUAUAGGUCCAAUAGAAAUAUAUAACCCGUAGUUAAUCUAGCCCGAUUAUGUUUGCCCAACAGUAGAUCACAAUCAAUCAUAUCCAUUAUAUGACCCUAAAUUAAUUUUCCUCACACUUGAUAAUGACCUAAGUUAAUCUCGCGAAUUCAAAAUCGUCGUGUGUCAAGUCUAACCUACCAAUCAAAGAUGCUCAUAUAACUUAAUUAUGCCAAACUGAUGCAGUCCCUAGUUAAUCAAGCCGACCACGUUAAUCUAGCAUAACCCUUUUCUAUGGCUACCUUCAUCGUUAUGUCAAUUGAAUUACAACUUACUUUAAUUUACCAUAGCACUCCCCGCUAACACGGCUUACUGCACUACAGUAAAUGGCUACACAUAAUUCAACCGUUGGGAGAAGGAAAGAAAAAUUCAACAAAUUGGUUUUUCUUUAUAGCUUGAAAUAAUUCUUAAUUAGAUUAAGAAUGAGGGAUUUUAUUAAAUGUUUUAUCUCAUCAGAAGGUUCGGGUUGGUCUAUGUGAUUCCUACAUCUAUGUUCUCUAAAGGUACAUGGAAGCGCAUAUUGUCCUAAGAGGAACAUACGACCUAACUAUAUAAUUAAUUACAUUAAUUAAUUAUCGGGUUUUCAAAAUAAUUAUAGGACCUCAGCUAGCAUAAAUCAUUCAAAUAAUGUUGAGGUACUAUAAAUUAAGUUGAAGUAUAAUCAAUAUUAUAUGUGUGUUCCAUUAAUUAAAAUCAAUUUAACAAUUUAAAUUAAUUAAUUAAUCUAACACAUAUUUACUAAAAUAGAUGAUUGUUGAUUCGAUUAUCUAAUUGGGAUUAAUUGAAAAUAAUUUUUCCAAAAUUAAAAUACAUUUGUUUUAAGUUUAAUUUUAGAAAUCUGAAAUAAUUUUUUUUUUCCAGUGAACCGGUUCGGCCCCACCGGUCUGACCGGUUCGGACCGAAACGGUCCGGUUCUGACCGGUCCAGUUGACCGAAGUGGGCCGGGUCAGUCGGACCGAGAACCGGUCUGACCGUCCCGAAUCCACAGGAUUCGGUCAAUUGGAUCGAACAUAACCAUCGAACCGGCCGGUUCGAUCCGAAUUAAAUAAAACCGACGUUUUAAAAUUAAAUUUCAUAUCCGAUUUUCCAAUUUUAAACAAUUUUAAGCUGGAAAAAUUCUAAACAAUAUUUCAAAAAUAUUUUAAACUUUCGAUAACUCCCAAUUACAUAAUACAACAAUUGCUACUUUAAUAAAUCGAACUUGCAUCAAAAUUAUAGCAUAUUAAAAACGAAAUUAAUUGCGCAACGAGCUCUGAUACCACUGUUGGGAAUCAGACACGUGUACGCAGCGGAAAACAAAAAAAUUAUGCGAAUUAAACGAAUUUAAAACACAUAAUCACAUGCCUGAUAAUUGUAAACAAUUAAUUGCGUACCUUUGCGCUCCCAGCCAAAUUAAAAACAACAUACAUGCGGAUUAUAUAAUCGACAUUAAAUCAAUUAGCAUGCUCGCAUUAAAUCAAUUAAUCAUGCUCGCAGUAAAUAACGAAUUUCAUGUAAUCACAUAAUAUACAUAAAUUCAUACAAUAUACGUACGAUACGAACAUACAUAUUUAAUCUAAAUUUAAUCGAAUCAAAUAACUACGAAUUCGAAACUUUACCUCUUGAAGCGUGAGGUAGGCGCACGAAACGAAACAAGAUUGCCACAGAAACCAAUCCGUGCAAUCCGGAGCAGCGACGGCGAAGUGGUGGCGGCAACGGCGUGAGAAACGACAGCGCGUGUGGUUCACGCGCUGUCUUCAGGCGGCGCGUGGAGGCGCGUGCGUCGUUGGCUUGGUGGUUGCUCCUCGAUUCUGUGAUCCUUCGAUCUUCCUCCUCUCGGAUUUCACCUCGUAUACUUAGAUCUACUAAAAGGUGGCACUAGACACGAAAUAGUUAGAAUAAAACGGAAGAAACGAAAAGAGAAAAUAACUACUAAUAGGAUCGGCCAAGGGGUGGCCGAUUCCGUCGAGUUAGCGACGGCGGCAGCAGUGGUGGCCGCGGGUUGAGGUCGGCCGAGAGAGAGAGAUGAGAGCGGCUAGGGUUUCGUAUUAGGGUUAUGUAUGUGCAAGACCUAUAAAUCAAGUAUUUAUAGUGUCUUGCAUAAAAGCCCUAACGGGCUUAAGUUGGACCGGGCCCAACAACUUAAGUUCGUUAUUUCCUUAUUCGCUCGUUUCUCUCUAUUCAAUGAUCUGAAAAUUGUAAUGAUUACAUUUUCGGAAUCAUUAUAAUGUCCUCGUCAUUACGAGUGCCAACUCUCGAUUUCCAACUUUUCGAAAGUGGAAACCCUGAUUCAGUGCACUUUCUAAAUUUUGAAAUUUCCCGAUUUAGAAAGUUCACUAAGUUGUUUGCCUAUUCUUUUACUUUUCUUAUUCUCUACGAAUGUUGGGUCCAAUCAUAUUGACUUCCAAUCAUGCAAAGAUAAAAUAUUUUUCUCUCUGACCGUUUAUUCAAAGAUCUCAUGUGCACGAGCAGUGUGACCCUCGAUGGCUCAGGUGUAAGCUAGCCGUGGGCCCACAACCCUUUGUGGUCAAAACUUGUCCCUUAAAGUUAUGAUUAAGAUGAAGCUCGUUUCACCUUAAUCACCCAACGAAUCAAGAUUGGCGUCUAGGAACUACGCAUCAUGAUUCACUAGAUACAAAUGAAGUGCUUGCAAGAAUCUUUUUGUAUAGUUAGCGUACAUUACGACCCCUUCGAUUCAUAUGCCCCGAUUGAACUAGAGGCAGUGGUUCAUCGAGACCUCCGUAGUAGUUCAAUGAUUGUGCGAUCGUUCUAAGUGUGGUAAUCGGUACGUGCAUGACUUAGAGAAUCAAAUUCUCUAAUCAUCACUUAGUCAUCUCUGGCUAGAGACUUAGAGAUUACAAACUAUGAGAACACACAGGACAUCAAAGACUAUUCUAGCGAUCAAAUCCCCGACUAUAAUGCAUAGACCUCUCACUAGAUUUCGGACUGCACGAACACUAGCCCUUGGGGCGGUCCUCGGUGGAACUCAGGGACAGGUCACGAUACAGUUGGUCCUCUAAUGAAGUCAUGGUGAUGUCCAGGUCAUAAGGACUAAUGAUGUACAACUAUGCCAUAGAUAUCUCUACUCGAUUAUUGAGAACCACUUAGAUAUUUCUAGGGUAAGUGAGUUCAGUGAACUCGUCAACUUACGAGCACCCACUUAUGCAUGCCGAUAUAACAAUACCGUGUACUGAUGAGAUGCAGUACACAUAGACUAAGUGCUAGUCUCUUAAUGGGAAAGGUCAAUAUCCUCAUUAGUGGCGUAACCCUUCGACUAGGAACACGUUUAACAGUUAUAAUACGAAAGUAAAUAUCUCACGAUCCUAACAAUCAACUACUCGUACUUGUAAUAACUGUAAGGACUAUAUCUAUGCUUGUGACAAAGGGACAAAGAUAUAGAAUGCCUAGGUGUUUUAUCAUUAAUACGAAAAAGUUUGUUUAUUACAUUAAUAAAUAUGAAAGACCACAGCCACAAGUUGGCUUGUUGGCCACCUACUCUAACACGGACAAGAAACCUGCUGCGGUGAACUGGAUUGAAGGGAUGGGAAAAUCGGUUGUGUGCGAGGCCAUCAUCAAGCAGGAGAUUGUGAAGAAGGUGCUCAAGAUUGAUGUUGCUUCAUUGGUAGAGCCGAACAUGCUCAAAAUCUGACGGGUUCAGCCAUGGCAGGAGCUCUGGGUGGUGUGGUGAGGAUGGGGAGGCUGAUUUGGGUUUUUAGUGGAUCGGACGGAGGACGACGCGUGUAGAGAAUUUCGCGCACGCUGAAACCUUAAUCGACGUAUUGAUUUUGAUUUACUCUUGAAUUGUUGGACGAAUAAGAUGAAAUGAGAAAGAAGGUAGAAAGGGCAUAUAAUGUGGAGAUGGUGGUGUAUAAUUAAAUUAGUAAAAUAAUAGAAAUUAUUGAGGAUAUUUAAGAUAUUUAUAUAUAAUUAUUUUAAGUUAUAUAAAUAAAAUGGUGAAAUGAGAGGAUUUCGUGGUGGAAAUAGUAGGUCUCUUAAAAAAUGGUAGCGGGAGUUUUCACUAAUAGCUCUUAUAAAAAAUUAAAAAUAUAUAAUACAUGAAUAAAGUAUCUCUUACAUAUCAAAAAUUAUAUCUAUAACGACAACACCGUCUCGUUUUUUCUAUCAUUAUAUAUUUGAUUUUAAUUUUUUUCUUAUAAAGCUUUGAAUUUAGUUACUCUUUUGAAUAGAUUUAAGAUAAAUGUAUUAAUUUUGAUUUACUCUUGACAUUUAUCAUGAUUUUAUUAACGUGGAUUUCAAUUUAAAAUUAUAUGCUUGGUAAUUCAAUUUAAUUUCUAAAUAGUUUCGCAUAAAACUUAUAAAUUAAUAAAAGAGUAACAUGUUUAAAUUAUGGCGGAUUUUGACACGUGAAGGUUAGGUUGUACUAUAAACUCGCCAUCGACCCGUAUAUCCUAAACCCGUCAAAAACCCACAAGUUUGGUUCCUUAAAAUCAAGAACUGUAGGUUGGCGGGACGAUUAUGGGUUUUGUGCUAGAACCCGCAUGUUUAUGAUUCGCGCACACCCCUAAUCCACAUACCUCGAAUUCACCAUUUGAUCGCCUAAAAAAGGCGAACAAAUAAUCGGUACUCCUUCGCAAAUACUCUCCAGCGUCGAAUUCCAUUCACUAUGCGUCCAAAAUCCACCAACUGCAAACUGAGACAGAACUUCUUGUUGUGGGGCCCACUUCACAAUGCAACUCCUCUCCCUAAUUGAAUCCGAAGCUGGAGGUCAUUUUCUGUUGUGUUCCGGGCGUUCCAGAGAACCAUGGUCCCAAUAAUUCAUGUUUAAUUUUUCCAUUAUUAAGUUGAAGAAAUAAAAAAUAUGUAUUUAAAGCAUGCUUAUAAUUAAAUUAAAUUAUUAUUUUUUAACAUGUGGAUAAAAUAUAGGGCAAUUCCAUUUUCCACCCCUUGUACUUGGGUCAAGAUUAAUUUACCCCAUUUUACUUCCGGUUGCAUCGAUUUACCCCAUGUACUUGUAAAAUUGUACCAAUGUAGUCAUUGGCGUUAGUUUUCAUAUUUCUAACCUUGGCAUUGUUUGGUCAAGCCUGGAAAAUUACAAAAAUGACCGUGGCUUCUCCACUUUCCAUUGUGUUGUCCCUUUGGUUUAUAAAUGAGCUAAUAUCACAUACCUCCCUGUGUUAUUUAUAAUUGUAGAAAAACCCCCCUUGUGCUAAAAAAAUUAGCAAGAAGCCCCCUAUGUUGCUGUAGACGCAUAAAAUUGAUUAAUUUGUUAAUUAAAUUAGCCAAUUAAAUUGUGUCGAAAUUAAAUUAUAAUUUAUGUUGCAAAAUAAGUUAUAGAGAUAAUUAUCAAUUAAUUAUUGGCCAAUAGGAUUAUUUCUUCUCUUCAAAGUUAUAAGAGAUAAAUAUCAAUUUAAAAAGAGUCAAUCAAAUCGCGCCACAUCAUCAAGAAGACUUUAUGUAGGACUCUUAUUCUACCACUAUAAAUAGGGACCCUCCCUACACAAUUCAAAACACAACUCAAGAAGAAGAAAAACCGUAGGAGAAAAUUCCCUCUACAAUAUUCAAGUCGUUCUUCAUCAAAUUCAAGUCGUUCUUCAUCAAAUUCAAGUUGUUCUUCAUCAAAUCGAGGGCGUUCUUCAACAAAUCAAUAUCGAAGGAAGAUUGAAGGGCCAAAUCCAUCAAGAAUUCCAAGAUCUUCAAGUCAAAGUCCGUCAAAGUUCAACAAAUCAAGAUCGAAGGAAGAUUGAAGGGCCAAAUCCAUCAAGAACUCCAAGAUCUUCAAGUCAAAACCCGUCAAAGUUCAGCGUUCGAUCCGAGAUUCAAGUCGCAAGACCCUCGGAAGACGUUAUUCAAAUCCAAAUCAAAUCCGGAGAAGAUCAAGUCAACGACCCGUCUCCGAAAUUCAAAGUCAAACACAUAUUGUUCUUGAGAGAAGAAUCAGAGGAUUAAAUUAGAGUUUGUAACCCGCAAUAUUUAUUUUUAAUUCAAUAAAUUAUCUUUGUGCAAGUAUUUUCUUGUUUGUCUAAAUCGCACAUAAGAAUUUGUUGUUACAAAUUUUGGCACGCCCGGUGGGACAUCUCUACCUCUCAUCUCUUCUCUCUCUCUCGAAGAUCCUCGAAGUGUUGCAGUAACUGCUCUACGUUCGCAAUGAAGACUGCUACUUCUGAUUCAUUAAGUGUGGGCUUAGUUACAAUGAGUAUGGCUAAGAAGCUGCAAGCAUCCUCAGAGACUAGCUUGGCGCCCCAAACCAUUAAGAAAGGCUUACCACCUCUUGUCAAUACAAGCGCAGACGUGGAAGGUUCAAAACAAGAGAUUUCACAGCCCACGCCUCGUUCAACAUCAAGCUACUCAGAGGUGGCAUCCGUCAUGACAACAAACACUACAACCAUGGAAGAGCAAAUUGCAAGUUUAACAAAGGCCAUUGAGGGACUCGCAAAGCAUGUUCAACAACGAGAUUCUCAAAUUGCCAAGUUGAUCAACAAGAUGGACAAAGCCGAUGCUAGUAAAGCUGUGGAGAAUCAGAUAGAGGCUCAAGAAAAAGUCGAGAAAUCCACAAACAACAGCCAGUUGAAAACGAGAAGGCUCCAGCUCAAGAACUUCAAGUUUCUCCAGAAGGGAUGAUUCAUGUAGAUCAAGUGAUGACGCUGAUCAGUGGAACCAUCAAAGACAAGUUGCAAGGAAGCUCGAAGUCUCCAUCAACCUAUGUCAAGCCAUACACGCAAAGGAUUGAUGAUCUAAGGAUGCCAAUGGGCUAUAUACCUCCAAAGUUUCAACAAUUUGACGGCAAAGGCAACCCCAAGCAACAUGUGGCACACUUCGUCGAGACUUGAAAUGAUGCCGGGACGUACGGAGAUCACCUCGUCAAGCAAUUCGUCUGAUCGCUCAAAGACAAUGCAUUUGAUUGGUACAUUAAUUUGGGGGCAAACUCCAUUGAUAGUUGGAAGCACUUAGAUGAAGAAUUUCUCAACCGCUUUUACAGCACUCGAAGAACAGUCAGCAUGAUUGAGCUCACAAAUUCCCGUCAAUGGAAGAAGGAACCUGUCAUAGACUACAUCAACCGUUGGAGAAAUUUGAGUCUUAAUUGUAAGGAUCGACUGUCUGAGACAUCAGCUAUUGAACUGUGCAUCCAAGGAAUGCAAUGGGGACUUCGAUAUAUCCUUCAAGGAAUUCAACCUAGAAGUUUUGAAGAGUUGGCCACUCGAGCACAUAAUAUGGAAUUGAGCAUAAUUGCAAAUGGAGUUAAAGAACCUUCAAUCCAAAAGUCACACCACCUCAAUAAAGAACAAGUCGAAGAAGAACAAGAAGAUCAUGAGGAUGGGGGCAAGUCUUUUGAAGAAGCAACAUCCUAUGCAACGUGACAAGUAAAAUCAAAUGAAGCACUCCUUGACACGAGUUUAAAAGGUCUACAUGUCCAAAUCAAAUGAAAUACUCAUUGACACGAGUUUAAAAGGUCUACAUGUCCAAAUAAAACGAAGCACUCCUUGACAUGAGUUUAAAAGGUCUACAUGUCCAAAUUAAAUGAAACACUCCUUGACACGAGUUUAAAAGGUCUACAUGUCCAAAUCAAAUGAAAUACUCCUUGACACGAGUUUAAAAGGUCUACAUGUCCAAAUCAAAUGAAAUACUCCUUGACACGAGUUUAAAAGGUCUACAUGUCCAAAUCAAAUGAAAUACUCCUUGACACGAGUUUAAAAUGUCUACAAGUUCAAAUCAAAUCAAAGCUCCUUGAUACGAGCAUAAACUAUCCAAAUCAAAUCAAGGCUCCUUGAUACGAGCAUAAACUAUCUACAUAUCCAAGUCAAAUCAAGGCUCCUCGAUACUAGCAUAAACUAUCUAUAUAUCCGUAUCAAGUCAAGGCUCCUUGAUACGAGCAUAAACUAUCUAUAUAUCCAAAUCAAGUCAAUGCUCCUUCAGCACGAGCUUAAAAUGCAAAUGUUUCUCCUUGUCCACAUGAGUAUAAACUGUGCGCGACAUCCCUCGAAAGGAUAUAUUUUGAACUACGUUAUGACUUGAUCCCUUUAAAGGGUACGUAGGCAACUUAGAAUCUCUCUAAGUGCAGUCAUGAUUUCAAAAGAUAUAUGUGUUUUGCUAGAUCAAGCUGCAAUUGAAGUUGAGCAAUUAUCAAGACUCAUUCACUCCAAGAUGCAUUGUCCGUGAACAAGUCCCGAGGGGGCAUUUGUAGACGCAUAAAAUUAAUUAAUUUGUUAAUUAAAUUAGCCAAUUAAAUUGUGCCUAAAUUAAAUUAUAAUUUAUCUUGCAAAAUAAGUUAUAUAGAUAAUUAUCAAUUAAUUAUUGGCCAAUAGGAUUAUUUCUUCUCUUCCAAGUUAUAAGAGAUAAAUAUCAAUUUAAAGAGAGCCAAUCAAAUCGCGCCACAUCAUCAAGAAGACUUUAUGUAGGACUCUUAUUCUACCACUAUAAAUAGGGACCCUCCCUACACAAUUCAAAACACAACUCAAGAAGAAGAAAACCCGUAGGAGAAAAUUCCCUCUACAAUAUUCAAGUCGUUCUUCAUCAAAUUCAAGUCGUUCUUCAUCAAAUCGAGGGCGUUCUUCAACAAAUCAAGAUCGAAGGAAGAUUGAAGGGCCAAAUCCAUCAAGAAUUCCAAGAUCUUCAAGUCAAAGUCCGUCAAAGUUCAACAAAUCAAGAUCGAAGGAAGAUUGAAGGGCCAAAUCCAUCAACAACUCCAAGAUCUUCAAGUCAAAACCCGUCAAAGUUCAGCGUUCGAUCCGAGAUUCAAGUCGCAAGACCCUCGGAAGACGUUAUUCAAAUCCAAAUCAAAUUCGGAGAAGAUCAAGUCAACGACCCGUCUCCGAAAUUCAAAGUCAAACACAUAUUGUUCUUGAGAGAAGAAUCAGAGGAUUAAAUUAGAGUUUGUAACCCGUAAUAUUUAUUUUUAAUUCAAUAAAUUAUCUUUGUGCAAGUAUUUUCUUGUUUGUCUAAAUCGCAGUUAGGAAUUUGUUGUUACAGUUGCGUUUUUCAAAGCAACCCGGUUCUUAUUUCGAUAUUUAGGGUUGACUUAUGUGAAAUGACCAAAUUACCUUUACAAAAGAAAUAUUAGAAAAAUAACUAAAAAGGAAACCAAUAGAAUUCCAGAGGAUAUUUUUGACUUUUCAAGUCAAAAAACAAACUUGUACUCUCACAAUCCGCCCGUGCAUUACACAAUAAGUGGGAUAAUUACAUUUUUCGUCCCUAUACUUUACCACUUAUUUGUUUUUCGUCCCUAAACAAAUUGGAGUGACAUUAUUCAUCCCUAAACAUGCCAUUUUUCUACUAUUUUCGUCCCUCCGUUAAUUUGGUUGGUUAGUUUGGACGGAAAAUAACAAGUGCUUCGCACAUGAUACGUAAGAGCCAACAUGUCUCUUCAAAUUCAGAUUGCAUCUUCUUUAGAACAUAAGCCUUCUUUUCCAAAUUGCCAAUUUCUUCAAUAUUACACCUCUUUGGACUCGUAAAUAGCCUCGAUAAGGCCCAAAAGAUAAUUUUUUUCCAUCAUACAAAUCUGAUGCAAUGCAAUUUCUACUUUGAAUUAAUAUAUUUGGAUUUGUUGAAUGAAAUUUAUAAUAUGUUAAGCUACUCAAGAAGAAUUAUUUGUUUUGUUACAUAUUAAGGAUUUGCGAUUUGCAAUUCUAUAAACUUUAAUUUAGAUUGCCUACCCUUAUUAGUCAUUAUCUCCCCAACUGACGUUAACUACUCAUUUGAACAAAAAAAAAAAUAAUUGUCAUGUCUAGUGUAGGAGGUAUUAAAAAAAACUGAUGUAAUUGCAUGUCUUCUAUAUUCAUUAAUUCUAAAGUGCGUGUACGCGCACAUAUUGCAAAAGGUUAUUUCACGGUAUGUUUUGAGUUUAAACAUGGAAAUUUCAUGCAAAGUCAUCCGACAAUUGUAUCGUUCACAGUCAGUUCUGAGAAUUUCCUCUUAAUUAGGUGGGAAUGGGUCUCUUGCAUGGUGGUGGCUCGUUUGCAAAGUUGAAAUGGGUAUUUUGGGAAUAUGCAUGGUGGCUCGUUCUCUCUAGCAAAGUUUAGAGUUGAGUUUUGAUGGGUGCCAAUGCAUGGGUAAUUUGAGUUAAUAUGAGUUGGUUUCACAAAGCAUAUCAACAGCAGCAUACAUGUAUGUGAGUGGCCACGUGAAUUAAUCGUCCAUGUCAGCAGCAUAUAUUGAGAUUUUCAGGUCCACGUCAGAUUUUCCAUCCAAAGUAUCAGCAAGAAUUAACGGCAGGACGGAAACUGCUUAAAAAUGGCAUGAUUAUGGAUGAAUAAUGUCACUCCAACUUGUUUAGGGACAAAAAACGAAUAAGUGGUAAAGUAUAAGGACGAAAAAAGUAAUUAUCCCCACAAUAAGUUCUUAGGGGUUCUUGGUAAAUACAUAAGGGUCUUUUUAGCAAUCAGAGAUUAUAUAUGGGUAGUUUUUGUAAAGAAUGGAAAAAUAUGUGAGAAUAUUGAAGAGUACUGAUUCUUCGUCCGCCAAUCCACACGUUUACGUCGCAGCCAACAAUUAGUGCAACUUCUGUGAUGAUAAUUUGAAGGAGAACACAGAGGAGCUCCCACUACAUCCAUAAAAUCGCAUCCCCCCACUUCAUCUUCAACACUAGAAACCCCCUCGCUAUGGCGGUUGUAAUUUUCUGAAAAGUCCUACUAAAAUCGACUCUGCACAAUAGUGGAUUUAAUAAAUAAGGAGGACACACUCUGUGCAAUAUAGUAUAUAUUUAAUAAAUGGAAAGGACAAUAUUCACUCUGCGCAAUAGUGGACUUGACUUUGCCGUCAUCGUCGACAACUCCGAUAUGGGCGAGAAUUAGGCUACAAAUACUGUAAAUACGAAGAGUUUCAAAGCCAACAUCAGCCACUAAACAGAGGCUCCGGCGCUCUGGCGAUCCAAAAUUUACCCGAAAAAUAUGCAGUAAAUCAAGAUUGAUUUGCACGUAAUGUUGAGUUCAUAUAGAUCAAUUAGUAUUUCCAACUCAAGCCACACAAUACUUUUUCAUCUUAAAAUGGUUCAAAGAUUUUCGUAUAUACUCUAAUUCAGUGCUUCUAUACAUUUCUUGAUAAACUAUUAUGUCUGCCUAGUAAAGGAGAACAAACAAGAAUAACUAAUUUUACAAAAUUGUGAUCCUCCUAAACAUGUAUAUCAAUCAUGUGCUGCUUAAACGAGAAGUUAAAUCAAUAAAUGACUCUUCACUGCAAAGAAUAGUGAUUCCACCCAUUGGAUGGUGGAAUCCAAAUGCUUCUUCGGCUUGAAAUAGCAAUUCUUGAAACAAAGGAUGGUUUAAGUACGAUAAUGGAAUAACAAAUCGCUUCUUCUCGCCUUCCCCAACAUAAACAGCUAAAUGGCCUUUUGGAACUUCAGCUAAUCUUCUUUCGUUGGAUAAUGACCUUCUCAAAAUUUGACGGAUUGCCAUCUUAGCGUGAAGUGAAUUUUGCUUUGGUCGUAAAAAUAGAAACUCUUUAAGAGGUAUUUGAAAUCAAGAAACUAGAGUAUUUUGAUCAGGAGUUGUUGUUUGUAAUCAAGAAACGGUGUUGUAUAUAUAGGCUAGAAAGAAAUGAUGUAUUCUUCAUAAAUCUACACAAGUGAUGUGGUCAACAUAAAUGUCGUUGCUGUAAGAAACUCGAGAAAACAUACGCACAUGAAAUCACAUGGAUUUGUAUUUAAAAAAUGAAAUGAAUUCAAGCCAACAAGAAUUUGUGUGAUAGAAAAUGUUGUAUCCUACCAACUCUGGCAACACGGCCCCUUAAACCAUCAUCUCAACAUCUCUAUUUAUUUCCAUAUAUCUACUAAUUAGGCCAUCUUAUCCUAAAUGCCCCAUUCAAUUCAAUGUGACGUUUUCUUGCUGGUGGUGUUAGGUAUGAUAUGUAAUUCAUUAUGUUGCUCUAAUUUAUGGACAAAACCAUGUGAUUUUUCAUGUGCUUUUGUUUCUCUAACUUCUCCAGUAGCCAACACAUAUCCUCUGGCCUUUUCAUCACCACUCAAUCCAGCUAAUUUGGAUAUAGCAUUUACAACUUCAUCUAUUUAUAUAUUUAUACGACACAUAUCUAAAUUCACAACCACCUUUCAACUUCUCAUAGUUCACUUGCUUCAUAAGACUCUCAUAAAUUACUUCAUUGUCUUUCAUCUUCCGCUUCACAAAGAUUUAAUUUAACAAAGAAUCAAUGGCUAUUCACAAAAUUCUUAGGCGGUCUUUAUCGGCCGAAAAAAGAUGAUCAACGGAAGUUCCAAAAGGACAUUUGGCUGUUCACAUCGUAGAAAGUGAAAAGAAGCGAUUUGUUAUUCCAUUAUCGUAUUUGAAUCAUCCUUCAUUUCAAGAAUUACUAUGUCAGACUGAAGAAGAAUUUGGAUUCCACCAUCCAAUGGGUGGCCUUACUAUUCCCUGCAGUGAGGAUUUAUUCGUUGAGCUAACGUAUCGCUUGAGCAGAGUGUUCUUAGAGCAUAUAAAUUUUAUUAGCUAGAUUCUUUACAUAUUUUGUAAACACGGAAGAUACUUUGUCGGAUACAAAAUGUAUUCCCGAACAAAUGAAUCGUAAUACUUUAAUACAUGGAUGCCUUAUCUUCUUACAAAUUUUUAUCAAUAUUUAUAGUUCUGCCAUCAUGAAUACAUGGUUCUCUUUGUCGACAAAUACCAUAUUUACUAAACUUGAACUUAGACCUUGCAAUUUUGUCUUGGAGAUAGUACAUGUUGAAAUUUGUGAAACUACCAUGACAAACGGCAAUAAAUCAAAUAGUUUCAUAACUUUUCACCAGUGAGGAUAUUGGAAUAAUCACAUCUUCAGAAGGAAUCCGAGGUGAACAAGUUCCACCAAUCUCAAAUGUUAAGUUUAUAUUUUUGCACUUUAGUCGUACCUUUUAAUUGGGGCGUUUGGUGUGUUUUAUUGAUAAUUGGUGCUUAAAAUGUUGAUUUAUUGUAUUUUAGGCACAAAUUGAAAAAUUGGAUAAGUAUUGGGUAAAAGCUGCAAUUUUGGAGAAAAUAUGGGCGAAAGUCCAGACGGCCGUCUGAUAAAUACACUUAAGUCUCAGACGGCCGUCCGAGAAACAGAGGCAGUCUCUGGAAUUGAGACGGCCGUCCAAGUUUUAGUACAUAAUCCCAGACGGCCGUCCGAGAAGACGUAGAAGCGCAGUAAAGGAAUUCUAAUUGCACAAGGAAACUACCUUCUUCUCCAAGUUUCCCACCCUAUAUAAGACCAAGUCAAGCACACAAUUGGGGAUCAAUCUUUUUACGCAAAUUCAAGAGCAAAGAAAAUCAACGAAGAUUCAAGCAUAGUUUUUCUUAUUUAAUUUAUUUAUUUUAUUUUCUUUAUCAUAAGAGUUACGAGUAACUAAGCCUUUAGUUUCUAGAAUUUUAUUUCGAACCAUAUGUGGGAUUUAUGAACCCAAUUCUAUGAUUUUAUGCAAGUUUUAAUUCCGGAUUAUUUCUUCUACUUGAUUUAUUAAGUUCAUGAAACUGGCCACUUUACGUGCUUUUAUGUUAUUGUUAAUCACAUGAAUCAGAAGAUCGGGUUAAUAAUUAGAAAUGUGGUAGAAGAGCCUUUCUUUAUUAACAUUAGUUGUGUUCUAGAAUUAAUUGCGCAUGAAUACAGUAAUUGAAUCUAGAGUAUUAGAAUCGUAAUACACGCGGAAGCGGGUUAUGAUUAAUAUAGCUUCUCAGGUUAAUAAUCCAAGUUAAUUACUUGCAUAAUUGAAGGAAUUGAGGAAUUAAUAAUCACAUAGGGGAAUAAUAAAAUCCUAGGCUGGUUUACUUUGAUUAAAUUUUCGUCUAAAUUGUUUUCCUGUUUUUGCCUUUUUAAUUUUUUUUAAUUGCUUUAGUUUAUUAAUCAUUUUUCGAGUGUGUAGGGUGAGAUUUAUAGCAAUUCGUAGAAUUUAGCGUCCAAAAUUAGAUAAUUUAAUAUUCUCUGUGGGACGGAUACUUGGACUUAAAAAUCCACUUUAUUGCUUGUACAAUACGUGCACUUGCGUGUAGGUAUUUCCACCGACAAGUUUUUGGCACCGUUGCCGGGGAAUGUUUUAAUUAUUUAUUUUUAUUCUAGCUCUAAAUUUGAACAAUUUUCACGAUCCACCCAAAUUAAUUUUUAUUUUUAUUUUUAUUUCUCGUUUUUAUUUUUUUAAUAUUUUUUUUUCUCUUUGGUUACAUGUCAGGUUACAAUUUUUUAGCAACUCAAACGGGAUAUGUGUUGAGUGUAGAUUUUACACUCAAUACGUUUACUUUACGUGGAUCUUUGGUUUAGAUUUAAUUAUAUUUGUGCUUUAAUUAAUUGAUUUUGUGUUUUAUAGGAGAAAAACGAGGAUUAGGUGUCCAUGAAGGAAAAAAGAUAAAAAAGAAAAAGGAAAAAUUUGCAAAUAAGGAAAUAAAUCAAAUCGGAAGAAGGAAUCUUGCCACAGCUUUGGCAGUGUCCACCAUUUCUAGCAUAUCUCUCCCAUAGAGCUCCAAAUCAGCUGCUUUUGGCGGCAUUGGAAAACUAAUUUCAAGGGCUACAACUCUUAUUCACUCAACAUUCCAAAACUCGGACUCCAACAUGGCAAAAAUCGAAGAAAAAAUCCUGAUGGGGGAAAGUGGCGGGAAUUGAAUUCUAUUAGGUUUCCACUACUUCCUUAUCAAGAAAAGCCUAUAAAAGCAACAAGUCUCUACACCAUCAGAACAAAAUUUUACACCAUAAAAACGCCAAGAACGAAGAUGACUCAAACAUAGUUUUUCUUAUUUCAUUUAUUAAUUCUAUUUAGUUUACCAUAAGAACUAUGAGUAGCUAAGUCUUUAUUCUAGGAUUUUAUUUCGAACGCUAUGUGGGAUUUAUGAACCUAUUUCUAUGAUUUUAUGCGAGUUUAAUUCUUGAUUAUUUCUUCUACUUGUUUGAUUCAGUUCAUGAAACUGGCCACUUUAUGUGCUUUUAUGUCAUUGUUAAUCGCAUGAAUCGGAAGAUCGGGUUAAUAAUGAGAACUGUGGUAGAAGAACAUUUGUGGUACUAACAUAGGAAUAUAGUUAAUCUCUUAGGUUGCCAUUAUUGAGAUUUGUGGUUAAUGCUGUAUUAUAGAAUCAAUUGCGUAGGAAUACAAUAAUUGAAUCUAGAAUAUUAGAAUCGUAAUACACGCGGAAGCGGGUUAUGAUUAAUUUAGCAUCUUAGGUUAAUAAUUCGAGUUAAUUACUUGCAUAAUUGAAGGCAUUGAGGGACUAAUAAUCACAUAGGGGGAAGAAUAAAAUCCUAGGCUUGCCUUAUCUAAUUAAAUCUUCGUUUUUAUUUGUUUCUUGCUUUUGUUCUUUUUAAUUUGUUUUAAUUUCUUUAGUUUAAUUUAGUUUUUUAAUCCUCUUUCGACUGUGUAGGGUGGGCUUCAUACCAAUUUGUAGGAUUUAGCGGCUAGAAUUAAAUAAUUAAGUAUUCUCUGCGGGAUCGAUAGUUGGACUGAAAAAUCCACUAUUUGUAGGAUACGUGCACUUGCGUGUAUGUAUUACAACCAACAAGUUUUUGGUGCCGUUGCCGGGGAAUAUUUUAAUUAUUUAUUUUAUUCUAGCUCUAAAUUUGAACAAUUUUCACGAUUCACCCAAAUUAAUUUUUAUUUUUUCGUUUUAAUUUUUCUUAAUAUUUUUUUUUUCUCUUUGGUUACAUGUCAGGUUACAAUUUUCGUGCACCUCAAACGGGAAAUGAAUGGCUUCUGUUUGGCGAAUACCUCAAAAUACCUAUGAUAUGCCGCUAUUUUGUUCAAUAUGUGGUGGGGAUCAUUACACUAACCAAUGUUGGUAUGCACCAAAGACAAAUAAUUUCAUAGAUAAUACCAGAGGUUAUUGGAACACAUACACAAACACGUACGAACAAAGCGUUCCGAGCCAAGCUUUAAAUAAUUUUCAACACCGAGAGCCGCACUUUGAUGAUUUUCAAACCUAUUAUGAAAGGCCACGAGAACCCACUAUUGAGGAGUGUUAUAGGAAAUCCAUCCUUGAAGAAUUUAUGAAAGAGAUCAAGUUCAAGAUGUCUCUUGAAAAUAUUCCAAACGAUAUCGAGAAGGGUUGCAACAAAGAAAAUCCGUCCGAAACAUGUAGUGAGAAAAUGUCGAUGAGAAGGAAAAAUAACUUAUGAAGACGUUUAAGGAUGAUGAAUAUGAGAAUGCAAUCGAGCUAAACUCCAAAGGUGUCUCUAAACAAGAGAAGAAGGAGAUGGAUGUGGUUAGUGAAAAUAUUGAAAUUGUGGAUCUUAUCUUUGUUCCUGACGUAGCUUUGAAGGCAUCAAUAGAGGUUGAUGAGAAGACGAAUGUGUUUGAAGUGGAGGUUAUACGCAGACUUGAGGUUUUUGUGUACCGAUUUGAGGGGGCGGCUGAUGAACAUCCCAUCUUGGCUUCAUACCGAUUGAUUACAACCAAACAAGACUACAAGCUAAGGUGGACUCUGACAUAUUGCAAUCAUAUCCUUGCAUUGGUUCCAAUUGAAGUUAUAAAGCCAAUGAAUGGAUGCGCAAUCUACAAGGCUUUGGAUUGGACAUAACAAUUUCAAGAAGCAAGUCUGGCUGAAGACUUAAAAUUUAGCGCUUCUCGGGACGCAACCCGAGCAUUUAUUGUUUUUUUCCUCAUAUUUUUCGUAUUUUAAGUUUUUUUUUUCUUAGAAUACAUAUAAACUUGCAAUCUAAUAAUUUAAUCAUGUUUGAAUUUUUAGGUCGAAAAACAGACACAAAAAGCCCAGACGGCCGUCCGAAAAUCAAGACAAAACCCCAGACGGCCGUCCGGAGAAGUUACGACGAGUUGUGAACCUUCUAGAAUUGAGACGAUUCUAAAAAAUAGUGCAAAAGUUGAGACGGCUGUCCAGAACACCCCCGGAAUUUUUUUUUUUUUCCGAAAAAUUGAAAAAAAAAGUUUGCUUGAAAGAGGAAGAGAUGGAGGAGUGCAACACGUGGAGGACAUUUUGACUAAUCAAGGUGUAUUCUAUCCUUAAACUUCGUUUUAAUUACCUUGAGGACAAUGUAGAUUUUAAGUUUGGGGUGGAAAAACACUUUUUAUGUGCUUUAUAUGUUUUAGAUUACAUGCUUUAGGAUUUUUUUUCUUUUUAGUCGUUUUUGUUUAUUUAUUGUUUUCUUAAAAAAAUGUUUGGGUUGAAUGCAUUAAUGAAUUUUGAUAAUGAAAGAUGGCCAAUGUUUGAAGAUGAUAUUACUUGCUUUGUGGUAGCUAUACUUGAAUUUCGUUGAGCUUUUGAUUGAAAGUAAUUUAUGAGUGAGUCAUUGUGGAGAAUCAUGAAUUAUGUGUUGCAUUUGUUAAAAGUUUUGUUUUAUUAAAAAUGGAGUUAAUUUAUGCUAUAUCAUAUGAUGUUCGGUUUUAGAACUCACCUGAGGAAUUUGCAAAGUGAAGUAUUGAGUCGUUGAGUGAUUUGUGCCUUCUUUGAACCGUUUGAGCCUUUCAAGCCGACCUUUUAUUGAAAUUUUUCCUAGAACCUUGAUUGUGCCUUGGAGAAACGGUGUUCUUUCUUUUAGCCAAAAUAAAGUGGGUAGAUUAGAAGGAUAUUUCUUGAUAAAUUAUCCCUUGGAGUUUGGUUGAAAAUUUGUUACGUUUUUCUUCUUCUUGUCAAAUAAAAAUAUAUGUAUAUAUAUAUAUAAAAAAAAAGGGAACUAGAAGGGAAAAGGAGGACAUGCGCAAAUAUUCGAAUAAAAACUCGAACCAUACCUCAAGAGAAAAAGUGGAGACUUUUGAACUCUAGAGAAUCGAGUAGGAUAAUUAGUCCUUAGAGGUGAAUAAGCGAUUCGAAAAGCCUAAUCUUCAAAUUUUGGCGAAAACACCUCGAUUCAAGAAAGAAAAAAAAGCAUCUUUCUUAGUGCAACUAUAUAUUCAAUAAUGAGAAGAUCGAAAGGAGAAGAGUAGCCACUUAUACCCAUAUUUCCUAUCUUGCACCAUAGAGCCCAACAAUUGAAAGCCAAAAAGUCUCAAUAAUCCCAAUAGCUCAAUUAUUCGAUAUUAGCGGAGUAGAGAAAUUCGGUGAGUCUUUGGAGUCAAAUAUUAUUAUGUAGGGGUAAUAUGCAUGACACCCCUUAAAUCAAACCUAAUUAGAUUUAAAUGACAACCUCAAUUAGAAUAUUUGAACUAAAUCUUUAGUUCAAAACAAAAUUUUACAUACAUCCUUUUAUUUUCUUUUAACCCCAAAAUACCCUUAAUAUAUACCUAAUAAACACGUAAUUUCCUUACUCUCUCUUGCGCCGCCACACCUUCUCCCCUUCUCUCUCUAUCUUUCUCUUCUUCUCGUGCUACAACUAUAUUAUUCCACCCACCAUCGCCUUUUUACUCUAUUUUUUUUUUUUAUGUAUCUUUAAUUUAGUAGAUCUGUUUUUAAUGUUUUGAAAUGGAGAGCAACAGAUCUGCAACCAGCGGUGGCGGCAAUUCCGGAAAAGCUUUGCGCGGCGGUGCUACGAACCUCGACUCGCCUAGGUCUGGUGUGGAACGGGCGAUUGCAUCAACGUUUGUUCGUCUGGUUAUGGGGCAGCAGGGAAGGGUUGCUGAUUCGACAUCUUGUUGCACGUUUCGACGACCACUAGGGCUGGUUGUGAAUUCAUGGUACGUGUGUGUCUAAUUUUUUACGAGGCGAUGACGGCUCAACGGUGGUCGGUCUUCGUCUGCUGGCGGCGCUCGGGUUUAAAAGGGUGAAAUUAGAAUUUUCAAAAUGACUAAGGUCGUCUACAGGGUCUGGCGGCGUUGUGAAUCAAAAGAUCGGGGUAGGGUUCAAGAGGGCGUAUCUAGGGUUUCAGGAUGACUAUAGUUGUCUACGGAUUACUACAAGUGACUAUGGGUUACUACGGAUGACUACGGAUUACAACAAGUGACUAGGGUUGCUACGGAUGAAAAUGAUAUACGUAUAUAAAGAGUGUGCUAUGAAGUUGGAUACAUGACUUAGAUGACUAUAAACGAUUACGUAACUAUGGGUGACUAUAUUGUGAUUCAUAUUCUGCAUUUAUCGAUAAAAAUCAACUACAUAGUUGUUAAAAAUAUACAAAGAAAAUUAAAAAAAUAUGAAAAUAUUAAUUUUCAAUAUUAUAUCAGACAAAUAAAAAUCAGACAAAAAAAAAUGAAAAUGUUAAAUGUAAAAUAAAAAAUAAUAAAUGCAAUUUAAAUAUUACUUGGUGCAUAUUUCAUUUUUUGAAUAGAAGGGCACUUUUGGAAUGAAAUUUAUAAAGGAUGUGAAGCAAAGGUUUAGUUUGACUUGUCAUUUAGUUCAAAUAAGUUUUGUCACCAGGGACCUAUAUCUUAAGGCCCCUAUUAUGUAUGUAUAAAUUUUCUCUAUCUUUAGAUUACAAAUAUUAGAUGCUUGAAGCGAUAACAUGAUUUUUGGUUAAUGGCAAUGGUAAGCAAUUAACUUUAUUUGAAUUUUAAGCUUGUGAAUAUUCGAGAAGUGUCAUAACAAUUUCAAGUUCUAAAAAUGUGAAGUUGACCAUAUUAAUUUAUAUAAUGUGAUGCAUUUAUUGAUUUCGUGGCUUUUCAAGUUGCUAGAUAUUGCUUGAGGACAAGCAAAAGUUCAAGUUUGGGGGUGUGUUGAGUGUAGAUUUUACACUCAAUACGCUUACUUUUACGUGGAUCUUUUGUUUAGAUUUAAUUAUAUUUGUGCUUUAAUUGAUUGAUUUUAUGUUUUAUAGGUGAAAAACAAGAAUUAUGUGUCCAUGAAGGAAAAAAGAUCAAAAAGAAAGGAAAAAGUUGCAAAUAAGGAAAUAAAUCAAAUAGGAAGAAGGAAUCUCGCCAUAACUUUGGCAGUGUCCACCAUUUAUAGCAUAUCUCUCUCAUACGACCUCCAAAUCAGCUGAUUUUGGAGGUAUUGGAAAGCUAAUUUCAAGGGCUACAACUUUUAUUCACUCAACAUUCCAAAAUUCGGAAUCCAACAUGAAAAAAAUCGAAGAACAAAUCCUGAUGGGGGAAAGUGGCGGAAGUUAAUUUCUAUUAGGUUUCCACUACUUCCUUAUCAAGAAAAGCCUAUAAAAGCAACAAAUCUCUACACCAUCAGAACGAAAUUUUACUCCAGAAAACGCGAAGAACGAAGAUCGAAGACUCAAACAUAGUUUUUCUUAUUUCUUUUAUUUAUUCUAUUUUGUUUAUCAUAAGAACUACAAGUAGCUAAGUCUUUAUUCUAGGAUUUUAUUUCGAACCCUAUGUGGGAUUUAUGAACCUAAUUCUAUGAUUUUAUGCGAGUUUUAAUUCCGGAUUAUUUCUUCUACUUGUUUUAUACAGUUCAUGAAACUGGCCACUUUAUGUGCUUUUAUGUUAUUGUUAAUAGCAUGAACCGGAACACCAGGUUAAUAAUUAGAACUGUGGUAGAAGAGUAUUUGUGGUAUUAACAUAGGAAUAUAGUUAAUCUCUUAGGUAGCCAUUAUUGAGAUUUGUGCUUAAUACUUUGUUCUAGAAUUAAUUGCAUAGGAAUAUAGUAAUUGAAUCUAGAAUAUUAGAAUCGUAAUACACGCGGAAACGAGUUAUGAUUAAUUUAGCAUCUUAGGUUAAUAAUCCAAGUUAAUUACUUGGGGGAGUAAUAAUCACAUAUGGGGAAUAAUAAAAUCCUAGGCUUGCCUUCUCGUAUUAAAUCUUCGUUUUAAUUUUUUCUUGCUUUUGUUAUUUUUAAUUUGUUUUAAUUGCUUUAGUUUAAUUUAGUUUGUUAAUCCUUUUUCGACUGUGUAGGGUGGGCUUGAUAACAAUUGGUAGGAUUUAGCGUCUAGAAUUAAAUAAUUAAGUAUUCUCUGUGGGAUCGAUACUUGGACUUAAAAAUCAACUUUAUUACUUGUACGAUACGUGCACUUGCGUGUAGGUAUUACAACCAACAAUAUGAAUGGCUUCGGUGUGGCGAAUACUUGCAAAAUACCUAUGAUAUGUCGUUAUUUUGUUCAAUAUGUGGUGGAGAUCAUUACACUAACCAAUGUUGGUGGCAUGCACCGAAGGCGAAUACUUUCAUAGAUAAAACCAAUAGAGGUUAUUAGAACACAUACACCAACACGCCACGAGAAACCACUAUUCAGGAGUGUUAUUCGAACUCCAUCCUUGAAGAUUUUAUGAAAUCCACUCAAGCAUCUAUCCGAAGACUGGAGAUACAGUUGGAAGAAUUCAAGUUCCAGAGGUCUCUUGAAAGUACUUCAGACAAUAUCGAGAAUGGUUGCAACAAAGAAAAUCCGUCUGAAACUUGUAGUGAGAAAAAUCCUUCAGACCUAGAAAAUAGUGUCGAUGAGAAAGAAAAAGAACUUACGAAGACACUUAAGGAUGAUGAAUAUGAGAAUGAAAUUGAGCUAAACUCCAAAGAUAUCUCGGAACAAGAGAAGAAGGAGAUGGAUAUGGUUAGUGCAAAUAUUCAAAUUGAGGAUCUUAUCAUUGUUCCUGACGUGGCUUUGAAGGCAUCAAUAGAGGUUGAUGAGAAGACGAAUGUGUUUGAAGUGGAGGUUAUACGCGGACUUGAGGUUUUUGUGAACUGAUUUGAAGGAGCGGGUGAUGAAGAUCCCAUCUUGACUUCGUACCGAUUGAUUACAACCAAAAAAGACUACAAGCUAAAGUGGACCCUAACAUAUUUUAAUCCUAUCCAUGUAUCGGUUGCAAUUGAAGUGAAAGAUCUCAUGGAUGGAUUGGACAUAACAAUUUCAAGAAGCAAAGUCUGGCAGAAGACUUUAAACUUAGCGCUUCUCGGGAGGCAACCCGAGCUUUAUUGUUUUUCAUAUUUUUUUAAUUUUACGUUUUGUUUUUAUUUUCAUAGGCAUGCAUAAUAAUUUUGAGGGUCGAAAACGUGGUUAGAGGGUCCAGACGGCCGCCUGAAAAUAUUCUCAUAUCACGGGACGGCCGUCCGAAACACAUUUUGAGCGAAAAAAUAAAAAAUUACAGAUUUCUUUCCCACAAAUUCUCACACCCUAAAGACAACGAUUCCGACUAAAUCAGGUGUUCUUUAUCCGUAAAAUUUGUGCUAAUUUCGUUGAGGGCAACGAAAAUUUUAAGUUUUGGGUUGGAAAAACAUGCUUCUGUGAUUAUUUGCUUUAGUUGCAUGCCUUAGGUUUUUAUUUUAGAUGUUUUAUUUUUCUAUUUUUAUUGCUUUUAUCGUUUGGAAAAAAAUUAUAAAAAAAAAUUGCUUGAGUCGAAUGCAUCGAUGAAUUAUGAUGAUGAGAGAUGAUCAAUGUUUGAUGAUGAGAUUUCUUGUUUUGUGUGAUAAGGAUUAUAUGUUGUUUAGCUUUCGAUUCAACGGAACUUAGAAACGAAUAAUUGCUAGGAAUCACACUUUGUGCAUUGCUUUGGUUGAAUGUUUUGUAUUUUGAAUUUUGGAAUUAAUUUGUGUUAUAUCUUGCUAUGUUCGGUUUUAAAACUCACCUUAGGAAAUUUAUGAUACGAAGUAUUGAGUAGUGAGUAAUUUGGGAUAUGAUUUGGGCCUUCUUGAAACGUUUGAGCCUUUCAAGCCGACCUUUUUAUCGAAAUAUCCUUAGAACCUUGAUUUGAGCCGCGGAGAAAAGAUGUUCUUUCUUCUAGCCAAUGUGUAUAAGGUAGAAUGGAUGGAGAAUCUUCAAGCAUUAUCCCUUGGAGUUCGAUUGAAAAUUUUUAUGAGGUCCUUCUUCUUCUUCUUAAAAAAAAAAAGAAAAAGAGAAGAAGAAGAAGAAGAAGAAGAAGAGACCAAAAGGGAGAAGUAAUGACUAGUUGUUGAAUUGUUUUUGAAAGCUAACUCGAUUCAUUGUCUUAAGAGCAAAAGUGGAGACUUUUGAACUCUUAAGAAUCGAGUUUAUUAAAGUCCUUAGAGGUUAAUUCAUUGAUUCAAACGCCUAUCUUUCAGAUUUUGACGUAAUCACCUCAAGUCAAGAAGAAUAGCCACAUAUACCAAUAUUUCUUACCUCGAACCAAAGAGCCUAACAGUUGAAAGCCAAAAAGCCCAAAUGAUCCCAAUAGCUUAAUGUUCGAUAUUUGUAGAGUAAUAUAAUUUGGUGAGUAUUUGGAGUCAAACAUAUGCAUGUAAGCAUAAAUUCUGUCUAUCUUUAAUUUACAAAUAUUGGAUUCUUGAAGCAAUUGUAUGAUUUGUGGUUUUUGGCAAUGGUAAGUGACUAAGUGCUUUUGAAUUUUGAGGUUGAUAAUGCCUAAGAAUUGUCAUUAUAAUUACAAGUUCUGAAAACGUGAAGUUGAUCAUUAAUCUAUGUAAUGAGAUGUAGAUUUUGCUUGAGGACAAGCAAAAGUGCAAGUUUGGGGGUGUGUUAAUUGUAUAUAUUUGCACUUAAUCGUACCUUUUAAUUGGGGAUUCUGGUGUGUUUUAUUGAUAAUUGGUGCUUAAAAUGUUGAUUUAUUGUAUUUUAGGUACAAAUUGAAGAAUAGGAUAAGUAUGAGGUAAAAACUGCAAUUUUGGAGAAAAUAUGGGCGAAUAGUGUAGCACCCCCCUUCUAGUCGGGCGAUAAAUCGAACCGGUUUAUCGGAAUAUUUAUUGAACUAGCGGAAGCAAAGGAUCUCUUUGUAAUUAUUGAAACAUGGAAUGGGGCGGAAGUGCAAUUAUCAAAAACUUUGCACUUUCAAGAACAACUUUUCUUGGGUUACUUUAGCCGAAUAAAGAUUUCGUUUUUGGAAUAAGUUUCGAAAGGAGGUUUUUCUUUCGAGUGCUACAAUAUUACUAUCGGUUUUUGGUUCGAGAAGAAAUCAGAGUUUUUGAAAGGUUAUUUUGGUGAAUAAUUCGGAAAUCACAAAUGGAGGCGUAAGAAUAGUAAAAUUACGAAACUUACUAUAUCAUAAUAGGGGUUAAGCACGAUUCAUAAUGAAAAUGAGUUCAAAAGUACGAAAGGAGAAAAUAUUACGAUUUUAAGGUUACACCACCAAAAGAAAAUAACCAAAAGUUCUAGCAUCGUUCAUAGGUCCUCGUACGUCUUCCGAAAUUUCCGGGCAAGACCUCGAUCCACUACUCGAUCCAUCCCGGUUGAGGAUUACUAUUACCUGCAAUUAAAAGACAUCUAUAUGAGCUAUAAAGCUCAGUAAGAAAUCCGAGUAAUAUCGAACUUUGGAAAUACGUUAUAUAUAUAUAAUAUAUAAUAUUGUAUACCCGCUCUGACCCACGUUUCGUACAACAACACAAGUCAAUUUGUCAAAUCACAUAUCUCACGGAAACACAUCAUUUAACAAAAUCACGUAAUUAUGCAAAAUGACUAAAAUGCCCUUUUUAUGAAAAUCAUGAAAAACACAUUUUUCGGUUUAUCGGAUCCGUGAAAGAUUAAUUUCUGUACCGGAUAAUAAACCUGUUACGAGCCCGUUUUCACUAAGUGGAAUCAAACCACUACCACAUCAUCCUAGUUGGAUACCGGCCCACUAUAUCCGAGUUGUUUAUUACCCGAUAUUCCAUUAAUCUUUCAAAUAAAAAUCAUUUAAUGCAACUUUUCGAAAUAAUGCUAUAACCCACACAUGACAUCACAAAUAUCAAUCAAGUGCCACAAGUCACACAAAUAUCACAAUUUACCACAUAUUUAUGCUUUGGGCAAAAAUCACAAAUUCACACACAUAAACACACAACCACACACGGCACACACACCAUGCACAAUCAGCACACACACAUUCACACAUUUUCAGCACACACACGUGCACAAUCAACACUAAAAACAUCACUAAUUACUCAUCAAAGCAAGCUUAAGAACAAAUACCCCUUUUUCCAAUUCUCAUUUAAUGGACUUAUUACCACUUCUAGGUAAUAAUCCAUUUCAAUCAAUUCCUCACAGCCAUUAAACACAUCCAGCAGCAAUUCAAUGUACAAAAAUACCAAAACUCAUCAUUCAUAACCAUUAAAUCAAAACAUGAACACUUAAGGCACAAAACAUAUGUAAAUGACAUGCAAUUAUCCAAAUUUCGAAAUAAUAGCAAACUAAUUCCAAAAUUCUCAAAUUAAAUCCUACAACUCCUCAAUGUUCCAAAUUUCAGAUUCUGAAAUGAUUUUAAAGUUUUCACAAAGUUUCGAAUUUUCUUGAAAUUAAACACUAGGAAAAUCCCUUUUUCAAUUUAAAAAUCCAAACCUCUAAUAUAACUCUAAUUGAUUUAAAAACUUGGGAAAUAAAACUUUUUCCUAUUUAGUACUUGCUGAAAAACAGAUCCAAACUUUAUAAAUGGGAGAUUUUUCGGAAAUUGCAGUUUUGACCCAAAGGUUUCGAAAUUUAUACAUGCAACCACACUAGAAGUUCAAUUUCUACUUUUUCAUGAAAACCCCUAACAAAUCUGAAAUUCCACUUUACUAGAUGCAGAAAAUGAGGUUGGAAAAGUUACUUUAUGCAGAAAUUUCGGAAAUUGCACAAUUUACCCCAAAAUCUCUAGAUCUACACAUGCAAGCCUAUUAGAAUUUCAAAAAUCAACUUUUAUUACAAAAAUUUCCUUAAAUCCGAUAUUUUUGUUCAAUAAAUGCUGGAAAACAGUUUUGAAAACAUUUUUAGGACUGAGUUUGCUGAAAUUACAGAUUUGACCCAAAACUUUCGAAGAUCUACACAUGCAACCACAAAAAGUUAAAAAUUCAUUUUUUUCUUGAAAACCCCUUUUUGAAUCUGAAACUAUUAAUGCUUUUGACCAAUAAAAUUUGUAUCUAACCACUAUCAUCAUAGAUGAUGCAUGCAAGAACAAGAAUUUAACAAGAAACACUCAUUUUUCAUUUUUCUUCAAAAACCCCUAAAUUUUCGAAAUCACUCCCAAUCUUUUAGAAAAUUUUUGAAAACCCUUUUUUUAUACUAUUGAUGCCAUUUAAUUGCAGCAAGAAAUCGGAAUUUCUUACCUUAAAAUCGAAGAAAGAAAAUAGCCGAAAGGGAGGAAAGCUUUCAAGCACCGAAGUCCAACCAAGCCACCUUGAUUGUGAAAGAAAUGGUGUGAGCUUCAAGGAGGGAGGAGUUGUGAUCUCCCGAAAGAAGGCAAGUGGUCUUGAUGGUGUUCUUGGAAUAGUCCAAGGCAAGAGUUAAAUAAGGAACUCUCAUUUUAAUUUUUUUGGGAAUUUCUUUGGAAAGUGAGGUGAGGUGGAGAGAGGAGGGCCGAUGAUGGUGGUGAUUGCUUCGGUGGAGAGGGGAAUGGAGGACAAGUAAUUUGGCUAGGUGUUGGAAGGAGAAAGAUGAAGGUGCCUCUUAAUCUUACAAGGAGAGUGUUGAGUGUAGGUUUAGCUAAAAUGAUUAGGGGUUGCCAAGUGUAAUUGCAUGCUUAUUACUAAUUAUUUUAUUAAUAUAAUUACAACUUGCAUAAACACCACACACACACACACCAUCCGAACACACACACACACAUCGGACAUAUAUAUAUAUAUAUAUAUAUAUAUAUAUAUAUAUAUAUAUAUAUAUAUAUAUAUUUAAAUGUAUAAUGUAAAUAUUAGCAUAUAUGUAUGUAUACGUAUGCAUGCAUGUGUGUACGUGUACGUAUAUAUAUAUGUAUACAAUUCACAUAAUUUACCAAGUUUCAAAUAAUUUAUCAAAUAAAUAAAAUACGCAAUUAUUCACAUAAACCACGUAAUUCAUGAAAUUCCAUAGUAUUUCAACUUACGGAAAAUUAAAUCAUAUAAAUCACACAUAUAAUAGCGCACAUAAUUAUUCACGUAAGUGACAUAAUUAAAUUCACGUAAUGCAUAUAAUUAAUAUUACGUAAUAAUAUUUCCUAAGGGUUCUCGAGUUAGAAAUAUUAGUCUCGGGUUUUAGAGUUUUCGGGUUUUGGAAAGGUUGGGUGUUACAAAUAGUGAAGAAGUCAAAAAUUUGAAGAAUUUGAUAACACCGAGAAUAUUUGGAUGAUAUAGAUGGAUAGAUUAAAUGUUAUCUUGAUGGCAAGAAGGCUAUUAGAGCAACUCCAAUGCUAGAUAUCAAAAUUGAGUUAUCAAAUACUCAUUUGAUAUUUGAGAAUUAUUUUAAUAUUGAUUUAAAAUUCAUCUACUCCAAUCAUGGUUAUCAAAUUAAUUAUCAAUUGGAAGUUUAUUGAUGGUUUUAUUUGUAAUUGCCACAUGUCAACUUAUGAUUGGAUAGUUAGGAGGUUACAUUUUUGAUAACUAAAUUGUCAGCAAGUAACCCAAAAGGUGAAUUAUCAAAAUGGAAACCUCAUUUGAUAACUCCAUUGGAGUUAAAGAUUUUUAUUUUUAAGUAUGUAAAUGGGGGUUAAAUGUUUGAAUACUCUAUUUGAUAAAACCAUUGGAGUUGCUCUUAUAUAAGUACUAUGUUAAGAAUUUUACUGUCACACUUCACCUAAUGUCAAGGUCAAAAAAGGUGAAAGCCAAUGAAAAUAUUAAAUAGAAUUUGUCUUAGUACAACAACAAUGUUCAAGAUGCUUUCACUAGCAAAACUUCAUUGGUAGGUCGACGAGAAAACAAGAGAGAGAGAGAGAGAGAGAGAGAGAGAGAGAGAGUUCAUAAACUCUAUUCCUAAUGGUAUUGAUCCUGCAAUCAUGAUGCGAGAAAAAAAUUAACUAGUCUAUGUUCCUUAGGGUGCUUUUGGAUGGGACGAUUAAUUGAGGAGGUAUUUCAGAUCCGUAACAAUAAACUCAUUGUACUUGUUCGGACAUAGAGAUUCAUUGUGGAUUUCAAAUCCACAGUUCUCAUUUUUAGUUUUUAGUUUUUUAGCAAUUGUGGUGAAUUUCAAACCCUUUCCUAAUUAUAAUCGUUUCAAAUCCUCGCCAAUUGAAUUGAUUUAAAACCAUUCAUUUCAAAUUCCUCAAUCUAAACACAACCUUAAUGAAAUUUGGUCUACCGUUAUAAGCAUGAAUAUAGUUCAAAGAUGCUUCUCUAUUUCAACUCAUUCAUCAUUCAACAACAAACUACAAAGAGAACAAAGUUCAAUAAAUCCCAUUCAUAAUUAACUUCUUAAGUUAUUAAAAACAAGGAAAAUAGUACAAAGGACCAUAGUGCAUCAAAAACUAGUUAUGUUGGAUUCAUAAAUAUGUUUUACCGUUGUUGUGUUGAGCAUUAGAGCAUCGUUAACGAUGCUUCCGCUACCUCCACCCUCCAGUAAAACUUUUUUGGUUGGUCAACAACAAAAGGAAAAUGAGAGAAAAUUCAUAAACUUUGUUGAUCAUGAAACCUAUGAUUUCACAAACAUGGUGCAAGAAAAAAGUUUACAUUGUUAGAAAACUGGUUUAACCACUAUGUCGCUGACGAAAAAGAAUAUUGUUCGAGAUGCUUCUCUAGUGCAUCUACAUAUGUCUUCCAUCUUCUGUCUUUGGGGAGGCAAGCAACUCAAUAGUAUCCCUUCCCAAGGUGAAAAUGAGGUCCCGAGGAAAAAUCUCAAAGAAAGGAAAGACCUCUUACGCGACAACUGGCAACAAAAAAUAAAUAAUAAAAAAUAAAAAAUAAAAAAAUAAAAAAGAGAGAGGAAUGAACUACGCUCCUAAUUAACUUUAAUAGUUAUUAAAAUAAGAAAAUUAGUGAAUUAAGAAACAAUGAAGGUGCAAAAGGCGACAAAUUUGUGGCCGUAAAUGUUUAUAAACAACAAUAUUUGGUUCUACACUUAAAGAUCAAAGACAUAUUCGUUUGGCAUUUUGCUUACAAACUCUCUAUCUCUACCAACUUUAAAAGUAUGAAUGUUUUUUGUUUCUUAACAUUUUUUGUGCUUGCUAUUAUGCACCUUAUAACAAAGUUAUACCGUCAACUAGUUGGGGUACUCAAUUGUGUAAUAAAAAAAUGAAAAUAAUAAAUUAACAUAGCUUAAUAAUGUAGUUUAAAUAUCAAAUGUCUUUUCAUGUGCUAUAUUUAUAUGAAAGUGAGAGCUUAUUGUAUUCUUAUUGUAAUUUUUUCUACAUAUUGAUAUUUUUGAUGUAAUUUAAUUUUGUAUAAAAUUACAUUUGGACAACUUUCCACUGAUAUAUUAUAAGCAUAUAUAUUAAUUUUUUUUUUAAAUAAAUCAUUUUAUUUUAGGGAAAGUUACAAAUAAGCCCAUCAUGAGCUACUCAUUCAUAAAGUGGCCAAGACAAAAAACUAUUUUACAAAAAAAUCCGGGUUAAUUGCAUUUCGCCACCUAGACUUUGCCCGUUUUUGCACUUUACCACCUUAACUAAAACAAAUUGCACGGUCGCACUUAGACAUUCAUUUUUUACGCACAUAACCACCUGGAGGGAAUAUUCUGGCAAAUCUUUCCACUUUUCGGCGCACGCACGCUGCCAAGCCAAAGUAUAUGGGCUUUUUCGUCUUUUCCUUUUACAUCCUUCUAAAUGCCCUAGCAGUCGUUGACCUCCCCCAUUUCAUUUCAAUUUCACACCUUCACAAAAAAAUCACCUUUUCUAUCUCAAUCUAGGGCUAACAUUGUCGACGAUAAAUUGCAAUAAUCUGAAGAUCUUCUUAACUCUAUCAUGACUUGGAAGUUAAGGGAGGGUAGUGACGAGGACAAUUUUCGAAAAAAUGCUCCAGAAUACGGUAUGCGUUCUUAGAAUUCAUAUUAUUUGUUUUUUUUAAUGUAAAUAGUUGUUUUAUGUAUUCAAUGUGGUUGCACAUGGGGUGUUCUUGGAUUUGUUUAUAAUAUACUAUAGUGAUUUCUUUGUUUGUUUAUAGUUUUUUUCUUUAUUGUGUGGACCACAUUGGUUUUCUUGUCUCCCAUAUGUUUAUGCCAACUUACAAUACAUGUUUGGACCACAUUUCAGUCUCCCACUUUGAUUUUAGCAUGUUUAAUUUUUUUUUUCUUAUUACCACAUCAAAUAGUUUUUUAUUAGAUUCACAUGUUCGGAAAAUGUGUUUUAUAUAUUUUUUGGCAGGCCGCAAUAGUGAUUAUUUCACAAUAGUAAUGCACCAUUCUGGAAAAUUUAUGGAUUUAGGUAAGAUCUGUUAUGUGGGUGAGAAAGUUAGUUAUUUUGACUACUGUUGUUAUGAUGAAAUGUCAAUGACUGAAAUAACUGAAAUGGCAAGGGAAUUAAAAUUGGAAGAUUGGGAAGAUUUCUAUCAUAGUAGAAGUGCAUUACAAGAUUGUAGUGUUCUUUAUUUAAUGGAGAAUGAAUAUGAUGCUUUGGAAUUAGUGAACUAUCUUGACAAAGACAGAGCCACUACAAUUUAUGUGAAGCACCUACAAGUAAUAGAAGAUGAAACUGAAAAAAGUCAACCUGAUUCCUUUGAUUUAGAUAAUCUUCCAUAUGUAGAUGAAGCAUCAGUAGGGUAUGUGGGCGAUGUUGAUGAAGUUGAUGACUUAAUGAUGUGUGUGAGUCUGAUGUGCUUAAAUUUGAGGUUCUUGAUAGUAAUAUGUAUGUGAAUCAUAUGACUGAUAUUUUUGGUGAUAAUGAUGGUUUGUUUGAUGAUAAUGAAAGUGGUGGCAGUGAUGUUCAGUCAGUUGGAGAUGAUUCAGAGCACUCUGACUUUUUGGUUGGUAGUGAUUUUUUUUGCAUCAGAUGAUGAUUUUAAAUAUGAUAAAAAUAUUGAUCAUGGGGUAGAGUGGGGUGGACUUAAGUCAGAUGAAGAAGCUGAAGAACCUAGAAGGUCUAGGAGAUUAAACAAGGGGAAAGAGAAAGUGGUAGAAGAUUAGAUUCAUGAAACUGCCAAGAAAGAUCAAUGGAAACACCACAACUUUCCAGUUUUUAAUCCAAAGAUAGACAUGGGUGAUCCUAACUUUCAUCUUGGUGUUUGCUUCAAAGAUGCAUAGAGUUUUAGAGAUGCCAUAAGACAGCACUCCAUAGUUAAUGGUAGGGACAUAAAGCUGAGGCUUAAUGAGAAGUUCAAAAGAAUUUACAUUUGCUGGGAUAGAUUGAGAAUGGGUUUCUUGAUGGGUGUAGGCCAAUCAUCUUCUUAGAUGGUUGUCACUUGUCGAUAUAUGGUGGGAUUCUUCUAUGUACAGUGGGGAUAGAUGGAAAUAAUGGCAUGUAUCCCUUUGCAUAUGCUGUUGUAGAAAAGGAAAAGAGAGAAAGUUGGUUGUGGUUUAUGAAUUCGCUGAAAGAAGACUUGAAGAUUGAGGAGAGUCAGCACUGGACCAUCAUGAGUGACAAGCAUAAGGGGUUAUUAGAUGUUGUGGAGGAAGUUCUGCCUAACAGUGAGCACAUAUUUUGUGCCAUGUACUUGUACUGUAACUUCAAGGUAUCACAUAAAGGAUUGGCAAUCAAGAACAUUCUGUGGCAAGCUGCUAGAGCUUCAAGAGUGGUAGAUUUUGAAAGAGUGAUGAGAGAUUUGGCCUCCAAAGAUAAAGAUGCUUUCAAAUGGCUUGCACAAAGGCCUGCUGCACAUUGGAGUAGAGCUUUUUUCAAUACAAAUUCAAAAUGUGAUACACUUUUGAACAAUAUGUGUGAAAGCUUUAAUGCAAUGAUUCUAAGGCCUAGAAAUCUACCAAUAAUUGAUAUGUUGGAGGCAAUCAGAAAGACCUUGUUGAAGAGGCUACAUGUGAAGAGGGAUAAGAUGGCAAGCCACAAGGGUGACAUAUGUCCUAACAUUCAGAGACAGAUAGAAGAGCUGAAGAAAAAAUCAAUGGAGUUCAUAGCUAAUUGGAAUGGUAAGGAUCAGUUUAAAGGUGAUAAUUGCUGUGAUGAUAGAUUUAAGGUGCAUUUGGGGGAUAAAACUUUCAGUUGUAGAAAGUGGUAAAUCUCUGAACUUUCUUGUGCACAUUCCAUUUCAGGCAUGUACUAUCUGCGGAGAAUACCUGAAGAUUAUGUUGAAAAAUUUUAUAAGAAGAACACCUAUAUGACAGUGUACAACCACUUACUUGACACACUUGAAGGAAUUGAAUCUUGGCCUGAAUCUGGAAAGCCACCCUUGCUUCUUCCAGACAUAGUGAAGAUGCCAGGCAGGCCUAAACUGCACAAAAGAAGAAGGCAACCAGGGGAGAUCAGUGGUCCAAAGGACAUCCCACCACCAGUUGCCAAAACAGUAACAAGAAUUGAGAGUUUGGGUAGACAAGGUGUCAUUAUGACAUGUAGUUCAUGUCAAAAGAAAAAGCACAAUUCAAGAACUUGCCCUUUGAAGAAGGCAAGAUGUGUAGUUAAUGAUAAAGGCCAGGUAUAUGCAUAGUUUUCAAUUAUUCAUUAUUUUAUUGAGUAAGUUAAUUGUUAACUAAUGCAGUUGAAUUUGUUUCAAUGCUAGAGAAAGAAGUCAAACACACAAGCUACUGUUACUCAACAACAAAGACAAACUGUGACAAAACAACGAAGUCAAACUACAUUUGCACCUCAUAUAGAAGUUCAAACAAGUACUGCUAUUAACAGAAAUGUACUUAGCUUUUGUGAUUUGUAGCCAAACUACUGUUUCUAUGUUAGUUUAUGAUUUUGUGAUUUUUUUUGAUUUCUUCCAUUUCUGUAGAGGAAGCUUGUUUCUGACAUUAACCAGACUCAAGAAAGUGUAGCUGAGCCUUCACACUUCUUCAAAUCAUCUUCACACUUCUUCAACUCAUCUUCGUACUUAUUCAACUCAUCUUCGUACUUGUUGAUCUUCCUAAGUAAACCAAGAAUUAUGUUACGAGAUCGGUCACACAUUGAAGGGUCAAUCCACAAAUAGUAUUUGCAACCACCCCCAAUUAGCUGGAAAAAACAGAACACGUUACAAGAAUUCAAAAUCAGCAAAUCUCUUCCAUGGAUUCAAAAUAAGAUUGACGAAAUUUACAAGAAAUUCAUACCUUAUAUUUCGGAGAUAUAGCAAAUCUCCUCCCUGGAUUCAAAUCGGUCCAAGAUGUUUUCAUUAUUGUCAUUCUUGCAGAGUAGCAUAUAUUAUUGACCUGGACUCAACUACUUUGUAACAUAUCCGGAACCUAAACAAAAGAACAAAAGAACGAAGAGAGAGCAUGGAGAAAAUCAAAACCUUAAUUUCAAUGGGUUUGUCCACCUCCUCAAUUGCAAACAAAUCAAAGUUAUAGUGAGUCUCAUCUUCACCCUUGCUGGGUUUGUCCACCUUUCCAUCCUCAAGCAUCUUCCUUACCAUUUAUUUGGAUAAUACUGUAUGAAAAAAUGUGGCAAAUAAAAAUUCUGCACUUUGCCCUCUCCAGAAUCCCAAAAAUUUUUACCAACAAAAUCCCAAAAACAGGCCUAUCCAUCUCCAAAAACAUCAACAAAAUCCUGAAACGCCUUCUUUCUUCAUCCAUCAAUUCAUCAAAUUCAGCCGUUAUUUCACAUCAUCGAGACGAAUUUGCCAUGGCCGCCAAUUCACAAAGCCUCAAACACGGAGUUUCUUCAGAAAAGAUUGAUUCUUGAGAAAAGCACAAAAAAAAGAAGAGAAGAAGAAGAUGAAGAUGAUGAUGUGGCAAUGUUUGUAUGAGAGAGAUGAGAGAGAAAAAAAUAGGGCCCACACAUUAUUUGAGUUGAAAGACCAAAAAAACCCUUACAUUAAGCAUAUUAAGCAUGUGCAUGGCGCGUCCGCCGAUAAAUGAGAAGAUUCGUUAGAAUAUUCGCCAUAGGUAGUUAUGUGCGUCAAAAAAAUGGUUUCGUUGUGCCCGUCCGAAUUUUUAGUUAAUGUAAAAAUGUGCACAAUACAGAUGACAAAAUGCUAUUAACCCUUAAAACUAUUGAGUCUAUGAAUAAUUUGUAGUAGCAACUCAAAACCAGAUGAUUUUUCAUCUUAAAAUGGAUCAGCAAUAUUCGUACUGUAAUUUUGUCCAACGAAACAUAUUUUUCCAAGAGAAAAAAAAAUUCAAAAAAAAAAAUCAAAAUUUAUGUUACACUAGCUAACUAAUCUAGUGUGUUUUUCUACAUCAUAAACUGAUCAAGUAAGAGGUGAGAUGAAUGAAUGACUCUUCACUGCAGGGAAUAGUAAGUCCGCCCAUUGGAUGAUGGAACCCAAAUUCUUCUUCGACCUGAAAUAGCAAUUCUUGAAAAGAAGGAUGGUACAAAUACGAUAAUGGAAUAACAAAAUGCUUCUUCUCAUUCUGCCCAACAUAAACAGCUAAAUGACCCUUUGGAACUUCAUUUGAUUUCCUUUCAGAUGGUAAAGACCGUCUAAGCAUUUGUCGAAUCGCCAUUAUACUAUUCAAACUAAAUUUUUUUGAUGAGGCGAAACCUCUGUUACACGGACACGCCUAAUAUGAGAAGUGUCCACGUGUCGUACGAAACGCCCAAAUACGCGUAUAAUACGCUUGGGGGCCGUGUCAGUAAUUAUGAAAUAAUUGGACACGCGUAUCCAAAAUUGAUACGCGUGUCAAAGAGGAAAAAAAAUUCGCAGCCUUUUUUUGAAAAGCCCAAAAGGCAAAACUCAAAAGUCAAAACCUAUUUUACCUUUUUUAUUAUAGGUUGUACCCUAGCCGUAAUUUCUUUCUUGCAAAUUACUCUGCAAAAAGCCAUAAACUAAUAUAUUAUAUAUUAGUUUUUACUUUUUGCUUUUUUCUUUUAUACAUGAUUACAAGCUAUACAACAAUAAUAUUAUUCUUUUUUUCUGUUUGUUAUUUUUUUUGGUUUUUUGUGUUUUUUUAUUUAACUAUGGAUCAUAUUAGAAGUAGAGACGAAGAGAAUAAUAUUCUGUGGAAAUAUGUCACUAAAAUCGGGAAAUUAGGGGACGGUGGUGGUAAUUGUAAAUGGGUUUGUAAUUUCUGUCAUCAAGAAAAACAAGGAAGUUACACCAGGGUUAGGGUUCACCUCUUAAAUAUUAAGAAGCAAGGGAUUGCAGGUUGCACGAGUGUUGGCAAGGAUGAUAUUUCUGAAAUGAAGAAGAUGUAACACAAAAAAUUCUAAAUUCACAACCUAAGAAAGUUUCUUUACCGAAAACUACGAUGAAUCCAUUGUCUGGUGAAGCAGGUGGUUCAAAUCUUUUGAAUUUGAAGAAGAGACGAGCAGACGACUCACCUAUUGCUAGAGCUUUUGAUUUACAAACUAGAGAUCAAUUGGAUGCAUAAAUUGCUAGGAUGUUUUAUACUGGGGGCAUACCUUUUAAUCUUGCUAAUAAUCCUUAUUUUCUGAGCUCUUUUGUAUUUGCUGCUAAUCAUUCAUUGGGUGGUUAUGUUCCUCCCAGCUUCAAUAAAUUGAGAACCACAUUGCUCCAGCAAGAAAAGGCACACGUGGAGAGGUUGUUGGAACCUAUUAAGAGCACUUGGUUCGAAAAAAGUGUUAGUAUUGUGAGUGAUGGUUGGAGUGACCCACGGAGGAGACCUUUGAUUAAUAUUAUGGUUUUUUCUGAGUCUGGUCCUAUGUUUGUCAAAGCCGUGGAUUGUUCUGGUGAGAUAAAAGAUAAACAAUUUAUUGCAAAGUUGUUGAAAGAAGUAAUCCACGAGGUUGGACAUGAAAAGGUUGUUCAAGUUAUUACUGAUAAUGCUAGAAAUUGUAAGGCCGCUGGAGAAAUUAUUGAAGGCAUGUUUCCUAAUAUUUAUUGGACUCCUUGUAUUGUUUAUACUCUCAAUCUUGCUUUGAAAAAUAUUUGUGCAGCUAGAAAUGCGGAAGCUAAUCAAGUUACAUAUGACUUGUGUAGUUGGAUAAGUAUCGUUCAUGCAGAUGCUAUGCAAAUCAAGAAUUUUAUAAUGAACCAUAACAUGAGGCUAGCUAUUUUCUAUCGGUUUAGUCAUUUGAAGUUGCUUUCAGUUGCCGACACUCGUUUUGCUUCUGUUGUUGUCAUUCUUAAGAGAUUCAAGCUUAUUAAAUGUGCUUUAGGGUUAAUGGUUUUCAGUGAACAAUGGGCACAAUACCGAGAAGAUGACCAAGGGAAAGCUAGAUUUGUUCGCGAUACGGUGGUGAAUGAAGAUUGGUGGAAAAAGGUUGAUUACAUUCUUUCUUUUACUGCCCCGAUUUAUGAAAUGCUUAGAAAUUGUGAUACAGACAAGCCAUGUCUUCAUUUAGCUUAUGAGAUGUGGGACUCCAUGAUUGAAAAAGUGAAGAAGACUAUUUAUGAGAAUGAAGGAAAGCAACGAAUUGAAUCUUCUGCUUUUUAUGAUGUGGUCCAUGAGAUUCUUGUUGAUCGUUGGGCAAAGUAUAAUACCCCUCUUCAUUGCUUGGCUCACUCAUUAAACCCAAAGUGAUUUUUUAUUUUUAUCAAUAUUUAAUUUUUUUUAUAUCAACGUGUUAUUUAUUUUUUGACUUCUUGUUAUUCGCUUUCUUGUUUUUUCCCUAAGGUAUUAUAGUGAUAAAUGGCUUCGAGACGGAGAAGGUAGAUUGCCACCUCAUAUGGAUGGAGAAGUUUCAACUGAAAGAAUCAAGUGUUUUAAAAGAAUGUUCGCAAACGAAGAGGAUCGUGCAAAGGUCAAUGAUGAAUUUGCCAAUUUUUCUCUCAAGCUAGAAAGUGGUGGGCAUGCUAUGGUUCAACUUCUCCUUUGCUUCAACGAUUGGCAUUUAGGGUUCUUGGACAACCUACUUCCUCCUCUUGUUGUGAAAGGAAUUGGAGUACGUACUCCUUUAUUCAUGCAUUUCGAAGGAAUUAAUUAACUCCUAAAAGAGCAGAGGAUUUAGUAUUCGUUCAUACCAACCUUCGUCUUUUGUCUAGAGGCACUUCCCAAUACCACGAUGAAAAGACAAAGAUGUGGGACGUUGGUGGGGAUGAAUUUGGAAGUAUGGAAGAUACAGGAAUUCUUGAAAUUGCCGACCUUUCUUUAGAUGAACCAGAAUUAGAGACCGUACUUUUUACUGAAGAUGAGGCGGCUGAAAAGUAGGAAGUGAUGGAAAAUGCUCGUUCAAUUUUAUUAUUAUUAUUAUUUUAAAAGCAAUAUUUUAUUAAGUAUUGGAUAAUUUAUUUUGAUUAGUUGAACAUGGUUUUUUUAUUUUAUUUAAUUUGAUUGUUUUUUUUUUAAUUUUUAGUAUGAUGUGAAAUUGGCUAUACCAUAUGGUAGCUCCUAAUCUAUAAUUUUUUGCUGAUUUAAAGUUGAAAACUUGAAAUAGUAUUUGAAUAAAUAUAUAUAUAUAUAUAUAUAUAUGUGAAUUUUAAAUUGUAAAAAUAAAUAUUUUAAUAAUUUCCAAGUAGACUCCUAUGUUUUCAAUAUUUACACGUAUCCCCACGUUCCCGUGUCCUACUUUUUUUUAUUAAAAGUUUCCCGGUGUCCGUGUCCGUGUGUCGCCGUGUCCCCAUUCGCGUAUCUGUUAACCUAGGGCGAAACAGAAAACAAACAUAUCGAAAGUUAUUUUGAAAUAAGUGAAAUCUGAGGAAGCUAGUGUUUUUUGGAUGACUUGUUAUGACCAAGAAAUGUGUUGUGUGUGUGUGUCUAUAUAUAUAUAUAUAUAUAUAUAUAUAUAUAUAUAUAUAUAUAUAUAUAUAUAUAUAUAUAUAUAUAUGUAUAUAUAUAUAUAUAUAUAUAUAGGUGUAAAUAGACUUGUUGAGUAUUUCAUAAAUUUAGAUACGAGUAGUGGAUAUGUGAUGGCAUGUUAAACUCGAGGGACAUAAGUGAUAGAGCACAAAAUCAGGAACAUCAUAUUCCUUGAUAGAGCAUAAUCAGUAAUGACAUAAUUCUCUCCCCAUUACAGUAAUUACAUUGAUUUAGUUUCCUAUUGUACAAUCUAGAUUAGUGGGACUCUUUUGUAUAUAUUAUGUACAAUAUCAUUCUUAAUAAUAUAUAAUGAACAUUACACCAAAUCUCUUUAUGGUACCAGAGCUCUCUCUAUCAAUUGAAUAGAGUUUGAUCCUUUGCCCACCUACUUAGUCUCCAUUACAACUACAAUGGAAAAUCAAACACCACUAAAUACAACAAUACCUCCCCAAACCAUUUCUGCAGAACCUACUCUUGUGUCAACAACUCCACAAAUGAUGACUCAACGUGAUUCAUUUUCUAACGGUGGAAAUCUAAUAUCUCUUAAUGCCUCUUCCCAGAUUCCAUUCAAACUUGCAAAGAAUGGGGUAAGUUAUGCUUCUUGGAAGUCGCAAAUGACCAAUCUUCUCUUCGGUUAUGGACUUCUUGGCUUCGUUGAUGGAACACAUCCAUGCCUGCUGCCAACCGAUCCAGAAUAUAUUUAUUGGACUCGUCAAGAUCGUCUUGUGCUCUUCAGCAUCCAGGCCACGGUUAAUAGCACAAUCAGCCCGACGAUCAACAAUUGCACCACUUUUGCUGAUGCUUGGAACAAAUUGGAAACGAGUUUUGCUAAUCGUUCCAAUACAAGGAUGCUCUCUAUUAUGUCAUCCCUCAUGACAAACAAAAAAGAAGGGAAGACCGUUGCUGCCUAUAUGAGCAGGGUAAAGAACCUCGUUGACGACUUAGCUCUUAUUGGACACCCUCUAAAUGACUCUCAAGUCAUGUCCUAUGCCUUAAAUGGUUUGGGUGACGAGUUUAAAGAACUCACUGCAGCCGUUCGUGUUCGCGACACUCCACUCUCGUUUGAGGACCUCUAUGAUAAAUUACUCGACGAGGAACUGAUUCGUAAUAAUGGAGAAUUAAAGGAUGAAGAAGUACAAAUCACUGCACAAUUCACUCAAAAACAGGCUAUGUAUAAAAAUUGUGGUACUCGCGGAGGACAUCGUGGUGGUAACAAUAGCUCAUCACACAACUCACAUAACACUCCCAGCCACAUGCAUUUUAAUCGCCAACAACAACCUUCUUCUGGACGAGGUAUACGCUCAUCAAAUUUUCAACCACAUUUUUCCUCAUGGAAUUCAAACUCUUAUCAGGGAAAUCAAAGCCAACAUCGCAUUGUUUGUCAACUAUGUGAUAAACCGGGACACAGUGCAAAAACUUGUUACUCUCGUGAACAACCAUCUUCUCAGUUAUCUCGACCGCAUGCAAAUCUAGCUGAACGAGACACAACCCAUAACAAUAAGAAUUGGGUGCUCGAUUCAGGUGCCACGCACCAUAUCACUUCCGAUCUCCAGAAUCUCUCGAUGCACUCAAACUAUGUUGGAAAUGAAGACGUGGUUGUCGGCAAUGGUAAUGAAAUUCCUAUCUCUCAUAUUGGUUCUGGUUCAAUUAAUUCUCAUGGUUCCUCUUUUGCAUUAAACAAUGUUCUGUGUGCUCCAUUAAUAAAGAAGAACUUGAUAUCUGUUUCCCAAUUUUGCAAACAAAAUAAUGUUUCCAUUGAAUUUUUUGCUAACUAUUUUCUUGUGAAGGAUUUGAAUACGAGGGCAUCCUUGGCGAAAGGCCGGAGUAGACAUAACUUGUACGAAUGAUCAUCUUCAAAAACGAUUCCAUCCACCCUCACUCCUUCUACCUCUAUUGCUCUUUCCUCUCAGUUAUGGCACCAACGUCUUGGUCAUCCCUCUCGUUCCAUCCAAAAAAGGAUUCUAACAAAUAAUAAAAUUCCCUCUUCUGUGCUUUCUUCUGAUAAAGUGUGUGACUCUUGUAUGUGUAACAAAAGUCAUAAACUAUCUUUCAAAAGUUCUUCCAUUAGCUGUAAUGCACCAUUUCAAAUUAAUUAUUCAGAUGUUAGGGGACCUUCUCCAGUGAUCUCUUUUGGCAAUUACCGAUACUAUGUUAUUUUUAUUGAUUAUUUCACUAAAUACACAUGGUUUUAUCCUCUAAAGUCCAAAUCCGAUGUAUUUAGUGUUUUUGAAAAAUUCAGCAAGUUGAUUGAAAAUUUCUUUCACUCCAAAAUUAAAACCAUAUACACAGAUGGUGGUGGUGAGUACAAAGCUCUUGCUCACCGUUUAUCUACACAAGGUAUCCAACAUCUCACAUCUCCACCUUAUACAUCUGAGCAUGUUGGCUCCGCUGAACGGAAACAUCGUCAUAUAGUGGAAACCGGCCUCACGCUACUCCACAAUGCUGCCAUACCCUUACGAUUCUAGUCUCAUGCUUUCCAAAAUGCCAUUUAUCUUAUCAAUCGUAUGCCUACACCCGUACUCAACUACGAUACACCAUACCAAAAAUUAUUUGGUCACAUACCAAAAUAUACUUCACUUCGAGUUUUUGGCUGCCUUUGUUAUCCAUGGCUUCGACCAUACAACAGCCACAAACUUGAACCCCGUUCCCGUCCAUGUGUGUAUCUUGGUUUUUCUCUUUCUCACCACUCAUUUCUUUGUUUUGAUAUUAAGUCGAAUCGGCUCUUCAUCUCUCGACAUGUUGUCUUCUUUGAGCACGUCUUUCCUUACAAAGAUAAAUCAUAUCCUGACUUAUAUAUCUCAAGCCACAGUUUUUCCAAAUACCUAUCUACCUUCACAGAUAAGAAUGUCGACAAAGCAACAGCACCCCCAUGUGACCCUUCGGAUUCUGUCAUUCCACCCUCUCAUGAACCAUACUUGCUCCCUACACCAUCUCGAAGAUGUUCUUCUCAACAAGUUGUCUCUACUUCGUCUUCUCCCACGGCUGCUCAUCGAUCAUCUCCACCACAGGUAACUAGUUCUCCACCCUCACCCAUAAGUUCUCUUAAUCCCACCCCUACUACUGCAACUCAUACCCCAGGUGAAUGUACCACCAGCUACUCUACCCCAUGCCAAAUUAUUACCAUCUCGGAUCAGCCCACUGCACCAAAUAAUUCCCCUCCCCCUCCACCAAUUCAACCAUCCCCCAUAAUCACUCGUGCCAAAAAUAAUAUUCACAAACCAAAAAAACAUUUCUCUCUUCAUACAACUACGAUUCCGUCUCUACUCGAAACAGAACCAACCUCAUUUACCCAAGCGAACUCACACUCUCAUUGGCGUGAAGCCAUGAGCGAAGAGUUUCUAGCCCUUACAAAAAAUAAAACUUGGACCCUUGUACCCUCCUCCCCUACACAGAACAUUGUUGGAUGUAAAUGGGUCUAUAGAAUUAAAAGAACCGGAUGGUUCUAUUGCUCGCUACAAAGCCCGUCUUGUGGCUAAGGGAUUUCACCAAAGACCUGGUAUUGAUUUUACCGAAACUUUCAGUCCAGUUGUUAAACCAGCUACUAUUCGCCUUGUUCUUACUAUUGUUGUGACUCGUGGGUGGAUUUUGAAACAAUUGGAUGUUAAUAAUGCUUUCUUGCAAGGUACUCUUUCUGAAUCUGUUUAUAUGCAGCAACCUCAAGGCUUCAUCAACUCUCACUAUCCUUCACAUGUAUGUAAACUGCAUAAAGCCAUAUAUGGUCUUCGUCAAGCUCAUCGGGCAUGGUACAAUGAGCUUCACUCUUUUCUUCUUGAUUAUGGUUUCGCAAACUCAAAGAGUGAUACUUCUCUCUUUAUUUAUACUACGGGGGCGAGAAUCAUGUACUUGCUUGUGUACGUGGAUGAUAUAGUUAUCACCGGCAAUCAUCCAUCUACAAUUUCUACCUUCACUACUCGGCUCUCUAAUCGGUUUUCUCUUAAGGAUCUCGGGAAUCACAGCUAUUUCUUAGGAGUUGAAACAUCUCGAACCUCCCGGGGCAUGUUCCUAUCUCAACAAAAAUAUAUUAGUGAUCUUCUUAGACGCACUAAUAUCCAUGAAGCCAAAGAAGUCCACACUCCAUUAAUGUCUCCUUCUGAGACACUCAAACUUGACGACAGCUCCUGUAGCCAUGAUCCAAAAGAGUAUCGCCAAGUGCUUGGUUCACUUCAAUACCUCUCUCUUGCCAGACCGGAUGUUAGUUAUGAAGUCAAUAAGCUAGCUCAAUUUAUGCAUCGACCAACCGAGAAUCAUUGGCUUGCUGUUAAACGAGUUCUUCGAUAUCUAAAGGGCACGUCCCAUUAUGGUAUUUUCAUUGCUGCCAGCUCUCCUCUAGCACUUCAUGCUUUUGCCGAUGCAGACUGGGCUGGUGAUGCCGACACCCGACACUCAACAUCAGCCUAUGUUGUCUUCCUCGGCUCAAAUCCCAUUAGUUGGAGCUCCAAGAAACAAUUGACCAUUGCACGGUCAUCCACCGAGGCAGAAUAUCGUGCCAUAGCUGUUGCCACUGCUGAAGUAAUGUGGAUCACGAAUUUACUUCGUGAACUAUCUCUCUCCUUACAAGUUGCUCCAACAAUUUAUUGUGAUAACAUUGGAGCUACUUACUUAUGCUCCAAUCCUGUUUUCCAUUCACUAAUGAAGCACAUUGCAAUCGACUUUCAUUUUGUACGUGAUCAAGUUUCUCAAAAAAGGCUUCGCAUCUCCCAUGUUCAUUCAACAGACCAGCUUGCGGACUCCCUUACAAAACCUUUUUCUCGGAAGCUGUUUCUAAUUCAUCGGUCCAAGCUUAGUGUCCUUCCCGGACCCUUGCGCUUGCGGGGGCAUGAUAGGGCACAAAAUCAGGAACAUAAUAUUCCUUGAUAGAGCAUAAUCAGUAAUGACAUAAUUCUCUCCCCAUUACAGUAAUUACAUUGAUUUAGUUUCCUAUUGUACAAACUAGAUUAGUGGGACUCUUUUGUAUAUAUUAUGUACAAUAUCAUUCUUAAUAAUAUAUAAUGAACAUUACAACAAAUCUCUUUAAUAAGCACAUGAUGGAGAUGAGAAAUAGCCCUCAAAAUAACCCACAAAAGUAAUCAAUUUUUUAUAACAAAUUGUGAAGCAUUCAUCUCACCGAAAACAAUAACAAGUUCAAUUAAUUUCAUGUUACAUGUCAUAAUAAUACAGAGGAAACAACAACCGUAAAAUCCGUAUAAACAUAUUGAUGACAAUACCUAAUAAUGGCUUUUGAACUAUAAUUUACAUAUUAUCACCAUUAAUUUUUUUUAACUAAUGUAAACAUAAUGGUCCACACAGAUGCGUUAGCCACGUACAGACAAGAGGUGAUGGUGCUGUACAAAUUGGCAGAUCAUGUGAUUGUGUUUUGUGGUUUAUAUGAAAGUUUUGAACUCCAAAUAGUACACGUUGGAUAUAUUAAUUGACUGGAGAAAAUUUAUUCUGACAUUAUGAUACGAACCCCGUAGAACUUGUUACGGGACCCAAUAAUCUUAUGCGGAAGCAAGAACGGAACGUCCAAAAAAUAAAGGAUUCCAUUGGCGGAAUUCGGAAUAUUAACCCCGUAGUUAUAGAGAGCUAGACAUCAAUAUUAUCAAGGUGGAAGUAUUGACCCCGUGAUUAUAAUGAAUCAGAAACCAAUACUAUAUUGCUAAGAAUAAUUCACAAGAAUCCACUCGCAAAAUAUCCCGAAGAGUUGUUGAAGAACAACGAAGGAGAAUUUUAAUCUCUCAAAAUAAUACUUAAAAACGUCCAAAUAAUAAUGACCUAAAACAAGCUAUUUAUAAGUGUCAAAGAGACAUAAUCUAACAAGGAAAAUAAAUCAUAACUUAUCUAUUAUAAGGAAAUAAUGAAAUAAACUAAAUCUAGUCCAAAUCGGACUCUAUAUAACAAGAAAUAAAUUUUCCAAUAAUAAAAUACGAAAAUUAAUAAUAAUCAUCUUUUCCAUGUCACGUCUUCUUCGUCUGGAUGACUAGACGGGCUCAAGUCCUUGAGCUCGGCUUGCUUCACAAUCUGGCCCGAAUAAUUCGCUCCAAUUAAGCUCAGUUGGGACCGAACUAGACUUCGUCAAUUCUUCCUUUUGGAGCUUGUGUUCUACUAAGUUAAGCAUGGCUGCUUCAAUGCGCUUGGCCCGAGCUCGGGUAAUUGGUCCUCUUGGUACAUGCAGCUCGUCCAAGUCAUCAACUCCUUCAUCCAGCUCGGCACUACCUCGCGUAAUUGGAUGGAUCGUAUCAUCCUCCCCCUCUUGAAAAUGAUUCGUCCUCGAAUCUGAACCUACAUCAAACGGAGAUAGGUCAGAAACAUUAAAUGUCGAACUAACUUGAGACUCACUUGGAAGGUCGAUCUUAGAGGCAUUAUCGUUAAUCUUCUCCAGCACUUGGAAAGGUCCAUCUCCUCGUGGAUUAAGUUUUGAACUCCGCUCAUUGGGAAACCUUUCCUUUCGAAAAUGAACCCAAACCCAAUCUCCUUGCUGAAAGGUAAGGUGCUUUCGCCUCUUAUUAGCUCGGUUCGCAACUUGGUCAUUCCUUUUCACAAUGUGCUCGCGUGCUUCUUCAUGGAUUUUCUUCUCUAACUCAGCCUUACGGUUCCCAUCUAGACUAGAAAUCUCAUUAACAGGUAAAGGCAACAAAUCCAAAGGAGUUAGCGGAUUAUAACCAUAAACAAUCUCAAAAGGUGAAAACUUUGUAGAAGAAUGCACAGAUCUAUUAUACGCGAACUCAAUAAAAUGAAUACAUUCCUCCCAUGACUUCAGGUUUCUUUUAAGAACAGCUCGCAAUAACAUACCUAAAGUUCGAUUAACUACAUCGGUUUGACCAUCGGUUUGUGGAUGACAAGUAGUAGAAAAGAGUAAAGUCGUACCUAACUUACCCCACAAAACACGCCAAAAAUGACUAAGGAAUUUAACAUCCCUAUCACUAACAAUAGUACGAGGUACCCCAUGUGUUGGGUGCUAAAUACCAACACGCAAGUGCACAUAUGGCAAACAAGUAGUAAAGUGGACUCGUGAGAGUCGGAUGUCGAUCCCACAGGGAAUACGCAGAUUACCUAAUCCUAAGUACCAAAUUUUAACAAUUAUAAUUUUUAUCCAGCCUACGCAGGGUUGUCAAAUUAAUUAACUAAAUAAAUUAAACUAAUUAAGAAAGCAAUUAAACACGAGAAAAUAUCAAUAUAAAACGGAUCUAGGAUUUUAUCUUCCCCCUAUGCGAUAAUUCUUCACCCAAUUAAUCUCCUAUCAUGCAAGUUACGAUUCCCGAUUAUUAACCCAAGACACGAAAUUACUCAUAACCAGCUGUCGCGUGUAUUAUAAGUCUAUUAUUCAUAACAAAUUCACUAUAUGUCUAUGCAAACCUAGUAUGAAUAAAGCAUUAAAUAACAAGUCUCGAAAACGGCUACCUAAGGUAUUAUCUGUAUGUCUACGAUAAUACAUGCAAUCAACACAAGUAAGAUAUGACUUGCUUGCAUGGGCACAACAUCGCACAUCACCUCAUCAUUUUAUUGUCCAAUACUAAAGGAAAUCAGUACUUGUUUUGUCACUCUCAACUCGCCACUUUCAUUCAGCCACUGAAGUUUGUAAGGUCUCGGAUGUUUGGUGACUUGUAGCCCUAGCUUGUCUACCAUUAGCUUGCUCGCUACAUUCACGCAACUUCCUCCAUCAAUUAUCAAUCCACAUACUCGGUUUUGAACAUGGCAGCGUGUAUAGAAGAUGUUCUCUCGCUGUAUUACAUCACCAUCUUCUUCAUCUUGCACGUGAAGAGUUCGAAGUACAACAAGUGUGAGUCCAUCAACAGCUUGUACCACGUCACCUUCAAUAGGUGUUGUUUUUGAAGUUGACUCGUCCUCCUCCUCGGACUCCAGCUCGCCAUUAUCCAAUAAAAUCAUAGCUCGCCUGUUAGGGCAGUCCAUGGCGAUAUGACCUGCUCCAUGACAUCUAUGGCAUUUAAUAUCACGUGUUCGUUGUGGUUAUGACGAAUUAUUACCUCUCUCAGGUGGUGCUCGGUUGAUUGGAUUUUCAUUGGAAGGUUUCGUUGUCGAUUUCACCUCGGGUUUCGAAGUAGGAUUCCAUCGCGGUUUCCAGCUUGUAGUUCUCCCUCCUCGCUUAAGCUGCCUCUCAACUUUCAUGGCCAUAUGAACGACCUCCUCAAUCUCAAUGUAGUGCUGCAACUCCACUACAUUAGCGAUCUCCCGGUUCAGCCCGCAAAUAAAUCUUGCCAUCGUGGCCUCUCGAUCCUCCUCAAUAUUGGCUCGAGUCAUUGCAAUCUCCAUCUCCUUAUGGUACUCCUCGACUGAUUUAGUACCUUGCUUCAAGCUUUGCAAUUUCAGAUGUAAGUCUCUAUAAUAAUGUGAGGGCACGAACCUCCUCGCUUAAGCUGCCUCUCAACUUUCAUGGCCAUAUGAACGACAUCCUCAAUCUCAACGUAGUGCUGCAACUCCACUACAUUAGCGAUCUCCCGGUUCAGCCCGCAAAUAAAUCUUGCCAUCGUGGCCUCUCGAUCCUCCUCAAUAUUGGCUCGAGUCAUUGCAAUCUCCAUCUCCUUAUGGUACUCCUCGACUGAUUUAGUACCUUGCUUCAAGCUUUGCAAUUUCAGAUGUACGUCUCUAUAAUAAUGUGAGGGCACGAACCUCCGUCUCAUAAGUGCCUUCAUAGACCCCCAAUCGACAAUUGAUGGUUCGCCGGUUCUGCGUCUAGUCACUACCAAUUGAUCCCACCAAAUGAUAGCAUAAUCGGUGAAUGCUACAGCUUCAAGCUUCACCUUCUUUUCCUCAGAAUAAUUGUGGCAAUCGAAAAGGAUCUCAACCUUUCUUUCCCAUUCUAUGUAUGCCUCGGGAUCACUCUUCCCUUGGAAAGACGGUAUACUCAAUUUGAUCGAGCUGAGGUUCGAUCAACUUCAUCUCUUUCUCGUCCCACAUUACCUCGCCUUGGUAUGUCAAAUCUGCCACCUCUGUUCCCUCGUCCUCUAUGCCAUCGUCUAGAAGUAUUAGACUCUGCCUCAGAUUCUUCAUCGAAGAAUUGUUCAUCGAACUCCAAUUCGUCACGUUGGCGUACAACAAGUUGACGAAUAGGUGGCCGCAGUUGUGGCGCCGUUGCAGGUCUUACCCUACUCAACUCAUCGAUUUUAUUUUGCAUCCUUUGAAGGGUUAUAUGUAGACGUUGGAAGUGCUGCUCCGUGGUUUCGUCCCUUUCAUCACCACUCUCAUUCCUUGACAUGAUGUUCGAAUUGCAAAAUAUUGUUAAAGAAAAAAAAAAAGAUUUUCCUCACCACUCCCACACGUGUAUCACUCAAUAUGAUGUUCACUCAAUGCACUCGUGUUUCACACAAUUAGGCUUUUACCCUCUUUUGAUCUCACACUCUCUUGCCUUUUUCCACUCGUAAACUCCCUUCGAAGUUCUAAAGAAACUAAUCGAGAAAAUAUUAAGUGGAUUUUCGUUUUUUUAUUCAAAGCUAAAUAGUAUUUUAUCAAUUCAGAAAUUAUGUGUAGGCAAAUAAAAGGAAUUUCGAAUUUAAUGGUAAAAGGAAACAAAAGGAAUAAGAAACAAAGAAACAACGUGGAAUUCAAUUAGAAGAAAGGUAGACAGGGAAACAAGAUAUUCAAGGAGUUGCCCAAGUCUAUUAAAACUCUAUUUGUGUUGCCCAAAUCUAUUAAAACUCCUUACAAUGAAUUUUCCUUGGUUGGAUUUCGAAUUUUGCUUCUUUUUUUUUUUUUUUUUUUUGUUUUUUAACUAACAAACCCUAACGUGGGCUGGAAGAAACUUUAAAGAGAAGCACAAUUCGAAUUCUUCUUCUUUUUUUUUUUUUACGAAGACUCUAGAGAACACAAUUCAAGAAAAUAUGAGAUAGAGAAGACACAAAUAAUGGAAGAACGAAAACAAAACAAGGACCCAAAAAAAAAAAAGGACAGGUGAAACCUUUUCUUGGAAAUUGGCUCUGGUUAACAACUGAUACGAACCCCGUAGAACUUGUUAUGGGACCCAAUAAUCUUAUGCGGAAGCAAGAACGGAACGUCCAACAAAUAAAGGAUUCGAUCGGCGGAAUUCGGAAUAUUGACCCCGUAGCUAUAGAGAGCUAGAAACCAAUAUUAUCAAGGUGGAAGUAUUGACCCCGUGAUUAUAAUGAAUCAGAAACCAAUACUAUAUUGCUAAGAAUAAUUCACAAGAAUCCACUCGCAAAAUAUCCCGAAGAGUUGUUGAAGAACAACGAAGGAGAAUUUUAAUCUCUCAAAAUAAUAUUUAAAAACGUCCAAAUAAUAAUGACCUAAAAUAACCUAUUUAUAAGUGUCAAAGAGACCUAAUCUAACAAGGAAAAUAAAUCCUAACUUAUCUAUUAUAAGGAAAUAACGAAAUAAACUAAAUCUAGUCCAAAUCGGACUCUAAAUAACAAGAAAUAAAUUGUCCAAUAAUAAAAUACGAAAAUUAAUAAUAAUCAUCUUUUCCAAGUCACGUCUUCUUCGGCUGGAUGACUAGACGGGCUCAAGUCCUUGAGCUCGGCUUGCUUCACAAUUUGGCCCGAAUAAUUCGCUCCAAUUAAGCUCAGCUGGGAUCGAACUAGACUUCGUCAAUUCUUCCUUUUGGAGCUUGUGUUCUACUAAGUUAAGCAUGGCUGCUUCAAUGCGCUUGGCCCGAGCUCGGGUAAUCGGUCAUCUUGGCACAUGCAGCUCGUCCAAGUCAUCAACUCCUUCAUCCAGCUCGGCACUACCUCGCGUAAUUGGAUGGAUCGUAUCACAUUAUUGUUGGAAUUGAUCAUCAACUCAUCAAAAUGAAGGCCUGAGAUACAAAAGGAAUCUAAGGAGUGCCACACAUUCGUUUCAAGAUUUGCUGUGCCAAGCUGAAGAAGAACUUGGCACUAGUCCGUUGAACAAUAACGCCAACUUGUCCGUCGGUGAAUUCAGUCCAUGCAAAUAUUGUAAACUAGUCGCAAAUCAUUCAUGCGUGAAAGAUUCACACAGCCCGAACCAAUAGCAAACACAUCAUCAUAAUUGUGCUUGGAUUUUGAUUUUAUUCAUCUUAGGGAAUAUGAGAAUUGAGAAGAGGAAUUGGGGAAAUUGUACACGAAUAGGGGAUGAUGGCUAGAAGAGGAAUGAGAUAAGGAAGAAGAUUGUGUGGAAGAGGAAGGAGAUAAUGAAUUGGGGUAAAAUAUUUUUUUUUCUUUUUUUUUUUUUAAACUUGCAAAGGAAAAAAAGACCUUCUAAAUAGUAUGUGCAAUGGGCGUGUGUCCAAUUCUAGCCAUUUUGGUCUGAAAAUGGGCAAUGUGCCACAACUUAUUGAGUUUCGGCGGGAUCGGAUUUUUUUAUUGAGGUGGUAAUCCGCAAAAACGGGCAAAGUUCAGGCGGUUUAAUACUAUUUACCCAUAAUUUUACUACGAUAGCUUGCUAUACCAUUUGAGAAAGGACGCGGCUAGUCGCAAUACUAAUUUCGAUAAGUGUAAGAUCAAAUUAAAGAAAGAUCCUAAAAGAUUCUAUUUUAUUAAGUAUUAAAAUGAAAUGAUAUAUAUCCACAAGUUAAAUUGUGUUUUGUUUGUUCAUGCAAGACCAAAUAACAAAUAACUUGCAAACAAAAAAUAAAAUUAUUUAACCCCCCCCCCCCCCCCCCUUUAAUACUUAAUAAAAUAGAAUCUUUUAGGAUCUUUCUUUAAUUUNNNNNNNNNNNNNNNNNNNNNNNNNNNNNNNNNNNNNNNNNNNNNNNNNNNNNNNNNNNNNNNNNNNNNNNNNNNNNNNNNNNNNNNNNNNNNNNNNNNNCCCCAUAGUUUCUAUGGGGGGGGUGGUUAUCCUGUAGGAAGGGGCGGGGGGGGGGGCCCCAACAUUUUCGGAAGGGUGAGCGCAGAUGGAGGGAGGGGCCUAAAAAUCUUUUUUUUUUUCGUUGUUCAAGGACACAUGUAUAUUUCCCCCUAUAUAUAUGGUUUUUGGUGGUUCGGGCAGGGCACAAAAAAAAAUAUCCCCUCUCCUCUAAAAAAAAAAAUACCCCCCCCCCCCCCCCCCCCCCCCCCCAAAUCCCCAACAAUGACCUAAACCUAAUCCAUUACUAAUUCCUUAUUUUGUUCAACCUUCAAAAAAAAGAAAGGAAAAAAAUUAAAUUUGAAACUGGUUAUAUUCGACAUCAAGAUGUCGAAAACCUAUGCUUCAAAUCGACAUUUUAAGCAUCGAACAAAAAGAAUAGAAAUCAACAUCAAUGAUAUGUUGAAUUUUGCGAGCACAAAUCGACAUUACAAUGCCGGAUUUGUAGCACCACAUUCGACAUAUCCAAAUGCCGAAUUUUGUGCUACAAAUUCGACAUUGUAAUGUCGAUUUUCACCAAUGAAAUUCGACUUUUUUUUCGGAAGCAAUAUCCUAGCUAAAAAACAUAUAAAUACGGGUUUUUUCCACCGUAGAAUCUUCCAUUUUCAAAGUCUUCUCGCUCCAUACUUGCCAUCUUAGUAAGGUUUGUUGAGUUUUGAGGGUGUUGAAUGUUUAGGUUUUGUGGGUUUAUGGAUGAGGAAGAAGAAAGGUUUUGGUGGGUUUGGAAGAUGGAGAAGAUGAGAGUUUGGUCUUGUGAUUUUAUAAUAGAGUUUUUGUAGUUUUUGUGUUUUUAAUAUUGCAUCAUUUUGAUUUUUCUAUUUUUUUAACAAGUAAGAAUAUUAUAAUAUUUAUACAUUAAAAAAAUUAAUUUGGUCUAACACUUAUUGAAAUUAAUUUUUUUUUUUUAAAUUUGUAACUAUUUCUUCUAAUUGUUGGUUUGAGAUCUUCGGCUAGUGAACUUAUUUCACUACUGCAACUUUACAAUUUUGGCUUCACCUCGAAAUGUGGAACAUUUUUUUCUUUUCGAGAUUGACUCAUUAAAUAUGCUAAGAGCUCGAGCAUACGAUCAAUUUUCAGCUCGACUAUUUUUUUCUAAAACCGGAGCAUAUGCGCAAGUUCGAGUCCUUACUCGUUGUGCCACCACUCGAACCUAAAAUCAUUUCUUUCAAAUAUAAUUAUUUUAAACCCAUGUUCUUUAGUGAUUCGAAAAGCCUACUUCAAAAUAUCAUUUUUUAUACUUUCCUUCUACAAUCAUAAACACGUGGUGAUAUAUAGUCAUAUAUAAGCUCCGUAGUUUUUUUUUUCUUCUAAUGUAUAGUAAUUUUGAUGAUUGUUUUAUUUGAAAAAUUUAUACAUGUGAUUUUUUUAUUUAGGGUAAAUUACAAACACCCCCUGAGGUAUGGUCAAAUUACGAAAAACACCCCUCUUGUUAGGUAAUUUGAGGGGUUUGUAAUUUGACCAUACCUCAGGGGGUGUUUGUAAUUUACCCUUUGAUUUAUACUGUGGGAUACAAGUUGUAACAACAAGAUUGAAAUUGAUAUUUUUUUAUUUAGGUGUGGAUUGAGGUUUUUGUACACAAUACAUGAUAUUCGUUUUGUUAGAUAACUGGUAUAAAUGAUUCUACUACACUAUAUACGAGAAUACUAUUUUAGGUUAAAAUUGUAAAAAAAACAAAACCGAUAAAUAUAAAGAAAGAAGGGUAAAUAGCAUUUAACCUCCAUGUGGUUUCACCAUGUCGUAAAUAGCAUUUAACCCCCUUGUCAUUUUUGUGACUUCUCUAUGAAGUGGUUGAAGGGUUUUUCCUAUUAUGAAAAUUGAAACUGAAAGAGGAAUUUGAUAGAAUUGCUGAUGCUUGAAGGGUUUUUCCCAUUAUGAAAAUUGAAACUGAAAGAGGAAUUUGAUAGAAUUGCUGAUGCAGAUGAAUUUGAUAGAUGCAGAUCACAAAGUUACUAAUGCAAAUAGGCGUGAUUUAUGUAAUUGAUGUUAGAAUGCAAACUACGCGAGAUAUUGAUGCUGCUCAAAUGUGGAUUGGGCAACCCAAAAGUCUUUGACCUCGCAAUAAUAGAGAAUGUCGAGAGGGACAUUGCGACGUGUCUCGAGGUAAUCGAUUGAUCCACUCGUUAAUCCUACAAAACAAUUUAAAAUACUAGAUGACACACUAGGAUUGGCCCAGCGAUUAUCCUCUGACGCUCAAGUCAGAAACUAUAAUAAUAUAUGAGUCAAUAAUAAUGAUAAAUUAUCAAAUUAUUGUGUACCUUGUUAUGUGAAUUGAAACACAUAUUUAUAGGUGGAUGAGUACAUAGAACUUUUGUAAAAAAUCAAUGUGGGAUAAUGAGGUGUUGUUUAUAAGUAAAAGGUGUUGAUUGGGUCUUCAUAUUAACUUGGGCCUUUUGGGCCUAAUCUCAAUCAGGCACAUCAUUAAGCCCCCACUCCCAAGUUCGAUCACGGUCCCGUGGGCGUACUUGAGAGUAAUAUAUAAAUACCAACCUGUACUUGUAUGGUUUUUCCUUCUUUUUGAAAUCUCUUUUUCGGGAAUUGUGCAAGCGAGAUUCAAAGAUAUUUAUUAUGUUCCGGUCCAAAGGUCCUUUUCUUCUGAUUAAUUGGCCUGAGGUUCGGGUUGACGUCGAGCCGAUGGAUAGCUUUAGGCGGGGGAAUGGAUACCUUCGAGCUUCCGCCUUCCAGGCAUAAACAUCACUUUUUUUUUCGGAAGAAACCUAUGAGCUCCGCUUCCGCCACAGACCAAGGCUUGUUCCCACUCGGAGCAGCUUGUCUUGAUUGUCCUGGACCAAUUCUAUGCUUUUCAACUUUUCUGCGAGUCUCAUGCUAUCGGUCGCUGAUCGGUCGAAGAACUGAUGAGCUCAUUUUCGACAGCCAUCAUCCAUUUUCUCUUUAGAAGAUUAGGGGUGUCAUCCCCUCCCCCCACUUGCUUCUUGUUCUGAAGUUGAGGUGUCUUCAAGGUAUUCGCAUAACAUUCCCGAGCUACGCAUUGGUCACCUAUGGCUUCUCCGAUUCCACUAGCCGUAGAAAAUUUCAACUUCAUAUGAUAUGUUGAGGGGAUUGCUCUGAAGAGCUUCAAACUUGAUCUCCCUAAAAUGACGUUACAUGUAGAUGGUGCCUUGACGACCAAGAAGUUAACGGAAUUUGUUGUCGGGAAUGUGAAUGAUCCCAAAGACAAGAUGAGCGAAAUUUCUCCUACAACUUCGACGACGUGUCCUGUAAAACCAACUAGAGGCAUUUGCACGGGUGUGAGUUUAGCAUUGGCUAUCCCUAGUUUUUCAAAAGCUGUAACGUCCACCGAACUACCGCCGUCUACUAAAAUUUGCAUUUCCAGGUACUUGGAAAUUGAUGCAGAAAUGACCAACGCAUCAUUAUAUUCACUACGUGGCCCCUAGAGGUCAACAUCGUUAAAGGCUAUCUCCAAGCUUGGGUGGUGAACAUGGUAAACAUGUCCCGCUGGACGUUCUGGCGUAGAGUAGGAUCCUCGUGAUGCCUGCAUUGAUGCGCGACAGGCGCUGGGGUGUCACCACUCGAUGGUAUUCCAGAAAUGACCGCAGUUACUCCUUGAGUCGGAAGAUUAUCGGCCACAAUCUUUCCGAGGAUUGGGACACUCUUCUUUAUGUUGAAAAUGUGGUUUACCUUUGAAUUUCGGGUGUCGUGGUGUAUCCACAAAUUCACUAAGGUGUCCCCUUCUUAAUCAGUCUUUCAAUUCUUGCUUGAGUUGGAAGCAUUCGUCGGUAGUGUGGCCCCGGUCUCGGUGGUACUCACAAUAUUUCUCCGAUUUUUUUCCUUUUUGGAUUUUCUUUCAUGUAUCGUGGAGGUUUGACCUAACCUUUCUCUUCUGCAUACUUCCAUGAGUUUUGAUUUUAGGGGAGUGAACUUUGGAUAUGUAGGGGCGUGGUUCGAGCAUCCUUCUUCUCUCCUUUUUGCCUCGUGGUGCUCUUCUUCGCGUUUCCUCUUGACGGGGAGCCCCAUCUCUACGGCUUCCUCUAUCCGGAUAUAUUUCUCGGCGUGGUUUAGAAGUUCCUCCAAGGUUUGUGGAGGUCGGCCCGCAAUGAACUCUCAGAAGCGAACAUGCUUUAAAUCGUGUUGCAGUAUGUCGGCUAACAGGUCGUGGUUAAUAUUAGGCACCUCGUGCACAGCUUUGACGAACCGUUGCACAUAAUGUCUGAGCGGUUCUCCUUCGCGUUGUUUGAGUCUAAAGAGUUAUGAUCCAGUCUUGGCGUAUUUCUUGUCGAUGGAGUACUAGCUAAGGAAAUGUUCUAAUAGCUGGUUCAGGCCGUCUAGGGAUCCUCUAGGCAGGCCGUUGAACCAAGUUUGUGUCUGGUUAGUCAGCAUAGUUUGGAAAAGUUUGCACAAGGCGGCGUCGGUGAGGCCAUAGAGAUCGAUAUUGGCAAAGAAAUUGUGUAAGUGACUUUGGGGAUCUCCGGUUCCAUCGAACUGGGGUGGAUUAGGGAUCCUAACUUCGAGUGGUAAAACUUCUUCCAUAAUGGCCGAAAUUAAGGGGCUUAUUUGGGCGGCGAACGCUCCAAAGCGAGCGGCCGUUGACCUCAAAGUUUCUCGUCAAUGGCUCCUUGAGUUAUGGUCAUCCAAGUCCUAGCGACGCCUUCUCGUCUCAACAGGUUGGGAAUAUCUACUCCUAGGUUCGUUUCAAAGGGAGUUGCCAUGGCGAGAGGAACGUUUGCGGUAUCUAUAUUCUCUGGACUCGUGGAGUUGUGGAACACCCGGCCGAGAAGAACCAUUUCUCUCUCGACGGCUACACGCCACCCUCCCCCUAGCUUGAAGGAGCCCUUUUCCUCAGGGGGCGCGGUGAUUGACCAUGCACUUCCUUUCACGGGGCCUGGUCCGAGGAUCACAUGCGUUGAGGCAACCCGCAUUGAGCGUACCUUUGGGGAGCAAAUUCUGAAGAAAGGCUCUGGUCGUUGAGUGACACUCUCUCCUCGGAGUCGUGGAGCUCCACGAUAGGUGGGGUCGCAUGGACGUGAGUGAAAUCCGUAGGGUCGCCCCUUGACGGAGUCGGCUCUUAAAAAUUGCUAACACCUUGAGCAUUGAUGUAUUUAGCUACCGCCUUUGCCGCCUCCCAAGUCGCUUCUUUGGCCGCAGUCUUAUCCAUCAUGGCUUGCAAUUCCUCCGCCGUCAUCUGAAUGAUCGGCGCUGAGGAUCUCCCAUGGUUGGUCGCUCCCGUCGUUCUCUUUCUUUGAGGCGGAUCCGGAUCCCGCCGACUCCUUGAUGGGGCGGACUGAGAUUGCUUUGACCACCUCCUUCCGUGUCACGUGAUCGAAUGUGCAUUCCCACAGACGACGCCAAAAUGAUGUUGCUCAAAUGUGAAUUGAGCAACCUAAGAGUCUUUGAGCUCGCAAUGAUAUAGAACGCCGAGAUUCACUGCCACGUGUCUCGAUGUAAUCUAUGGAUCCACUCGUUAAUCCUACAAAAUAGUUGAAUACACUGGAUGAAACGUGGGAAUUGGUCCGUCGAUUAUCAUGCGACGCUCAAGUAAGAAACUAUAAUAAUAUAAGUCAAUAAUAAUGAUUAAUUGCCAAAUUAGCAUGUACAUGUUAUGUGAAUUAAAACACAUAUUUAUAGAUGGAUGAGUAAGUACAACUUUUGUUAAAAACCAAUGUGGAACAAUGAGUUAUGGUUUAUAAGUAAAGGGGCAAUUUGCUAUAGGUCCUCUUAUAAGAGAUUAUAUGUGUUAAAAUCCAUCUAUUAAAUUCUAAUUUCCAGCAAAUAUUUUUAUUUAUAAUUUGUCAAAAGUACCCCUAUCAAUAUACGGUAAAAUAAAUCUUCAAAAUCAAAUCCCCUAUUUUUCUCCCUUUUAUACUGCAAAUCCGAAAAUUAGAAUUGCAAAAAUCAGGAAAUCGAUUUCUUCCCUGUUUCUUCGAAGCCAAAAUCUCUCCACAAAUUCUGAAGCCUUCCAUAGGUUUGGAUGUCUGAGCGUUUGCAGUUUUACCAGGUCGUUUGUAUUUUGCCUUCGUUCGAAUUGUUGUUACCCUAUUUGCCUUCGUUUGGUUUGUUGUUUACAAAUUGUUUGUUGUUCGGAAACAACGGCUGGUGUUUAGGGUUUGUUGUUUGAGCGUGUGAGUGUCUGAGCGUUUGCAGUUUUACCAGGUCUGAGCAUUUUUCCUUCAUUCCGUUUGCCUUCGUUCGAUUUGUUGUUUCCCAAUUUGCCUUCGUUCCGUUUGUUGUUUACAAAUUGUUUUUUUUUUCGGAAUCAACGGCUGGUGUUUAGGGUUUGUUGUUUGGAGUUCGUACGAUGGCCAAAACACGAUUAAGUCUUGGUAAGCAAUGAUCCUUUCUGUAAAAUUUUAUUUGCAUGUUGGGUUUUUAAUUUUGAUUUUUUUUCUUUCAUUAUUAAUUUUGUAUUUUGUUCCUAUUUUGAUUUUGCAUUUUGUUGUUUGCUAUGUAUUUCAAAUAUUUCAAUAAUAAUUUGAGAACCCAUUUUUUUCCCCUUAACAUCAAAGGAGGAUGAUGAUUUCCAAUCCCCGAAAUCAGGUAAAAAAAUUGAAGGGUUUGUUUAUGUUACAACUUUGGUUAUGUUUAUUCUAAAACAAAACGUGAACUAUUUGCUGUUUGCACAUUUUACAAUUUGUUAUUUGCACAUUUUAUUUUUCAUUUGGGUAAUCAGUUAACUAAGUUGGAUGUUUUGAGUUAGGUGUUUGCAAUUUGUUAUUAACUGUGGUUUGCACUUUAGACAUGAAUAUUUGUCUUUUGUUAUUUAAGUUUAGUGUGUCUAUUGUGAUGUUUACAUUUUAUAUUUGUGGUACUUAUCAUGUUGGUUUUUUGCAAUAUGUUUUUGUAUUUUGGUGUUUGCAGUCUGUUAUACAAUGUUUGUACAUUUAAAUUGUAGUUAACAUUUGCAUACUGUAUAUUUGUACGUACAUUUAGAUAUUUUCUCAUAUUUUGCACGUUGAUUUAUUUUUGAUUCGAAAUGCUUGGUUAUUAUGGCAUUGAUUCGAAAUGGUUGGUUAUUAUGGCAUAAGCAGAUAAUGGACUCUUGUGCGUACCUUUUGGUGAAACAACAAGAUGAAGAGCAUUUUGCAAGCGGCGUAGACCCCACACGUAUGGGGAAUAGUCUGAUAUUCCCCAGCUUGCUUCUGGUAUAUAUAAUCUAAUCUUUUUUAUAAGUCUUAAACACAAAAUUGGUAAUGUAAGUAAUAUCUUAUGUUUUUUCAGGGAGUUAUACGAAAAAUAUGAAACCAACUCAAAUGGUACAACACUUCAUGACGGGAAAGGAUGUGACCAAUUUCCGUUACUUACUUUUCCCGUUAAACUCAGGUGAAGGUCCCAUGAACAUAAUACCCCACUGGACUUUACUUGUUUAUGAUAGGAUUAACUGCUCGUGGGAGCAUUUCAACUCCUCAUUUCCUAGAAGAUUGGACGGAAAAGAAGAUCCAUUCUUGGUUGAUGCCAAAUAAAUGAAGAGUUUCAUGCAGAUUGCAAAUGGGAAGAUGAAAUUUGGUAUUAAGUCAGAGGCCAAAUUAGUUUCCGUUUUGACAUCACCACAACAAAAGCUUGAUUCAGUUGACUGCGGGAUGUUCGUCCUUUAUAUCGCACGACAAUUUUGUCGCCAACAACCCUUAGACAUUAAAGAUGCACAAAAUGGGGUAUGCGCAUUAUGAAGUGACUUUGUUCAUCAAUUCUUAAACGAUGAAGACACUGUGAACUUAGAUUAGCGCAUAAUGAUCAGAUUUUAGAAACUACCUUGAACUCUUGUUAUUUUGGAUAUUUAGUUUGGUUGAAUUUUGAUACAAUUAUAAUUUUGCAGUUGGUUGAACAUCCUUGUAUUAUCCUAUUAUUUGACGUACUCUACUAAUUGUUGCUAUUUUGGUACCUGAACUUAGUUGACGUACUUUUCCCCUUGUUUAUGUUACUUUUUUUAUGUUUGCAAUUUCAAUUUUCGCUAAUUACUAAGUAGGACAGUUUAAAAAAAUAAGACAAUUACUAGUUUUACACGUUUGCUCCUUAAAGUAUAAUAUUAUGCGCUGUGUUUUACACAUAUUGUUUGCUAACUAGUGCAACGAGCGAUGUAAUGAACCAAACAAAGUCGGCAGUUUCACUAAAAGUUUAUAGUUUGUUAUUUGUUUUUUGUUGUUUGAUGUUUACAACAUAAAAGAUGGAGGUAUGUAUUUGUUGAAUAACUUCGUGUUUGUUGUCUGUAGCAAAUUUACCAUUUGCUAAAUGGUAAAACAUGAACAUAAGCUAAUCAAAACAUGAACAUAAGCUAAUCAAAAUUUACCAUUUGCUAAAUUGUUCAUUUCAUUAUAAAUGGUAAAACAUCAACAUAAGCUAAUAAAAAAUAAACAAAAAAAAAAUUCAAAAAUAGAAGCUUGAAAAUGAUAGCACAAGUUCUUAAAUAAAACAUAAAAAGCAUAACCAAAAAGCAUCACCCCUAAAGAAUACAUCGGAUUUGUACAAGACUUUUUGUUGUGUUUACCGAGUUCUUUACAUCUUCCGCAUCUUAUUUUCCUCUUUAUCUUCUCGCCAAUAGACGGUAUCCUCUUCUUCUUUGGUCUACCACGACGUGUUUUAAAUUCAGGAGGGCAAACACAAUACAUCAUACCUGAACACCAAUUUUGUGGAGAACGAUAAACUGCAAACAAUAUUGAACGAAUAUUAAGUUGUAAAAACGACAAUUAAUAAAUCGAAAAUUCAAAACAACAAACAUCAAUUGACAACCAUUUGCGUAUAAUUCAAUUUCAUGUUGAUUGCAUCCGACACUUUCUUCAUCGAUACCAAUACAUCAUACCUGAACACCAAUUUUAUGGAGAACAAUAAACUGCAAACAAUAUUGAACAAAAAUUAAGUUGUAAAAACGACAAUUAAUAAAUCAAAAAUUCAAAACAACAAACAUCAAUUGACAACCCUUUGCGUAUAAUUCAAUUUCAUGUUGAUUGCAUUCGACACUUUCUUCACCGAUACCAAUACAUCAUACCUGAACACCAAUUUUGUGGAGAACGAUAAACUGCAAACAAUAUUGAACGAAAAUUAAGUUGUAAAAACGACGAUUAAUAAAUCGAAAAUUCAAAACAACAAACAUCAAUUGACAAACCUUUGCGUAUAAUUCACUUUCAUGUUGAUUGCAGGCCAAAAAAAAGGAUUCACUAAUUAUCAACACCGACUCUCGCGUUUAAUUAUAAUACGAUCGUAUUGGUCUCUCGAACUCUUCAUGAUGAUCUCAUAUUUCACUUGAAUCGACUAAGAUCUGUUUUCCAAGCGUCUUACACGAUACUCUGCCUUCAAUCGUGAUUAGUGGGAUUUGAUUUCCCAACUUUACGUAAAUAACUGAAUCGCCUAAAAUAUGUUUAUUCAAUAAGGGUACUUAUGUCUAUAUAUUCUUUUUAUUAUUUAAUUUAUAUUAUUUUUUUUAUGUGAAAGGACCUAGGCCUAUAUUCAUCUAGCAACUAGGACUUCUACCUAUAUAAGUACAAAAUAAGGGGUGUCUAGCAAAUUUCCCCAUAAGUAAAAUGUGUUCAUUGGAUCUUCAUAAUCAGUUAGAUUAACUUGGGCCUUUUGGACCUAAUCCAAAUUAGGCAAAUCAGAUAUCAUUAAUGACAUUCAUAGGGAUUACUAGGAAAUACCAUAUGAAAUUGUAUUAGUAAACAUGAUGGCAUUCCUCUAAAAAAAAUAAUAAUAAAUAAAUAACUUAAAAAGCUGGCCUUCAAUACCGAAUUUUCUGAUGAGAGAUCAUUUACUAUGAAUUAUGAUGAAAAAUCUGCAAACAAGUAUGUGGUCCAGUUCUAUUUUUUCAGCUUUGUUAUAAUUAUAAUUAAUGAUCUUUUAUGUUAUCAUGAUACUUUUUAAUUUCUCUCCUACUUCUCUUCAUUAUAAAUACCCCGAAACCCGAAUCGAAUAUUCACAAAGCAAAUCAGUAUCUCCUUCCAAUAUACAAUUGCUAAGAGUAUAUCGACAUUAGUCGAAGUAUCUAUACAUGGCUGCAGUUUCUCGAUCACCAUUGUCGCUUAAUAAGGUUGGUUGUGCAUUACUGAUGAUGAUUUGCUUCUUGGUAAUUAUAAUUACAUGUCCGGCUGAGGUAGAAUCAGCCGCAAUCACGUGCAGCGCAGUUGUGACGAGGAUCACUUCGUGCAUCGGUUAUGUCCAGAGAGGCGGUGCAGUGACACCUGCUUGUUGCGACAGUCUGAAAUUACUGAACGACGAAGCCAAAACAACGGCUGAUUUACAAGCCGCAUGCAGAUGCCUCACAGCGCUUAUACCUAGCGUUUCGCCUAACCCUAGUUUGGUUAACAGCCUUCCAGAUAAAUGCGGCAUCCCUUUUCCGUACAGAUACACCCCAUCGCUCGACUGUUCAACGUGAGUACAUUAGUCGAUCAACCGUAUAACAAGAUCAACAUUUCUCUUUCAUACAUAUAUAUUUGUAAGCAAGAAAUUAAUGCAUGGAUUAUGUUUUGUGGCUUUGAUUUAUUGCUGCAGGUUAACACGUUGAUUAGUUGACGAGACUUGCAAGAAGAGAAUAUAUUUGUGACGUGCGUGCUUAUAAAUAAAAGAGUGAAUAAAUAUAUACAAUAAGAUGUAUAUAUGUAUUUACUAUCUCUAUCUAAUCUCGUGCUUGUAAUAAAUAAAAGUAUGUGCCUGUUGAUGUUGCUGUGCUAAUUACGUCCUUGUGAAAAAAAAAAAUACUACAAAAUACGCCCCUAUGUUUUACGUCAGUGAAAAAUACAGUAAACAAUAUACAGACAAUCCUGGGGUAAACAGCAUAAAACCCCCCGUGUUAAGGAAAAUCAGCGCCAAAUCUCCCUGUGUAUGUUUUAAUUAUGAAAUUUUAUGGUAGUCUAGAUAAUACUUUUAUCUUCAUUUUGAUAUAAAUCAUGCAUAAAUAUGAUUUAUAUUGAGUGAGUUAUGGAUUGCUUUCUGAAUCUGCACAGUUUUUGAGUCAUUCAUGGAUUAUGUGUUUAAUACGACUUAAAACUAAUCUAAUUUAUAUGAUUCCACUUGGAUAUGAUUGUAUUUGAUCUACGAUAUAAGAGAUAUGAUUUUUCUAAGUUAAAGAACCAAAAACGUCAGAUUCUUCUAAAAUAAAUUAUUUGAAUGAAAAGAGAUGUUUGAAAGAAUAGUCUAAAUCUUUGAGGCUAAACUCAAUAAGACGAAUUGAACAUAGAUCAAGUUACAAAGAAGAUUAAGACGAAUUGAACAUAGAAUAAAAAUAUUGUAUUUGUAUGUGGUGAUAUGUGCUCUUACGUACAUGAUCGAAUGUCUUGAUCUAGAGGAAUAAAUUGAAUAUAGAUGACAUAGAAGCUUUAGGCUUAUCCCUACACGAAAGAACAUAGAGACAAGUACUUUAGGGCACUUAUAGGACGUGAGUGACACGUUAAGAGAGGCGCGAGUAUCGUCGGGCCAAAGUUAUUAAUGAGCCACUGGUUGGGCUCACGCUUUAUGAAAAUUCACUUUUUCAGGUUCUCGAAGUAAUCAGAGUGCGCAUCGAAGCAAAGUUCGAGGAAUCACGAACCUUAAUGCCUAGCAUGCCUUAUCCGGAAGUUUAUAUUUUCACUUUCGCUUUUGAAAAGGUCUUAUACAAAAAUAGAAAUUUUCAUGAUUUUAAUUUUUACUCUGAUUUAGGAAUCUAGUCUAUACUUUCUAUAAAAGUGUGAAUGAUAUGAAUGUUUCUACCAUUUUUUGUAUGGACAAAAAUAUCCUUUGGGUAUGGAAAAUUUGAAGGACAAUUAAGUACUAUGCUAAUAAUAAUAGCAAUUAAUUAAUACUUAUACAAAUAUUUUCACACAUCUUCUUCAUCUUUUUCUAAAUUUAUUAUUAUUCUUUUCCAUGGUAAAUAAACGACCUUUCAUUUUUAUGUACAAGGUAACACAUUUAAUAGUUUUGACGGACAACUAAGAGGGUGUUUGGCUAAGCUUAUUUUAAACAGCUGAUAAGUUCUUACGUCUGAUAAGAUGUUUUUAGAGCUGAUAAGUUGUGACAUCUUAUUUUUAGGAUUAAUUUUUAGAGUGUUUGGAUAAUGAGCUUAUUUCCUAUUUUUACUCAUUAUAAGAUGUUAAAUAAAAAGGUGGGGUAGAGGUACUUAUUUAAAAAUAUCUUAUUUGGUCUCCAACAAAUUAUUUAAAAAAAAUAAAGAUCUUUUUUUAAAAAAAUACCAAACACCUUGGAAGAGCUUAUAAGCUCUAAAACAUCUUAUAAGCUUCUUUUAACAUCUUAUAAGUUUAGCCAAACACCCUCUAAGAAUGAAGUAAAAUUUAUUCAUAGUUAUUAAUUAGUACGCCAUACUUAAAUAAGAUAAUUAAAACAAAAGAACAGUUUUUACGUUUACAGUUUUCACAUCUUCCUGAUCUUUUUUUUUCCUUUUAUUCUUUCCUUGGUAAAUGACCUUUUUGUUGGCACGAGAUUUCUAUUUGUGAAGAUUGAAGAAAUCCGCCAUACGUGGAAAUUAAAGAUUGGCAAAGAUUUGUUUUCCAUGUUUAUUUUGGAAUUAAUUAGAGUCCUAUUUUUGUAAUAUUGUUAUUAGGACUUAGAUUUAUUUCCAUGUAUUAUAUUCUAGUUAGGUAUCUUUUGUACUUAUCUAGAAUAGAAGUAGAAAUCGACUAGGAUUCUAUUACCUAGUUAAUCGAUUUCUUAGGGCCCAAGUUAGGUUUAGGGUGGUGGAUUUCGUGCCUAUAUAAGGCCCUCAACCUCAUAUGAGUCCGAUGGAGCUUUAAUAAGAAAAAUCCCAGCAUAAAGGCUUUGAAGGGUGCAGCCCGUGCUGCAGCCCUGUCUGCACGGCAGGUGUGGCAACAGAACAGGUUUCUUCUACCAGGCCAUAAAGAAGAUCGGCGUUUCGGGAGAAGUGCUUAAAAGAUCUCGGGAGAGGUCGAUCUGCCGUUUGAAGGAAGUUCAACAUUGGAGGAAGUCCAAGAGUGCGGAGGAGGAAUUGCUUUGAUUAUCAACAAGUUCGAGUCGUGUGCAAGAACGGCUUAUCACAUAAAGAGGGAGUCUUUAGUGUUUUAUUAAUUCCUAUUAAUGUACACUUAAAUCUGAACUAGUUUUGCAAGUCCUCGUGGAUGUAGGGUACAUUUGUAUCUGAACCACAUUAAAUUGGUGUGUUCUUUAUUCUGCUUUUCGUAGAUUUAUUACUGUGACAACACAACAAUUCUGUUACGUCACCUAAUGUCGUAACAUGUAGUCUGUCUCAACAGAUGAUUAGAUAUCCAUAGGCAUUUAAAAUCAACAAUUGGUAUCAGAGCGGGUCACUAGAUAUACUUAGUGUCCGAUUUUGGGUUUUGAUUUGUUUGCUUUGCUUAUUGGAUGACGUGUGUUCACAAGGAAGGUUGAGACGGAAGUCUGUCACGGCAUUCACCCAAUUCCGCUGCGUUGUAAUGUGCCCCGUGAUGGGACACUCUGAUAGAAGACCAAGACGGGUGAAGAAAAGUGGCAUCUCUGUUGCAGGGGGAGUAAAUCUCAUCUGCAGGGGGGGUUCUUGUUAAACAUGGAUUCUAACCAAUCUAUGCCAAAGGGGGAGAUUGUUGGCACGAGAUUUCUAUUUGUGAAGAUUGAAGAAAUCCGCCAUACGUGGAAAUUAAAGAUUGGCAAAGAUUUGUUUUCCAUGUUUAUUUUGGAAUUAAUUAGAGUCCUAUUUUUGUAAUAUUGUUAUUAGGACUUAGAUUUAUUUCCAUGUAUUAUAUUCUAGUUAGGUAUCUUUUGUACUUAUCUAGAAUAGAAGUAGAAAUCGACUAGGAUUCUAUUACCUAGUUAAUCGAUUAAUUAGGGCCCAAGUUAGGUUUAGGGUGGUGGAUUUCGUGCCUAUAUAAGGCCCUCAACCUCAUAUGAGUCCGAUGGAGCUUUAAUAAGAAAAAUCCCAGCAUAAAGGCUUUGAAGGGUGCAGCCUGUGCUGCAGCCCUGUCUGCACGGCAGGUGUGGCAACAGAACAGGUUUCUUCUACCAGGCCAUAAAGAAGAUCGGCGUUUCGGGAGAAGUGCUUAAAAGAUCUCGGGAGAGGUCGAUCCGCCGUUUGAAGGAGGUUCAACAUUGGAGGAAGUCCAAGAGUGCGGAGGAGGAAUUGCUUUGAUUAUCAACAAGUUCGAGUCGUGUGCAAGAACGGCGUAUCACAUAAAGAGGGAGUCGUGUUUUAUUAAGUCCUAUUAAUGUACACUUAAAUCUGAACUAGUUUUGCAAGUCCUCGUGGAUGUAGGGUACAUUUGUAUCUGAACCACAUUAAAUUGUUGUGUUCUUUAUUCUGCUUUUCGUAGAUUUAUUACUGUGACAACACAACAAUUCUGUUACGUCACCUAAUGUUGUAAUAUGUAGUCUGUCUCAACAGAUGAGUAAAUAUCCAUAGGCAUUUAAAAUCAACACUUUUCAUUAGAAAUUGAAAUUUCUAUGCAAUCUUAAACAAGCACCGGCAUCGUUGCCGCAGUAGCCACCAUAAUCGCCACAGACAUUUAUUCAUCCAAAGGUAAAUCCCUCUUUCAUAACCUCAACGUGAUUUUGAAAUUUGGUAUAUAUAUAUUUUUUGAGACUACUAUUACUACCCUGUGUAUUUUUAUCUGAUUUUCAGUGUUGAUGUUGGUGUUUUUAUUUUAUUUCCACUAAUGAUAUUGUCACGACACGUGCAACGCACGUGCACAUGCCUAGUCUAUUAAAAGGGGGUGUUUAAAUCAAGUUUAUUUUUCUUCCGCUGUCUAGUAUUUUCUAAACCCUGAUGAUGUUUUAGUUGUGGGUUAUAUUUAAAGUAAAGGAAAAUAAUUUGAUAAAUUCUAAACUUUUUAUGUCAAAGUUCAAAUUGAAUCCGAAUUUUUAGUAAAGUUAAUUUUUUUUUAAAUCGUAUACUUAAAUAUUUCUUAUUUACGUAAAAUUCAUGAAGGGUGUUACACAGUGAGUGAUUCCUUCUUCCUCUAAAUCUGGUCAAUACAUUCUCUGGAUUUCUGAAGGGUUGCUCUGAGGUGUUACCAGGCCUAACAUGCUCCUUCCCUCUGUCGUUAUUCAUGGGUCUAACCAGAUCUUCGACUGCUGUGUUCAUGUCAUCCAUCUCCUGGUUGCUGGUUUCCAUCUCAGAUCUUAAUACAGUGAGAUGUCCUUGGAUCUUGUCAUUGAACGCUAGUUGUUCUUCAAUGAAAGUAUCCACCUCAAUCGGGUUCGUUUCUCCUGCCUCUGUCAUGUUCGGUGCUCGAGUAACCAUGUUCAAAGUGUUGGGAAUCAAUUACGUGUACGCGGCGAAAAACCAAACAAAAAAAUUAUUUGAAAAACAAUUAAUCAAAUAAACACACCUGCACAAUUAAAGUAAUUAACUGUAUACCUGAUUUCUUGCAAUCACUAUAUACAUACUAGCGAUUAAUUUAAAUUGCAUAAAAUUAAAUCAAUUAGCAUGCCCGGUAAUUUAAAUCUUAUAAUAAGCUUGUUCAACAUACGGUUUCACAUAAGCACGCAAUAAUACAUGCAAUAUAUGUGAUUCGAAAUUAAUUAAUAUAUACUAAUCAUAAUUAAUAUCAAUUAAUUAAAACUAAUAAAGGAUAAUCAUAUAAUUACCCUUGAAGCGUGAGAUGUAUGUAUAUGGCUAGCAUCUCAACAACCCCUUUGGAUCUGUUCCGGAACAACGGGGGCGCGGCGGCGGCGUGUGAUAUUCACACGCUGACGGUGGCGGCACGUGGGAGCGCGUGCGGCAACGGCGGCUGCUGAUUUAUUUUAUAACUUACGUGGCACUAGAUACCCAGAUGUGAGAACAAAAGAAUCGAAAAAAAAAGAAGAAGACUACCGACAAAUCGGCGGCGUGUGGCGGCGAGGGGCGACGGUGGCGGCGGUUGGAGAGGGGCGGGCAAGAGCGUGUGAGAGAGGGAGGCUAGGUUUUUCAAUGAGUCUUGUGUUAUUUCACAAGACCUAUUAGUUCCUAUUCAUAGUGUCUUGUGAUAUAACCCUAUUGGGCUUAAGUCGGACUGACCCCAACAGUUUAAGUCCAAUAUAAUUCAUUUGCUCGUUUCUCUCAAACUAACGAUCGGAAACCCUAGUUUAGGGGAACUGCUCAAUCGGGAAACUUUUCGAUUUAGAAAGUUUGCUAAAUGUUUGCCCAUUUCUUUUUCUCUGUUCAUUCUUGUUCAUAAUCAACAAUUACGAAUGUUGGACUCAUUCAUAUUUAGUUCCAAUUAUGCAGAGUUCACCUCUGACCCUUCAUUCAAGGAAUUCAAUUAAACGAGAAGUCUGACCCUCGAUGGUUCAUGUAUAAGCUAGCCGUGGGCCCACAACAAAUUGUGAUUCAAAGUCGUCCCCAGAGUUAUGUUUGAGGUGAAACUAAUUUCAACUCAAAUACCCAACGAAUCAAGAUUCGCGCCUAGCAGCAAUGCAUAAUGAUUUUCUAGAUACAAAUGAAGUGCCUGCAAGAACCGUUUGAUAUAGUUAACAUACAGUACGACCCCUUCGAUGCAAUGUCCCGAUUGAACUAGAGGCAUUAGUUCACUGAGACCUCUUUUAAAUUUCAAUUACUGCGUGAACGUUCUUAGUAUUGUAAUCAAUUUAUGUAUGACUUAGAAAAAUAUAUUUCCCUAAUGAUCACAUAGUCAACUCUGGCCAGAGACUAUAGUCACAAACUAUAAGAACACACAAGACAUCCAUGACUACUCAAGCGAUCGAAUCUCCUACUACAAUGCACAGACCCCCCACUAGAUUUCAGACUAUACGAACACUGGCCCUUGGAGCAGUCAUGGGUGGGACUCAGGGACAUGCCACGAUACAGCUGGUCCUCUAGUGAAGUCACGGUGAUGUCUGGGUCGAAACGACUAAUGGUGUACAACUAUAUCAUAGAAACCUCUGUUCAAUUAUUGGGAACCACUUGGAGAUUACUAGGACGAGGGAGUUCAGUGAACUCAAUGAUAUAAGCACCCACUGAUGUAUGGGAUAUCACAAUACCAAUUACUGAUGAGAUACAAUACACAUACACUAAGUGCUAGUCUCUAGUGAGAAAUGCCGAUAUCCUGAUUAAUGGCAUAACCCGUUGACUAGGAACUGCGUUUAACAGUUAUAUUACUAUAUUAAAUAUCUCACGAUUCGACUAGACCAUUUAAUAGUAAUUAGAAUAAUUGUAAGGACUAUAUCUGAUGAUACUAAUUAGUUAGAUCACCUGAUGUAGUGUAAAAAACGAGCAGGGAGAGCAAAGCAGAUCAGUAGCUUGACAACUUGAUGAUCCUGAGGUCCCUGCAAAAUGAGCUCACAUGAACUAAGCCGGGGGUUAAUCCGGCGGAAACCCCUCCGACGCUCAAGUCAGACGUGCUGAUCAUAGAAAUAGUCCAGAUAAUACAUAUUAUAGUAUUGCUCAGUUAAUAGGACGUACCUUAAGGAAUGAGUUCAAACCUUUACUUAUAGUUUAGUUGAGAUUGUCGGGCCCAAACCUUACUUGAAGGUGAUUGGGCCUCGGUGAUAAUGGUCUUCGAUAUUGGGUUCGUGGCCCAGUAUGUAAGGAAAUUGUAGGCCCAUUGGGUUGGCCCAAUUAGGCAUAUCAUUAAGCCCCCCACUCUCGAGUCGAUGUGGGGGCCAUGUUGAAAUGGGUGACAUAUCGUGUCGAGAGUAAAAAUAUUAGUAGUCGAUGGUGUGCGAAAACGCGUUGGAGCGUGUGUCGGAGGGGCGUGAAGGCGCGUUGGCGCGUAGCGCGACCAAGUUGUCGCGAUGUAAGUGACUUGAGUCGUCGGUGUCGUCCCACGACGAUGUGGUAGCGCAGAUCAAGUUAUCUCCUCGUGGGAGUUGUCUCGUCGUGGGGUAAUAGAGUUAAUCGAGUUAUCUCUUCGUGGGAGUUGUCUCUUGAUGAUGUAGUAGCACGAAGCUAGUAUUCUCCUCGUGGGAGUUGUUAUUUAUCGACAUUGUUAAUGUUUUGACGCGUUGCUUGUAUGUUUUUACAUAUAGCUUUCUGCGUGAUGUACUUGAGGAGGGGAUCAGGCUCUCAAGAUUUUUAUAUAGGGAUCGUGCCCUUUGUUAGACCUCGUGGGUCGUAAGUAUGUUUGGACCGUGGCCACGUUUUAAUGAAGGUCCCAUCGGAAACAAGUAGAUAAAUUUGAGUAAUCAAGCUGGCCAGGCUAUAUAGAUUCCCAUAAUAUUUCUAAGUGUUUCUAGGCUUGUAAUCGUGUUAACUUGAGCUUGUGAUUAUAUAGUGAAUUUCGGGUGAGUUGUCUCCUCAUGGGAGUUGUCUCGCAACGAAGUUGUAGAAGCAUUAGAUGAUGCGCGACUGAGGAGCGUGCGUAUUGAGGUCGCUCUGAGCGAGUUGUCUCCUCAUGGGAGUUGUUUCGCGGCGAGUCUUAUUAUCGAGCGAGGUGGCUGCACGUGGGAGUUGCCUUGCAACGGAUUUGUAGUGCCGAGCGAGUUGGCUCCUCGUGGGAGUUGCCUCGCUGCGGGUUGUGGUACCGAGCGAGUUGGUUCCUCGUGGGAGUUGCCUCGCAACGGGUUGUAGAACGGAGCGAGUGGUCUCCUCGUGGGAGUUAUCUCGCUGUGGUUUCGUAGACCCGAGGGAGUUGGCUCCUCGUGGGAGUUGCCUCGCCAUGGGUUAUAUGACCCAGCGAGUUAUCUUCUCGUGGAAGUUGUCUCGCAACGGGUUGUGGGACGGAGCGAGUGGUCUCCUCCUGGGAGUUAUCUCGCUGUGGUUUCGUAGACCCGAGGGAGUUGGCUCCUCGUGGGAGUUGCCUCCUCGUGGGAGUUGCCUCGCAAUGGGUUAUAUGACCGAGCGAGUUAUCUUCUCGUGGAAGUUGUCUCGCUAUGGGUUGUGGGACGGAGCGAGUGGUCUCCUCGUGGGAGUUAUCUCGCUGUGGUUUUGUAGACCCGAGGGAGUUGGCUCCUCGUGGGAGUUGCCUCGCAAUGGGUUAUAUGACCGAGCGAGUUAUCUUCUCGUGGAAGUUGUCUCGCUAUGGGUUGUGGGACGGAGCGAGUGGUCUCCUCGUGGGAUUUAUCUCGCUGUGGUUUCGUAGACCCGAGGGAGUUGGCUCCUCGUGGGAGUUGCCUCGCAAUGGGUUAUAUGACCGAGCGAGUUGUCUCCUCGUGGGAGUUGUCUCGCUGCGGGUUGUAUUACUGAGCGAGUUGGCUCCUCAUGGGAGUUUUCUCGCAAGCCCCCCACUCUCGAGACGAUGUGGGAGCCACGUCGAAAAGGGUACCGGAUCGUGUCGAGAGUAGAUCGGUGCUGUAAUGUUUCGUUAAUCGUUGGCGUGGCGUGGAUAAAUAAUAUUUUUUAUUUAUCCGUUUGAUAGCGAACGCGAUUUGGUAGGGGGCGUUGAAGAGCUCGCGCAAUUUGGUUAAGCGAGGUGGAACUAUCAAGCGAUUUGGUGGAGCGCGCAGAAAUUCUGACGCGAUUUAGUAAAGUGCGUCAAAAUCUUGACGUGAUUUGAGGUAGAAUUUUGAGAGUUGCGCGCGACCUCAGGUAUGCGCGCGCUACGAGAUAGGACGCUGAUGUGCCUGAGUUCGCGCGCACUUGGGGUCCGUGCGCGCACUAGCCCACAUGGGGGGGGGGGGGGGGGACGCGCGCAUGUAUUGCACAGAGAGAGAGAGAGUGUGGAGCUGUUAAGAAAUUUAUGAGGAGCUGAUAGGGACUUCCUCGAGAGUGACGCAGCAUGUUGCUUUAAUCGCUUUUUCCUCCUCUUUAUUUUUUUUUUGGUCUCGGGAAGCGUGCCGGAUGCGCGCCUCAAGAGUCGUGCCCGCACGCGCCUCGGUAAUCGUGACCAAUUUUUUUUUUGUCUCGGGAAACGUGCCUGUUUUUUUUGCCUCGGGAAACGUGCCCGUUUUUUUUGGCCUCGGGAAGCGUGUCGGAUGCGCGCCCUCGGGAAGCGUGUCGUGCGCGCCACGUGAUUCGUGCACGCGCGCACCUCGGGAAUCGUGCCCGAUUUUGUUUUUUUUUUUUUUUUUUUUUCAAAUUGGCUCGGGCGCGCGCGCAGCUUGGCUGCUCCCCCUUUUUUUUUUUUUCUGAUUGGCUCGGGCGCGCGCGCGGCUUGGCUCCGGCGCGCGCGCGGCUUGGCUCGCGGCUUGGCUUCUCCCCUUUUUUUUUUUUUUUUUAUCUUCUUCUUUUUUCUUCUUCUUCUUCUUUUUCUUCUUCUUCUUCUUCUUCUGUUUUCUCAUCUUCCUCUUUUUUUUUUUUUAUUCUUUCUUCUCAUUCUUUCUUCUCCUUUUUUUCUUGUUUCUUUUUUCUUCAUCUUCUUCUUUUUCUUCUUAUUUUUUUGUUUUUAGGUGGUCGAUGUUCACCCCUUUGGGGAUAUUCUAUUUUUUGAGUAGGGAGAUUAUACUCGUCUCUUGAGAUGUGAUGUGCACCCACUUGGGGUUGAAAGGUAAAGGUGAUGCCCACCUUUGGAUGGGGAUGUUUUAUUUUUUGAGUAGGGAGAUUAUACUCGUCUCUUGAGAUGGGAUGUGCACCCACUUGGGGUUGAAAGGUAAGGGUGAUGCCCACCUUGGGAUGGGAUAAUCCCCUACUUUAGAAUGAGGCGCUCGAGACCUAUGGUCAGAGGUGGGUGCGCACGGUUGUGCCAUUGCUUCUGUGGCAACACGAGUUGAAACUUUCGCGGUCGUACGCUGAAGGUCCUUAUCGGUUAUCUGAACCGUUAGAGGAGCAAGUAGAAGUUGAUUUUGUUGAAGUUUCUGCGAUCAUACGCUGAAGGUCCUCAUCGGUUAUCUGAACCGUUAGAUGAGCAAGUAGAAGUUGAUUUUGUUGAAGUUUAUGCGAUCAUACGCUGAAUGUCCUCAUCGGUUAUCUGAACUGUUAGAGGGAGGGCGGAGGUAGGCCCCAGGGAGUCGAUAACCCUUGGCGAACGAAAUGUUUUGGGGGCACUGUAAGCCCCCAGGGAGUCGAUAACCCUUGGCGAACGAAAUAUUUUGGGGGCAGAUGUAAGCCCCCAGGGAGUCGAUAACCCUUGCUAGCGUUGAAGGGCCUCCUCGGUUGUCUGAACCGAUCGAGGGGCGGGAAGAAGCGAAUCCUGUUGAGGAUCUAGUGGGACAUCCGAGGAAGGUCUCGUGGUGGAUCCCGAGUACGAGGAGGAGGAAGUGGCAAGCCAGAGCCUCCACGAGGUGGAAGGUCGUUAGCUGUGUCAUUUUCCCUCCGAGCAGACGCCUCAGGAGGAUCUUGUUGGCUACGUGAUCUGGUUUGCAUCGUUUCCACAGACGGCGCCAAAAUGAUGAUGCUAAUUAGUUAGAUAACCUGAUGUAGUGUAAAAAACGAGCAGGGAGAGCAAAGCAGAUCAGUAGCUUGACAACUUGAUGAUCCUGAGGUCCCUGCAAAAUGAGCACACAUGAACUAAGUCGGGGGUUGAUCCGGCGGAAACCCCUCCGACGCUCAAGUCAGACGUGCUGAUCAUAGAAAUAGUUGAGAGAAUACAUAUUAUAGUAUUGCUCAGUUAAUAAGACGUACCUUAAGGAAUGAGUUCAAACAUUUAUUUAUAGUUUAGUUGAGAUUGUCGGGCCCAAACCUUACUUGAAGGUGAUUGGGCCUCGGUGAUAAUGGUCUUCGAUAUUGGGUUCGUGGCCCAGUAUGUAAGGAAAUUGUAGGCCCAUUGGGUUGGCCCAAUUAGGCAUAUCAAUAUCCAUGCGCGUGCAAGAGAUAAAGAUAUAAAGUCCCAAAAUUGGAAUUUAUUAUUAAUACGAAAAUAGUUAUUUAUUACAAUAAAUAAAUGGACCACAACCACAAAAAUUAGCUUGUUGAUCAUCUAACUCAACACAAAGUGGAAAUGAUACCCGAGAAUCGAGUGCUCUGGAAUCAAAUGUUAUGAACUGAGAGUUUUAUAAUAUCUAGUAAAUAAACAUGCAUGAAAAUAAUUAGAAAAUUGAAUAAUACAACGUUGGAAGUGUUUCUGUAGAGAAAAGUUGAAUGGUAAUACAAAAAUGGAAAGCUUGGAAGAAAGGUAAAAUCUAUCUGCCCUAGUUAACACUACACUAGCCAACAAUUUGCCUAAAUUCUCCUCUGCCUAAGAGUACUAUAUAUGCAGGCUUUAUCUAGUGGCUUGUAGCAAAUAAUUAUGUGCUUCGCGCUGACAUGGACAGUCCUGCACAUAAACAGAAAUGUGCAAUCAAUAAGCUGUAAUGGUGGAAUUAAUUGAGAACAUGUUAUUUAAAAUAUCUAUUUGGAAGAUAUUAUGUAUCUUCUAAUAACAUAUAUUAAAAACACGUUAAUUAAUUAGUUAGGGGCAUAAUAGUGAUAAUUAAAGGUUUUUGUUGUAAAUAGUAUGGAAUGUGUGGUUUCCUAACAUAACCAGUGGCGGAUGUAGCCAUGGUCUAGGGUGUGCAGUUGCACACCCUUGAUUUUCAGAAAAUAAUACUAUUAUACAUAAAAUAACUGAAAAUGCAGUUGGUUGAAGUGGUAAAGAUAUGUCUUGAACUAUUAGCAGAUCAUGGGUUCGAAACCCACCCUCACAAUAAUGGAAUUUUUUUGAAAUCUUAACAUUUUUCAACUUUUUGGUUUUUAAAUAUUUCCACAAUUCACCUAAAAUUUGUAAAUUAUAAAUUUUUGGUCCACUAUUUUUAUAAAGUGAUAUUUUAAUUUUUUAUUCUACAAUUUCGAACCCCCUUGGCAAAAAUCCUGGAUCCGCCACUGAACAUAACCACUUGAUGGUUUUCAACUUCCCACUAGUUUAUUAACUUCCCAUAUAUGGUGUUAGUGGCGAUGUAACUUCUACGUAACUUGCACAUGUAACUCCUUUGUAACUUCCCGGUGGUUACCACCUAUAUAAAUGAGAAACACUCCCUCCCCACGUAUCCCACAAUUUUCUCUCUACGGAUUGUUGUUCUUUGCAUUCUUUCUUUCUCUCUUUGUCUUGUUAUUUACAUUCUUAUGUAUUUUCACAAACACAAACCAAAGAGCUAGACAAAUAGGCCAUUUUACAACACGUUAUCAGCACGGAAUGCUCGUUGUGAUCGUGGAAAGACAAUCGUUCGUGGCACUAGGAUACUUGAAGAAUUUGUGAUUCAGGUGCUCGUGAAAAAUGAACCAUUUUUGGCACGUGGAUGCUUGAAGAACUUGUGAUUCGAGUUCGUUCGUGAAAUGGUAAUCUUGUUCGAUGAAUACAAUAUAUUCUUCAACAUUUGGGUUUAAGCGUUUCAAGUAAGCCGUAAUCCCUUGCAAUUUUGAUUUCAUAAUAGAUGCACUAGAUCUAUUUAAUGGCAUGAAAUGCAUGAAGUACAUAUUUAUCUUCAAGUCAUUACUUCAUUUAUACUGUGGAUAAUUUCAAAAUAUGAUGUGAUUCGUAAUUAUUGGAAGCAUGCUUAAUUAUGUUAUAGGAUGGUAUAAAUAUGAUUGUUUUUGGUAUGUGGUGUAGCAAAUUAUUUUAUCAUUUGCAUUCAUUCCGGAUUCAAUGAAUAGCGACGAUAAAUGUGUGAUUGUAUAUUGUCAAAUAAUUAUAAUACCUUGCUGGUUUAUUUUAUGUUUCGAGGAUUUGAUAUGAAAUUGUAUUAUGAAUGUUUAAUCAUAAUAUUUAGAAUACAGUGCACUAAGAAGCUUAUGAAUAAAUAUGCACUGUAGAAUGAGGGGUGAAUAUAUUUGAUGAUGAAUGUGAAAUUGUUUAUGUUUCUUACUGAACGUGAUUGUAGCCAUAUUAAUAGAAUUUUUUUUCUCGGUUGCAUUUGUAUUGCAUGAAUUGUUAGAAAAUUUUGCUACAAUAACUUGGUCAUUUCAUUUUAAGAUGAUCUAAUGCACUGCUGAUACUUGAUAGCAUUAUGGAUCUAUUUAGUUAAUUCAUGAUUACCUACCGGAAUAAUUUCAGAAUUAGUUCGUGGAAUUUAUAUGAGAUUGUACAUGCUAUAUAUUGUUUAUAUUAUUUAGCAUGUUAUAUUUUAUAUAUUUGACAAUUUACAAAGUCUUAAUUGCAUAAAGAUUUUGGUCCAUCUCUAAUGGAGAAUUCUAUUCAAUUGAUCCAUAUCUGCCAUAUGUAAUUUUGUGAUAUGGAAAUGGUAAACAAUAUUUCGUUCGUCGUUAUGGUUUAUCGUAUGUAAUCCAUGAAUGUGUAUGAACAUGUGGUGUAUGAAUUAUUAGACCGGAAGUUCUAAUAUGUGCAAAAUAUUCAUGAAAUUGUUUAUGGAGGUUACAUUCCCAUAAAACAAUAAUACUCCUUAUUGUAUUUGAUUUGAGAUAUAACACAUGAGCAAACUCAAGUUUACCCAACUUCAUGUAUCUGGUGAAAGUUAUAUUAGUUGGAGAAUGGAUGUUAAGAUCCAUGCGCUUAGUGGCCAAUUGAGAAUGAUUGUUUUCGAGGAUAAUUUAUUAGGUAAAGCCCAGAAGGCUGAGACUAUGUUCUGAUUACGAGAUAAUUAGAUGAAAUCCUUCGUCAUGGACGAUUCAUCAAAUGAUGGGUUCCCAUAAAGAAUGGGAUAACCUGACUAGUCGUUUUGAUUACCAAAAGACAAUAUACUUGCCGGAAGCAAGGAACAAGUGAAUUCAUAAACGAUUUGUAUAUGAAUUUUAAAAUCCGAAGAGAGCUCAAAAUCAGAACAUAGAUAUAUGUUUUAUAUAUGGUGGAUCUAAGAAUUGGUCGCGCACCUGAAGUGCGAAGAACGUUGGGGCUGGAGAUGCAAAUAAUAAUGCACCAGCCUAGACUGAGUUAGUGGAGGUAAAAUUUUUCAAUAUAUAGUCCAUCGCUCAGCUUCCAUACUUGGGCACAUCUGACCAAAUAACCCAUGUUGGGAUAUGAUUGAACUGUUGAUUUCAUGCAUUAUGUUUAUUUUAUUACUCGGGUUUAUUAGUUUAUUGAAUUUCAAUCAUCUUACUUCAUAUGCUCAUGUUAGGAACCAUAUUCAUAUUUUGAUUAUGUCUAGUUUAUACUCUAGACCAGAUAUUUAUGCUCUAAGUUAAUUAUUAUGUUAUUCAGUGGUGUUUGCUUGAUGAAUUUAUUUAGUACCUGAAGUACUGAAUAUAUAUGAUUAGAUUUAUAUAACUCUAUAGACAUGACAUGUGGGGAUAAAUGUCUGGCAGAUAGUGCGACAACACAUACUAUCCUGAGAGAUGUGUCGUACUUAAUUAAUUUCAUGUCUAUUUGUAGCAAGACCUCUUUGAUAACUAAAUGAGGCCCAUGUAGUUUUGAUAGAUGGUUAUGGUAAUGUCCACAUUAUAUUAUCUAAUGGCACAAUAUUGCCCAUUAAAGUAGCUCAUUUUUUUCUCCACGUUCCAGUAGAACGUUGUUAAACUUUAAAGAUAUUUGAGCUAAUGGUUAUUAUAUUGAAACCAUUGAAGACAAGAAAUUGAUAUAUGCAUCAUCUCUAACGUGUACGGCCAGGAGCGUACAUUAGGAAUUUUCGACACGAUUAUGUAGAACCACAAUUUGUAUGCCAGAAGCAUAAGUUGUCGAUUGCUCGAAAUUAAGUAAUUUGAUUAUAUGUCGGCAUACGCAUAGACAUAUAAUGAUUCAAUUCCUUUAUUGGAAUUAAUCUAAGAAGAUAUAGGUGAAAUAUGUACCACCAUCUAUAACUUAAAUUUAGAACCUUAGACAGGCGAUCUCUUACCCGCUCAAAUUGCGGACUGUCACUUUGAUGAGACUGUCUUCCCGCCGUUAGGGGGAGGAAGAACGUCCACACUAACGUUCCUGGAGAACGGCGUGAAGUCGUGUGGGACGACCCCUCCGUGUCUCAUUAAGAUCCUCUACAUCAGAGAUUGCUAUAUAGAUUAAUAGAUCAUCCAUACUAACGUUCCUGAAGUACGACGUGAAGUCGUAUGGGAUGACAAUAUAGAUUUGCAAGUAAUAUCCAUACUAACGUUCCCGAAGAACGGCGUGAAAUCGUAUGGGACGACUUAGAAAUCUGCAAAGAACGUCCAUACUAAUGUUCCUAAAGAACAAUAUGAUGUCGUGUAGAACGAAUAAUGCCAUACUCAUUAUCUGAUUUGAAAAAGUGACGAGAUCUCAAAUAAGCCAGUAAUGACAGAUGUCCUAGAAGGAUAAAAUAUGGGUAGGUCAUCAAUCCCUGCUAACCAAUCUUGCCUCCCUGCCUAGAAGAGGGGGAGAGCAAUGGGAUCAAAGGAUUGUCAUCUCCAGAAGAGAAUAAUGCCCAACAUCGAAUCCGGUCAGCACAAGUACCAAUGGGAUCCCACCUGAUCCAUCUCAUAAAAAAAUUCUAGAAUAUGGAUUCGUCUAGGAGACGAAGUCGGGGGACGCCUUGACAUCAAUAUCCAUUCCCGGGAAUAGGAAAAUCAUCGAUGACAAAUUUCCUUACACAGUAGCUACUGAACUUUUUAUUGGGUAAUGAUAUAUAACCUUGAUCAAAUAAGUGUAAACAAAGGGAUGAUGGGCCGAAAUGAGAGAAAAAAAAAACAAUACGAGCUGAAUUUGAUUCCUUGAUAAAAUGAAGAGUGUAGAGACCAGUAGUUCCUACAACUCCUUGAAUUUCACCCAUAUUCGGAAUAUAAGUGAGUACUCGCAAAGGAAUGAAAUGAGAUUGGGAACCAGAAGAUUCAUCUCAUAGCUCAAAUGAGAUUGGGAACCAGAAGAUUCAUCUCAUAGCUUAAACGAGAUUGGAAGCCAGGAGAAUCAUCUCAUACUCAAUCAAUGAAAUGAGAUUGGGAACCAGAAGAUUCAUCUCAUAGCUCAAAUGAGAUUGGGAACCAGAAGAUUCAUCUCAUAGCUUAAACGAGAUUGGGAACCAGGAGACUCAUCUCAUAGCUCAAAUGAGAUUGGGAACCAGAAGAUUCAUCUCAUAGCUUAAACGAGAUUGGGAACCAGAAGAUUCAUCUCAUAGCUUAAACGAGAUUGGAAGCCAGGAGACUCAUCUCAUACUCAAUCAAUAAAAUGAGAUUGGAACCAGAAGAUUCAUCUCAUAGCUUAAACGAGAUUGGGAGCCAGAAGACUCAUCUCAUAGCUCGAACGAGAUGUGAAGCCAGAAGACUCAUCUCAUAGUACAAUGAUUUAUGGGCAAAUGAGAUUGGGAGCUCGAAGAAUCAUCUCAUAAUUAAAGGAUUUCCUCAACAACCUGAGAUUGAUUUUAAAGAGCUAUACUCUCUCAUGAUGAAUGUUAUUAAAUACGUGGUCACAAAGUAUCAAAUGGGAAUCUAGAUACAAGUAUUUAUAUGAAAGUUCCAGAAGGACUUCGAUUUCCCGAAGCAAUUAGUUCCAGAUCACGGAACAUAAACUCAGCUGGGCUGAGACGUUCACUUUAAUUAUGACUAGAAAUAUUCCAGAAGACUAUAGGACAAUUUCCUAAGUGAACAAUUGCUCAGAAGAGUAUAGGUGAACAAUAAUUGGUUUUGAUUGUUCCUAUUACUACAAUUUAUAGUAAGGACAUAAACUUGAUUUAGACUAGAAGUCAAGUAAGAAAAACUCAAUUAUUGAAAAUUUGAGUUCAAGAUCGAAGAUCUAAAUGAGACUAAUUUGUUGUCUCUAACCACUUAAAAUUUAUCAUGUCAAUUAUAUUUUUGUCCAUCAAUCGAAUUACAUCCACAAGAUGUUAUGGAUAAAGAGAAAUUAUCGAGUAACACCUAUGGGAGUUUGACAGUGGAAUAGGUCCAAUGAUUCAUUUUGUCCCAUGGAGGAGGACGAGGAAGUGUUAGCACCAAAAGUGCCAUAUGUGAAUGUAAUAUAUGCAUUAUUAUGCUUAACUCCAUGUACUCGAUAUAAUUUAGCGUUUUCGGUAAAUUUAUUAGGUAGACUUAUCUCACCUUACCGACACGCCCUAUACAUCAAUGAAUGAUGCGAAAACUUGUGAUUUAUAUUGGCAUUAACUAGAAGUCAUAUCCACACAAAGAUCAUUCCCAAUCUAUGGUUUAGUGUUGGGAAAACAACUAUGUCUUGGGGUUCUAUGAAAUGUACCUUAGUUGUCACUAGGUCAAAUCAUGCAUGAUGUUUGCUUCACGAGAUAGUGAGUGAAUGCACAUGGCCUGAAGCCAUGAUUAGGCAUGUUCGAGAUUUUUGUGAAUUGGCUACCACAAAAGAUCCUAAGAGAUUGUAUUUAACUGCAUUGAGCAAAUGAAGACGAGCUUCAUUAAAGGUGACAACUCCAAGAACAUAGUUAUGAGGUUUUCUUCAAUCAACAAUAAUAAGAGCUCAAACAAUAAUGAUUCAGUAGAUCAUGAAACAUGAUAACUACGCUGACUUAUUUACUAAUUUUUCGCCUAAAGUCACUUUGGAAAAGUAUGUUAAGGAUGCUGACUUGCGUAGAUUAUACAAGCUCGCUCCCUUGUAGACAUCAUGGGGAGUUAAUUUGAGGGGGAGUACCCUGUAGGUACUCAGUAUCCAGAAGAUACCUGAGUGCCCUGUUGUACUCUUUUUCCUUCGUGCGAGGUUUAUUUUUCCCACAGGGUUUUAGUUACUCGACAAGGUUUUAAUGAGGCAACAUUUGUUGAUUGAAAAGAUUGUACGUUGUACUCUUUUCCCUAACCGAGAUUGUUUUUUCCCAAUGGGUUUUAUAACUCGGAAGGUUUUAACGAGGCAACACAAAAAGCACAAUAGUGGUUUGAUAGGAACCCAAGGGGGAGUGUUGUAAAUAAUAUGGAAUGUGUGGUUUCCUAACAUAACCACUUGAUGGUUUUCAACUUUCCACUAGUUUAUUAACUUCCCAUAUCUAUAUAUGGUGUUAGUGGCGAUGUAACUUCUACGUAACUUCCACAUGUAACUCCUUUGUAACUUCCUGGUGGUUACCACCUAUAUAAAUGAGAAACACUCCCUCCCCACGUACCCCACAAUUUUCUCUCUACGGAUUGUUGUUCUUUGCAUUCUCUCUUUCUCUCUUUGUCUUGUUAUUUACAUUCUUAUGUAUUUCCACAAACACAAACCAAAGAGCUAGAUAAAUAGGCCAUUUUACAACAGUUUAUAAUUGAUAAAAGUUGUUUUGGAUUUAUCUUAGAUAAUAAAAAAUAAAAUUGGGCCUAUAAUGACCCUUGUGUAAUGAGGGGUUUUUGUCAAAUUUUCUCACAAGAAAAAUCCUUUUAUAUAUACCAAAAUUACCCCCAACUCCUUCAAACCCUAAAUCAAUUCCAAUUUCAUUAUUUACACCCCAAUUCAACCCGAUUAACUAAUUUUGACCCUUAUUCCAAUUUUGACCCCCACCGCCGGUCUUUGGCGUUAACUUUUUUUUUUUGAAUUUUCUUUUUCUGAUUUUUUUUUCCUGCAGGUCAACCGCCGGUCUCCGGCGUUGACUUUUUUUUCUUUCGGAAAACUUGUUAUUCUUAAAAAAAAUAUUUUAAUUAAUAUUACUGUCUUGUCCUUCUAUAUUACUGUCUCCAACAGUAAUAAUACUGACAGGGACAAUAAUUUAACUGUUUGAGGCAGUAAUUUUACCGUAUUAAUUUAUUUUAACGUCUUGGCCUCCAAUUUUGCUGUCUUCGACCAUAGUAUUAAUGUUUCCAGCUGUAAUAUUACUGUCUCAUGUAGGGGUGCAAGUUCGAACGGAAAUUCCAAUUUCCGCCGGUUUCAAUCCGAAAAGUUCCAAUUUUGGAACAACUUUUUUCAUUCCGACUUCCGAAAUUCCGAUUUCCGAGUUUUUCCGAUUUUUUUGCAUUGGAAUUGGAAUUAUAUAAAAUAAAUUUGGAAUUUCCAAUUUCCGAUCCGAUUUGAUUUCCGAAAUUAAUUCCAAAAAUUUUCGAUUUUUUUUCCCGAAAAUACACCUAAAAAUAAUAAAUAUUAUAUAAUAUUUAUUUUUCCGAUAAAUACACCUAUAAUUUUUUUUAGGAUUUUGACAUAAUGAAUUGUUGUUAGGAGUUUUAUUAAAUAUUAUGUUGUGUUUUUUUUUAAUUUGUUUUUUGAACUGAAAUUAGUAAUUAUUAGUUUUACUUUUAUGGACGUGGAUGUUCUUAUUUUUGGAAAAUUAUGAACAUUUAAGAAAAAAAUUGCUAAUUUUUGAAAUUUUUAAGCUUAUGUAAUUUCCGAUUUUUUCCGAAAUUCCGAAAUUUCCGGGCCUUUUGGAAUUGGAAUGCAUUUUUAGAUUCCGACAAUUUUGGAAUUGGAAUCGGAAUUGAUUUUGUACUUCCAAAACUUUUUGGAAAUUUUUCGAAAUAGCUAAUUCCGAUCCGAUCCAUCCGACUUUCACCCCUAGUCUCAUGCAAUAAUAUUAUUGUUUCGGACAAUAAUAUUAGUAAUAUUGUUGUUCGGGAAAGUAACAUUCAUAAUAUUACUGUUCGGGGCAGUAAUAUUAGUGUUCGGGAUAGCAAUAUUACUGUUUGGGACAGUAAUAUUGGUGUUCGGGAAAGUAACAUUCAUAAUAUUCUUUUUUUUUUAACUUUUUUUUUCUCUCUAAAGUAUUACUACCUGAGACAAUAAUUUUGUUGUUAACACAAUAAUUUAGAGAGCAAAAAAUGUUUCAAAAAAAAAAAAGAAUUCAACGCCAGAGAACUGCGCGAUCAACGCCGGAAUCUGGCCGUAAUUUUUUUUAUUCAGAAAAAAUAAUUAUUUUCUGAAAAAAAAAAUAUGAAAAUGAGAGUUAGUGUGAUAUAUUUGUUCAAAUUUGGGUCAAUGUGCAAUAUUAAUGAAGUUGGAGUAUAAUAAAUAGAAUUGAUGAAAAUUAUAUUAUGAAAGGUAUUUUAGAAAGAAAACAUAGAGAUGGAUUUAUUUACAAGACUUCUUUUUCAUAUGUACCUAUAUGAUAUGCCUAAUUGGGCCAACCCAAUGGACCUACAAUUUCUUUAUUUAAUGGGCCACGAACCCAAUAUUUAAGACCACUAUCACCGAGGCCCAAUCUCCUUCAAGUAAGGUUUGGGCCUGACAAUCUCAACUAAGUUAUAAAUAAAGGUUUGAACUCAUUCCUUAAGGUACGUCCUAUUAUCGGAGUAAUACUAUAAUUUGUAUUCUCUCAACUAUUUCCACAAUCCUCACGUCUGACUUGAGCGUCGGGGGGGUUUCCGCCGGAUCAACCCCCGGCCUAGUUCACAUGUUCUUUGUUCACAGGUAUCUUAGGGCCAUCUAGCACGUGAGCAGUGAUCCACUUUGCUCUCCCAACUCCCUCGAUCUCAACUACUUAAGGUGAUCUAUUUUUAGCAUCAUCAUAAUGGCGCCGUCUGUGGGAAAGCAUACAAGAUCACGUAGCGAGCAUGAUGUCCCUGAGUUAUCUACUCGGAGAGAACGCGCCAAUGCUAACAACCUUCCACCUCGUGGAGGCUCUGUCUUUCCACUUCCUCCUCGUAAUCAUGAUCCACCUCAUGAGGUCCAGAUAAAUCCUCCGCAGGAUCCACCACUCCCCGCUCCCCGAACGGUUCAAAUAACCGAAGAGGCCAUCCAACACAUGAUUGCGGAAGUUUCAGCUCGAGCUGCCACUGAAGCAGUGGCACAAUACAUCGCCACAACGGGAGUCAACGCUCCCCUUGCAUCUCCACCCGUGGCACAACGACCUCCACCGCCACCGGAUAACACAUCCACCUCAGACCCUAUGUCUCGAAUGCAACAAUCUACUCAUCGCCUUAAUGCACGAACCGGGCGACAAGUCUCACGUUCACCUUCAAGAGGCAACGCCUCUCGCCAACGAGUACCUCCACACAAUGCUGGAGAUGAUGAAACUGACAGUCGGGUAUCUCGCUCAAAUGACCUCCCCCACAUAGGUAAUCCUAUUGGUGGUAGGGCAAUACCUCCAAUAAGGCGCAGUCCAUUUACUGUCGCAAUAAUCAAUGAGAUACUACCCCAACGGGUAAAGGUCUCGAGUCUACCCCAGUUCGAUGGAACUAGUGACCCUCAUGAGCACCUUGAAAUGUUCCACGCCAUUGCAGAUCUAUAUGGCCCAACUGAUGCGGCGAUGUGCAAGAUGUUUCGCACAACGCUCUCCGAACGAGCAUUGAGCUGGUUCAACUCCUUGCCCACUGGGUCAAUUGAAGCUCUCUCCCAACUACGGAUCGCUUCACCCACUAUUUCGCUAUCAACAAAGAGUACGCUAAGACUCCCGCGUACCUCUUCACUAUCACCCAGAGAGAGGGCGAGACCCUUCACAACUACAUUCAACGAUUUGUAGAGGCAGCUCACAAAGUUCCUAACGUGGGAUGAAGCAUGCUCGCUGGAAUCAUUCAACAAACUUGAAGGAAGGUAGAUUCAAGGAAUCUAUUGCAGGAAGACCUCCAACCACUCUAGAAGAACUACUAAGUCGCGCUGAGAAACACGUGCGCAUCGAAGAGGCUUCAGCCCUCCCUCAUCCCAAGAGAAAAAGAGAUGAAGAUCACUUCAACACCCUGUAACGAGAUGGCCGACGACAAUCGUCGACAUCUCAUUGAGAAUCUCCUUCUACAUCCCUAGAUUUCCAAUGAGGUCAAUGACACUUAGAGUCUCUCGAGUCCAUAACAUUAUUAGUGAUCGCAUCAUCCUAAACUGGGGGGGCUAUCCUACCUUAAGGAUGAUGCAUCCCCUCACCUCUCGACAUCAAUUGGACGAAACAUCUACUUAGUACAAGUUUAGUUAUUUUGAGCGAAGGGCUCCCUACUUGUUUAGUUACAUUCGCCUCAAGUAGGCUUGUAACCUUCACAUUUUCAAGCAAUGAAUAAAACAAGUUAUUUCCCUUACACUUGGUGUUAUUGCUCAACAACUACUUAAUUAUUAUCUCAAUAUGCGCACGUGAUCAGCGAGCUUCAUCCAUCGCGAGACAAUGCCCAAUGGUUUGACAUCUCAUCUCAAGGUUGGUAUUCCCCCAUACAUUUCUACCCUAAGGGUUAGACAUCCCAUCCCAAGAGUUGGGUAUCACCACUCUACCACAAGGAUUAGACAUGCCUCAAAGGUUGGACAUCAACCACCUCCCAGAAAAAAAAAAAAAAAAAUCCGGCGAAAAAAAUCUGGAAGAAAAAAAAAAAUCAAAACCGCCGGUCAACCCCGAAAUCCGGCGGCAAAAAAUGUUUUUUGAAAAAAAAAAGUUUUGGGUCAAAAUUGAAUAAUUUGUGAAAUUUGGGGUCAAAUUGAGGUUAAAUUAAGUUAAGGGUGAAAUUGGAGCAUAAUAAAGUAUGAGGGCUAUUUUAGUCUUUUACAAAAAUCUGGACCAUAUGUGGACUUAUUAGUAAAUAAGUUUUUUGUCUGGAUCUCUUUAUGAAUAAGUACCCAUCAAUGGACUUAUUUGUAAGAACCCUAUUUUUAUUAACUAAAUAGUAAAAAUUAUAAAUGUAUGUCCUGACAUAAUGCUAAAUGCGCUGGGCAGAAAUUACACGUGGGGCUAAUAAAGUACUUGAAUAUCUAUUACUCCCUCCGUUCCCCAUUAAGUGUCGUUUUUGGCUUUGCACAAGGAUUAAGAAGCUCAACAAAUGUGUCUUGAUUUUAGGUAAAAUAUAUUAGAAAGACUAAAAUAACCUUGAUUAUUUAAUGAUGUGAUAAGAGAGAGUUAAUACUUAUAGUUGAAUUAAUAAGGUUAAAACAGGAAAAAAUGCAUUUAAUGCAGUAUUGGAAAUCUAAAGUAACAGAUAAUUAUGGAACAAAAAUAUUUAAAAAAAGAGACAGUUAUUGUGGAAAAGAGGGAUUACAAUACAAAGUACAUUAGAUGAUUAGAACUCUAGCGGCGGACGAUUCUAUAAAAAAGGAAAAGAAAAAAUACGACUCACCGUCGUUACAAACCACUGUCAAGCAUCAGAAUCGCGUCAGCACCACCAAUCAAUUUUGAGGUAAUUAAUUUUUCUCACUCCCUCUGUUAACUUCUCUCGAUUUCUAUUUCUCUGUCUAAAUGAGUUUUGGCUGGGAAUAAUGUAAUUGUGCUUUAGCUGGGGGAAGACCUUUAACAAUUUUGUCCAAUUCCCCACUCAAUUCUAUAUAUGAGUUGUUGAUAUAAAGUUUGAUUUCAGCAUUAGGUGAAAGAUUUCGUCCCUUUUAGUUUCGUUUUUUUUUCCCAAUUGUUUCCAGUUUUAUCUUCAAGAAACAUUGAUCAAUGUUGAUUCAAGAAAUUUUCAACAGGUGUUCAUAUGCAAUUUAGUUGGGUUUUUUUUUUUUGGGUGUGUGUGUCUGUGAUAUUAUGUUUUGGAAUAAUGGUAUCAUUCAUAUUAAUUUAUUCUAAAAUCGUUCUCAUCGAUGUCCUAAUUUGCGAAUUCCCACCUGUGCUAUAAUUCAGAAGAGGUGUACUCAGGAUUCGUUGCGCUUCGGUAUCACUUUGUGUUAUUGUGCAUAUAACUUGUGUUUUAUCUAUGUUCUACAAAAAAAAGAUAGGCAUAUAACUUGUGUUUUAUCUAUGUUUUAUCUAUCUUUUUUGUUAUUAAUAAAAAAGAAAAAUAAAUUGUGUUGAUUAUUGUUACUUUAUGCAAUUUCAUUUACAAUUCCUUUUUUUUUAUAAAGUUUCCAUUAGAAGAUCGGAUGGCAUUGCUGUUGUUAACAACUUUGUCUAUAUAAACUUGUUAAACUUUUACAUCUCGUUGUUAAAUUCAAUUUAACUAUUAUAGAUAUGGAGAAUGGUAUCGUUUUAACUAUCAUAGAUAUGGAGAAUAAAGUGCAAACUGCGGUCGGCAUUGCUGGUGGGUUUUUUCUUUUUUACUAUUCCAUUUACAUAUUUUAUUUCUCUACGGUUGUGUUUCAAUUCUUGUUUUCUUUUUCUUGAAACAGGAAUAAUUUCGGGGGUAUUUCUUUACUUGACACCGAUGUAAGUUUCACGACUUAAUCAAUUUGAAAUUGCAGUUUGACAGGUUUCUUUUAUCUUGUGUUAUUAAAGAUAUGGGUCUAUUGUUUUACUAUGUUGUUUAGGGGACUAAUAUUUUAGUUUUUCUUCAUUUGUGUUUCAACUUUCUUGGAAAAAUAUCAUGAUAUGUUACAUAGUUGGUGAGACACUAUUUAUACCUAAUGUUUGUUGUGCGCAAAUUUUCUUAAUAGGAAAAUUGUCAUAAGGAUUGCGGAGGAAAGAUCAUCGGAAAAGUUAUCAGUAACCCCGUAUUUUCUUGCAUAUCUGAACUGCGUGUUUUAUAUGGGGUACGUGUGUUUGGUUUCUUCUAUAAUUGAAACUGCCAACAAUAGUCUCAUUCAUAGAAUAAUCUAAUUUGUUGAUUUUCCUUUCUUGAUAGGUAUACAGCAUGGUCAUCAAAUUGGCUUGCAGUCAUUGCGAAUGCAUUAGAUGCUCUCAUUGUUUUUCAUUAUGUGAUGAUUUUUAUGUUUCUUUCACCAAUUAACUUGAUUGCAUAUAAGCGUGUGGGAGCACUCCUUGUUGUAUUUGUGGUUUUAGUCACAUUUAUUUUUGUUCCCUUGUCAAUGCAUGAGCAUCUGGGGCUGCUUUUCAAUGGAUUGGUAGCCACUGCAUUCUCCAUUGCUCUUUAUAUCACAUCACUAGUAAGUAUCUCUUCUUCAUAAAUCUUUUUAUUAUUUUGACUGCGGCAUGUAUGUUUUGUUUAUUGUUAAUACUGAAGAAAAUUUAUAAAAUGAUGUACUGUAUUUUGCCAUCCAAUUAAUGGUAUUUGCAAUUAUUUUUAUUGAGUGAUGACAUUUCUUAAUUAGUUGGUGAUUUUUUGACAAAAAAAACUGUAGUUUUUGGUGAUCCAAAGAAAAGAGGUGGAAUUCAUGUCAUUCUACACGUCGAUCUUGAUGUUGUUGAACGGGGCAUUCUGGUUUGUCUUUGGCUUACUUAGACAAGACUUUUUUAUUGUUGUAAGUAUAAUAAAUAUUGCAACUCAUUUGAUUUUCAGAUUUGUUUCUUAAAUGUCGGUCGACUAAAUAUGUUCAUUCUCCAGCUAUUAAAUGGUGUUGGCUGUGGAGUGGGAGCAGCACAAAUAUACCUGAUGUAUCCAAAUAACAAAGGCAAAACUGUGAAGCAAAAGAAAACUAUAGAAGGGGAAACCAGGAAUCAAAAGAAUAAAAACAAAGGAGGAGAAAAUAAAACCAAGAUUGCAUGAUUUAUUUAAAGCUUAAUUUUGAAGGGAACUUGCAAAAGCUAUUUGGCUUCAAAAAUAGUGCCCAUAGUUAUUUGUUUAUUUAUGUAUGUUUUAUGGGUCUCAAAAACUGGUGUACCAUAACCGCUUCACUCUAGUACUUGUAAUUUUUUUUUUUUGGUUAUUAUGCUUAUGGUAGUAUUUAGGGUAAAAAAACAUUUUGCCCCCUCAACUAUGUCGUUUUUUCAUUGCUAUGCAAACAAAAUACUUUUCCACGACUUUUUCCUAAACUCAUUUACUUGUUGCAUCUUGCCUAUUUCCAUCAAAAUCAAAAUAAUUUAACAAGAAAUAUACCAACUAAUUAGCAUAAUUUUUAAACGAUUCUAGACGACAUAGUUUAAUAUGCUCCAAUUUCGUCAUUUAAUUCAAUUGAACUUCAACUUAAUCCUAAAUUUCACAAAUUUUUCAAUUUUGACUCAAAACUCAAUUUUGAGCAAUUUUUACCGCCGCUCUCCGGGAUUGACUCUUUCUUUUUUCUCCAAAUUCUUCCGUCGGUUUUCGGCGUUGACCAUUGGUCAACACUGGUCUCUGACGUUGACUUCUUUGAUUUUUUUUCUUCUUCUUUCUGCCGUUACUAACCGGCAGUCAACGCCGGUCUCCGACGCCUUUUUUUUGAUUUUUUUUCUUCAACAUCUAUUUGCCUGUUUAAACAGUAAUAUUACUGUGGUUGACCGUAAUAAAAAAAAUAGUAUUAUUGUUUAACACAUUAAUAUUAACUAUAUUACUGUUUAACAAAGUAAUAUUACUAUAUUAUUCUCUAGCACAAUAAUAUUAACACAACAAAAAUCACUAUUAUCGUGUAAUAGUGUAAUAUUAAUAUGUUGACCGUUCAAUAAAGACAAAUAUAAUAAAAAACAAGAAGAAUUAAUAUUGAUGUGGUUAACAGUAAUAUUGAUGUCAUCCACAAUAAUAUUAUUGUGUUUAUAGUAAACAAUAGUAGACAAUAAUAUUAUAACGUUAAUCGGUCAACAAGUCAAACAAAACAACAAUUCCAAAAAAAAUAAUAUUGAUGUGGUUGAUAUUAAUAUUAUUAUGUUUACAGUAAUUUUACCGUCAACGUCAACAAAUAAAACAAAAUCAAAGAAAGCCAAAAAAACAAUAAUAUUGUUGUGGUUGACAGUAAUUGUACUGUCAGCAUCGAUUGUAUAAUUACUGUUAAUAACAGUACAAUUACGGUCAACGUUUAGCGGCGAACGUAAAAAAAUGAUAUUUUUUAGGGGAAAAAAAUAAUUUAAAAAGUCACCGCCGUAGACUGGCGGCGGAAAAUUAAAUAAAAAAAAUAAAUAAAUAAAAAAUCAAUGCUGAAAACAGCGGCAAGAAAAACAGACAUAAAAAAAAAAUCAACGCCGAAACACGGUAGUAAAAAAUAGUUUAAAAAAAGGAAAAAGUCAAAAUUGAAUUUUUCCUUUAUUUAUAGGAAAAACAAAAUCAUAUUUUUAAGGUAAGUCCAAAAUAUUUUUAAUUAAUAAAAAAUAAUUAAAUUUCACUAUUAUACCAUUAUAUCAUUAUUAUGGAAAAUCAAUUAUUUUUUUUUUGUAAAUAUGCAAAUCCCCAUUUUUCCAUGUCUCAAGUCAAUUUCUGUUUUUCCUUUUUCUUUUUGAUUUUUUAAUGGUUUUCAUUAGUUCGAUAAAUUGAUUAUUUUUUAAUUUUUUAAUUAUUUAUUUAUUUUUAUUUUCAAUUUUUAUUUUAAAUUAUUUUUAACUUAUUUAUAUUUUUCAUCUUGAUUUAACAAAAAUGGUUUUAUGUUUAUUUUUUGUUUUUAAUGGUUUUUUUUUCUUAAUUUCGAUUUUCUUAAUUUUUUUUUCCAGUUUUUUGCAUAAAAAAUGAUUUGUUUAAUUAUUUUUUGUUAAUUCCUUCUAUAUUUUGAUUAAAAAUUAAUUUAUUUUUUAAUAUAUAAAAAAAAUCAUGCAUGUUUAUCAAAGUGGAAUCCAAUAUACACGGAUUUCGACUAAUUUGUAGUGAAUUUCGAUAAAUUUAUAGUGGAUUUCGAUAAAUUUGUAGUGGAUUUCAACAAAUUUAUAGUGGAUUCGAUAAGUUUAUAUUGGAUUUCGACAUGUUCGUAGUGGGUUUCGAUAAAUUUAUAGUGGUUUUCAACAAAUUUAUAGUGGAUUUCGUCUAGUUUGUAGUGGGUUUCGAUAAAUUUUUGGUGGUUUUCAACAAAUUUAUAGCAGAUUUUGAUAAGUGUAUAGUGUAUUCCACUUUGAUAAACCUGUUGAUUUUUUUUUUCAAAUAUUAAAAAAAAAUAUAUUUUUAAUCGAAAUAAAAUAAAAUUAAUAAAAAAAUAAUUAAACAAAACAUUUUUUUAAUCAAAAAAACUGUAAAAAAAAAAAUCAAAAAUACCAUUUUAAAAAAUUGAAAUUAAGAAGAAAAAAAACCAUUAAAACAUGAAAAUACAAUUUAAAAAAUCAAAAUGAAAAACAUGAAAAAUAUAAGUAAGAAAAAAAUAAUUUAAAAGAAAACACUGAAAAUAAAACUAAAUUAAAAAAUAAUUUUUUUUUGGUUUAAAAUUAAAAUAAAGAAAAUCCUUCAAAAAAAUACAAAAGAAAAGAAAAAAAAGAAACUGAAAUAGCGCGACACGAGGAGAUAUUAAAGGGAUUUGCAUAUUUAUAAAAACUAAUUAAUUUUCUACGAUAAUAUCAUAUGGUAACUUUCAUUAAUAUUAAAUGAGGGUAUUUUGGAUAAUUCGAGUCAGUUGGAUUUAUUAAAAAUAUCAAUUAAUAAAAAUGGAUUUAUCAUGAAGUUAAAAAUUCAAUGAGGAGGUUUUGUCAAAUAGCCCCUUUUUUAUAAUACAUAAUAAAUGGAUGCUUAUUGACGGAAGAGAUAUAACCCCUGAACCUAGAAUAAUAAAGAUUGUUGGACAGGGUCUUAUUCAUAAUUAAGGUCACAUUACAAAUAAGUCCAUCAUGUGAUACUUAUUCAUAAAGGGGUUCAGACAAAAAACUCUUUUACAAAAAGUCCAGACACUAUCAAGAGGUGUGUAAAAAACUAAAAUACCCUUCACAUUUUAAUAUGCUCGAAUUUCAUUAUUUAAUUCAAUUUAACCUCAAUUUCACCUCAAAUUUCACAAAUUAUUCAAUUUUAUCCAAAACUCAAUUUUGAGUAGUUUCACUUGUCGCCGUCGUUGACUGCUGGUCUCCGACGUUGACUUUUUUUUCUUUUGUUUUUUCCACUGGUCUCUAGCGUUGACUUUUUCGAUUUUUUUUUCUUCUUUCUGCUGCCGCUGACCGGUCAACGCCGAUCUCCGGUGUCGUUGACUUUUUUUUCUUUUUUAAUUUUUUUUCUUCAACAUCUGUUUGCACGUUUAAACAGUAAUAUUGUUGUGGUUGACCGUCAUAUUAACUAUAUUAACGUUUAACACAGUAAUAUUAACUAUAUUACUGUUUAACACAGUAAUAUAUUAGCUAUAGUACAGUUUAACACAUUAAUAUUGUUAUACUACUCUGUAGCACAGUAAUAUUAACACAAAAAAAUUACUAUUAUUGUGCAAUAUAGUAAUAUUAAUAUGUUUAUGGUUUAACAAAGGCAAACAUAAUAAAAAGCCAAUAAAAUUAAGGGAAAAUGAGGGAUAACCCCCUCAUUAGGUAAAAUAAUAUAGUAUAGGCCCAAUUUAUAAUUGACCAUUUGUAGACAAAUCCAUUUAAUAUUUUCUGAAUUGUGUGACCCCCCUAAGCUUAUGUUAAUGCCCAUUAUGCCCUUUUUUGUCCAUAUUUAUCUCCAACUUUCUCUCUCUUCUCCUUAUUUCUCUCAUAUCCGUCAUUUUAUAUCUCCAUUAAUUUCUCUCUCUUCCUUAUUUUCCUCAAUUUUUUAACGUGUUCUUUUAUUCUUCUUAUUUUUCUCUCUCCUCUCUCUUAUCUUCUCUCUCUUCCUUCCCUUCUNNNNNNNNNNNNNNNNNNNNNNNNNNNNNNNNNNNNNNNNNNNNNNNNNNNNNNNNNNNNNNNNNNNNNNNNNNNNNNNNNNNNNNNNNNNNNNNNNNNNNNNNNNNNNNNNNNNNNNNNNNNNNNNNNNNNNNNNNNNNNNNNNNNNNNNNNNNNNNNNNNNNNNNNNNNNNNNNNNNNNNNNNNNGUAUCUUUUUUUUUUUCUUUUUCUCCCUCUCUCUUCUCUCUCUCUUCUUUCUCUUCCCUCAAUUCCUCUUUUCUCGCCUGUUUUUGUUUCAUUUUUUUUCCACUAUUUCUUCUCACUACUGUACCUUUUCUUCUAUAUCUCAUUUUUUGGUCCUUGAAGUCAUUUUAUUUUCUACUCUAUGAAAUUUAUAUUUUCAUGAAGAUGAGAUCUUUAUCAUGAGUAUUCAAUUUUAUAACAUCAUAGUAUCUUAAAUUGAAAAAUAAUAUGGUAAAUUAAUGGAAAAAUUAUAGUUGACUACCAAUUUUUCUAUAGUUGACAUUUGAACAAUUAUAGUUGACUAUCUAAUUUUUGUAGUUGACUCUGGCAAAAAUAUAGUUAACUACCAUUUUUUAUAGUUGACAUCGUAAAAAUUAUAGUUGACUAUCUAAUUUUUAUAGUUGACUUCGGAAAAAAUAUAGUGAACUACCGAUUUUUAUAGUUGACUUCGGGAAAAAUAUAGUGAACUACCGAUUUUUAUACUGAUCUUUUCUUUGUUUUGGACUCUGAUAAAACAAAUUUCAUAGGAAAACAAAUAUUUAUGAGUCAACAAAUAGUGUGACCAUAGAUCUGUAGAUUUAAAAAACAAUCGUGUUUACAAACUCCAUUUUUGAGUAAUCAACCAUGGAAGACAUCCAAACCGUCGCAUAUGGUCGUCGCGUACCGCUGUAUACCGUUUUUGUAGGAGACCUCGAUUUUGUCCUUCGGAGUCGCUGAAGAAGGUGUCAAAAACAGAAAUUAUGUGGUAGAGAUGGGUAUAUAGCAAACUACCUGUCUUCUUCUUGCCGUUCUUCACCAUUUUUGUCAACCUGUGUUGCUGAACGAAUUGCACAAUAUAAUGGUAUUCUGAUUUUUAUUUUUCGCUGAAGAUGUAGCAAACUAGGGCAAUGUUUGAGAGGGGAAAAUAUCCGAUAUAUAUUUUAGUUUUUUUUGGGAGAAUUUCUCGGCAUAAAUAUAGCAGGGGAGAAAUUAUAUUGAAGAAUAUGGUUGAAGAUAUGCAGUAUUUGGGGAAAACGGUGGGGGGGUCUUCGCUAUUACAAAUUAUAGGGGUAGUUCAGUAAUUGACAUUUCUGAGGGGGUUUGACCCAUUAAAAAUAUUGUAAGGUGGUUAGUCCUAAUAUUUUUUCUAAUGAGGGGGUUAUAUCUUAUUAACCCUAAAAUUAAUAUUAAUAUGGUUGACAAUAAUAUAAAUGUUAUGACAAUAAUAUUACUGUCAACCACAAUAAUAUUAUUGUGUUUAUAGUAAUAUUAUAGUAAUAUUAUUACGUUAUUCAGUCAACAAAUGAAACAAAACAAAAAGGCAAAAAAAAAAUAUUGAUGUGGUUGACAGUAAUAUUAUUGUUUUACAAUAAUUUUACCUUCAAUGAUAAUAAUAUAAUUUCGUUGACUUGUCAAUAAAUCAAAAAAACUAAAAAAAAAAAAAAAAAAGCCAACAAAAUAAUAAUAUUGUUAUAGUUGAUAAUAAUUGUACUGUCAUUGCCAAUACAAUUACGUAAAUGUACUGUUAACGACAAUACACUUACAUAAGUAGUCAACGACAGUACAAUUACUGUCAGCGACAGUAUAAUUAAUGUUAAUGACAGUAUAAUUACGGUCAACGUUCAGCGGCAGACGUAAAAAAAAUUUUAGAGAAUCUUUUUUUUUUAAAGUCAACGUCGGAAACCGGCGGCGGAAAAAAAAAACAAAAAAUAAAAUAAAAAUAAAAAUAAUAAUAAAUUAAUAAGUUAAUGCCGAAAACCGGCAGUAAAAAAAAGAGUUCAGAAAAAAAAAGUUUAAAACAAGAAAAAGUCAAAAUUGAAUUUUUAUGGUCGAAAUUGAUUAUAUUGAAGUUAAAUUGGGUUACAAUUAAGAAUUGGAUUUAAAGGGUUGAAGGUAAUUUUGUCAUAUACAUUAAUUUUUCUUUUAUUUAUAAUAUAUAUUAAAGGGAUGGACUUAUUGGUGAAAGAGAUAUAACCCGUGAACCUAAAAUAAUAAAGAUGGUUGAUCACACUUAUUCAUAGAAACCCUUAAGAUAAAUCAACACUCUUUUCACAUUCUUUCUAAUACCAAACUUGCCCUUCCACUAUUCCCAUUUCUCCUUUCUUUUUAAUUUUCUAAUUAAUUUUUGUUUUCUACUUUUUAUCGUCUUCUCCGACGAUGGCGGCGAUUAGGGUUUUGGCGGUGGUGGCGAUUAGAGCUUUGGCUGGAGUUUAGUAAUUUUGCUAGGCUUGCUAAGAUUCUAGAAUUUGCAAAAGAAGAAUCGGCUGGUGUGGAACUGGCAAGAAGAAGUUGGCGGUGUAGGGGCGAGAAGAGCGGAAGAGACGGGUGGUGGAAGGAAGGAGCGGUGGCGACGGUGUGAAAAUAUGAUUGUCGGAGGUGGUGUCGAGAGUUUGAUGGUGGUGGUGAUUUCAAUGGGAAAAAAGAAUUUUGGGGAAGACAUGUUCUUUCUCUCUGUUUGGAGCAGCGGCUUGACGAGGUAAUUGCCGGUUGUCAUGGCAAUUUCAAUUGAAAAAGAAGAAUUUUGGGGAAGACGUAAUUUUCUCUCUUUUCUUUUCUUUUUCCGUUUUUCCCAUAAAAAUGUGUUUUUAUUCCUUUAUUUAAAAAAAUUUAAAAAUUGCAAUUUGAUCCAAAGAUUUGGAUUAAUUAUAUUUAAAUCCAAUUCAAUUUUACGUUUGGGAAAUUUACAAUUCAGUCCCCUAAUUUAAGUUUAAGAGGUUUAGUAAAAUUGCAAUUUGGCCUCUAUUAUAUAUUAAUUCUAAUUUUAUGUUAUUAGUUGAAGAUUAGUAUAGUCACUUCCUUUUAGUCAACAUAUUUAUUUCCACUAGGGGCAGUGAACUAAAUAAAAUGCAACAUAGGGGAUUAAUUGCUAAUUGUUCUAGCAUGGGGUCUUUUUUAGCCAUUACAACAUGUGAAAUGCUAUUCGCGGUUACGUUUUUGCUAUUCGCGGUUCAUAAAAAAAACUCACUCUCUCUCUAAAACUACAAAAACCAAAAAACCGCAAAUAGCAAAAAAAAAAAAUUCGAAAUCUCGAAUUCAAGCUCGAAGAACCAUUGUGCUUCGAUUUUUUGAGGUAAUUUCGACUAAUUUAUGUAAAAUAUGCAUUGCCCAUGUCGUUUACGCAACCAAUUUCAUGUUUAAAGCCCCUACAAAUCGAAUUGUAGGGGCUUUUUUUUCGGUAAUUUUAGGCUGAACGCCCAANNNNNNNNNNNNNNNNNNNNNNNNNNNNNNNNNNNNNNNNNNNNNNNNNNNNNNNNNNNNNNNNNNNNNNNNNNNNNNNNNNNNNNNNNNNNNNNNNNNNNNNNNNNNNNNNNNNNNNNNNNNNNNNNNNNNCCAGGCGUUGAUGCAGCAAUGAACGCCCGGUUUGGGCGUGAACCGGGCGUUUGAGAAUUUUUUAUUUUUUAAUUUUUAAAUCAAUUAUAUUAAUUUAAUUAAUUUCAAAUAUGUUUUAUGUUUGUAGGAUGUCUAAUUGGAUGAAAAAAAUGGGAAUGGGAAAAGGGAAGGGUCACCUGAUUCGUCCUCCUGCAAAUCCGGUGGAUGAGAAUACUGCGGAACGGGAGGGCAGAACGCACAACCGUAAUGUUACCAGUUCUAAACGUCGUGGGGAACGAACUGGUGCUUUUGUACAACCACGUAUGACAAUUGAAGAGGAGGAGGAGACAGAGGCAGGAGAUGGAUACAUAUAUGGAUCCCCACGAGGACAAGUACUAUCCAGGACUACGUUUUCAGCAGAAGUAUUAGUUCCCGGGGACUGAUUUGCCAUCCGAUGAUGAUGACGAGGACGGUUUGACUCCGCCUCCGCCUCCGGCUUAUACAAUGGCUGGUACUUCCGGUGGUUCUACUCCUGCCCCAAACCCGAGGUCCCGGCCCGGUCCGAAAAAAACUCUUCCUACUCGACCGUGGAAGUUGAUUGGUGAGACACCCGGUGGACCAAAAUACCCUCAUUUGAUUCCGAAUUUUGGAGCCCAUAUUGCCUACGACAUCUGGGAGGGAAAGGUAAUACUUAUUAAUUUUAAUAAAUUUUGUUUAAAAUGUUUAUAGUUGAUUUCCCUAUUCUUAAAUAUCAAUAUAUCUUCAACAGGGCCGACAUAUGCUGAAGUUGCGGUCUCAUGCGAAGUCUACUUGGCCGGGACCCGACGACUAUUAUAAUGUUUCACUACUGGAGAGUACCGGGUUGUAUCACUUGCGUUAUUGUUCGCUCCCUUAGUACAAUAACCCAUUGAUAGAGGCUUUUAUCGAGAGGUGGCAGCCAGACACCAACAGCUUUCAUAUGUCGUUUGGAGAGAUGACAAUUACUCUCCACGAUGUGCACUAUAUCAUGCUUUUGCGAGUUAAUGGAAAGCGCCCUAACGUUUGGAUCGAUAAGGCAGAUGCGGUUUAUGCAAGUGCGAGAGCGUUCGGUGUCGAGCCCCGAUAUAUGGAGAAGUGGUAUGGUGGCGGAUUACGGUUAGAUGAUUUGGGUAGCAUGUAUGGCGACGAUUCUUCAUUUGCUUCCGAGUUUCGGGUACGAGCAUAUAUUGCGUACUUGCUCGGAAAGCUAUUGUUUGUCGAUAAGAGUGGAUCGAAGGUGAAAGCAGAUUUUUUCCCACUUUUAGAGCAGAUCGAUAUGAUUUCCGACUAUUCCUGGGGUUCGGCUAAACUGGCCUAUUUGUAUCGACAAUUGGGCAUGGCUACGCGAGCUGAGGUGGCGCAGAUGGGUGGUUGUCUGACACUGUUAGAGGUAUUUUUUUGUUUGUAGUAACCCCUCAAUUUUUUUUAUUAAUAUCACCAAACUGUUAUGUUUAAUAUGCCGUAUCAUUAUUUUUGUUGUGUUGGAUAUAUGAGUAUUUUCCGUGUUUCCGGCCUCCGAUGGUUAACGCACAUGUGAAUGGAGAGCCCAGGUGUAAGAGGUGGCAGGUGAUACAUCAUAUCCCUAAGGACGAGGAUGUACUUGUUGAUUAUCGUUGACGUCUUGAUUCUAUGCAUGCGUCAGAUGUAAGUAUCAAGUUUAAAUAAAUUAAUAUUUCUAUAUUUACUAUGUUUAUUAAUACAUUUCUAUUCUUAAUACAUACGCAUAGGUGAAUUGGAUGCCAUUUGGAGUGAAUUUGUCACGUGAAGUUGAAAAGACGGUUCAUCACGGGACUAUUCGAUGGAUGGAUACGGUCCAGCCUUACAUGCCCGAUAGAGUUUUGCGUCAGUUCGGAUUUCGGCAAAUUAAACCGUCGGACCCUAUUCGUCCGCUAAAAGGUGCUAAGAGGGAGAUAAAAUUAGCAUCGUACAAAAUUAGCUACGAGCCUGGCGAUC
rnacentral:lncRNA from 1 species